GAUAUUCAAACUUAUCUAGAAGAAAUAGAAGCAAAUGAUACAUUAUAAGUUAGUGUCAAAAGGUGAACUAAGUCUUCCACUAGAUAGUCUACUUAGAUGUCAAAAAUGUAGUGGGCUCUUUAGCCUCAAGGUAGCCUAAAGCUCAAGUUUGGUUGAUGUUACCUAGCAAACUCAAGACAGAUGGAAAUUUCCAGCCUUUUACAGGUCCAUAGAUGUGUGAUUAUUAGGGCUUUUUAAUGUCAUUUGUGAUGGGGUUUGCUAUUGAUGUGAUGCAGAGGUCCUGAAACUAUUAGAAGGGAUGUAAAUCUGGUGAAAGAGUUGGGUGUUUAUGAUCUUAUGGGGAAGGAGAAUUGAGCAAUGGUUCUCUCUUGCAUGUCACUGGGUCAAAAAGGGUCAGUGAGAUAAAACCACCAAUCCUUUUAGAGACAUUGGCUGAUCAUUUCUUGAAAGUCUAGAUCGAGAAAUCAAGAAGAUGAGAGGUUGAUUAAGAGAGAAGUCAUGUCCUAUGCCAACUUUGUUUGAGUGAGCCAUAUCAUAUACUUCUACCUGGGGUUAAUCUUUAAGGCUGGAGGGUUCAUUGUCUCUUCAUUUUUUUCCCUUUAUUUUUUUCCCCUUAUUGAAUCAUGUUCUUGUACAUCUACUUGUUUAAAGGAUUUCUCAUCCUUCCUUGUAAAUAACUGUUUGCAUAAUAUUAUCACACAAAAACAUAGAUCAUAGACAAGCUGAGAAUUUCUUAAGGAUCCAUAAUGUGAUCUUAUGUUUGCUUCUAGAUCUAUACAUAAUUAUUAGCUUUUAAUUAGCUUAUCUUCAUUGGACUACUUAUGUGGAGAUUUGUUUUAUCUGUUUCUCCGUGUUUCAGGCACAACUAAUUGACCCAGCACUAAAAGGAUUAAUGAACAUUCUAGGAUCUUGUGCAAAAGUUCCAUCAGUCAAAAGAGUAGUUGUAACAUCAUCUAUGGCUUCAGUUGCAAUCAAUGGGAAACCUCUAGCUCCUGAUGUGCUAGUUGAUGAGAGUUGGUUUUUAGAUCCAGUUUUCUGUGAGAAAUCAAAGGUUGCUUAAAUGAGAUGAUUUCCCAUCACAUGCUAUCUCUUUUGCAUGUUCUUGUUUGUGGCUUUACAAAAUGUUUUCUUUUCAUGGCUCUUCACUUCUUUUACCCUGCAGAAGUAGCUGCCAAUUUGUCAUGCCCUCUUGUUUUUACACUUCUGCUAGCCAGCUUAGGGUUAAAUAACACGAUGGGAAUGAGAGGAUUAUCCCUUUAUUUUGCUAAGCCUGCCAUUAGAUUAAAUAAUCCUUCCAUGUAUGUCUAAUAUUUCACUAAUACGGUGUUGGUAGCUGUCUGAUCCAUAAAGUCGCAUUCCUCAAACAAGAAAUUAAAUGAGAACUCUAAUUUGGAUAUUAUAUGAAUGAAAUGGAUGUUAAUCUCUGAUUGUCUUACUGUCCAUUAAACAUGAUGGGCUCAGAAACAUGGGUUGACAAAACAGUUGUGACAUAUCUAAUUAGUUUUAAUGUGAGUGUGUAUGCCUGCACAGCCUCUAUAGAUUUUGCUUGGGUUCAUAAGUUCAUUGCUUGUUCUCUAUGUUCCAUUAUCUACUAGAAAUGCUUCUCACUAUAUAUUUUCAAACAUGUUGGUUUCUACUAGCUAUGGUAUAUGCUUUCAAAGACAUUAGAUGAGGAGGCUGCUUGGAAGUUUGCAAAAGAGAAUGGGAUUGACAUGGUUACAAUAAAUCCAAGGGGGGGUGAUUGGCCCUCUCUUACAGCCUACUCUUAAUCUAAGUGUGGAGGAAGUUCUGAAGCCACUAAAAGGUACGCUUCAACAAUUGAUGAGAAUCUCUUUUUUAUGUUUAUCUUUCUACUCCAGUAGCAAUACAUGCUUCACUUCAAUAUUGAGUCAACUCUAUCCAACAGCCCUGCAAAUGGAAACUUAGAAGUUUAAAUCGAAACUUAUCAAUAAACCGUCACAAGACUUCCACAGUUCCACAUAAAAGGACUACAUAUGCAUUUUGAUAUAUGCUGACUAAUCUUCUAACAUUAAAAAAUUGUUCUCUUCUCUGGUCAUUAUAGUUAUAUCACCAAGAUACUCAUUUGGGAGAUUUGCAUAUGAGAUUAGAUGAAGAUAUAUUUUGUUUUGGUCUCCUAAGCCAGACUGGUUUGGAAGGACCCCUGGACUGUGAAAGGACUAAAAGCAUGCGUAUGUAAUUACUAUCUUGAACUUAAGGUAUAUUUGCAUGCAAGUUCAAUCCAAGGCCAAGAACUUCUUAAAUAACCCAUUAAUCCUUUUGAUCCACCCCAUCUAAAUAUUAUUGCAGCUCAACAUAAUUAGCAUAAAGUGGGGGUUCCCCACAUCCAACUCCAUUGCAAAUGAGUUGUUCAUGUGCAACUCACUUGAUCAGUAUUUUUAAAAACUUCUACUAACUUUUUUGGACUAUUUUACAGAUCUUAACAUUCUUUAAACAUUUAGAAUCAUUUCUAGUGGCUUUAUAGGGAAAUAUCAUGUUACUUUAUUGACAACUCUUACAAUAAUCAAUACUUCCAUAACUGUAUAGCCAAUAUGGUUUGUUUACUUACUAACCAACCUCUUCUGCCUCCAACUGACCUCCCAUGUAUCUUGCUUCAAUUAUGAGGGUGUUGCCAUUAGGUUGAGAAUUGGACAUAUGAUAAACCUGUGCCUUGAUGGUUGUACUCUGAUUCAUGGAUCCAGACCAUUGUAAUUGGGAUUAGACUUGUUGGUAGUUGCUUUAGUUCAAUGCUUGCAAUGACCAAAGUAAUUUGUCGUGCUGCUUUAGAACCAUUCGAUCUUUCAUAUGAAAUAAGAAAGGUAUUUUGUACAAAAUAAUGUUUUCACUUGUAAUUUCCAACAUUACAUAAGGCGAUAAAUAGAAGUGUAUUUGCUAAGUGUGAUUGCAUCAUUUUCUAAGCGUUUCCGUUUGAGACAAACAGUCUAAGAUGAAAAUGUGUGCUUCAAAAAUUUCUAGCUGUAAUACUUUUGAGAUUGUGCCAAAAGCUGGUGGUCGUUCUUCUUCUAUGAAUCAGUUGACAAUGACUAUAAAUAAAUAAAUGGAAAAACAUCAUAUUAUCACUGAGCAGAUUGCACACUAAACUUAAAUAGGCAACAGAAACUGAUGCUUUCAGUACACUUACAUAAUACUUGUGAUGUAAGCUUCUGAGAUUUGUUUGCUGCAGGAGAUACAUUUCCCAAUAAAGCACAUUGAUGGGUUGAUGUUAGAGAUGUUGCCAUGGCACAUAUUCAAGCAUAUGAGCUUCCAAUGGCUAGAGGCAGAUACUGUUUAGUAGGGAGUGAGCUUCCAAUGGCUAGAGGCAGAUACUGUUUAGUAGGGAGCAUUUUACACUGUUCUGAGACAAUGAAGAUUUUGCAGAAGCUCUACCCUGCUUUAAACCUACCUGAGAAGUAAGAUUUUAUUAUUUGCAGGGCAUUAUUUCUAGUUUGCGUUAGUGCCCUUUGAAAUCAAUAUUGCAGCUUAGGCAAUGUUACUUUUUUUUUUGUUUAUUUUGGGUUUUUCUUUUAUUUUUUGAUAGGCUUAAUAUAUACAUAUUCUGUAAAGAAGUACCUAGAAAAAGGGGCACAACUCCGGUGCAAGUAGUAGUAUGAAAGUAGCACUAAAAUGUAAAAAUUAAAAACAAAAGGAAACAACUACAUCAGGAAGGCAACAGACACAAUAAAACAAGUAACCUGCAUUGGAUGAAUAUGUGAUACAUUGAUUUCAUCAUUUGGUUGCACAGACAACACCAAUUGACGAUAGACUAAACUAAGAAACAGUUGUUCUAAUAAGACUGAAACAACACCAUCAACAAAUUAUUGAGAUUUUCACAAAAGGCAUUGCCUUGAGAAUCAAACCUUGGAGAGGUGAAUCCUCUCCAUCUGAAUGAGCUGGGAAGCUGCAAAUUCACCUACCUUGUCGGUCUGUGUUAUCCUCUAUGAUGUGCCAGUGAAUCCAGUAGGAUGUAGCUUGCAUUUACUUGGGCCAUGGCUGGACCACUGUCUUUAAAUACUGUUGUAUGGUUGAAAUAUUUCACAUGCAUGUGUAGCCUUUCUCCAUUCACGGUGGUCAUAAUGGCACGUCUAUGCUAUUUCAACACAUCGCCUUCUUAUGAAUUGCAUCCGAUUCUUAAUAUGUUAUCAAAGUGCUAAGGAUCUAAAAGUACUUCAGUGAUCGGGGCUAAGGAAUUUUCUGAUUUAUAUUAUUUAUUAUGUUUUGGCUUAUCAUAUCCACAAAUGUGUUUUCAAACUUCUAUCAUCAAUAUUGACCUUGGUGGAGUUCCUUCAGAUUCACUGAAUACUUUCUGCCAUUUAGGUCUAGUUAAACCCAUAUUUCAUUCUUCUAGUACAAAAGAACUAAUCCCCAUUGCUUGGGGAUCUUCUCAAUUACCCAAAGAGAUGUGUUUUAAGCUUCAGGUCCGUGUCCUGAGAGUUUUCUUUUCUUCAAUACCAGUCAUUUCACUGAUUGAUUAAGAAACUGUGUUUCUGUUUUAUUUGUGGCAGAUGUGCAGACGACAAGCCUUAUGAACCAACCCAUAUGGUGUCCCAGGAGAAAACUAAAAGUUUGGGCAUCGACUUCACUCCUCUGGAGGAGAGCCUGAAGGACACUGUGGAAAGCUUGAGGGAGAGGAACUUUGUCAGUUUCUGACACAUGGUAUAGCCAUGCAAAUGAAUCAUAAACAAAAAAUGGUGUCUUCUUGGUAACUUCAUUGUUAAGUGUGUUGGAGUCAUGUAUUUUCUAAUAUGUUCAUGGUAAGCAAUUCCCAAGACAUGCUACAAGUUCUCCAAAAGAAAAACAACGACAUAUAAAAAGCGGUAACUUCUAUUUCUGCUUCUGCUCAACAACAAAAGCUAUCAACUAUCCUAAAUGGGCUCCAGGGAGAUUCGUAGACCUUAGGUCCCUUCCAAACUAGAUUUUUUGUUUGGGAAGUAACUGAGGAAGAUUUUCACUUGUCAUUAACUUAUGCAGAGGUUGGUAGCUAACGAACUAUGUAAGGGCAAUGUUCUUGAUUAUACCAUAUGUAAGGACACAGUGAGCUCUGCCUUUAGAAAUGUAGGCAGUGAGGUGGCAUGGUCCAUUAACUUCAUUCUGUGAUUGGCUGCUCAACCAUUCCAAAACAAGGGAAAAUUAUGCUUACUGAAGUUUUACUUUCUGUUGGGUUUGAUAGAAUCUCUGCUCAUUUUGUUUCUUAGAGUACUGAAAUGAUUAGAGACAAUAAGAUUGAAACCCCAAAUUUUUUUUAAUAACUGUUGAAUAUAAAUAUGUUUUAUAAAAAAUAAUUCUCACUAAUAAACCCCGGUAGUGCUUUUAUCAGAAAUGCUUAAGUUUCAAAUUUCAUUAUUUUAUUCUAAUUCUAAAAUUUUGUGCCUUAAACUUGAAUAAUGUUGAUAUGAGACUCAAUAGUAGUGAAGUAGUUUUCAAACUGCAAACUUAGAAACAAAAUUAUCAACCAAACCAAAACUUAAAAAAAUGCAAGUAUAAUUUCCAUCCUUGCAUGGUGAAAAAUUAUAGUAGCAUUUCAGUUUGUACCAAGCAGAUGAUCCAGAAUCAUGGAAUGGAGAACCAGGACUACUUCCAAAAAAAUAAAAAUAAAAAGGGAAGUCAAAGGCAAAUGGAUAUCCUUGUGGGAUGAAAACCGAGGGUAAAAGCAAGGGGAUGACGGAAGCUGACAGUGACCAAGGAGGUCAAAACGCUGACUCAUUCGCAUACGCUAGCAUUUAAAUUCACGUACGCAUUCGAAAACAGGUCACACUCUCUGUAUAUUGUCUCUAUAUACACCAAGUGUACAAGUGGAUAGCAUAGAUUUGAAGGUGAAAGUGAGUGGUCCAGGGAGAUGAAUAGUGGAGAAGGGGAGGUGGUGUGCGUGACUGGAGCUUCUGGGUUCAUAGCUUCAUGGCUGGUGAAGCUCCUACUCCAACACCGUUACACUGUCAAAGCUGUUAAAAAAUCUGGAGAAAGGAACUAAAACUUUCAGAAAAUAUUAGAGUACUGAGUUGGAGAAAGACACACACUAUAUUUCACCAAAGAGAAUGCCUAUUUAUAGGCUUACAACCAAACUGAAAAUGCUAAAAACUCUCAGCUGCUAUGACUACUUCUACUAACAGAAAAACUGAAAAUCAGAGAUAGCAAAACAGAGACUAAGUCUAACUAAGACAUUUUCAAAGGCAAACUCUCAUGAAUUCUAACACUCCUCCUUGAGAUUUGCCUUGGACAUACCAAGCUUCAACCUUAGGAACUCCAGCCUUGAUUUAGGAAGUCCUUUAGUCAUUAUGUCAGCAAGUUGCUCAUCAGUUGAGCAAUAAUGCAGCUUAACAAGUGAAUUCUUUUCAGCUUCCCUUAUGGAGUGGAAUUUUAAAUUUAUGUGCUUGGUUCUGCCAUGAUGGACAGGAUUUUGAGCAAUGGAAAUGGCUGACUUAUUGUCACAGAAAAGCUCAGUUGGUGAGCUUUGUUCUUGGCCUAAAUCAGCAAGCAAUUUUCUCAACCAUAUUGCUUGAUUUGCAGCAGCUACUAAGGAGAUAUACUCAGCUUCUGUAGUUGAUUGUGCCGCUACUUCUUGCUUUCUUGAAUUCCAGCAUAUGACACCUGAACCGAUUGUAAAUACAUAACCUAAAGUGCUCUUCAUAUCAUCAACACUUCCUGCCCAAUCACUAUCAGCAUAACCAUCUAGCUUAACUCCUCCUGUCUUUAAAUACCAAAUGCCAAGAUUUGUUGUACCUUUAACAUACUUUAGCACCCUCUUUGCAACUCCCAUGUGAACAUUGCUAGGUAAACUCAUGAACCUUGAAAGCAAACUAGCUAGAAACAUCAAGUCAGGUCUGGUUACUGUCAAGUAUAGUAGGCUGCCCACCAAGCUUCUAUAUGCAGAGGGUUCCUCAAGUUUCUCACCAUCAUUCUUUGAAAUUUUCUCAUUUUGUGCCAGCGGAGUUGCUACUUCUUUGCAUGAUUCUAGCUUGAAUUUCUUGAGAAUAUCCAUAACAUAUUUUCUUUGUGAAAUGAAGAUACCCCAGCUGCAUUGGUAUAUUUCCAUUCCAAGGAAGUAGUUCAUGAUGCCAAGGUCAGACAUCUCAAAUACAUCUUGCAUUUCCAUUUUGAAAUCAGCUAGCAAUUUUACAUUGCUUCCGGUCACUAGCAUGUCAUCAACAUAAAGUGAUACUACCAGUUGCAAACCAUCAUCAUUUUGUUUCAAAUACAAAGUAGCUUCAUUUUCACUCCUCCUAAAUCCAAGUUGGAUCAGAUGAGAAUCAAUUCUGCUAUACCAGGCCCUUGGUGCUUGCUUCAAACCAUAGAGAGCCUUAUGUAGCUUGUACACUUUGUGUUCAUGGCCAAUAACCUCAAAGCCUUCUGGUUGUUGAACAUAAAUUUCUUCAAGAAGUAUACCAUUUAGAAAAGCUGACUUGACAUCUAAAUGGUACACUUUCCAUCCCAUUUGACCAGCAAGUGCAAGUAGUAGCCUUAUAGUGUCAUGUCUGGCUACUGGUGCAAAUGUAUCACCAUAGUCCACUCCAGCAACUUGAGCAAAACCCUUCACAACCAAUCUAGCCUUGUGCCUGAAGAUUGAACCAUCUGAAUUAAAUUUAGUUCUGAAAACCCACUUUACACCAAUUGCAUUCUUAGCUUCAGGUAGUUCUGUCAACUUCCAGGUUCCAUUUCUUUCAAUAGCAUCAAUUUCAGCUUUCAUGGCCUCAAUCCAUUCUAGAAAUCUUGCAGCUUCCGUGUAACAUGUAGGCUCAACAUGUACAAGAUUGCACCUCUCGUACACAUCAGAUAAUGGCCUCAUCUUAAGCACUGGUGUGUCUGAAGUUGCUUCAACAUCAAGUGGACCUUCAAUGAUUGUACUUUCUAUUGCUGGUUCAAGAAUAGAUGGAGUGGUUUGAUCACAUUUAUGAACUUUCUUCAAGUCCCAAUUCCAAUAGGAGUUUUCAUCAAAGUGCACAUCUCUACUUAUCACGAUUUUCAUUCUACUCAAGCUAUAAAUUCUGUAACCUUUUGAUUCUGCUACAUAACCAACAAAGACACCUUUCUCAGCUCUUUCAUCAAGCUUCCCUCUCUUGACAGAUGGCACAUGAAGAUAACAAAAUGAGCCAAAAACUUUCAGGUGCUUGACAGAAGGUUUUACACCAGACCAUGCCUCUAUUGGUGUUUUGCUCUGAACAGACUUAGUUGGUAGUCUGUUAAGCAAAUACACUGAGGUGUUGACUGCUUCAGCCCAUAGAAGCUUUGGUAGCUUCUUCUCGAAUAGCAUGCACCUUGCCAUCUCCAUCACGGUUCUGUUCUUCCUCUUAGAGACUCCAUUCUGCUGUGGUGAGUAUGGAGCUGUUAGCUGGUGUACAAUUCCAGCUUCUUGACAAAAGACACUAAACUCUUUUGAGGUAUACUCACCUCCAUUAUCAGUUCUGAGCACCUUAACAUUCUGGCCACUUUGAGUUUCAACCAUUUUCUUGAAGCUUUUGAACAUAGAGAGCACUUGUGACUUGGUUUUUAGAAAAUAAACCCAAGUCAUUCUGCUGAAAUCAUCAAUAAAUAGUGCAAAAUACACAUUGUUGCUCAAUGAGGUUGUGCUCAUUGGUCCACAAAUAUCUGAAUGGAUUAAUUCCAGCUUGUGAGUAGCUCUCUUGGACAUAUUUUGAGGGAAUGGCUGUCGUUGUUGCUUCCCUAGCUCACAACUUUCACAAGUUUGAGCAUUAACUGAGAUUUCAGGCAUGUCUUCAACCAUACCAGCUUCUUGCAUGAACCUCAGUGACUUCAAGUUGAAAUGACCAUAUCUUUUGUGCCAAACAACACUCUCAUCAAUCUUGGCACUAAAGACAUGACCUUCAACUAAAUCAAGCUUCAAAUAAAAACUAUUUCCAUUCAUUUUAAUUUUUGCUAUCUUUGUUCCGUGUACAUCAGAGAUAAAACAAAAAUUUUCUUUGAAAGAGACUGCAUAUCCAUUUCUUAGCAUUUGUGCAACACUAAGAAGAUUCUGAUCUAAAUCUGGAAUAUAAAGAACAUUAGUGACAAUUUUUGUACCUCUCUUGGUGCUGAUAGCAAUUGUCCCUUUUCCUUUGGCUUGCACAACUUCACCAUUUCCCAACUUGACCUUUGGUUGAACUGAUCUAUCAAUGGAGGUAAAUAUUGACAGAUGUUUGGUCAUGUGACUCGUGCAGCCACUGUCAAUGAGCCAAGUAUUCAGUUCAUGAGAACUGAGUGCUUGUGAUGCCAUAAAUAAAUGCUCAUCAUCAUUUUUGUCUUCUUCAGUCACACUUGCAUGUUGUUCUGGUUGGUGUUGAGAUUGUUUUUUUUUGGCUCUGCAAUACUUCUCACUGUGGCCAAGUUUAUUGCAGAAGUUACAAUUAAAGAGAGGUUUACCUUUGUGCCAACAAUCUUUCUCAGCAUGGUUGGUUCUUUUACAAUGAGAGCAAGGCGAAAAUUUUCCUUUUCUUGAAGACCCUUCAGCUUUCCCUCUACUGUUCUUGAAGAACUUCUUUCCUUGCAAGUUUCCAGAAUUCUUUCCCUUGUGAUUUGCUUGAAAAGCACCUUCAGUAGCUUCAUCACCUCUCAUUAAGACCCUUUGCUCCUGUGCAUGAAGCUUGCUGGUUAACUCUACAAUUGUGAGAGUUUGCAAGUCACAAGACUCUUCAAUUACAGAAAUCUUGGCUUCAAACUUUUGAGGCACUGAAACCAUGAUCUUUUCUACCACCUUUUGAUUUGUAAAUGCCUCACCAAGAAGCCGCAUUUGGUUUACAACAUCCAUUAACCUGCCAGAAUAAUCUUUGACAGAUUCGUCGUCUUUCAUCUUCAUCAACUCAAACUCUCUCUUCAAUGUGAGGAGUCUAACAUUUUUGACUCUUUCACUGCCAUCAAAUUCACCCUGGAGCUUGUCCCAUACCUGUUUAGGUGUUUCCAAGUUCAUGAUUUUGGUGAAGAUGUGGUCUGCAAGUCCUGAAUGUAGGCAAGUGAUGACUUUGUCUUUCUUGAGUUUUUCUUCCUCAUAUGCUUUCAUCUGAGCAACUGUAGGAUUUGCUCCCAAUGGUGGUGGAUCAGCUUCUGACAUCACAACAUUCCACAAACCUUGAGACCUUAAGUAAAACCUCAUCUUGACAGCCCAAAUGUGAUAGUGUUCACCAUUAAACACUGGAAUUACAGAGGAAAUAUUGCUAGAAGGAGUCAUGUUUGCACCACAGUUGCCUGAAAAAAUAGAUCACUCAACCUCACUAGUGUUUGCACUCAACCUCACUGUGUUUAGUACUCAAAACACUCAAAAACUUUGCCUCACAGCCCGUAGGAAUUUUGCUCUGAUACCACUGUUAAAAAAUCUGGAGAAAGGAACUAAAACUUUCAGAAAAUAUUAGAGUACUGAGUUGGAGAAAGACACACACUAUAUUUCACCAAAGAGAAUGCCUAUUUAUAGGCUUACAACCAAACUGAAAAUGCUAAAAACUCUCAGCUGCUAUGACUACUUCUACUAACAGAAAAACUGAAAAUCAGAGAUAGCAAAACAGAGACUAAGUCUAACUAAGACAUUUUCAAAGGCAAACUCUCAUGAAUUCUAACAAAAGCAACCGUUCGAGAUCCAAGUCAGUUCUCUAUCUCAACCUUCGAGGGCAUAUUCACUUAUAUGUGCUUCCAUUUAACACACUAGUUGUGCUUACAUUGAUAUGUAUAUAUGCGACAGAUGAUCCAAAGAAGACACAACACUUGCUUUCACUCGAUGGAGCUCAGGAAAGACUUCAUUUAUUCAAAGCGGACUUAUUGGAAGAAGGGUCUUUUGAUUCUGCAGUUGAGGGAUGUAAUGGUGUUUUUCAUACUGCAUCCCCUGUUGCAUUGGAAGACAUUAACCCUCAGGUUCAUCCUACACUACUUUAUAUCCAUGGUUUGAGGUUGUUCAUUAAUGAUCUUGAACCUUCAUGGUCUAUAUUUCAAUCCAUACUAAUGGUGUUUUCCACCGAUGAAUCACUUGACAAUAUCCAAGAAAAUGAAUGACAGAACAUCAAAAUAUUCACAAGCAAAUUGCAUACUUUAUAUCAAGAUAUUUGAAAUUUGUUUGUUGCAGGAGCUCAAACAUUUCCCAAUAUAUCAUCCUAGUGGGUUGAUGUUAGAGAUGUUGCCAAUGCACACAUUCAAGCAUAUGAGAUCCCAAAAGCUAGUGGAAGAUACUGCUUAGUAGAGAGGGAUUUACACUAUCUUGAGACACUGAAGAUUUUGCGCAAGCUCUACACUAGAUUACCUCUACCUGAAAAGUAAGUUUCUAUUAGUUAUUUCUAGUGCUCGUUAGUGCCAUCAUUAGAAGCAAGUGAGACCAACAUGAUAUUACUUCUUAUUGUUCCAUUGGAUACAUUGAAGAGUACCUGCCAUCUUGUUUCCCCUUAAAUAUUUAUGCCUUGGUAUCAUGCAAAAAAUUCUUAGAUGGGACCCACACGUCUUUGAUAAUUGGUUGCAGAUGCGCAGAUGACAAACCUUAUGCACCAUCCUCCCAGGUAUACCAAGAGAAAGCAAAGAGUUUAGGCAUUCACUUCACUCCUCUAGAGGUGAGCCUGAAGGAUACAGUUGAAAGCUUGAAGGGGAAGAACUUUGUCAGUUUCUGACUCAUGGUAUUUAAUGCUAGACUUGCAACUAAAUCAUAAACUAAUGGUGCUUUCCUGCUAAUUUUAUUGUUAUGAACCUCACUGCACCUAUGAUUUGCUAGGUUUUGGGGCUUUUAUCUUAUAAUAUUUGAUUGUAAGCAUUUCUUAUGCUAGAAAUUGGUAUCUGUAUCAACUAUAAGUUUCCCUGUUCAAGUUUCCUAUUCGUGUUAGAAUAAGGUGAAACUAAAUCACACUUAGGAAGAGGGAAUUAGUCCAAGUGGAUUAUAAGGGUCCAAGAAUGGAAUCAGUCGAUGGAAGUGGUAGAAUAUAUUGAACAAAAUUAUAUAUACUACAGUAAGACACAAAACCGAAAAUUGCUUCAUAUUAAUAAUUAAAAGACAUAGGAAACAACAGGCUUGUGUCCUUGAGCAUCAACCCCAUUAUUCCACUAGCCAUGUGAUACGAAAUCCCUGCUCCAACUCCUAUUUGCUUGUAGAUCAUAGUUAUGUGGGCAACACCAACUCCUAUUUACUUGCAGAUCACAGUUACAUGGGCAACACCUCAACACCUGGCUUGAAUUUCGAUUUGUUGCUACUUUCCUAGUCUUAGGCCACUAUUUGUGUUUCAGUUGUCUGUGCAUCUAUAAAUGCACCUGCAUGAAGUGAAUAAAGGAAAAAACUUCUAUCUCCUAUCUCUCUUGUCCUCUCUCAAAUUAAACUCAUCAUUUGGUAUCAGAGCCAGGUUUAUUCAUGGACACACAAGGGAAAACCAAUGUUGAGUUUCGCAAUAAGGUCAACGAAGCCUUGGCCCGAUGUGAGUCAAGUUUUGAUCAGGUGAAUGCCACUCUAUAGAUGGUUUUGAUGGAGCUCCAAGCUUUGCGAGUAACUCAAAGUUCCAGCCACCCCCAAUCAGAAAUCAACCCCUUUGCACCAGAGGGAUCAACCCACCACUUGCACACCGCUAUCGUAACCACCAAUACUGACCCAUAUCUUCAACAACACCUCAAGCUAAAUUUUCCCAGAUUCAAUGGGGAAGACCCAAUCAGUUGGAUCUAUAGGGCUGAAUAAUAUUUUGAGUUUCAGAAAAUUGCAGUUGAAACCCAAGUUCAGUUUGCCUCCUUCCAUUUUGAAGGAAUCGCACUCCAAUGGCACUGCUGGUUGAUGAAGUUUCGAGGACCCCUUUCUUGGAAUGAUUUCACCAAGACCAUUCUCCUCAGGUUCGGUUCUACCAAAUAUGAAGACCCUUCUGAAGCAUUGUCCCGCCUAAAGCAGACAACUACAGUGGCUACAUACUAGGAGGCAUUUGAGAGACUCUCCCAUCAGGUCGACGGAUUACCUGAGCCAUUUCUCAUCGAUUGCUUUAUUGCAAGGCUGUGUGAUGACAUUUGCCUAGACGUCAAGAUUAAGCAACCACGCACGCUUGUAGCCGCCAUUGGAGUGGCAAGACUAAUUGAAGAGCGCAAUCUCCUUCAAAAGAAAACAACAACUCCUAGUCGUAUCCCAAUGACGACGACGCUACAAAAUGGACCCAACCCUCCAGUGGGAAUUCUUGGCCCCAAUCCAACCCAACAGUCCAACAAUAGCUCAAAUCCUUCCUUAAUGUUAGUUCUUCGAAUCACCAGUCAGGAGGCUCAUGAGCGGAGGGAGAAGAGAUUAUGCUACUAUUGCAAUGAGAAAUACUUCCAAGGACACCGAUGCGAACGACCCUAGUUUUUCAUGAUCGUAGAUACACCACUAGAGGAGGAAGAAACUCUAGACGACAACCAGUAAGGAAUAAAAGAGAUUAACACCUUACCCGAGAUAUCAUUCCAUGCCAUUACCAGGGGUGAACACCUGCAGACUCUCCGUGUUCUAGGCCGAUUGAAGAACAAGUACCUAACUGUCUUGAUCGAUGACAACAACACUCAUAAUUUCAUCGAUCAAAUAGUUGUCUCCAGAUUCGGAUUGCUAGUAGUAAGGGAGAAGAAAAUCCAGGUGGUCGUGGCGAAUCAAGAAUGGAUCGAGUGUAUGGGGCAAUUUCUAGGACUUACGCUCAUCAUCCAAGAAAUUCCUGUCACUGCAGACUACUACAUCCUACCAAUGGCAGCUUGUCAGGUGGUCUUGGGGGUCCAGUGGUUGGAGACUCUAGGUUCAAUUGAAUCAGACUAUAAGGCUCUCACUAUGUCAUUUAAAUUGGGAGGCGCUAGGCACACUUUCCAUGGGGUAAGAUGCAUUGUUGUAAUUUUUAACAUUAAGGCUUUGGAUGACAGGGAAUGUACAAAUCUACGGGGCACAUGAUUUUUUUUUUCAAAUUAUUCCUGUCCAUAACCAGUCCCCUUCACAUCGACGAUCGCCAGAAAUGGAAGAGUUGUUGAACCAAUAUGCUCGGGUUUUCGAGAAGCCAAACAACCUGCCUUCCAAACGCCAUAUGAUCAUCGAAUUCCACUACUGCCCAACAUCGAACUAGUUAGUGUGAGACCAUACUGAUAUUCCUACUACCAGAAGGUAGAAAUAGAGCGGAUGGUGGUUAAAAUCCUUUGUUCAGGACUAAUUAGACCAAGUACUAGCCCUUUCUCCUCACCAGUGUUGUUGGUCAAAAAGGUAGAUGGAUCUUGGAGGUUUUGUGUCAACUACAGGGCUUUGAAUAGUAUCACCAUCAAGGACAAGUACCCUAUUCCAAUGAUUGAUGAGUUAUUGAAUGAACUCUAUGGGGCCAAGUUCUUCUCUAAAUUGGAUUAAAGAUUAGGAUACCACCAAAUCCGAAUGCAAGCAGAAGAUAUUCUGAAGACUUCCUUUAGGACCCACAAAGGACACUAUGAAUUCGUGGUCAUGCCCUUCGGGCUAACCAAUGCCCUAACAACUUUUCAAGGCCUCACGAACGAUUUUUUUUUGUUCCCAUCUCUGGAAAUUCAUCCUCGUAUUCUUCAACGACAUAUUGGUAUACUCCAAGUCUUGGAAGGAUCAUUUAUUGCAUCUACAGAUUGUUUUUGAUAUACUGUCCAUUAACCAACUAUUUGUCAAAGAAUUAAAAUGUCAAUUUGGAGUUACACAGGUCACCUACCUAGGCCAUAUUAUUAUAGAAAAAAGAAUAUUUGUUGACCCCAAGAAAAUACAAGCAGUAGUCACUUAGCCUAAGCCCACUACAACCAAAGAAGUACGUGGGUUCUUACGCUUAGCAGGGUACUAUAAAAAAUUCAAAAGCCAUUUUGGCAGCAUGGUAGCAUCCUUAACCAAACUCCUGACCAAGGACCAAUUCGAGUGGAGCAGUGAAGCAAAAGACGCCUUCCACAAAUUAAAAGAGGCAUUGACCAAUCCACCAACCUUACGUUUUCCAAACUUCACUCAACGGUUUGUGAUCGAAUGUGAUGCAAGUAGGACCGGGAUAGGGGCAAUUCUUACUCAAUACAACGACCCUGUGGCUUAUUUCAGCGAAACUUUAAAAAGAUCUGCUUUGGCACUAUCCACCUAUGAGAAAGAAAUCACUAUAAGAAAAAACGCUAACCAUGACGCUUUUUAAGUGUCAAGAAAUACAUUCAAUGGCGCUUCCCCAAAGCAUCAUCUACUAGCCUGUCAUAAUAAGUAUUUGCCUACAAUGACGCUUCUAGAAAACGUCAUUGAAAAGAACCUUGACGCGUAAAAAAAGUGUCAUCAUUAGUCAUAUCAAACUACAUUGACACUUUUAUAAGCGUCAUUGUUGAGUAGAAGAAACCUUGACACUUUCUAUAAGUGUCAUUGUUUAGCAGUUUCAAAUAUUAAAGUAUAAGGACACUUCUAGAAAGCGCCAUUAAAGAGAACCUUGACACUAAAAAAAGUGCCAUUGUUAGUUGUUUACACUACCUUGACACAUUUAUUAGUGCCAUUAUUGGGUUGUAUAAAUGUUAUUGAUGGUUACUCUCAUUCCUUGAAACUUAGUCAAAACAUCAAGGAAGAUAAUUGUUUAAUUUUAAAUUUAGUUUUAAUUUAAUAAUUGUUGCACCUAAUUUUUCACCUGCUAUUAAAAUAAUGCAUACACAUAAGAAAAAAAGUAUGUACCAAUGAAAUUAGUUGUUGCACCUAAUUUUUCACCUGGUAAUACAUUCCAAAUUGCAGUAUUUAAUCACAAAUAGAGAACUUGUAUUUCAUAAAUAAGAAACACAAAAAAAAAAAGCUAAAAUAUAUUAAAAAAACAAAAAAAAUUCACAACUUUAAUGUUUAGUCCCUUAACAUAGUCCAUUUUUUCUUUACAUGCAACCCAAUUGUGCUUUGCUUCAACAUACUCCUUCAUACUAGCUUAUCCAACUACAAGGUUAAUUUCCCAAAAAGAUGACCUACAUGCACAAAAAACCUAAAAUCAAUUACAAUUUUAGAAAAUAUAUAUAUAUAUACAAGUGAAUACUUCUAGAAAUAGAGAGAAAGAAAUGACAAUCAAAAUAUAAUAGGAAAACAAAUGUGUAUACCAAUUGAUAUAUGUGACACUAAGAAUAAUUACAACAAAAUUACUAUCAAUAGUUAAAACACAAAGCAAGAGAUUAAUCAAAUAAGGGACAAGAGAACAUCAACAUCAAUAAUCCAUUAAAUCUUUUAGCCCAAAAGAAAAUAGAAAAACAAACCAAGUUUGGGACAAGAGAAUAUCAACAUCAAUAGUCCAUUAAAAUAUUCAAUUAGACAUCAUCUAAUAGUAAUAGGCCUCAUCGAAUGCGCAACAUUGACAAAGAAAGGUUUGGGAAUAUGGUGUAACAUGAAAUAAAUAAGGUUCACACCAUGAUACUUUAUCAACUAAGUUUUUUGUUAAGUUAAAAGAAUUAACAUUUCCCACCAUCUGAGAUGCAUUGCAACAUUGCAUCCAAAAUAGUAGCCAAUUGUAUCAUACUUAUCAUUCAUCUUAUUUAUCACUAUCAAGGCUAGCAACAACUAUAUAAAUUCCACAACCUAAUAAUAAAUAAAUUGGCCUGUAUAAAAAAUGUAGAGAAGAAUAUCUGCAACUUAAUAGAAGAUAAACAUCUUCUAAUGAUGAACACAUAGUAUUCACAAAGCCAUAGGUGUUUACACAUACACAUAAAUAAAUAAAUAAGCAAAUAGUAUUCACAUAAACAUGAAAAAAUCCAAUGAAAAGUAUAGAUGUUUCUUCAAUGGGACUUCAAAGCCAUAGGACAAAUAGUAGACUAUAUCUUCUAUGUAAUUUUAACUGAAAGAAAAAUUGCAAAUAUCCUAUAACACAGUUGAAAUUCCAAGAUUGAUCCACCUACUAAAAUUAGUUAUAUUAUUUAAUAAUAAAAUUUUUUAAAAUAUACUACAUUUAUAGAAAUAUUAAACAAUUUUCCACUUCAUAAAAGUAGUGCAUAAUAUUUAUUAUCAAAAUAAAGGAGAAUAUUUUUUUUUACUUCUAUUAUAGAAAAUAAAGAUUACAUACAAAAGACUUGUCUUCUCAUCAAGUACCAUAUUUAGAUUUGUAAAUAAUCAAUUUUUUUUUAUAUAUAAAGUACCCAAUUAUACUUCCAAAUUCAUGAACAAGUUUGAAUCAUGUUUUCAAGAAAGAAAAAACCUAAAACAAAAAAACAAAAAAAACAACAAAAUAGAAAAGGCAUUGCUUUAUGAAAUAGUUUAGAAGAGUCAAUUCUUUCAAGGAGUACAAGACUCCACUUAAAAUAGCAAUAAUUUUUAAUUUCCAAAAACCCACAUAGGUCUUGACACAGGUUCAGCCAAAUGACAUAACCCAUGGCCAAUGAGAGAGCCCAGUUCAAGCCAUAUUGCAACUUUUUUCACAUGACCACAUGAAAUUUAAAAGCACUCACCUUCCUCAAAAUAACAACAUCAAGAUCGAUUUGCUCUAUUGUUAAUUCUUCAACUUCUAAAACAGCUUUUGGAAUAACUUGGUAAAAAAUUUGACAUAAUCUCUGACUGCACAUACAAUUUUAUUAUUCACUUAUUACAUGCCCAAAUUAACAACAUUAUUUGCAACAUGAAUGAAAAAAGAGAAAGAUGGAAAGGAACAAAGCCCAAAAAGAAACAAUACUAUAAAUCUUUUAAUGUCCUUAAGAAGUGAAAUUAUAUAUUUUAUUCAACAUCCCACACACAGAAAAAAUAAAACUGAAAAUGCAUUACUAAAAUCAAUUAAUCAUGGCAUAACCAAUUUUCUAACAGCCCAAUACAUAUUUAUGAUUCUGCAUUUUUAGAGAGAGAAAACGCAUGGAGUAGAAAGAGGGAAAAGUGUGUACAUUGUCAUUUAGAGAAGAGCAACAACAAAAGAUUCAAAUUUGGAUUAAGAGUAUGUUACCUAAAAAAAUAAAUCAAAUUAAAUACAAUGAGCUAGCACCCUUGUUUUUUUUCCCUCUGCUUCUUCAUUAAUUAUCUUCCAUCAUCCUCAUUGACUAUUGUGUGUCAUUUUGUUGACCUACUUUUUUUUCUCUCAAUAUUUUAGAAUUUAAAAUAACAAAUAAUCUACCUAUAAUGAAAGAAAAAUAAAUUCAUUUUUAUUAAACAAUAUAACACCCUUUAAAUCAUUUUUAUUUCUCAAUAUUUCUAAAAGAUUGUUUCUUGUUAUAAAAGAUUAUUAUGUUUCUUGUACUAAGGAUUAUUACGAAAUUCAUAUUAAUCCAAAGUUAAGAAAAGGAGGAUAACAAUAAUAUAAUGUUUUUACUAUGAGUGUGUAUCAAAAAGUAAUUUAUUAGGAAUCAAAAAGUAGUGUAUGGAAACAAAAUCUGACUACAAGAUGAUUGAAAACUUUUGGGGCAAUAAUUUAUUAGGGAUAGUUCAAGUCCCAUCUCUUACAAAUUAGAACAUUGAAUCAAAAUAUCUUGGAGGAAAUAAAUACAAUCAAAAUUAUCAUGACACAUGAGACAACACUAACAAAAAAUAGAGAGGUUUUGUAUUCAGAGCAGUGCGACACAUUAGACCACAAAAUAAGCAAGCUUUGAAAGUACUUCUCCAUGAAGUUCGUGCUUAUGUAGCCUCCAACAGCUCUCCUCUUCCAUGCCAUUGGUUAACCACCAAACUUUGCUAAAUUCAAAAGCUAAGAUGUGAAAGAAAUUGCUAACAUUCUAAAAAUUCGCCCCAACCUUUAGGAAUUCAACAAUUGGACUUAAAGUUAAAAUUAUUCUCUACAGUGUACUAGCCCACAUCUAAUCCACAGCAAAAUCACAAGAAAUGCCUACAAUAAAUUUGUAAGUAUAAUUGUUUUUUAUUUAUUGACUUAAAUAUACUUAUCAUUUAAAAAUCUAAAAGCAACAAGGUUUCAGUGAUUUUAGAAAAAGUGAAUGUGUUACAAGAAAUAACAAUCCAAAGUUUAAUAUAUAGUAAUUAAAUUUUACUUCUAAUAAUAAUAAAAUUCAUAAUAAUUUUCAUAUUAGAAGAAUUGGAGAUAGUUAAUAAAAAAAAGAAGAAAAGAUAUAGAUUAAGUUGGAUAUAUAAUUAAUAAGAAUAAUCUAUAUAGUUAACACCUUUAAAGCAAUUUAUUUGUGCAUAUACAUUAAUUGAAAUUAAUAUACUUAUAAAAAAGUCAAAUUUAAUUAAUUUCUUGUCUUAAAUUAAGUUAGAUUAAUGAGCAUUUCUUAUGCUGUAAUUUAUCUUUGCUAUUAUUUUGUUAUAUUUGCUUCAUUAUUUUAUGAAUAAAACAUAUAUAGCAUUUUCAUAGCUAAGGUUAUUAAUGUAUAAAAAGAGAAAAAGGGAAACACUUACAUAGCAACACGCUUUCUUUUUCAGUUUCACAUUAAAAAUCUAAUUGUUCACAGUACCCAAGUUUCAUAUGUAUUCCCCCAUCCAAGUUUCAUAUGAUAAAAGAAAAAAGAAAAGAAAAUAUAAAAUUAUAAAUUAUGCAUAUAGAUAAAUACAUCUGAAAACCAUAAACUUAAUUGAAGCAUAUGAAUGUUAUGUAGUUAAUCUAGGAAACUAUAGGAUAAAACAAAAAAAAAAAAAAAAAAAAUAGUUGGAGAAUAUUCAGUCCACCAUGCAAGGCUGCUCGGCAUUCAGGUAUCGUUGGAAUUGUGCUUCAACUAGAAUUUUUAGUUACCUUAUAUUGUCUAUACCACAAAUCAAUCCAAGUCCAAAAUCACCAAUGCUAAUGCACAGAUAUCUCGAUUUUCCAUGCCAUUCGUGCAUGUGAGGAAGUAUUAUUGGUCAUGUUUUUCAUAAAAAUAAAAAAUAAAAAUUCACUUGUUACUGUUUGUCUAUGUGUUUCAAAACCUCAAUCUUUCUUAAUUUCUUUUCACUUCGAUUUAACCUUCUCCCACAUUAUUUAGAGAGGGGAAGUUCCCUAAAAUAGUCCUAUUGCAUGCAAAAAUAGACCAAAAAUGCAUCAUUGAGGAGAAAUAACCUUAUUUGAAGUUAAGUUCAUGAUUGCUAGUGAAUUAUUGGAGAAUUAGACUUAAAAGGUCUCACCUAGAAAGCCUAGUUGAGAUUUUCUGUCAUUGACAUUUUGGCCAUAGAUAACCAACACAUCUCCAAAAUGUACUAUUUCUAUUGAUUAUACACAGUUGGCAAUAGAAGUGAAUAACAAAAUGCCCAACAUGUACCGGCUAGACUACUUGGCAUUAGCAUUGGAAAUAAACAUGGAAUAUAAACAAGAAAAGAAGAAAUAAAAAUAAAUUGAAAAUAAUGAUAUAACACAUAUAGAUACAUAUUUUGGGGUUAAAUGUGACCCAUCUUCAAACAGUGGAGGAGCAGCAAGAAAAGAAAGAAAAAAAAAAAAAAGAGGAAUCUGACGACAAUCAGGAGUGUUGUUGAUCUGCAGAGACAAGUGUUUAAUCUAAUAGUCAAAAAAAUGGUUGCUCUUAAGAAUAGGCUUCUGCUUGCUCCCCAGAAAUUAUUAAAAGUCAUAACAAGAUAAAUUUCAUCUACUUCUCAACAAAACACUAAAGUUGAAUUCUUUUUUCAAAAUAAUAAUAAUAAUAGUCAUGGAGCCUCAAAUACAACCAAAACAGAGGAUUGGGGUUGAAUUGGGAAGAUUGCAAUUCCAAAUUAUAUCUUCCCGAUUUUACUUGGAUUUCUUAAUAAUAAAUGAAAACAUUGACACAAAACCACAAAAGAAUAAAGAAAUGAAAAUGAUAAAUUAAAAGAACCAAGCAAUAGAGACUUUGAUUUCUCGAGUGCGAAAUUGCGAAGGCUGUGACACCAUCAGAAAAAAAAUAAAAAAUUAUAGAAGCUUUACCUUCAGAAAAGGGAUUUACUUGUGCUGAUUAUUUGAAGGAGUUCCCAAUAUCUUGGUGGUGGCAAAUCAGUUAGGGCAUCUCACUACUGGAGAUCAUCUAUGAAAAAGGGUUAGGGCUUCUUCAUUUGAGAUUUCUCCAGUGAUGAAGGUUGUCCGUGGUAGUUGUUUUCUGGUGAAAAAUCAUCACAAUACCCAGUAAACAUAGAGAUUCAACUUACCAAUAAUAUUUAUUGAGGUUAUCGACUUAAUAGUAGAAGGAGCAUUCCAACUGGUAGUUUUUGUCCCCGAUGAGGCUACAGAUGGGUGUCUACUGGUUGCCAUUGAGUUCAUCAGUUGUCUUUGUUAUGGCUGCUGUUGGUAGAUUGCAAGGCUAGGGUUCUUAUCUAUAAUAUCGAUGGUUUGCGAGGUGGGAGAGAUUGGGAAAAUAGAAGUGUAUAUAUAGGCAUAGAGAUAAUGACAUUUAUUACAAGCGUUAAGGUUGGCAAAUUUUACUCUAGCAGACAAUGACACUCCAAAAAAAACAUCUUAUUUAAAGCGCCAAUGAAACCUUUGAAGAAGUGCCAAUAUUUAGGUAAAUUUCGUAAGCGUCAAUAUAUUUAUUCAAGAAGCGUCAUUGUUAGCCAAAUUUCUAUAAGUGCCAUGAUUAAUACAAUUCCUUGACAUUUUUUACCAGCGUCAAGAAAAUGAACGUCAUUGAAUACAUUUUUUGUAGUAGUGAAUGCUGGCAGUUGUCAAGGCAAUAAAAAAGUGAUGUUCCUACUUGUUGGGUAAACCAUUCACAGUUCGCACUAACCACCGGAGCCUUAAAUAUCUACUGGAGCAACGGAUUACCAUUCCCGUACAGACACGAUGGCUGCCCAAAAUCCUUGGGUAUGAUUAUACCAUUGAAUACAAGAAAUGGCCAAAUAAUCAAGUUGCAGACUCUUUAUCUCGUAGAGAAGAAGUCUAUUCCAUCUCAAUUUCUGUUCCAUGUGCAGAAUGGUGGCCAACACUUCAGAGAGAGGUCCUCCAGGACCAUUUUUACACCAACUUGGAGAAUAGGCGUGCUUCACAUAAACUUGUGUAGCGCAACGGGGUUUGGUUCUAUGAUGGGAAGGUUUAUCCGAGCCCUUCAUCCACCCCGCUCUUGUUGAUAUUGGAAGACAACCACUCUUCCCCAACAGGUGGUCACUUUGGGUUUCAUAAGACACUACACCGAAUUGGCAGAAGCUUUGUGUGGCCUAAUAUGUGAUUAAUGGUGAAGAAGUUUCUACAAACUUGUGAGGUGUGCCAACAAUACAAGGCCAAUUGUAUGAAACCAACAGGUCUCCUCCAACCCCUGUCGAUUCCAACUCAAAUAUGGUCAGAUAUUUUGAUGGGCUUCAUUGAAGGGUUGCCCAACUCCAAUGGUCAUUCUGUCACCAUGGUCGUUGUGGAUCGUCUAUCAAAAUAUGCCCACUUCAUCCAUCUUAAGCAUCCUUACAUGACGGUCAUAGUUGCAAAACCGUUUGUCUCUGGUUCAACUCCAUGGCAUUCCUACAUCCAUCGUCAAUAAUAGAGACAAGGUCUUCACAAGCACCUUUUGGUAGACCUUAUUCCAGUUGUAAGGGACUAAAUUGAAUAUGAGCUCCAGCUACCACCCACAAACUGAUGGCCAAAUUGAAGUUGUCAACUGCACCUUGGAGUAGUAUAUGUGGUGUUUUGCAAGACUACAACCGAAGAAAUGGAUAGAAUGGAUUCCAUGGGCAGAGUUUAGUUACAACACCUCCACCCAUUCCUCCACCAAAUUCAGCUCAUUCGAAACAGUUUAUGGGGUGCCUUCCCCAAGCUUCCUUUCUUACAUACCGGGCACAACUCGUGUUAUGGCGGUGGAUGAAUAUCUCCAAGAUCGGGAUGCAAUCUUGAAGGAGUUACGUCACAAUCUUUGGAUGGCACAAGAUAUAAUGAAAAGCCAUACAAACCAACGUGAUGAGAUAUUCAGUUCAAUGUUGGAGACUUCAUUUAUGUGAAGUUGCAGCCUUACUGCCAGACUUCAGUGGCUUUCAAGAAGUCUUUAAAACUUUCUCCUAUUUUUUUUGGCCCAUACCAAAUUAUAGAGAAGGUCGGACCAGUGGCUUAUAGACUAUUUCUUUCCGCCGGGUCCAACAUUCAUGACCUAUUUCACGUCAGCCUCUUAUGCAAGAAUUUGGGGUCAAUCACCCCCACAUCCGCUCAACUCCCACCAGUUUUGGACGCAUCCACACUAUUGCCACAACCGGAGUCCAUCCUAGCUCAGCGCGUGAUUCAUAAAGGGAAGAAUAGACCUAGCACCGAAUUUUUGGUGAAGUGGUUGGGCGCACCAAUUGAAGAUGCCACUUGGGAGAACACGUGGCGAUUCUCCAAAGCAUACUCGAAGUUCCAUCCUUAAGGACAAAGAUGCUUCGAGGAACAGGGAAAGAUAGGAAAUCCCUGCUCCAACUCCUAUUUGCUUGCAGAUCAUAGUUAUGUGGGCAACACCAACUCCUAUUUACUUGCAGAUCACAGUUACGUGGGUAACACCUCAACACCUGGCUUGAAUUUUGAUUUGUUGCUACUUCCCUAGUCUUAGGCCCUAUUUGUGUUUUAGUUGAUGUUUCAGUUGUCUGUGCAUCUAUAAAUGCACCUGCAUGAAGUCAAUAAAGGAUAACAAAAUUCAAAUCUUCUAUCUUCUAUCUCUCCUGUCCUCUCUCAAAUUAAACUCAUCAGCAUGUUGCCAUAGAAGUGGGUAUAAGGAAGCAUAUUUCGAUCAUCCAAGGACAUUGGGUUUGACUUCACCAACAAAGCUCAGAGUUGAUACAACAAACCAUGUAAACUUAAACCUGUUACUUCAUUGAAUGAGUGCCAUAAAAAAUGGUAAAUUUUUAAUGAUAGGAAAAAAAAAACUUAUUAGGCGUUUAUCAUUUCAAAAUUUUCAAAGAUAAUUAUUUUAAAAAUAUUGAGCAAUGUUUCUAAUUCUUCUAAAAUCAAAUCCCAAAUAAACUUCAAAAUUAUGAUAGCAUGUAAAUGACUGUAGAAUAACAUACCAUUAGGAUAUUCUUAAUUUGUGUGAAACAAUAAAAAAAAUAUCACCAUGCACCCAUUUUGACUCAAUUGCUUUGGACAACUCAUGAGUUUUUUUUUUUUUUUUAAAUAAAAAAAACCCUUGUCUUUUAAAAGGAAAAAGAAUCCAUAAGCCUAAGUUUGAACAUCAUAUUAAUGAGAUGAACAAGGUUUUGAAACAUUAAAAUUUUACAAAUUUGUUGAAGUGUGCCCAAACUACCUCUCAUAGGAACAACAGUAGAAUGACAUAAAGAAAACUAGGACUGUUUCACAAAAUCGAAGGAAUAUCUUUGUGGGAAGAGAAUAAAGAGAACAAAGAGGAUGCACAUAUUCAAAAUUUGUGGCUGAGCUAUUUAAACCUUUCAUUGAUACUGGUUGAGCUUCUCUCUGUAUUCGUAGGGUGUGUCCCCUCCUCUUUUGGCACUUUUUAAUGCAUGUUCUUGUUGUCUAUCAAAAAAAAAAUAUAUUGGUUGAUCUUCUUAAGAUUGACUCUUAACAGUUUUUCUCCAUUCUUAAUUUAUAAUCAAAAGACUGGCUGAGCUAUUUCUUUGUUCUUAUUGAGUUUUGAGAUGAACCCACAUGUGUUUGUCACUCAUGGAAGGUGUGCAGAUGACAAACCUUAUGUGCCAGCCUUCUAGGUGUCCUGGGAGAAAACCAAAAAGCUUAGGUAUUCACUUCACUCCGCUGGAGGUGCCUAAAGUAUACUGUAGAAAGCUUGAAGGAGAACCAGCUCAUCAGCUUAUGAGUCAAUUAUUUGGCUGUCAUUCAAACAAAUCACUAAUUAAUAAUGUACCCAAAAUACUAUCAUUGUUAUGAAAUAAAUUUGUGGCUAGGAUAGGCUGAUAGGUGCUAGAAAGAGACUGCUUGGGAAGAAUACCAAUCAGCAUUAGUAAGGCAUCUAUUGGAAAAAGACAUGACUUCAAACUCUUUUUUUAAUAAUUUCCAAUAAACAAAGAUGAGUUUUAUGUUUGUUGAAAUACUCAAACCUCCAAGCUUGUGAUAUAAAAUCAAAACACAAAUUCAAAAACUAAUUUGCAUGGGAAUUCAAGUAAUUAGAACAGAGCAUUAGCACCAGUUUGUGACAGCAAUUUUGCAUAGACUCUUUCUAAUGAGAGUUUGUAGGGGACAUGACCAUAUGUUCUUCACAAAAUUUGAUCUUAAGAUUCUUCUCCAAUCAAACUUCUCAGACAAAGGAUGGCUUUCAAUUCAUUGUUAAUCAACAUGAUCAUUUGAAGAUGUAGCAAGGUAUCUACUUACUUCAACCAAAUCACCAACUCUAAAGAAUAAAGGGAAAAGAACUUAUUUACUCUCCUUCCUUUAACCUUUUUCUUUGUCCCAUUCACAACAAUGGUAUUUUGCUUACACAAGUCACUUGAUUUUGCGCACACAACAUUUCAGUUGAAUUACCAACGAAUAAAGGAAGAUUGGAGAGGCUUUAACGCCCUUCUUUGGAAUAAAACUAUUCUUUGUUAAAUAUUCCAAUUUCUUUUCCCUGGGUUUGUGAGACCCACUUUUUGAUUUCCCCAUAAUAACUAUGAGAAUCCAAGGUCUGUAACCAGUUUCAGACCAAUUUCUUUUGUUUUUCUUGUUUCUACUUGAGAUUCUCCCUCUCUUUCCUUACAAAGAAACCAUGGAAGUUGUUGCAGAGGUUGUUCUCCUUGUUUCCCUUGAAGUGUUGUUUAGAAAAUUGGCCUCUUCUGAUGUCCUCAAGUUUGCACCCCAAGAGCAUGUCUAGACCCAACUCAAAAAAUGGGAGAAAAAAUUGUUAGAGAUUAAUGAAGUGUUGAAUGAUGCAGAGGAGAAGCAGAUCACCAAGCAGUCCGUGAAAGCAUGGUUGGGUGAUCUCAGGGAUUUGGCUUAUGAUAUGGAGAAAAUCUUGGACGAAUUCUCCUAUGAAGCUUUACGAAAAAAGUUGAUAGUUGAAGGCAAUAGGAGCAAGGUACGCAAGUUCAUCCCUAUUAAGGCUAUGCGUAAUGUUAUGAUGGGGUCCAAGAUUAAGGACAUCACUACUCGAUUAGAAGCUAUUUAUGCCCAAAAGGCUGAGCCUGGUUUGGACAAGGUGGCUGAUAUAACCCAGUCUACUUGGGAAAGGCCACUCACUACAUCACUGGUAUACGAACCUUGGGUUUAUGGCAGGGAUGUUGAUAAACAGAUUAUCAUUGAUAUGCUGCCUAGGGAUGAACCCAUUCAAACCAAUGUUUCUGUAAUUUCCAUUGUGGCCAUGGGUGGUAUGGGCAAGACCACAUUAGCAAGGUUGGUGUACGAUGAUGCUGAGACAACCAAGCAUUUUAACGUAAAAGCCUGGGCUUCUGUAUCAGAUUAGUUUGAUGUAGUGAGAAUAACCAAGACAAUCCUCAGAUCAGUCACUUGUUCAAGUGAUGAUUUGCUAGACUUCAAUCAAAUUCAAGAUAGAUUGAAAGAGGAACUGAAGGGGAAAAAAUUUCUUUUGGUUAUAGAUGAUAUAUGGAACGAGAAUUAUGAUGAUUGAAAUUGCUUGCGGUCCCCUUUAUGGUCAGAAGCACCAUGAAGCAAAAUCAUAAUUACUACACGGAGUAAAAAUGUUGCAAAUAUGAUGGGAGGAAAUAAAAACUUUUAUGAGCUAAAACAUUUGUCUGAUGAUGAUUGUUGGUUGGUGUUUCAGAAACAUGCUUUUGAAAAUAGAAAUAUCAAUGAGCAUCCAAAUUUGGCAUUGAUUGGUAGGGAAAUUGUAAAGAUGUGUGGAGGCUUGCCUUCGGCAGCAAAAGCACUUAGAGGUCUUCUACGCCAUGAAGAAAGAGAAGAUAAGUGGAAUAUUAUACUGACUAGCAAAAUAUGGAAUUUUCCAGGUGAUAAAUGUGGUAUUCUUCCAGCAUUAAGAUUAAGUUAUAAUCAUCUCCCUUAUCCUCUCAAGAGAUGUUACAAUUACUGUGCGAUAUUUCCGAAAGACUGAAUUUGACAAGAGAGAACUAAUUCACUUAUGGAUGGCAGAGAGUCUAAUUCAACAAUCAGAAUGUUAUGAGAAACAAAUUGAAAUUGAAGAUUUAGGCCAUGACUACUUUCAAGAAUUGUUAUCUCCAUCAUUUUUUCAACCAUCAAGUAGAUUUGUUGCUGGAGAAAUAUGUUUUUCUUUGGAAGAGACUUUGGAAGAAAAUCAAAACAAACUAUUUCUAAAAAGGUUUGUCAUUCAUCAUUAAUUUGUAGUGAACAUGAUGUCUUCAAAAAAUUUGAGGUCUUUCACAAGAUGGAGUAUUUACAUACAUUUAUCCCAUUACCAAUUGAUGUAUCAUGGGGUAGUUAUUGGUUAAACAAUAAGGUACUUAAGGAAGUAAUGCCCAAGCUAAGACAUCUAAGGGUGCUUUUGUUGAGAGGUUACAAAAUAAGAGAGAUACCAACUUCAAUUGGUGAUUCGAAAUAUCUUAGGUAUCUUAAUUUAUCCCGAGCCAGAGUUGAAUGGUUACCUAAAUCAAUAGGUAACUUUUAUAACUUAGAGACAUUAGUAUUAUCAAAUUGUGAGAGGCUUAUUAGAUUGCCUUUGAGCACUGAGAACCUAAAUAAUCUUCAACACCUUGAUGUAACUGAUACAUAUCUAGAAGAAAUGCCUCCACCAAUUUGCAAAUUAAAAAGCUUAGAAGUAUUGUCUAAUUUUAUUGUGGGUAAAGACAAUGGUCUGAAUGUAAAGGAGUUAAGGAAUAUGCCCCAUCUUCAAUGGGGACUUUGCAUUUCAAAGUUGGAAAAUGUAGCAAAUGUUCAAGAUGCAAGGAAUACUAGUCUAAACAAGAAGCUCAAGCUUGAAGAAUUGAUGAUAGAGUGGAAUGCUGGAUUAGAUGAUUCACACAAUGCAAGGAAUCAAAUAAAUGUACUUGACUCUUUACAACCACACUUCAAUUUGAACAAACUAAAAAUUGAGUAUUAUAGUGGUCUAGAAUUACCCUGUUGGAUAGGAGAUGUUUCAUUCUCUUAGAUGAUGGAUAUAAAUCUAGUGAAUUGCAAAAAUUGCACAUCUUUGUCGUGUUUGGGGUGGUAACCCAUGCUUAAACACUUAGGGAUUGAAGGAUUGGAUGAAAUAAAAAUGGUGGGUAGAGAGUUUUAUGGAGAAACUUGUCUUCCCAAUAAGCCAUUCCCGUCCUUGGAGUCUCUAUGUUUUUUGAAUAUGCCACAAUGAGAAGAUUGGGAAAGUCCAUUUUUAUCAGAGCCAUAUCCUCGUCUCCUUUACCUUUCAAUCCGAAACUGCCUCAAAUUAAUUAAGAAAUUACCCACUUACCUACCUUCCCUGGUACAUCUCUUUCUGAAUUAGGGAUACAAGAUUGCAAUGAGGCGGUACUAAGAAGUAGAUUGGAAUUGCCUUCACUCACCAAGUUAAGAAUUCAUUCUAUGCUAGGACACCAAAUUACAUGAUUGUCGGGGCUUCAAGUUUUAGAAAUUUAUAAGCAUGAUGAAUUGACGUGUUUGUGGGAAAAUGGAUUUGAUGGUAUUUAACCAUUGCAAACUAGCAGCUGUCUCGAGCUUGUAUCUUUGGGAGAGACAGAAAAGCACGAACUGCCUAACAAGCUUCAAUCUUUGCAAAUAGAGUGGUGUAUUAACCUAGAGAAGCUUCCAAAUGAACUGCACAGGCUAACAUGCCUUGGAGAGUUGACAAUCGGUGGUUGUCCAAAGCUAGUGUCAUUUCCAAAUUUGGGUUUCCCGCCAAUGCUUAGACAUCUUGAUAUAUUUUAUUGUGAAGGUUUAAGAUGUCUACCUGAUUAGAUGAUGCUGAUGAAGGAUGGUAGCAAUAAUAGUAGCGACAUGUGUCUCCUUGAAUACAUGAAAAUAAAAAAGUGUCUAUCUCUCAUUUGCUUUCUAGAAGGGCAGUUACCCACCACCCUUAAGCAACUACACAUAUCCGAUUGUGAGAAUCUAAAGUCUCUCACGGAAGGAAUGAUGCACCGCAAUUCCAUUGGCAUAAACAACUUGGAAUACUUAAGCAUACGAAUAUGUCCAUCUCUCAUUGGUUUUCCAGAAGGUGAGUUACCCACCACACUCAAGGAACUCAAGAUAUAGAGGUGUGAAAAACUAGGGUCUCUACCAGGGGGAAUGAUGCACCAUGAUUCCAACACCACCAUCGCCACCAGUGGUGAUGUUCAUGUCUUGAACAUUUGGGAAUGUCCAUCUCUCAUAUUCUUCCCCAUAAGCAAGUUUCCUUCCACCCUUAAGAAACUUGAGAUUAGGGAUUGUGCACGACUGGAGUCGAUUUCAGAGAAGAUGUUUCACUUCAAUAAUAGUUCACUAGAAUGUUUGGUGAUCUCGAGGUAUCCAUAUCUCAAAAUCAUACCAGAUUGCCUUCACAAACUCAGAGAAUUGGAUAUUUAUAAUUGUGAGAAUGUGGAGCUGCUACCUCAUCAGCUGCAAAACCUCACUGCUCUUACAUCACUUACUAUUUCUCAUUGUGAGAAUAUCAAGACGUCUCUAUUCCAAUGGGGCCUUGCCACACUUACCUCUCUUAAACACCUCACCAUUGCUCGCAUAUUUCCACAAGUUGCCUCCUUUUCAGAAGGUCAAAGACUACCACUUCUUCCUACAAACCUCAUUUAUAUUUCCAUUAAAGAUUUCCAGAAUCUGAAAUCCCUGUCCUCCCUAGCUCUCCAAAUCCUCACCUCACUUGAAAAGCUAUGGAUCCAAUGCUGCCCUAAGCUUCAAUCAUUUUGCCCAAGGGAAGGGCUGCCUGACACCCUUUCACAACUAUAUAUCAGAGACUGCCCACUCCUAAAACAAAGGUGCUAAAAAAGGAGAGGACAAGAUUGGCCCAAAAUCGCCCACAUCCCCUAUGUGAAAAUAGAUAAUGAAAGUCAUCUUUGAUCAAUAGCAAGUUAAGAGAUUGCAGAACAUAGCAGAACAUAGAAGCAAACACCAUUCACCCAUCUCCCAUCUUCACAUUAAACAAGGUAUGCCUAUUUUUUCUCUUUCAAUUUCUCAUAUACAUUAUACUAGUUUCCCCUAUUAAUUAUCUGUAAGUUUCUUACUCAAAUUUUUGUUGAAAAUUUACCAGGAAGUGGCUUUUGAAAUGGCUCAGGAUUGAUAUUUUCUCUUCAAUCUGCCACAAUUCUAUGUAAGCACCAAUGUUUUUGUCUCUCCAAAUUCUAUUAUCAAAAUUUUAUCCAUAAACUCCAUUCUUAUGUAGUUCUCAGUUUUCCUUUUCCUUUGUUCUUUUUAGUUCUUUGUGAGCAUUGAAGUUGAUGAUGUGAUACUUACAACUAUAAAAGGAAAAGAGAGGAUUUAUUCCAUUUAAGAACACGUGGAAUAUUUGGCAAUGGCUACUGAUUAGCAGUGUCUUCUUCAGUUCCUCGUGAGUAUCAUCAAUUGUACUAUUCAAUUACAUUUUUUUAAUAUAAUUUUCUGAUUUCCAGACUAGAGUGCAUGGUGACAUAAACAGAACUAGAAAGAAAUGCAAUUUAUCAAAAUUAAAUAGUUUUGCUAACUAAAUGACAUUAUCAAUUCCCUUGUGCAGCCAUGACGUUUAAGUUGAACAUAUUAGAUGUCAUGUUAGAUACUAUCCAAUGUUUUGUCAUCUGGAUAUCAAUUUUUUACAUUUAUGAUUUAGGUUCUCAAAGAGGAUGGAACUUGGGUAUUAUAUCAAAGACUUCAAAGUAUGGAGUGAAUGCAGCCAAUUCUAGUUGUCCCUUGUUGUUCCUUUUUUUACUAUAUUUGAGUGUGAACUGGAGACAAAGAAUAACCCAACAAGACUAUGGUGAGUGACUCUCGAUUAUGUAUUUUGUUUAUUUAUAUUUAUAUUUCUAUUUUAAUGACUAUUUUUCUCGAGUUUUCUUCUUGUCCACGGGAUGCUCAUUCCCAACAUGCAAUUUUUCCUCUUUCUCUCCUUAAUACUACUUUCUAUUUCUCACACAUAUAUUAUUGCAAUUUGUUGCCAUUUUACUUGGCUACUUGUGAACAGUAAUAAUAAGUCCUAUAGUUUUAUGUACUAAAUUGUUUACAUUGAUGAUGCAGGUGUCAAAAGGAUGGGUCCAAAGAUCACAAGAGGUAAAUGUGGUAUUUUUAUUGUGUUGGCAGACUAGAAUUUUCCUCCUAUAUCAAAGCCUUAAAAAACAUAGAGUGAAUGUUUCAAGGAUCACUGGCACUUUAUUACUAAAUUUUAGUGCAACAAAAAGAUGAUAAAGUACAACCUAGCAAGAAUGUGGUGCAUGACUUUAAUUUAUAUAGUUGAUCUAUAUAUUUUUGUAUUCUAAGGACCAUCUUCUUAAAAUUUUCUUCUUUUAUGACUUGUGAUAGAUUUUUUAGUGCUUUAGAGAGGUUCACAGAAUCAAGAUUUAAUUUGCAUCUUUAAUCAACAAAAGCUUUUUUUCCUGCCAUCUUGGGGAAGCUGCUUAUAGAAUAAGGUUGCAUGGUCUUAUGUAUCAUUCAAAAGUUGAGAACCAUCCGGUGCCUGAAACUCUUGUCUUUCACAAGAACCGGUUUCAUAAUAGCCUAAUUAAUCUCGUCUUUAUGACUGGUUGGAGAUAUCAUUUGAUUUCUGAAAAAAUGUAAGCUACUAUCAUAUUUACAUACGCCUAGUUAUACAUAUGUGAGCUAAAAAAAAAUGGCUUUGCUUGUAGUUCCUCAAGUUUUUAAUUUGAUAAAAUCGUGUCUCUUCUUUUGAAUUUUGUAGGUCUUAUAGGUGCAUGUCCCGAGUGCCAUAGUAUAAGUAUUUUUCUUCUUGUUGAAUGGAAUUUGGGUUUUAUAUUUGGAGGCUCAAAGUUUAGUGAAUGUGGCAAAUGCCUGUUGUCACUUGUUAUUUUUGUUUCUAUUGUUGAUGUUGAGAGUGUAGAAUGAGGAUAAACAACAACAUAGCAAGAUCAUGGUAUGUUACAAAUUUUAUUUUACAUUUUUAUUGGUUUUUUUAGAUUCCUAUUUUUAUUGACUUUUUUUUUUUCCUUUAAAUUUUCUAUGUUUGUGACUUGAGUUGUUCCCUAAGCACUUGCUACAAAGAGGAUUUUGGCACUGAAAUUAUCCUUAGACAUUGCUUAGUUCAACUGUCUUCAGUAGACAUGAACCUUUUUUUUGUGCUAACUUGGAAAAGUUGCUAAUAAGACUGAAAAGUCACACAUCUCUUAGAGAGUUGAGAAUCACACAUUUCUUUGGGUUCUUUCUGAGGAUUGGUUUGCCAUCCAUGACAUGAAGUCUUGUGCUCAGUUGUUGUGAUGGUUUGAAAUUGCUCUCUGAUGGAACUAUGACCUAUAUAAACAACUGCUUCUAUUUGUUUUACAUUGAUGAAUUGCUUAUCUUUGUGCAUUAUUUUGCGGAAAGGAUUUUUAUGAGCACUACCUUUUUUUUUUAUAUAUAUAUUUCGUUUUAUAUUGAUGCAUUUCAUAUUACUCCUUUUAGGUGGAUGCGCAAUGCUAAUCUAGCUUUCCCCCUUUUGGAUGUCCUUUUAACCAUGGUUAGGAUUCAUUAAAAAUGACUUUAAUCAUACCUAUAAUUUUUUUUAAGGUCAGUUAUAACUUAUACAAAUUAACCUUAUUAUGUAACUCGAAAUGCUUAUUUUUAAACCAAUAUAUUUCUACUGGCAAUUUAUGUGUUUUUCACUACAUUUUUUCCCAACAAUGAGGAAGAGAGACAAUUUUCUUGGUAGCAUACUAUGAUUCACAGAGUAUAAACUCUUGCAGAUUGAAAGAGAGACAAUUUACAUAUCAUUCAACAGUGAUCGGUAAGCAUUCUUAUAUGUUUACAACUUCUUCAUUUGUAUGGUUUGCCUUUUAUGGCAUUUACUCUCUUGUUACUCACAUAAAAAAAAAAUACCUAAUUUACCUUUCAAAUAUAAAAUGCAGUUAUGCAGGAAGGCCACAAAUUGAAUAUGAUAAAAUGGGAAAUGUGUUUCGAGACAAUUUUAUGUUCUUGCAUUAUAAGGUUUAGUAAUUGUAUUUAGUUUUAUAAUAAACAACCAUCUAUUGACUUUGGAUUUGGAAUUUAACGCUAAUGAGUGUUUACUUAUUUUUAAUACCUUUUUUAGGAAUCUAGUUAAUGAGAUUUUGCCGACAAAAAACCAGAGGUUUGUUAACUCUCCUACUAUUAGAGACUAGUUCUCUUGCAUAAAUUUCAAGCAAAAUUAUAACCCUCUUCAUUGAUAGUCUUUUAUAUUGGAAUUAAACAUAUUGGUGUCUUUGAAUUAUUUAAAUAUUGGAAACCAAUUAAGAAGUCAUGCAAUGGCAAUGUGAAUCUUGAUAUACAUACAAAUAAGAUCCAUUAUGUUAUUUUUCUUGCUAAAGAAUCAAAACAGAUGCUUUUGAUUUGGACUGUUUCAGACUUCAUAUCUUUUGUUUCACUUAUGAUACUGCCAUCAGUUUGUGAAUUGGGAAUGUCAUUAAGAACUUUGGAGCUUAACCAUCUGGCCUUUUUCAGUUCCUUAAAGAUUGGUAAUAAUGCAAGGAUCAAUUCUUUUCUCAAAGUGGCUUAUGGUCGCAUUGGCAGAUGUGAAAUUAUCAGUGACUGUUCAUUGUAAAGAAAUCUUGUUACUGUGGCAGGAGAAUAGAUUGCAACAUAAUCUCAAAAUUUUGGGGGACUUUGGUAUCAACACCUUUCUGGAACUCAGAUUUCUAAAUGAAAUAAUGCAAGACAUCAACACAUUCUCAGAACUCUUUAAGCUUUCCAAAUGUGAUGUUGGUGUCUUAAUGAGAGGCUAACUUUCUUCAAUGUUGCUAAAAUUGUUGUCCAUAUAUCCUAUAUGGGAGUCCACCCAUGGACAAGAAAUGCAUGUUGGUCUAUCUUCGACUUUCACUAUUUCACACCCUAUUGCCUGAAGUUGCAUUACCUGCCAUAAUUAAACAUUUUUUUAUUUAUCAUUAUGACAAACUCUUGAAUUACCCUCCUCAAGCAUCUGGCCUCACCUCAGGCUUUUGGAAUUAUCUAGUUGAUCACCAGACAACCUUCCAACUACCCUAAGGACUUGGUACAAAGUAGACUCAAUGCAAGUGAUUCAGAGUUACCCCUACCUAAUCCAUCUCGAUGUGUUUGGUAAAAUGAGGUCCAUCAGAUUUUAUGGCCAUUAUCUCAUGGUAGUGGAUGUUUUGAACCAGAGUCUAAAACGAAGUCAUCACUGCAGGUUAUGGCCAUUAUCCCAUUGCAACAGAUGUUUUGCACUAGAGUUUAAAACCAAGUCAUUGAUAAAGUCCAUAGUGAUGUCAUUGAUUUUAUUCUAAACCCAUCAAAAACAAUAUGAGAUUCACUUUGAUUUCAAGUUAUGCAAGAUCUAUAUGAGCUCAAAUGUUUUGAGACUUGAUUGAUGAAUAUCAUGUGUGGACUCGCAUUUUUCACAUGCAUCCCCACUCAAUCGACGAGACUCGCUUUUAUUUGUGAAAAAUUACUUUUGGAAAAGUCGAAGUCGCCACUUAUUUUAUUUUAUUUUAAAGGGAAAAUAAAACAAGAAAUAAAACCCUAAAAAAAUGACUCCAUAGUUUUUGGAAAAGAGCGUUUUUGAAAAACCCGAGUCUAGGUUCGGGGAUCAGGUUACCCAUUAGGAAAGUACCUCUAAAAGGUAGCACCCCUCUAGGCCUUAUAAAGGUCUCUACUGACUAAGUUGAGGAAGAUGAGGCAAUUAAUUGAUUAAUUGAAGAUACCUAGGUAGACUAAGGUGAUUUCAAAAAAUAGCAUGCCAAACAAGAAAGUCUGACCAUAAGAGAGAGUCAAAGUGCAUACCUGAACGGCUUCUCAAGCGCCAUAAAAAAGCAUCAAAGGUUAGUUUGAAAAUAUGACACAUAACAUACAUUUUUAUCAAAGACGAUCAAACAAUCAAAUAAAUAUCAAGACAAUCAAGCAUGACACCAAACAAAGGCAUGGUACACAGAGACAUGGAUAUUCAUGGAAUUUUGAAAAUGGGAUGAUGAAGAACGUACGUGGACAAUGAGUUGAGCGCUAAAGUGAGGAACAAGGUUAGCUCAAUAAUAGAUGUAAAAUAAUCUCAUGUACCAUAAAAAAGGAGGCACAAUCGAUCAUAUAUCAAGCAAACAAUAUCGAAGAGAAUAUCAUGAAUGUUGGGCCCCCACCAAAGCCUUAAUUAAUUUUGCAUGAAUUGGUUCAGUGAAUUCCGUUGCUUGGAAUCAUGAAGUUUCUUCAUGCUUACUUAAAAAUGAAAAUCAAGAAAAUCAUUUGAAAACAGUGAAAAUGCAUACCAGAGGAAAACUUGGCAGCAACGAGUUUGUUAAAAUCUAGAUCUUACUGCUUAAGGAAGGACUGAGGACGAUUCUUUAAAGUAAGAAUUAUUUGGAUGAAAAUGAUUUUGAGAACACAAUUUAAAAUACGUAAAAACACGAGGAUAACAAGAGGGUGCAAGAGGAAGAGGGUAAUGUGCACCAGAAUGGUCGUGCUAGAGUGGGGCUUGGGGGUCUAGCUAUGACUACGUGUCUGGUGAUUGUAGGUGCUGCUAUUAUUCUCUCUAAAUUUUUCCAUUCCUACUCUCUUGCACGCAUUCAAAUACCUUACAUCACUGCAUUUUAGAGCCUUUUCUAAUUCCUUGAAAUCUCCUACAUUCGAACUUACUUCCAAGAGCUUUGGCAUUAAUUCCUCGUAUGAAUCUCUGAAAUUUGCUGAGAAAUUUGUUCUUUUUGGACUUCCAUUUCUGAUAGUUGAAGAACUGAAGGCUGAAGAAUCAUAUCCAAUUGGAUUCAGCUUGAGAGGGUAACCAUAGGUCGUGGUCAAAAAUGAAGUUGAUUUCCUUUUCCUCAGACCUUUCUGUAUGUCCAUGUUCAUCUGUUAGCAGCAUGACUUCCUCCUUAGGCUUGUGGUGCAGGGAAUUGCCUAAGUCCUCUACAUGCAAUUGAGCCAUCAGCGAGCUGUUAAUUUUUCAGCUCAUGAUAUAAGUGAACGUUAAACUAUUGAAGAUAUACUAGUCCUUCCACGUCAACACAUCGAUCCGCUUGAAGUCGCCCAAUUUCUUUGGCAAAUCUCCAUUUUUUUUAUGUCUCAAACUAUAAUUCAGUUUCUUUACUUCUUCUACCUCAGAACAAAACUUACAAAUCAGAAUUCUCCAACUGCAAUUUUAUAUUAGGAUUCUUCAACUUUCCUACUUUGUUCUCUGAAUCAAGUUUGGACAUCACCACCUGUUUCAAUUUUUGGAGACCAAUUUCAGAUCCAAAGGUAGGGCUUUCUAUCCCUCUUGUAAUUGAGAGUGCAAAUUCUGCAGAUUCUACAAUUCUCCUAGCAUCUGCUUCUGGUUUUCCUCAAGCUCCUGGACAAGGGUUUCAUAGUAACACUCCAUCUGGUCCAUUUUUCUUGCAAGGCUUUCCCAUUCAGCUUUAGACCCAUCAAACUCUCUCUUUGAAGUUCAAAGAAUUUGUCUUUUAUUGUAUUGGUAGCAUCUAGAGAAUCAGGUACAAUAGAAACUAGGCCAGAUACACUAAACAAUGAAGAAAAUCUUUAGGUUGAUAUAAUUCAGCAUCAAACCCAAUUCCUGAUACAAAUUGUUGUCUUUCUCUCAUCUCCUUUAUGUUUGCAGUUUCUGAUGGUAAGGCAUUGAACAUAGAAAUUGCUUGUCCAAUUCUUUGUUUGAGGUCCUUAGUUUGAAACUCUCGUCUUUUCCUCCAUAUUUAAAAGUCCUUUUAGCAAUCUCAGCUGUGAAUCUUCAAAUCUAUGAUCCUAAUCUGUCCGGAUAAUUUCCUUCCUAGCGAAUUCGGGAAUUGACUUAGAAUUUCUAAGAUGUUCAAGGUCCUCCUUGAGUUUUGAACACUCUAAUUUCAGUACAGAAACCUCUUCUACAAAACCUCUCCUGAAGCAAUCUCAACAAGAAGUUGUUCAGCGAACUUUUGUGUUUCAACACCUAUUUCAUCAACAUGACUUUAUAGAGAGCUUACCUCCAGCUUAAGCUCAAUAAUAGAAGACUCUACAACUUCCGAGCUUCUUCUAAUCCUAUUAUUCUCUUCAUAAGCAAUUGCCCAGUCAUUAUUCGCAGAAUAAUCUGGACUCCAUCCAUGGACCCAAUCAUUGCUUCCCUGUGCCAAAAACCUCUGAUCUGAUGGGUCCCCUUUCUCCGUCUGAGGGCUUUGAAUGUAGGAAAGUCCAUUUAAAUCACCAGAGAUUAUGCUUUUAAGGCUAUCGAUUUCAUGUGUGCUGGAGGUAUCAUGCUGUUCAGCACAUAAACUUUCUGAUGUAUUCAAUGAGCCAUCAAAUCCAAUAGUUGAGUCAAAAUAUUCAUCAUUUAAUCCUCCAUCUUCUUCGAGUGAAGGAAGCUCCGUUAAUUCUGGUUUGAAUCUAACCCUUGCACUGAUUUUAUCCAUGUGUUCAUUGACAGUUUCUUUGGAUGAUAAUGCCUCUCCUCCAUUAGAUCCAUCACGCUUAUUUUGUCUAGUGUUCAUCUGCAACCCUCUCUCUCUCAGUUUCAUCUGCUGCUCAAACUCUCUGAACCCGUUUUUAGAAGUUAACAUCUUCACAAUAACAUGUAAUACAGAUUCAGAAUUGCAUCCAUGAAGAGGCAGUGCAACAAUAUAAGGCUUUAGAGCAAUGGAAUAAUCAGCAAGGAUGAUAUUAGCCUCACCCAGGAUAUUAGACCGUGAAGAACCUAUUGCGACAAUAACUUUAUAGAGCUUCUCAUCGUACUGAUUGGUUAGUCUUGUUUGGAAGUUGAGCGUUCACAUCAACUUUCAUACGUCAAAGGAGGUAUGGCAUACUCAAGUCACGUAGGACUACUGCACACCUGUAAACGGUGGAUACUUGUAAUGGAGAAGCAUUGCCAUAGCCACCAACAAAUAUAGGAACUGCAAAUUCUGCUUCAAAUAUAUGCAACACUCUCAACUUCCCAGGGAAUAUAAAAUCGAACAAAGACCACAGCUCAGCCAACUUAUUCUGAAUUGACGCACCAGUCGUUAUUAUACGAUGAACAGUCUGUAACUGUUUAUGGAGUAUGGUAACUUCAGCAUUUGAAUUCCGAAUUCGGUGUUCUUCAUCUAAAAUUGCAUAACCCCGUUUGAUAUCAAGUAGCUUUCCAGCUUGCAACCGGAUUGGCUCAUAAGUAGUGAUAAGUAAUCUACUCUGUGACCUCAAAACACGGUUUAUACUUGGUUUAUACAUAUUACUGAAAUGCAAUGCUCCAAGAAAAGACAAUACAUGGAUAGUCUUGCCAAGUCCCAUCUCAUCUCCAAUAAUUCCACCUACUUGUUGGCAAUGCAGUUCCCACAGCCACUGAACCUCCACCUUUUGAUAAUAAAAAAGUUUGCUGAAAAUGCUUUCAGGUAUUCUCAGACCACCUUCAAGUGUUACAUAAGGGGGGUUCAAUAUCAUCUAUAUCUUCAAUAUCUUUUUGGUUUACUUCUUCAUUAUUGGAGGUCACUAAGUUGUCAGUUGUAUCUUUCAUCAUGAUCUGUCUCCUCAAAUUCUAAGAUUAAAGCACCUGUAGAAAUAUUCUAAGCUAUGUCUAUGCUGGAAGAUAGACAAGAUUGCCUCUUAACUUCACUUCGAACAAUUGGAAUUUUUGAACCCUUACGAUUUGGAUGGCAAGGUGGCUCUGAAGGGGGCCAAUUUCUAAUCAGACUGCACAGCCUUCGAAUCGCAGUUUUUGCUUUAAGAAGUGGAACAGAUUCACCAAGAGAUGCAAGGCUUUGAUCCAGUUUUAAUGUAGAAUUUUUAGAACCAGUCAUUGUCAAACUACUCACUAUACAUUCUGAUUCAAACAAAAUCCUUUCUAUCAAAUGAGUUUCAUUCCAUCGCCUACCUCAAUCCUUUUUUAAUUUUGAACAUGAGAGAAAGAGAGCAUUAUAAAUUUUGUUUUGAUUUUCCAUUUCAAAUAGCAUUUACCUCAGCUUUUGGAGAAUAGUUUCAUCAUCUGGCCUAACCAUUUGCAAUGCUUCUGGAAAUUCUUACAGCCUGCAUUAUCUUGAUCACUUGGUUUGUUGUGAAAACUGCUUGUUUCUAUGAGAUGAGCAAAUAUUGAUUCUGCACUCUGCGUAUAGGUGGCUACCAGAAACUCCACUCUUUCAUCACAAACUGAGUCUUAAUUAUGGGCUAAGUUAUAUUGAAGCAUUAGAAAUCCUCCACUUAAAAUAUUUGAGCAUUCCAGAACCUCUUGGCAGAGUAUCAUCCAGAACUAUGGGAAACAAAGGCGAAAUGCUUGGCUGGAUUUAGGGCAAUGUAAUCCUCCAGUAGUGUAGUGAUUUCGAUGUGUUCCUGGCUGAUUUCAAAAGCAUUCUGUUAUUCUUUGAGGUUCUUAUAGCUGUUUGAACAUGAUGUGCUGUUGUUCCGACUGAAAAUCGUUAAACCUAGAUGGUUGUCUCGGACGAGGUUAUGGCAUAACUCGUUGUUGGGACUUGAUGAAAUGCUGCUGCACACCAAAGAAAGUUGAAAUUAGGAGUUUCAACAGUUUCAGACCUUUCUGAAUUUGUUGUCAGAGUAGGACUAUCCUCAGAAGCACUCUUUUGCUUGUUUGCAGAUUCUUGUGCCCAAAUAUAAGGUCAUUUGAAUUCAAUUAUUGGUAUCUACUGUAACUCUUUGAGAACUGAGGCCUCAGAAUUACAUGUGCAUGGUUUUGAUCAAAUGACACUCGCAAAGACUCACCACCAUGUCCUAUCAUAGAAUCUAAUUGUUGUACAUUGAGAUUAUUCAAAUUGAAAUUUAUAGCUUCUGCAAUCUGCCUCUAUUUUCCAACCCACUGAUUAUAAUUUAUAGGCCAACUCUCACCAACAGCUUGAGAUUGAAGGUGGCCCUGGGAAGAAUUGUCAUGCUCAAAGGAAUUGCAAAUCCUGUCUUCGACUUCGUUACUAGGCACAGAUAAUAAAGCCAAAAAAAAAUUAGCUAGUUCUUCUUUUCCGUGAAUAGGGACUGUUAAAUAAUGUAGUUAGUUAUACUCAGCUGUAGGUAAUGUUAAUUUGUGUUAGGAUCUGCCACGUGUAUGGUUGUUUUUUCCUUUCCUUCACUAUAUAAAUGUAUCCCAGGCUCAUUUUGCAUUGAGUUGGAAUUCUGUAACAUUCUCUAUUUUCCUUUUUUCUCCAGUCUCUCUUUUCUCUCUGUUUUCUCUUUUCUUCUUGCCUGCAUUUCAUCUUGGUAUCAGAGCCAAAAAUGUCCAACACUACUUCCUCUCCGACAACCCUAACUGCAAAUCCCCAAAAUAUUAACCCAACUCCAAUCUCCAGUCCGAACAUUACCCAAACCAAUUACCCAUCUCUUUCUUAGCCUCUAACUAUCAAACUAGAUGAAACGAACCUGCUUCUAUGGAAAAAUCAGCUUCUGAAUGUGAUCGUAACCAACAGGUUGGAAGAUUUCAUUGAGGGAGAAACGCCUAUACCAGCCAAAUUCUUGGAUGAUGCCCAACUGCAGAUCAACCCACUCUUCAUACAAUGGGAACGAAUGAAUAGACUUGUCAUGAGCUGGAUCUAUUCUUCCUUAACUCUUGCCAUGGUAAGAAGAAUUGUAGAAUACAAGACUGCUCGGGAAAUAUGGGGAGCUCUGAAUAGAGUCUAUUAGUCUCCUUCGAUUGCUACUGUGGUAGGGCUGAACUCUCAACUUCAGAAGAUUAAAAAGGAAGGUAUUACUAUUUCUGAGUAUCUUGCUCGUAUUAAGGAAGUCUUUGACAAGUAUUCUGCCAUGGGUGAGCCAUUAUCUUACAGAGAUAAACUGAUGUAUACCCUAAAUGGAUUGACUGAGGAAUAUGAUGGAUUUGUGACCUCCAUCUAUAAUAGAUCUGAUAAGUCUUCUUUAAAAGAGGUUCAUAGUCUUCUUUACACUUAUGCAUAUUGGUUGGAGCAAAGGAAUACUGCACAACAGCUUCAGUUUUCUCAGGUUAACCUCACUGCUUAUUCCGGCCAAAACAAAUUUCACAAAAAUCAGCAACCCAAUUUUCCAAAAUACCCACAAAAUUCAUAUUCAUCUUUUCCAAACAAGCCUAUUAAUCUCUAUCAGUCCUUUCGUCCAAACUCCCAACCUAGCAUCCUUGGAAAACCUCAAGGACAACCACAAUCAUCUUCUAAAUGGUUUCAGAAACAAGGAACAGGAAAUUUUGGACCAAGGCCACAAUGUCAAAUUUGUGGGAAGUUCGGUCAUAUGGCCUUAAAUUGUUAUCAUCGAGCAAACUUGAACUACCAACCACAGUUUCCAAAUUCUCAACCCAAGCCUCAACCUCCAAAUCCCAUAGCUGCAAUGCUCACUACUUCAACAUCUCCCACUAUGCCCUUUAAUAAUUGUGAUACUCCUUGGUAUAUGGAUUCUGGAGCAACACAUCACUUUACACCAGAGUUUGGCAACUUAACAGAUCCUUGUGUGUUAACUGGUGAUGAGCAAGCUAUGGUGGGCAAUGGUAAGUCAAUUAGAAUUUCACAUAUUGGUAAUGCUAUGAUUUCAAGCCUAUGAAACCGAUUCAUUUAAAACAUGUCUUGCACACUCCUCAAAUCUCAAAACAACUCAUCAGUGUCACUAAGCUUUGUUCUAAUAAUCAAGCUUUUGUUGAAUUCUAUUCCUCUCAUUUUCUUGUGAAGGAUCAAGCCUUGGGGAAGGUACUUCUUCAGGGAAUACUUGAAAAUGGACUCUACAAAGUUUCAUUAUCAGUCAGUACUUCACCAUCUCUUGUUGUCUCCUCUUCAUUAGCUUCACUUUUAGUUCCUGCUACUCAAUUAUCCUUCAAUCGUGCUCAAGCCUUCAUCACUCAGCAUAAUAAUAUCAUAUUGUGGCAUAAUAGACUAGGACACUGAUUCAUGCCCAGUCGGGUGUUUAUCAAAAUAUUUAUAAAAACUACAACACCUUAUACUAGGGUAGAAAGACAAAGCUACUAUAGUAUAGUGGUUCUAGGAUCGUCCACAGGGAUGGGUUUUCUUUGUACACUUGACAUUAAUGAAAUGAGAAAUGGUGAUUGCCUUUUUGAAAGUUAGUUUUUAAAUGAAAAUAAGAUUGAUUGGAAGGGUUGAUUUUAAGUUAAACAAACAUAAACAACUGAAAUUACUACAAAGAGAAAAUCUCUUGGAGCUAUAGGUUACUAGGAUCAGGUUCCUAUUGCAAAGUGGAAAAUUUCGGAUCUUCUCCUCACAUUGGGGACAAUAACAUAAAGGAUGGUUAUCUACCAAACCGGAUUUGUAUUUAACAAAUAAGUUUUGAUCCAAAGGGUUCUUGAAAAAUGGUAAUUGCUUCCCAUUAAUGGCUUCAAACACUAAAGACCCUCACCUUGAACCACCUUCCAAUGACUCGUACUUGAUAACUAAUGGACAUCCAUGGAUCUAGCAAUAAGCAUCCAUAGAAUCCUAAAAGCUUACCAAGUAUUGGCCAUUCAAGGUGAUUCUAAGGGAUUAAAGCUUAAACUUGAAAUACAAACCAUUAAUAAUACACAAGUACCUUCAUUUAAAGCAAGGAAAACUCCCACCUUUGCAUCUGGGUCCUUUACCUAGCUUCCAUCACUCAAAGAAACAUGAAACUUAGCCACUCAUCCUCUGAAAAAUCAUCAUUAGAGGGUGUUUGGCUAUAGAGAAUGUGAAGAGAAAAUGAGAAAGAAAGGUGGAGAAAAACUCCCGUAAAUUUCCUUCAAAAAUAGUCUUUACAAAAUAUCAAAAACAUCACAUCCUUUGAGAGGUUUUCCAACCCCUAUUUAUAGUUCCUAAACAAACCCUAAUGUCAUUUAUCUAUUAUAAAAGGAGAAAAAGGAAAAAUUACAAUUCUGGAGAAAAAUCUCGAAGGUCGAUGCGCACAAAGUGAUUUUCGCAAACCUUGCCAAAUUUUGGCACACCUUGUGAAAUCGAUGAUUUUGUCUUGCGAAAUGCUCUGUUUUCCUCCAUCUUACUUUUGAAAGUUUUGGUAACCCCUUGCCAAGUUUGCCAAGGGGUUUUGAAGUGCUCCAAAGCUCAAAAUUUUCAUGUGAUUGAUCUUCAACUUGCCUUGCCAUAGCUUGCAUAAAACUCUCCCUCAAUCUUGGCCUGUUUCAAUGAUCAAAAAGCUACCAAAAACAAUAAAACUUACCAAAAAUUGGUUAGUAACAAUUGCUAGGUUCUUAACAUGCCAAAUGAGAUAUAAAGGUCUAACUACUACUAAAAAGUGCUCAAUACAAUUAAGUUUAAGCUUAUAAAAAUGCACUUUUUGAGUAGUAAUCAGACACCCUACUUCUAAUGUAGUUACUCAAGUUAUGAGGAGCUAUAAUUUGAAAUUUUCUAAAUCUUUUGAUUUGUGUUCCUCUUGUCAAUUGGCUAAGAGCCAUGGAUUACCCUUUGUAAUUUCAAAAUCUAAAGCAAUGAAACCUUUUGAUUUGGUUCACUCUGAUCUUUAGGGUUCUUCUCCUGUCUUAUUUGUCACUGGUGCUCGUUACUUCCUUCUUUUUAUUGAUGAUUACUCUCGUUUUACUUGGUUUUAUUUGUUAAAAAGCAAAGAUGCAGUUUUCUCAUACUUUCUAAAAUUCAAAAAUCAAUUUAACACAACUAUUAAGGCUUUGCAAACUGACUGGGGUGGUGAAUUUCGUCCACUUAAGCCUUUUCUUGAAAAUCUUGGUAUUCAUCAUCGCCAUCCUUGUCCUUAUACUCCCCAACAAAAUGGGCGAGUUGAGCGCAAAAAUCGCCAUGUUGUUGAAGUUGUCUUGCCAUGUUAGCCCAUUCUUCUAUUCCUAUUUCCUAUUGGCCAUAUGCAUUCCAAUAUGUUGUGUAGUUAAUCAACAGAUUACCUACUACUGUCUUAAAUAACAAAACUCCUUUUGACUUGCUUUAUGAUAAAUCUCCUUCUUAUUCUUCAUUUCGAGUGUUUGGCUUCUCUUGUUUCCCAUUUUAAAGAGCUUUGAAUCAAUAUAAACUUCUUGAAUGUGUUCUUCUUGGGUUUAGUCCUCACCAUAAAGGUUAUUUGUGCUUAAAUAGACAAAUAGGUUAGAUUUAUGUUUCUUGUCAUGUUGUUUUCAAUGAGUUUUCUUUUCCAUUCUUUUUUUCUUCUUCUUCCUCUCCUCAUCUAUGCUUACUCCUAAUCUCCCCAUUUCCCUUUCCUUUCCCUCCUCAACCACUCUUCAUCCCAUAUCUAUCUCACCUUCUUCUUCUUCUUUUUCUCUUCAUCGAUCUACAUUCCCAUUGUCUUCUCAUUCUCUUUCUUCUCCUCCCACAUCUCUAUCUCAUUGUCUCUCAUAGGACAUUCAUCCCACUACUUCAGUACAUCCAAUUCCAUUGGUCGUACCUAUUGACUUACCAGAAUCUGUUCUUCAUCGCCCUCCACCUCCCACCAACACUCAUUCCAUGGUGACUAGAUCCAAGGCUGGGAUUUAUAAACCUAAAACUCUUGUGGUAGCACUUGAUAUCCCUAUUGAUCUUGCUCUUUUUUAGCCUACCUCAUUUCACCAAGCAGUCAAAUAUGAUCACUGGCAAAGGGCUUUGACUACAAAAUAUGAGGCACUUAUUAGAAAUGAUACUUGGACAUUGAUGCCUCUACCACUUGAUCACAAAGUAAUUGGAUGUAAGUGGGUCUUUAAGGUCAAGCUCAAACCGGAUGGAUCCCUUGAAAGAUAUAAAGCCUGGUUAGUUGCUAAAGGUUUUCAACAAACACUUGGCUUGGAUAUUUUGAAACCUUUAGCCCAGUUUUUAAGCCCACUACUAUACGAAUUGUUUUAAGUUUAGCUCUGUCACUUCAAUGGCACAUCAAACAGUUGGAUGUCCAUAAUGCAUUCUUAAAUGGUGACCUAUCAGAAACUGUUUUCAUGGAGCAACCCCCUGGUUUUAUCAGUACUACUAAUCCAGGCUAUGUUUGAAAGUUGAACAAGGCUUUAUACGACCUUAAACAAAGUUCUCGUGCGUGGUAUACAAAGCUCAGUACUUAUUUGCUGCAGUGUGGUUUCCAAGGCUCCAAACAUGAUACUUCAAUGUUCUUUUUCAACAAAGGCUCUUCCAUUAUUAUUUUGUUGAUUUAUGUGGAUGAUACUAUUAUCACAGGUAGUCAUUCUGCCUUGGUGAACUCCUUGAUUGACCAACUACAUAAUCAGUUUGCUCUCAAGGAUUUGGGGUCUCUCUUAUUUUUUGGGUAUUCAAGUUACUUUUACUCUAUCAUCCUUGCAUCUAUGUCAACACAAGUACAUUGUUGAUCUCCUUCAUCGGGCUUAAAUGUUUGAUUGUAAGCAUGCUUCUACUCCUAUGAGCACCUAGUUUUCCUUGUCCUUGUAUGAUGGUGAGCCUUUUUCGGAUCCAUCUUCGUAUCGCAGCAUUGUGGGGGCUCUAUAGUAUUGUACCAUCACCCGACCUGACAUCAGUUUUUCUGUCAACUAUGUCUACCAAUUCAUGCAUUCUCUGACCACUCAUUGGCAAGCUGUUAAGAGGAUUCUUCAUUAUCUCAAGAGUACAAUUUAUCAUGGUAUUUCUCUUCAACCAUCUACUGAUCUCUCUCUCAUUUGUUAUACUGAUGUUGAUUGGGCUAGCUGCCCGGAUGAUCGAAAAAGUACAAGUGGCCAUUGUUGUUUCCUUGGCCCUAUUUUGAUUUCCUGGUCUUGUACUAAACAAAAAGUUGUUUCUCGUUCAAGUGUUGAGUCCGAAUAUAGAGGCCUUGCUAAUGCCGCUUCAGAACUUAUUUAGAUUGAAACAUUUCUCACUGAACUACACAUUCCGUUCUUCACUCCACUAGUCUUUUUUUGUGAUAAUCUCAAUGCCACACAUCUUGCUGCUCAUCCCAUUUUUCAUGCUCGUACGAAGCACAUUAAAAUUGAUUAUCAUUUCAUUCAUGAUCGUGUGCUCCAUAAAUCCCUAUUGGUCAAAUUUACACUUUCUGAAGAGCAACUUGCAGACAUCCUGACCAAGCCACUGCCUGCACCUCACUUUCAAAGUCUACGAAACAAGUUGACUUUGCUUCACAGCCCUCUCAGCUUGCAGGGGGAUGUUAACUAAUGUAGUUAGUUAUACUCAACUGUAGGUAAUGUUAAUUUGUAUCAGGAUCUGCCACAUGUAUGGUUGUUUUUUCCUUUCCUUCACUAUAUAAAUGUAUCCUAGGCUCAUUUUGCAUUGAGUUGGAAUUCUAGAACAUUCUCUGUUUUCCUUUUUUCUCUAGCCUCCAUGUUCUCUCUGUUUUCUCUUUUCUUCUUACCUACACAUUUCAUCUGGGACACUCGGAGUUGAAUACUAAACUGAAGGAGACUAUUUUGCGUGAUGAAACCAUAUGCUACCCAGACACUAAUUGCCCAUGACAUCUGCCAAGCCAUGUCUAUACUAUAGGUAACAUUAAUCUGAUCCAGCCAGUCUAUGCAAUUGGUCCUAAGCAUCAAGAACCUAUUCACAUUCUGACUCUUCAACUCUAGAACAAUAAUUGACCCAAAGAAACUCUCAACAUUGACUAGGUUAGUCAAGACAUAAUUACCCCCAACCUCCUUAGUGGCAAGCGAGACAACCAAGAAUAUAACACUAUCCUUAUCCUUCCAAUUCACAUAUGGGUUUGUAGCAAAGGAGCCUAGCAUAUUUUGAAUCAAUACUAAAAUAAUAGCAGUCACCCUUUCCUUAUAAUUCAUAACAAGUACUCCUGAAACUUCCCCUCAUUUUCAUCCUUCAUGUUGAUGACUUGAAAGAUCAAAAAAAGAAAGAGUCAAUCAUUUGCACUGAUACAAUACUGCACAACUAAAUAAUCCUCACUAGUUUCAUAUACAACAUUAGGAAUUGGACAGAUGUUGGACUUUGUAUGAUUGACAUCGUAUUGAAGAUAUAUAUGCGUCUCUGAGAGAUCUUGUCAUAAAUGUUCAUGAAUAUUUUCCUCCCGUAACUAAGUCUCCUGUACUCUUUUCAAUUGCAGGUCCAUAAAUUCCCAAACUUAUAUCUGAGUUCUCUAUGGCCAUAUUGUUUGAAGCAUAUUCAGAAUGAAUUUCCACUCCCAUGUGCUUGAACUAAGCUUUAAUUUCAGACUCUUUCAUAAAUAAUCAACAAAUUUAGGAAUUUUCUAUAUUCUGUGAACCAGAACUGACGCAUGAAAGAUACAAAAUUAGAUCAAUCAUUCGUCACUGAUUUCUACAGCAGCUGAAUUUAUUAAACCAACCGAACAGCAAUGAUCAUCUUUUCUUCGUCUUUGGAAUCCAUUUCAAUCACGACAUUCCCAUUAAAUUUCCCUGUUGACCCCUUAACAUCAUCACCCUUUAUUGAAGCAAUUUAUGUCAAUAGUUUCAGUGGCCAUGUCAAGAAUGGUGCUUCUUAAUGAAGAUACAAAAUGUAAAAGGUUAUCCACAAAAAUGAUUGAGGGAGCAAUUGCUUCAUUCAUUGUUACUACAUAUUUAUUUAUGAUAGAGAUACUGAAAUUAAGGAGACGUAAAUGACAGACCCUAUUGCCUUCAAGACCUCAAAAGCCUCUUCUAUAUGUACAAUUGAUCAUCACCAUGUCCUGAGCUUCCACUCAAUGAAUAUUGAACCAUCAUUUGCUCUGGUUGAACCGAUAAUCCUAUAUGCCCCUAUAUGCAGCCUCUGUGCUUAAAAUUCUGCGUCCAUGAUUUCCGACGAAGUAAACUAUUGUACUGGAUAGUUUUGGCUGCAAUUACUUCUUCACAGCUAUCAUCCAACUCCAAAAUCCAUAAAAAAAAAAAAAAAAAUGAUCAACAAACCACCAGGCCAACCUGAACUGAAAGUAACCAAACUCCAUGGAUAUAAAAGUCUCCAAUUCUCUCCACAUCCACGUUGACUGAAUUUAUGAUUUUCUCACUAUUUGGAGCCAACAUUCUUGAUCGAUGGAGGCUUUGUGUAAACUAAUACCAUGAGAGCUACCCGCACAGAUGCCUAUUUGUUGCCCACCUAAGUACCAUUGUCUUUGUAAUAGAGACUCCACAGUCUUUGCCCUUAACAAGAUCAAUGCAAGAACCAAGGAAAUUUAGUCUAAAACACCUCCACCAUCUCUCAUUUUUCUCAAAAAACCUGCACCAAAACCUGCAUCAUAAGCGGCCAAAAGAAUGCCAGAUUAAUAAGACCCAGAGAGGAAUCCAACAGAGCUCCCCAAUGCAAAAAUCUUUAAAACGCCACCAUGUCUGCAAUCUCUAGAUAUGUUCAAGUAUGAAGAAAGCAUAUGGAUGCACCCCUUAAAAAUGUUGAUGUGGAAGGCUUUAUGCUUUACAUGAAGUGAGUCCGGGGGCUUUGAUCUCGUGGAAGGAGGCUCUAUCCUUUUGAUUGGUAUGUAUAAAUGAAAAAAACACCACACAAUGUCAUAAUCAAAAUUUCCCAAACGACUCACUGCUCAUAACCAUUAUCCAUAGAAUUUUUCCUUGCAAAUCCAAAUUCUCAACUCCCCAUUGCAUCUUCUUAUUAUUUCCCAUAUUUUUCCAUAGUCCCCAAAAUUUCCGAAUCAAUGUUGUCAAUGUUGUCCUUGAUUUCAGAUUCAUGCAUCCCUCUAAAGAACUGAUUAGAACUGUUGCUGAAGGUGAAUGGCCCAGAUUACUUUCAGAUUCUGACACAUCCUCUAUGGGAGCUCGUAAUACAUCCUUCUAAUGCAGAAUGGGAGGUUUUUUUUUUUUUUUUUUUUUUUUUACGAUUUUCUAUUUUUAAUUUCAAAACAAAGAACAAAUCUUGAAGGCUGGGAAUGGAACUUGUUGAGGUGUGGGCUAGAAAUAGAAGAAAACAAAAACAAAAACAAAAAAAAAAUCCAAAAAGAAGUGGAAAAUAACCAACAAAAGCCACAAUUUCACAUUUCAAUCCAUUGGUUUAGAAUAGGAGAGUGAUUCAAAACAAAUUUUUAAUAUAAACAGGGCAGGAUUUCUACCAUCAGAUUCAAGGAAAAAACCCAGAUGCAUACUAUUUUCAGAUGAAAUCAAUGGCAUUAACAGAAUGAAAAACAUAGCAAGCAAACAAUGAACCAAUUUCAACACAACAAUCUGUGAACCUUUCCGUCCACACUAAUCAACAAAAUAAAUGCCCAAAACCAUCAGAGAAUCAUCAAGAAUCAAACAUAAGAUAAAUCAUAGAAGAUAGUUGAAAACGUACCUGGGUAGUCUCCACCCAAUUACUUAGUUAUUUUGCUACAGUUCCUCUCCGAAAUCUCUCAAAGAAAACCUAGUGAACCGUUCUCUCUUUUCCUUGAAGAUAAUCCCUUCUCAUUCGUUCUCACUCUUAUGUGCUUUUCUACAAAGACAAUCCUAGCAUUCCCCUUUUUCAGCAUCCUUUCUUACGUAUAUAUUAGCCCCCAAAACCCAAAUUUGUUCCAAAAAGGAAAAUCUCCCAUUUCCUUUCUUUUAUUUUCUUCAUUUUUGCAAUCCUUUUUUUUUUUUUUUUUUUUGUAUGUAUUUGUAUUAGCCUCCCAAAAACUCAAUUUUUUUUUUUGAAGAAAAUCCACUUUCUUUUCUUUUAUUUCCCUUAUUUUCGAAAAUCAAAAUGUUUCUCUCUUUCCAUGUAGGAUCUCCUCUUUCCAUAUGUAUGCAGCCACAUUAAUCCUCUUUUCCCUCCAAUAUAUAUAUAUAUAUGUAUAUAUAUUUACCUUCUUUGAGUGCACAUGCCUUAGUGAGAGUUGAUCAAUAGCUCCCAAUUCUCUUGUCAAACGAUAAAAAAAUAAAAUAAAAUAAAAUAAAACCAAAAAGAGUUAGCAAUCUUGCAACACAUAAAAGAAUAAAGUAGAAUAAAAAUAAAUAAAUAAAGUAAAACAAAAUAAUUAAAUAAAAUAAAACAAAAUAGUCAAUCCUAUGCGGGCCAUGCAAGUCAUGCGACUAUGUGAGUCAUGCAAGAAACACUAAAAAUGUCUAAUAGGCUAAGUGUUCCUAAGAGGGCCUAAGUGAACCUAGAUAGACUUAAGGUAUCUACAUGACCUAAGGUGGUGCCUAAUGGGUCGGGUAUACCUAUACGGGCCUAGGGUGAGACUAAGUGGGCCUAACUAAGUCUAACCUGAAGUGCACCUAAAUGAAGCCUAAUCUAAACUUGAAGGGCAGCCAAGGUCAUAAUGUGAAGCCGGAUAAACCCCUCAACUAAAGUCUCCGAGGUGGCUCAGAAAAAGUAAGCUACAUGAGUAGUAAUGGGCCAUCAAUGAACCACUGUGGAACCCUGGAAGUGAACUUAAAGACAUGUGCUAAAGGGACAAAAUGGAGGGUCUACACCAUGCUUCGUUGGUCAGGUCUUCUUUAUACAUAAACCUAUUUUUUGUGCUUAACUUGGAGAAGCUGCCAAUAAGACUGAAUAGUCACAUAUCUCUUAGAGAAUUGAGAAUCACACAACUCUUUCAUUUUUUUUUUUAGGAUUGGCUUGUCAUCAAAUCUUUUGCUCAGUUGUUGUGAUGGUUUGAAAUUGCUAUCUGAUGGUUAUAACCUAUAUAAACAACAACUUGUAUUAACUUAUCCUGAGCAUUAUUUUGCAAACAUGAUUUUUAUGAGCACUUCUAUUUGGAUGUCUUUCUAACAGUUGUUAGUAUUCAAUAAAAAUGACCUUUACUAAACCUGCAGAUUUUUUCAGGUGAUAUUUUUUUUUUUUUUUACAACAAGGAAGGGAGGCAUUUUUCUUGGCAGUGUAUCCUAAUUCAUAGAGUAUAAACCCUUGCAAAUUGAAAGAAAGACAAUUUACAUAUCAUUAAAGGGUGAUCUAUAAGCACUCUUAUAGGCCUACAUCUUUCUCAUUUGGAUUUGGAAUUUAACCUCUAGUAAGCGUUUACUUGUUUUUAAUCUGUUUUUUAGGAAGCCAGUUGAUGAGAUUUUGCCAACCAAAAAUAGAGGUUUGUUAGCCCUCCUAUCUUCAGGCUAGUUCUCUUGCAUAUGCUUGAAAAAUAUUGGAAACCAAUUAAUUAGUCAUUGCAGUUUCAUAGUCUUACAAGAAAUCUUGUUAUGGUGGCAGGAGAACAAACUACAACAUAAUCUCAUUUCCCUUCAUGAUUUAGACAUUGUAAAGAUAAAAAAAAAUAUAUGUUCUUGGUAAUAUAAGAAGAAGAGAAGCCAAAAAACAGGAACAAAAUGUAUUGGAACCUUGUGGACUUGAAUAGCUGAUAUUCAAGUGGCAAAAAUACAUAAAAAUGCACUUAACAAACUACUAACCAGCAGGCUAAGAUUCUACUUCUAAGAGACAGGUUUGUCAUCAAUGUCAAGAAGGCUCGCACUUCAUUUUUGUGGGACUUUGGCAUCAACAAAUUUCUAUUCCCAGAAUUCUUUCGUAAAUGUCAUCAUCCUGGCCAACUUUCUUUAGUGUUGAAAAAUAGGGUGAUACCAUGUUGCUAAAAAUUGCAGUCCAUAUGUACUAGAUAGACAAGAACUAGAACACUUGUAUUAGAAACAUCUCUGUUGCCUGGAUUUGCAUUACCUGCCAUAAUUAAGCACAUUUAUAUUAUUGUAGAACUGUGUUUCAAAGUCACCCAUACCUAAUCCAUCUCCAUGUAUCUCAAACAACUAGGUUCAUUGGUAGCAGAAGAAGAGCAACUUGAAUAGCUAGUCAUUUCCUUUUAUAAUUUAGGGAUAAAGGUAAAAAAACUACAACACUUGAAUAGAUGGUAUUCAAGUGGACAAGAACUGCAACACUUUUCUCAAAAAUAUGUAUGUUCUUUCUUCAACUCUUACUCUAUUUCCUGGAGUUGCAUUAUCUUCUAUGAGUAAUCGCCUCCUAUUUAUUCUUGUGGAGAAACAAGUUUUGGUGUAUGCAGAGACUAUACUAUUGUUGCACCUCUUGAUUUUCAAGACCACCCAGCCUCACCCCAAGCAUUUGGAAUUGUCAAGCUAAUUUUUGGCUAACCUUCCAAUGACCUUAAGGGCUUCAUACAAAGUAGAUCUAGUGCAAGAGAUUUAGAAUUAUCUCUACCUAAUCCAUCUCUAUUUCUUUAGAAUAACUAGAUGCUAUGGCCAAAAUCUCACAUAAGGCGUCAAGUUCAUGUUGGGGCUUAUUCACAAGAUUAAGAUGAAUAUAGCAGGGAAUGUUCUUGAUCUACCACCAACCAUGUUGUCAAGUUGUUUAAUGCCCUUAUGUUGACUAUGGCCACAAUCACAGUUGGGUGUCGUUUCCUAAAAGAAAUGUCAUUUUGAAACUUUUAAUGUCAACAACAGAACUUUCAUGUUUCUACAUUCAGGUACCCAUAAAAAAUUGAGUCCAUGUUAGCAUCCAAUGAUGGAAGUAAUAUACCUCCUAGAAAUUGAUGUGGAAGGUGGUGACUAACAACAACAUAGAUGUAUAUAAGGGAUUUACACUUAGUCUUGUGCAUCAAACAACCCUCAUUUAGUAUAAACCAAAAAUUUUGGCAACUCAUGAUCCAUAAUUUAGAGCAUGGGAGGAAGAAGACCUGUUGGCAAGACAGGAGGAGACAGUUAAAAACAUGCAAGAAUUCCAUAGAUGAGUUGUUGUUAUGAAUUAUUCAGAAUCCAUGGGAAAAUUUAAAGCCCAUUGAUUUUGAAUGAAGGACCUACUUAGCAUGGAUCAAAAACCUAUUUUGGAGAAAGAAACCAAGUCUUGAGGACUAAUUCAAUUACCAAAUCUCUGGGAAGCACUGAGGCUUUUUUAGUAGCUUCCCAAUUAGUGCAUAAGGUGGCAAUGCUAUUUGCUUUUAUGUAAGCUCUUCUUCUUCUAGUACCAAGGAAAAUUCUAUAAUCCUAAAUCUCCAUUCUCCAUGUACAGAUGUUUUCUUCGAUGCAUGCUGUCAGAGAAGAUGAGUAAGCUUCAGAAUAUUAGUUUACUGAUUCGAGGAUGUAAAUCCAGUCGGGUCAUUUAAUCAAAAACAUUUAUAAAACCUAUGCCCUCAUACUAGUGUAGCAAAGCUACUAUAGUAUAGUGGCUCUAGGGUCAAACUCUAGGAUGGGUUUUCAUUCUACCAGUGAUAUACUCAUGAUUAGGAAUUGAAUUUAAUGAUUUCCUUUAUCAAAAACAUAGAGUUUAAAAGAAAAUAAAAUUUGUUUUGAAAGUGUUUGAAACUAAAUUAACAUAAACUAAUUAAAAAUGGAAGAAAGAAAGUCUCCCGGAGCUCAGGAUUGCUAGGAUCAAGUUUAGAAUGCAAAGUGGAAAAUUCUGGAUUUUUCUCCUCGCAUUGAGGAUUUAACCUAUAGUUAUUUCCUGAACCGGUAUAGGUUUAACAAUGAAGAUUUAAUCCAUAAAAAUCAAUAGAAAUGGUAGUCAAGGUUCAUUAAUGGCUUUAGACACUAUGGGUCUUCACCUUGAACCACUUUCCAAUGGCUCGUACAUGAUAACUAAUGGACUGAUAUGGAUCUAGUAAUAAGCAUCCACAGAGACCUGAAGCUUACCAUGUAUUGGCCAUUCAAAGUGAUUCUAAGGGAUUUAAAGCAAAACUUUGGAUUUAAAAGCCAUUUAUGAACUUCAACUACCUGUAUUUAAGGCACGAGCGUUUUCCACCUUGCAUCUGGACUUUUCACCUAACUUCCAUCACUCCAAGAAACCAAAAGUUUAGCCUCUCAUCCUCUGAGAAAACAUCCUCAGAGAAAACAUCCUCAGAGGUUGUUUGGCUUCCAAGAAAAAGAAAAUAGUAAAGAGAAAAGGGAAAACGAGAGAGCUCUGUAUAUUUUUCUAAGUGUAAAACAUAACACGCGUGAUACCUCCAAGAGGUGAUUUCCACCCCUUAUAUAGUUUUUACAAAAGCAAAGCUUGUGAUUGGCUUGUUACAAGGAGAAGAAAGGAAAUUACAUCAAAAAAUACAAAAGAAAAUAUCUAAAGUGGAAUCGGCAAAAACAGAGGAAAAUUCGCACCACGCAUGGGGUGUGCGAAUUUUCGCACACCUGAGGGGGGUGUGCGAGUUUCGCACACCAUUCGCACAGCUAAGGGGGUGUGCGAAUUUCGCACACCAUUGGCACACCAUUCGCACACCUGGAGCAGUUGUCUUCCGAAGGCCAUAUCUUCCUCGUUUCAGCUCCAAAUCGUACACGGUUUAAAGCGUUGGAUUCUUGACUUCCUGAUCUUUGAAAUGGUAUAUAGCAUGUAAAAAAUGGACUUCGGGAAGUGCUCCAAAAGUGCCAAAGAAGACUGCAGCUGAUGUCCUCUGUUUUCCUCCUUGCUUCUCUUUGCUUCUCUUUGGUUUUCUUUGCUUUUCUCCUUUGGAUGGCUUGUCUUAAUGAUCUAAAAAGAUGUCAAAAACACUAAAACUAGCCACAAAUAUGAUUAGGAGUCAUUGCUAGGUCCUUAACAUGCCAAUUGGAAUAAAGAUGAAGAAUUACUAACCAAAAGUGCUUAAAACAUAAUGACUUAAAGGUGUGAAAUAGCACUUUUUGGGUAGUAAUCACUCCCCCCAACUGACACAUUGCUAGUCCCUGAGCAAUGAAGGAGAGAAAAAGAAAGAAAAAUAGAUAAUAAAAUAAUUUACAAAAUCAUGCUGAUCACUCCAAAAAAUAAUCAAGUGGCAUGAUUGGAUCAAACUCUCACAUGGCAAGUCAAGGAUAUAAAACUCAAUCAUCAACAAGAGUUAUCAAAUAACUUACCUAUCACAACUUGCUAAGAGCGGACAUUAUGCAAAUUUGAGUAUCAAAAUAAUUUCCACUCCCAACGGAUCAAUUCUUAAUCUUCCACAAAAAUCUAAGUGUUAAGGUGCUUAGUUUCCAGUUAUAGUAUGUCAAACUAUAUUCUUCCCCCCAACUAAGGUUUUUCUCUAACUUUAGCAACACUAACUCAUAUAUAAAAGGCUAAGAACACACCUUUUUUUUUUUUUUUUUAAAGGGACUCCACCCAUCCACCCAUGUAACGAGCAGUGAGGUCGGUGACUCCCAACCAGUAAAGGCUUAGGGCACCAGGCUUUAAAGAUUUUCACCAUAUACCCCUCGGACCUUGCUCGGGUUUCAAAGCAAGUGAAGCAAAAAUUAUUCAUAAGACACAUUGGCCUUUUAUAAGGUGUCCCAACACUAAUAGAAUGAAGUCAAUGGCACCAAGUCGAAAAUUUCCUAAGUUUAGGGGGGUGAGAAAGUUUUCCAUCUUAUAACUGGAAUCUAAUGUGUUCAGUGUGUGAAAAGAUUAGAGUGGAAGACUUAAGAUUGAAAUCAAAAGGAUCUUCAACAAUUUAUCAACUUAAAUAAGCAUAAUACAAACUCUGAGACUAUGGCAAUAAGAUAAGAAUUUAAUUUCUCCCAUUUACUUUUGAGAAUUUAUCUUUGAGAAAACAAAAAGAGUUUGCAAAAAAAUUUGUUAGCAAAAUAACUUAACCAAAAAUUCAACAAAUUACUUCCUCAACUCUCCCCCCAACUAGGAUGAACAUUGUCCCCAAUGUUCCAAAAGCAAGAGAUAAUAAAAGGGAGGAAGUGAUACCUCCUGAUAGUAAGGAAGUCUCGACAUGAAAGUCUCUCGAUCGGCAAUCGGAGUUGCCCUCAAUGGGCAAGCUGGGUCUAGGGCGCCUGGCGGAAGAAGGCUGAGACUGUGAAUCCUGAGGUGCUCUAGAGGACUCUCCUGGCUCUGAAGUCUUGGCUUUCUUUGUAGGGGGGGUGUGCGAGUUUCGUAGACCUCAAGGGGGUGUGCGAAAUUUUCGCAUAGGGUACUAUUCACCCGCGCGUUUGAAAAAUUGUGGCUUGUUUGAGAUGGUGAAAAUUUGUGGCCUUUGAGGGUGGGAAAAGCUGGCUUAGGUAUGAAAAAGAUUUGUCAUGGUGAAUAGGCUUGGAAAUUGGAGCUUUUCAAGAGGAAAAUUGAAGAUUGGGAGCUCCCAUGGCCGGCGGCAAUGGGUUUCUUAUGAAGAAACCAUGGCUUGAAUGCUUAUGGUUUAGGCUUUGGUUUGGUAAGAACAAGGUUGGGAUUGGAUUGUGGAUGGAUUUAGAGGGUUGGGUGAAGAUUUGAAAGGAUUUUGAUGGUGGAAAGAGGUGAAAUUGCCGAAAAUGGGAAGUGGUGAAUAGUGAAUGCGCGGCUAUGGAAUGGAGCUAUGGAGAUGGGCUGCCAUGGUGGUGUUGAUGAUGAGGAAUGAUGAAGAAGAGAGGCUUUAUGGAUGGAAAUGGGUGAUCGGAAGAGAGGUUUUAAGAGAAUUGAAGAAGAAGUUAAGACUUUGAAGUGGAGAACAUAGCUUUUAAAGAGAAAAAUGAAUUUCGCACAGGGGAAAAUGGUGUGCGAAAUUUUCGCAUACCUGUGAUUCUCCAAGACAGAGAGCAUGGUUUUGAAAAUUGGCGCAAAAAAUGAAUUCGCACAAGGUUCGCACAAGGUUCGCAUUCCUGUGAAAUUCGCACAANNNNNNNNNNNNNNNNNNNNNNNNNNNNNNNNNNNNNNNNNNNNNNNNNNNNNNNNNNNNNNNNNNNNNNNNNNNNNNNNNNNNNNNNNNNNNNNNNNNNAAAAAAUAGAAAUCAAACCACAUUAGAAUGAAAUUAAAGUCAAAAAUAGAAAUCAAAACAUGCAUAAACACAAGAAAACAUUAGAUUAAACUAAAAUCAACUUAAAAGAGAACAAAAAGAGGAUAAACUUUUUAGUCUUUGGAGAGACUAAGUUCAACCAUGAACCAAGUGUUUUCAUGUUGGAGGUGGAUCAAGGAGGAUGAAUUCCUCCUUGUCUCGGGAAAAAGAUUCGAUAUAGGGCUUGAGACGAUGCCCAUUAACUUUGAAAGUUCGAGUGCUAUUGAAGUUGAGUAGUUCCACUACUCCAUUUGGUUGCACUUCAUGAAUUAUGAAAGGACCCGUCCAUCUUGAUUUCAAUUUUCCCGGAAAAAGAUGAAGCUUAGAGUUAUAAAGCAAGACUCUUUGCCCCUUGGCAAAAUUCUUCUGAUUUACCAAUUGAUCAUGCCAUUUCUUCAACCUCUCCUUUGCAAUUUUUGAAUUGAGGUAAGCAUCAUUCCUCAUUUCCUCCAAUUCAUUCAAAUCCAAACAUCUUUUCAACCCGGCUCUUGUCAAAUCCAUGUUGAGUUUUUUGAUUGCCCACCAUGCUUUGUAUUCAAUCUCCACUGGAAGAUGGCACGCUUUGCCAUAAACAAGGCAAUAAGGAGACAUUCCAAGAAUGGUCUUGUAAGCGGUCCUAUACGCCCAUAAGGAAUCUAGGAGCUUAAUAGACCAAUCCUUCUUAUUCACAUUCACCACCUUCAUUAAUAUAUUCUUGAUCUCCCGAUUGGCUAACUCAACUUGGCCACUUGUUUGAGGGUGAUAAGGUGUAGCUACCUUGUGCUUAACCCCAUAUUUGGCUAGAAGAGUCUCAAAAGGUUUAUUGCAAAAGUGGGUUCCUCCAUCACUUAUAAUGGCCUUAGGCACUCCAAAUCUUGCAAAGAUGUUAUCCUUGAGGAAUUUAAGAACCACCCUAUGAUCAUUGCUCCUACAUGGGAUUGAUUCAACCCACUUAGAGACAUAAUCCACUUCCACCAAAAUGAAGGAAUGUCCAAAUGACAUUGGAAAUGGUCCCAUGAAGUCUAUCCCCCAAACAUCAAAGACAUCCACUAUCAAAAUGGGGUUCAAGGGCAUCAUAUUUCGGCGUGUAAGCUUACCAAGCCUUUGACACCGAUCACAUCCCUUGCACAUAGAGUAGGCAUCCUUGAAAAGAGAGGGCCACCAAAACCCUGAUUGGAUCACUUUCAUAGCUGUUUUCUGGGAGGCAAAAUGACUUCCACAUGCACUAUCAUGGCAAUGGGAAAGAAUUCCUGAUUGCUCUUGUUCAGGAACACAUUUCCUUAUGAUUUGAUCCGCACAAUAUUUGAAGAGAAAAGGCUCCUUCCAAUAAUAGGCAUGGAUCUUAGCAAAGAAAUGCCUCUUGUCUUGGGCACUCCACUCGCUUGGAACUUCCCCAGUAACCAAGUAAUUUGCAAUGUGAGAAUACCAAGGAGCUACAUCUAUUGACAUGAGAGACUCCUCAGGGAAGUCAUCAUUGAUAGGCAGACCAUGUGAGUCAUGUGCUAUCACAAGUCUUGACAAAUGGUCAGCUACCACAUUUUCUACUCCCUUUUUAUCCCGGAUUUGGAGAUUGAAUUCUUGGAGCAAAAGGAUCCAUCUUAUCAAUCUUACCUUGGCAUCUUGCUUGGUUAGCAAGUACUUCAAAGCGGAAUGGUCAGUGAACACCACUAUAGAGGACCCUACUAAAUAGGCACGAAACUUAUCCAAGGCAAAAACUACUGCCAACAACUCCUUCUCAGUAGUUGUGUAGUUCCUUUGAGCCUCGUUCAAAGUUUUGCUCGUGUAAUAAAUCACAUAAGGCUUUCCAUCCUCUCUUUGCCCCAAAACAGCCCCCAUAGCAAGAUCACUUGCAUCACACAUUACCUCAAAAGGUAAUUUCCAAUUUGGGGCUCUCACUAUUGGUGCAGUUGUGAGGAAUUGCUUCAAUUCCUCAAAACUCUUCUGACACUUCUCAUCCCACACAAACUUGGCAUCCUUUACCAAGAGUUCACAAAGAGGCUUUGAGAUUUUUGAGAAAUCCUUAAUGAACCUCCUAUAGAACCUGGCAUGUCCUAGGAAUUGCCUAAUUCCUUUAACAUUUGUGGGAGGUGGCAACUUAACAAUUAGCUCCACCUUUGCCUUGUCUACCUCAAUGCCAUUUUUGGAGAUUACAUGUCCUAAGACAAUGCCUUGUUGUACCAUAAAAUGGCACUUCUCCCAAUUUAGCACUAGGUCUUUCUCAAUACAUCUGUGGAGAACAGCUUCUAAGUGCAACAAACACUCCUUAAAAGAACUUCCAUAUACAGUGAUGUCAUCCAUGAAGACUUUCAUGAUGCGUUCCACCAUAUCACUGAAGAUGCUUAGCAUACAUCUUUGGAAAGUUGUAGGAGCAUUACAUAAACCAAAGGGCAUUCUCCUAUACGCAAAAGUACCAAAGGGGCAUGUGAAGGUUGUUUUUUCUUGAUCUUCCAAAUAAAUCUCUAUUUGGAAGUACCCCGAGUAACCAUCUAGAAAACAGUAGAAAGGAUGUCUUGAGACUCUCUCAAGGACUUGGUCCAUGAAAGGCAAUGGGAAAUGGUCCUUCCUAGUCACUGAAUUCAACCUCCUGUAGUCUAUACACACCCUCCAUCCUGAGGUAGGACGUGUAGAGACUUCCUCCCCUUUCUCAUUCUGGAUCACAGUGAUUCCAGAUUUCUUUAGAACUACUUGGGUGGGGCUCACCCACAAGCUAUCUGAAAUGGGAUAUAUGAUCCCUGCUUGUAGUAGCUUCAGAACUUCACCCCUCACCACCUCUUGCAUGUGAGGAUUCAACCUCCUCUAGGGCUGCCUCACUGGUUUUGCAUCUUCCUCCAUGUAGAUAUGGUGGGUGCACACCAAAGGACUAAUCCCUUUAAGAUCAGAAAUUUUCCAUCCAAUGGCUUUCUUGCAUUUUCUGAGGACUCCCAAAAGACUAUCCUCUUGAUCACUUGUGAGAUUUGAAGAGACCACCACUGGACAUUUCUCAUCUUCCUCCAAGUAUGCAUACUUCAAAUUAACAGGAAGUGGCUUCAAAACAAGCUUUAGAGGGUCCUCCAUAGCUGCUCCUUGUGAGUCCUCCUUAUUGAACAGUGGUAAGAUCUCUUCCCGUCUCCUCCAAGGAGACAUGAUAGCUAGCACAUCAGAGGGUUCAGGUAACCCUUCUUCAAACACUUCAAGGUUUUCAUUCAAGCUCUCUUCUAAGCUCUUGUCACAAUGCUCUUCAACCAAGGUGUUGAUCAGGCACACCUCCUCCAAUCCUUCAUCCUCAUCUGGGUGAAGAUGCCUCUUGCAAAGAUGGAAUAUGUUUAAUUCCAAGGUCAUGUUUCCAAAUGUGAGUUGCAUCACCCCAUUUCUACAAUUGAUGAUGGCAUUGGAGGUAGCCAGGAAAGGUCUCCCAAGGAUGAUUGGCACGUAAUUGGCUUCCUUAACAGUGGGAUCAGUAUCAAGCACAACAAAAUCCACGGGAUAGUAGAAUUUGUCCACUUGAACUAGAACAUCCUCUAUCACCCCCCUUGGGAUUUUGACAGACCUAUCAGCUAAGGAGAGAGUGAUGGUUGUGGGCUUCAAUCCUCCAAGUCCCAGUUGCUUGUACACAGAGUAUGGGAGCAAAUUCACACUUGCCCCCAAGUCUAGUAAAGCUUUCUCCACAAGUGUCCCUCCAAUGUUGACUGCAAUGGUGGGGCAACCCGGAUCUUUAUACUUAACUGGAGACUUACUCUGAAUGAUAGCACUUACUUGCUCAGUGAGGAAUGCAUUCUUUGUCACAUGUAGCCCUCUCUUAACCGUGCACAAGUCCUUUAGAAACUUUGCAUAUGUGGGGACUUGCUUGAUCAUAUCAAGUAAGGGUAUAUUCACCUUCACUUGUCUCAAGACUUCAAGAAUUUCUGAUGAAUUCUUGAUUUCCUUUUUUCCAUGUAAAGCUUGAGGAAAAGGGGGAGGCAUAUGUUUCUUCAUCAUAUCUUCUUUAAUCACUAUCUCGGCUCUUCUUCAAUGCUUGAUUUGGAUGCACUUUUCUUCCCACUCUCCUCUUCUUGGUUAUUGCUCUCUUUAACCAAGGUUUUCUUUGACAAGAGUUCUUCAUCUUGCCUCACCUUAGGCAAGGGUUGAUCAACCUCCUUUCCACUCCUCAAGGUGAUCAUAGCUUUGACCUCCCUCAACUUUGAAGAAUCCCCCUCUUGGGUUUCAACUUCAUGAACACCCUUAGGAUUUUGGCUUGGUUGAGAGGGGAACUUUCCUUUCUCAUUCACUGUGUUGAGGUUGGUAAGCCUAGAGAUAGAGUAUUGAAUAUUAUCUAUCUUCUGAUAUAGAUCAUUUUGCAUCCCAUCCAUUCUCUUAUUUAGAGAACUCUCAACAUUCUCAAUCUUUUGGUGCAAUUGGGAGUUGAUUGCCCUUUGUUCACCCACAAAGUCAUUCAUGACUUUACUUAGGUUCGCAAUGGCUUGCUCCACUGAAGAGGUUUGUUGAGGUGCUUGAGUUUGGGCUUGUGGUUGGUAUAGAGGUGGUCUUGGUUUCCAAGAAAAAUUUGGAUGGUUUCUCUAGCUUGAAUUAUAGGUGUUUCCAUAAGGUGCAUUGUUGUUAGGCCUAAAUUGCCCCACAACAUUGGCUUGAUCACCUAACAUCUCCCUCACAGCUGGCAUGGUUGGGCACUCAUCUACCACAUGAUCACAUGAUUGGCAAAUGGUGCAUGGCAUGGCAUGGGCUUGAGUCUCGGAAAUGGCUUGGACUUCAUGCAUCUUUUUCAACUCAAGUUCUUCCAACCUCCUUGCUAUUGUUGCCACCUUAGCUUUCAUGUCCAUGUCUUCACUUAACAUGUACAUUCCACCCUUUGGAUUUACAGGAGCUUUCAUCCUUCCCAAUUCCUUUGAGUUGGGCUCAUCCCAUCCUCUUGUUACCUCAGAUACAUAACUUAAAAAAUCCAUGGCUUCUUCCGGAUUCUUACUCAUAAAAUCUCCCCCACACAUGGUUUCAAGAAUUUGCUUCAUGGAGGAAGACAUCCCAUCAUAGAAAUAGCUCACCAAGAGCCAUGUAUCAAAGCCAUGAUGAGGACAAGCAUUGAUGGCCUCCAUAUACCUUUCCCAACAUUCAUGGAACUUCUCAUUUUCUUUUGUAGAAAAUUUUGAGAUUUGUCUCUUCAACCCAUUGGUCCUAUGGGUGGGGAAAAAUUUCUUCAAAAACUCGGCCUGAAGAUCAACCCAAUUCCUUAUGCUCCUUGGCCUUAAAGAAUUAAGCCAUAUUUUUGCCUUGUCCUUCAAAGUGAAAGGGAAUAGCUUGAGUCUCAUCAAGUCUAUUGAAGCUCCUCCCUCUCUAAAGGUAUUGCACACCUCCUCAAACUCCUUGAUGUGGGCAUAUGGAUUCUCACUCUCCAUUCCAUGGAAAUUUGGUAGAAGGGGCACAAUAUGGGGCCUUAUAAUCAGCUGCUCAAGAGGAGGUAUGAUGCAUGAGGGUGCACUCAUCCUUGGUGGGUGCAUUCUAUCCCUCAUGGAUAGAUAUGCAUUUGGAUUACCCCCUUGACCUUGUUGAGAAUUCUGAUCCUCUUGUGGAGGGUCCAUGAUGUUUACACAGAUAUCCAACUCUGUGUCUUGAGGAUUCUCAAUCCUUACUAAUCUUCCCUCUUGGUCCUGAAUCCAAUAGGGCAUGCACAAAUCACUACUUGCCUGAAAACAAAACAAAGACAACAAAAACAAAAGAAAACUAGAAGAAAGUUAAAGUUAGAAAGAAAACAAAAGAAAUUCUACAAUAAAAAAAAAAGGAAAUAAAGUUAGUGAAAAAGGAAUUCACCAAACUUGUGAUGAAAAUCACAAGUAGCCUCUAAAAGGUUGUAUCACUGUAUCGUGGCACCAUCCCCGGCAGCGGCGCCAUUUUGAUUCGCGUAUGUAAAUCUAGUCGGGUCAUUUAAUCAAAAACAUUUAUAAAACCUAUGACCUCAUACUAGUGUAGCAAAGCUACUAUAGUAUAGUGGCUCUAGGGUCGAACUCUGGGAUGGGUUUUCAUUCUACCAGUGAUAUACUCAUGAUUAGGAAUUGAAUUUAAUGAUUUCCUUUAUAAAAAACUUAGAGUUUAAAAGAAAAUAAAAUUUGUUUUGAAAGUGUUUGAAACUAAAUUAACAUAAACUAAUUAAAAAUGGAAGAAAGAAAGUCUCCCGGAGCUCAGGAUUGCUAGGAUCAAGUUUAGAAUGCAAAGUGGAAAAUUCCAGAUUUUUCUCCUCGCAUUGGGGAUUUAAUCUAUAGUUAUUUCCCGAACCGGUAUAGGUUUAACAAUGAAGAUUUAAUCCAUAAAAAUCAAUAGAAAUGGUAGUCAAGGUCCAUUAAUGGCUUUAGACACUAUGGGUCUUCACAUUGAACCACUUUCCAAUGGCUCGUACAUGAUAACUAAUGGACUGAUAUGGAUCUAGCAAUAAGCAUCCACAGAGACCUGAAGCUUACCAUGUAUUGGCCAUUCAAAGUGAUUCUAAGGGAUUUAAAGCAAAACUUUGGAUUUAAAAGCCAUUUAUGAACUUCAACUACCUGUAUUUAAGGCACGAGCGUUUUCCACCUUGCAUCUGGACUUUUCACCUAACUUCCAUCACUCCAAGAAACCAAAAGUUUAGCCUCUCAUCCUCUGAGAAAACAUCCUCAGAGGUUGUUUGGCUUCCAAGAAAAAGAAAAUAGUAAAGAGAAAAGGGAAAACGAGAGAGCUCUGUAUAUUUUUCUAAGUGUAAAACAUAACACGCGUGAUACCUCCAAGAGGUGAUUUCCACCCCUUAUAUAGUUUUUACAAAAGCAAAGCUUGUGAUUGGCUUGUUACAAGGAGAAGAAAGGAAAUUACAUCAAAAAACACAAAAGAAAAUAUCUAAAGUGGAGUCGGCAAAAACAGAGGAAAAUUCGCACCACGCAUGGGGUGUGCGAAUUUUCGCACCACGCAUGGGGUGUGCGAAUUUUCGCACACCUGAGGGGGGUGUGUGAGUUUCGCACACCAUUCGCACACCAUUCGCACAGCUAAGGGGGUGUGCGAAUUUCGCACACCAUUCGCCCACCAUUCGCACACCUGGAGCAGUUUUCUUCCGAAGGUCAUAUCUUCCUCGUUUCAGCUCCAAAUCGUACACGGUUUGAAGCAUUGGAUUCUUGACUUCCUGAGAUUUGAAAUGGUAUAUAGAAUGUAAAAAAUAAACUUCGGGAAGUGCUCCAAAAGUGCCAAAUAAGACUGCAGCUGCUGUCCUCUAUUUUCCUCCUUGCUUCUCUUUGCUUCUCUUUGGUUUUCUUUGCUUUUCUCCUUUGGAUGGCUUGUCUUAAUGAUCUAAAAAGAUGUCAAAAACACUAAAACUAGCCACAAAUAUGAUUAGGAGUCAUUGCUAGGUCCUUAACAUGCCAAUUGGAAUAAAGAUGAAGAAUUACUAACCAAAAGUGCUUAAAACAUAAUGACUUAAAGGUGUAAAAUAGCACUUUUUGGGUAGUAAUCAUUUACAAAUUAAUUGGAGCAAUGGAAUUGGAACAGGACACAAACUUCAAAACAUUAAAAAUCAGUAAUGCAGAUAAGGGCAUUUAUAUGUACACAUAUUGAUCAGAAAAUGAACUUCAUCCUUUACCAACCUAAAAACUCAAAAGAAAGAAGUAUAAUUUCAGAUAUGCAAGAUUUUGAUCUAUUAAAGCCCAAAUCAUUUUAUGUUCAUAGAAAUGAGAAGACAAAAUGGCAGCCGACUUUUAGGAUUGAAAGAAAAAUGAAUUGAUGCUACUUCCCAAUGCUAAUGCCAUUAAUUUGUUAUUACUCUUUGUGGCCAUGUCGAGUCUGUCUAUCAAAUAAGAUAAUCCCUUCUUUUUUUCUUCUUUUUUUCUUUACAUAGUCAAUCAUCUUGUUUCAUGUUUGCCCUAUAGUUGGUCUGCUGAUGAUAGGCUUUUUUUUAGUGGAAGCAAGUACUCUAUACUGAAGGUAAAUUAUGGGAACUAUGUCUUUUUGUGGUAUCGACGGGGUUAUCAUAUAGCUGAAUGAUUCUAUACUUCCUUAUAGCUUUUCAAGGCAUUAAAAAAGAAAAGAACAAAGGUAGAACUAGGAAAAAUAUUUCUUUUUGAUUUCAAGUAUACUCUUUCCUUAUGAAGUUUUAUUUUGGUAAAUUACAGUUAGAUAUAAUCACAUGGCAAUAUUUUUUUCUUCCAAGUUUAAACAGUAAUUCAAGAGAGUGUAUUAUGAAAAUAUACUAAAAUAAAAAAAUCCCAUGAAUGCAUUCUACUUUGGAUAUUUCUUAUGAAUCUUCCCCUAUACUCCUGGCCAUCACAUACACUCCCAUCACACCAAUCCUUGUAGUUGUUCUAAAUUGUUUCAAAUCUGUCAUAAACCGAUUACUAAUAUUAAGGACUGCCAUGUCUACUAAUUUGGGGCUAGAAUUUUUAGAGCAUGUGGGAAAUUCUGGUUAUAGUGGGAAAUGUGAGUGCUACUGUUUUGCCAAAGUGGCUUUCCUUAUUCAUGCUAACAUCAACAACAUAGCAAUGAACUUGAUUUAAUAUUAUUUAUCAUAUAAGCUUGAGAUAUCUGGACACAAAAGUUAAAACAAGAUCUUCGAGGCUUUGAAGAUGAGGUAUUUUCCUCCUCUUAAGUACUAGUUAAUAUUCUUCUUUUGACAUUGUACUUGGUUUAAUUAAUGUUUUCCUUUUUUUUCGUAUUCUAGAAAGGUUUUUGUUGUUGAUUUGAGUCCAUAUGGUGAGAAGGUAGUCUCCGAUGGUACGAAACAGAGUACUCAAUUUAUGGAUGGCUUGAUGGCUGAAAAAGGAAGAGAUAUAUGAAAUGAAGAUUGACAUGAUUCUUCCACAACAUGAUGGACUUGGUAGGCACUCAAUUUUUGCCUACAGCUAAUAGUCUACCAUAUGUGUAACUUAAAGGUUGUGCACUAAGUUAUUAUGUUAUGAAGAAUCAAGGGUGGUUUGUGCACUAAGCUCUUCUAAAAUGUUUUUCUUUAUUGAGCUGUAAUGAUUGUAUUAUUUGGAUUUAAUUGUAUUCAUUAGGUUUGCACAUCACGAUAUAAUUAUUUUCCUCUUUGAUCAUGUAAAGUUGGGAAACAGUUAUGGGUUAUUGUAAUAGCGUGGUAUAUUGAUGCACACAGUUUGUGGCAUAACAGUUUGAUGAAAUAACAGAAGUGUAGCACUCAUGGGCAUAUCAUGUGAACCUUAUUCAAUGUGGCAUUGACAGUUAGCUUAAAUUUACAUGGGUGUAAUGUCGCACCAGUAUCUUCUAAUGAACCUUGGAUUCUUUUUUCUCCAUUUCUUCCUCUCUUGGUCAAACCAAACAAUUUAUCUUCAUGACUUCCUCAUGUUACCAAAAAACAACAUCUUGUGUUCUCCAUCUCUUUAUCCUCUUAUCAAGACAUAGCAAUCUAAUGCAUCUUUGCAUUGGGUUGCUUCCUCUCCUUCCCUUCUCCUUCCUCCUUAUAUCAUUGCUUAGUUUUGGCUACUCUAUUUCUUUGAUCGUUAUGGUAGAGCAUCAUUGCAAGAUGUACAAGAAAUGUGUUGUGGUGCAUUAUCCCCUUCUCUACCACCCGAAAUAUGUUUUCCAUGAUCAUUAAUACCAAGACGUUUAAGCAUCAAGUAAGGCAUCUCUUGACAAUUAUGUGAAAGAUAAGAGAUAAGCAACAUACUGGUAUUCAAGAGAAGUGAUGUUCUACAUUUGCAGUUGACAACGUGCAUUUAGUCUGAACUCCAAAUUUGGGCAACUCAGAAUCUCCACCUUCAUUAGGAUUGCAGAAAGUUGGCUUCUUGGAAAGAUGUGGAAAUGGGGCAUUUAGAAAUCAGAAAGAAUCCCAGUGGCCUGUUGCUACUUUCGAAUCAUUCCAAUCAACAACAACUCUAAAGAUAUAUAUACAAAUCUGUCCCUGGGAAAGAGAUCCAUGUUUCUUAGGCAUGCAACCAUCUCUCUUAACAGACUUAGGGUUCUACACCCUCUUGGUGUUUCUUAUAUAUUGCACCAUCUGAUUUGUAGAUAUCCAAUUGCCAAUUUCACUACACCUGAUGAACUAGAAGCUAUGCUAAAAGUGAAGUUAAACAACCCAUCGUAGAAAGAAUCCUAUAGGAAUACACUAAAAAGAAUAUCUUAUUAACAUAAAUGAACUCAUCCAAUUAAAGGAUAAAGUUGCAUGAAAAUUGAAUUGGGAGAGAUACAAAUACUGAUGCUUAUGUAGGACUAUGGAAAGGAUCAAAAAGAGGAACAAACAUUGAAUAGUAAAUGUAAAGUCAUAAAGCUUCUAACAUCUGUCAAAAGCUACUCUGUAGUGAAGUUUUUUUAACGAUAAAGGUAACUGAAAAAUUCACCAAAUAGCUCCACUUGAAGGAAAUUUCAGUGGUAUGAAACUAGGAUAUGGUGAACUCUCCUUGCUUAUACUAUUGUUGUGAGCCAUUAUAGAUCAAAGAUGAAUCUCACCAUAUGUUUUCACACAGAAGAUGUGGGCUAUCUUUGGGUCAUCUCUCAUCAUUGGAUUUAGGAGUUUGGUCUCUCAUAUAUAGUUUCACUUGCCAACUACAAAUGGAGCUUAGUAGAUGUCUCCAUGAUGUGGAGACUGAGCAACAUACAUAAUUCAAGGGAUGUGCAGUUGUUCUUGUGAAUCACCCAAUCUUCAUCUAAUAUAUAUAGACGCAUAAAUUUUAGCAACUUAUAAUCUCCAUAUUUUAGAGCACUGGAGGAAGCUAGCCUAUUCAACAAACAUAACAUAAUUAGAAAAAUGCAAGAAUUCCAGAGACAUGUUGUGCUAUCAUGUAUUCCAAUCAGUAAGGAAUCAAAGUGCUAUAAUUUUAAACUGUGCAAUAACAGACCUAUCUUAGGGAAGUAAAUUGUCUUGAGCACCAAAUCAAUUGUGAGUUCUUUGAGAGACUUGGACACCAACUCAAUCAAAGCUGCUAGUUGUUUAUGUGGCAGCUUGUAUUCGUCCACUAAUACUGGAGAAAAUGCUUUUGAAAACCCUUAAUCUUUAAAUCACAAAGGGAAAUUAAAUUAUGUUGUUAUUUGAUCUCCAAUCUCUUUGACACAAAUGGAUGAUUUCCUUGCUACAAACAAUGUCUAAUUCUAUCACUUGUACUCUAGCAUGUGAUUUAGGAGGAGAAUUAAGCUUUGGAAUAUUGCCAAUAAACAAGGAAUUGAGAAAGACCAAGUGGGCAGCCACCACAACUAGUUCACGAACAAAUGGAACCAUUGGGAGUGGAACAUGACACAAAAACAAAACAUGUUUUCCAUAUUCAUAAAUACCAAGGUGUUUAAGCAUCAGGUAAGACAUCUCUUCACAAUAAUAUGAGAGAUAGAGACAAGUAGCAUACCGUUAUUCAAGAGAAUUGGUGUUCUUCUUUUGUAUUUGACAACAUUCAUCCACUUUACACCCCUAUUUUGGCAACUUAGGAUAUCUCCACCUUCAUUAGGAAUAUUGCAGGAAGUUGACCUCUUAGAAAUACAUGAGAGGACAUUUAGAAAUCUGAAAGAAUUCUAGAGACUUGUUAUUGCUUGAAUUGUGAAUCAUUCCAAUCAGUAACAACUGGAGAGCCCCUAUACACAAUUUUUAAUUAUUAGCCUUCUUACAUUGGAUGAAAAAUCUAUCCCUAGAAAAGAGACAUGUCUUGGGCCAUGCAACCAUCAAUUACUCUCGAAGAGGCUUGAAGCUGUGCACCCUCUUGGUAGCUUAUCGUUCAUUACAACAUAUAAAUUCUAAAUAUCCAAUUGGCAUGUCACUAUAAUUGAACAUAAUAGGAAACACGGUGAAUAGGAAGUUAGAAACCCUGUCAUAAAAAGAAUCUUACAAUAAUACACCAAAUAGAACAUCUUGCUAAUUCAGUUAAACUAUUGUGUGAAAAUCUAAAUUGGGAGAGAGAAAACAUCAAUGCUUACAUGGGACUGUGGGAGGGACCAACAAGGGGAACAAACAUUGAAUAGAAAAUGUGAAGCCUUAAAGCUUGUAAUUGCUGUCAGAAGCUGCCCCCUAGUCAAGUUUUCAACAAAAAGGUUCAAUGCUAGGAUUCUCGCUCAACUUGUAGAAAAUUUCAAUAGUAUGACAAUUUAUACUCAAAAAGAAGAUAAAAUGUAAGAAUUAUGUGUUGGGAAUAGAUCACUCUUACUGAAUAUAUGGAUAGAAUAAGGUGAACUCCACCUGCUUCCAUUUUUGGAAUCCAAAUUAUUAUGGAUCAAAGAUGAAUCUCUCCAUCUAUUUACAAAUAGAACCUAUGGGCAAUCUUGAACUGAUGUCUCAUCAUUGGAUUUAGAACUGGUGUAUAGCUCUGAAACCAUGGCAUGGUUCUCCUUUAGUUGCCAAAUACCACUAGAGCUUAGGUGAGGUCUUGGUGAUGUAGGGAAGUCAUGGAUUCUUGAAUCUUUACAUGAAAAUAUACAUGAGAUACAUUGGAAGAAAGAGCAGGCCAUCUAAGAAGAAACACAUCUUAAAGUAUACCAUCAAUCAUGAGUUGUUUGAGAGUGAGGAGUCUUUGAAGGCCUCACUCAGAUAAGGGAUGUCUUUGACAUUUCUCACUCUUCAAUCUCAGGAAGGUACAUCAUCAAUUAGAACCUUAGGAAUGUGAGUCAUCAUGGGACAACUUGUUUAUGUUCUUUAUUCUUUUCUCACCAGAGGGCAUUGAAGGAUAUGUAGUUGCAAGGGCAAAAGACGUAGCCAGUAGUGAGAGCAUUGAACAAUCCUUCUCUAAUGCAGACCACCAAUUUUAGUAACUCAUGAUCUCCACAAUUUAAAGCACAAGGAAGUUGGCCUAUUGGAAAGAUGUCACAUGACAUUUAGAAAUGGGCAAGAAUUCCAUAGAUCAUUCCAAUCAUUAAGGAAUCCAAAGCCUUAUAAUUUGAAUAGGGCAUCUACUUGGCAUGGAUAAUGCACCUAUCUUGGGACAAAGACCACAUGUUGAGCACCAAUUCAAUUAUCAACUCUCUAUGAAACUAGAGAUACAAGGUAUUAAUGUUAGUACAAAUUAACUGGUAACUCUUCUUCUUUUACUGGUAUUGGAGGCAAAGCCUUGCAAAAACCCUCAAUCUACAAAUUACCAAGGACAUGAGAUCAUGUUGUAAUCUUAUCUCCAAUCUCCAACGGCAAAUAGAUUAUUUCUUUCAAUUAACAAUCUUUAAUGCUUUCGCUUCUAUCAUAGGAUAUGCAAUUUGGGAAAACAAGUAAGUUUUAUAAUAUUAAGAAUAUGCAAGGAAUUGAUGAAGGUCAUGAAUCAACUUAAAAUCAAAAAAUAAAAAAUGAAAAAACAAAGAUUUUUUCACCCAUGAAUACCGUAACCAACUUCCAAAAAGCAUUAGGUUUUGCAAUAACCAAAUGUUCCUCAGGUAUUAAAGUUAAAGUUCAAAGUUACCAAGAGUGCAUUUUUUUACCCGUGCAUAAAAUAAAAAGAAAAUAAGAACGCAUACCAUAUAACUCACAAUUGUGUCAAGUAUGAGUUCAGUUUAUGUUCAUGCAUAAUUGCAUUAAGUAUUUGAAAGCUAAAUAAGACUAUGUGUAAUUCAAAGAAUACCUACAAUGCUCACAGCUUAUCAUAGAAUGAGAACUCAAUUGUCUUUCUUCCAGUCAUAAGAGUUUGUGCUCUUUGAGCCUCUGACUUGCACAACUCAAGAUGGCAGGACGUGCCAAAAAGUCUUCUUCACCUUAAAUGUUAUUCAAAUCUGCAAUAUAAAUCUUGAUAAGAAAAUUUUCUACAAAUAUAACAUGUUACAAAAAAAAUAACAAUAUGUUAGUUUAAAAUUGAAGAGCAUUUCAAACCAAACAAAGUAGAAAAUUUUUCAAUGUUUAUCACUGACCUAAAAACUUGUAUGUUGGAUAAAAUUCAUGCUAAUGAAUCCUGACAAUUGCUUGCAAUCAAAAUUUAGUAAUGACUUAUAAAAAUAAAUUACAAAAUUCUUUAGCAAUGUUCCAUGAAAAACACAUUGUACAUUGAUUAAGAAAUUCAUAUGAAAUCCACUAAUUUGAAAGACACCAAAAACCAGAUGUUGUCUUAAGUUCUCCAUGUAUCAAAAUAGAUGCAAGUUUCUAUUCGAGCCACCACAAUCACGGAGUACGAGACUUCUUAGCAUGGAAGGCAUACUAGAUUUCAAACAAAGUUCUUAACUUUCCAAGAGACAUAAGAACAUGGUGUGUUGCAUAAACUGUAGAAUAAAUAAAUGGAAGUUAAACACACAUGCACUUGCUACUUAUUUUUUUUAAUCAUCUAUGAAAUAAAUAAAGAGGUGUUACUUGCAUUCAAUCCAAACUUGUGGUCUUCAAUGUGAAAUCCAAAUCUCAUUUUGUCAACACAAUAAGAGCAUUAAACAUACAACAAAUUGAAUCCUUCCCUUUAACAAUGUGAAAACCUGAAAGAAAUGACUUGGGAUCAUAAAUAAUUAUACGAUAAAGAAAACUUUCAUUAUUUUUUCUAAAAGAAAAAUCUGUUAUUUCCUUGAUUACGGAAGAUAGAUAUUAUUAAGGUAAACUUUGUGCAUUAUACAUUGAAAUUAGAAAAUUGUAUUUAAAUCCAGUUAGAAAGGUGCCACAAAAAAUGCAUAAUUGAAAUGAAGGCAUCCAUGCCAAUUUGUGACUGUUGUCAAAUAACAGCCUCCCUUGACAUUUUGGGUCCCAUGCCUGCAUGUCAAAUCUCCAACUAAGACUACUCAAAGAGCACCUAAAAGAAAAUUACCAAGAUUUCAUCACAUGCAGAACUCGAGAUGCUAACAUGGAACCAUGGGAGAAAUCGAAAAGAAACAAAAUACUCACCCAUAAGUUUGUAAUUUUUGUACUCAAAACCCGUUUCCUAGUCAAACUUUCAACACAACUCCAUAGAGACUUUCACAAAUAGUUAAGCCACUAGUAGAAAACAACAUCAAUAUGAGAAAUUGACAAGGUACUGUGUAGAUAAAAAAGUAUAAAUAUGUGUUGAGAAUAAGAGUUACCUUAAUGAAUGUAAGGAUAGGAUAGGGUUGAAUUAGCUCUGCACCUAUUUUUGCAAUUUGAAUUUGUGACGGUUCAAAUAUGAGAUUAUGAUCUAUCCUCACUUUAGGGGAAGCGGGCAAUCUCCUUGAAACAUCUUUGAUUUAGAGAUUCGAUAAAACUCAUCUUGAAGCACCUUAUUACUGAUGAAUUGAGCACCAAUAAAUCUUGGUGUUGAUAUAGCUAUGAAUGUGCGCAAGUGCUCCUUCUUAUAAAACCUUUCAAACUUUUUAAAUGUAUCAUAAUUAUCACAAACAAGUGAUGAAUGACGAGUACUUUUAGGAAUGAGAUAUUACAAAUUCUUUUUGAACUCAUCAUCCAAAUGCAAGCAUGUAUCUCUAGCAACAUAUUUAGCUAGAGCAUGGACAAGGUCAUGCAUCAUGAAUCGUGAUCUAUUGCUACUCGACGAUUGAAAAAAUGACCUUGACAAUAGCUCAUCAAAAUACUUAUCACCAAGAUCUUCCAUUUUCCUAUUAUCUUUUGAUUGUUAAAUUAACCCCUCCACCAUCCACAGGAGGAUUAACUCUUGCUUUGUAAACUCAUAAUCCUGUGAAAAAAUUGCACAAUAAGUAAAACACCUCUUUAAAUGUGAAGACAGAUGAUAGUAGUUCAAUCUCAAGGCAGGGAUGAUGUCAUAUUCAUUUUUCGUGAAAUCCCAUACUUUGUUGUACAAUACUCUUUCUCAUUCAUAUUCACGUAGUUCAGAGCGCAAAAGGCCACCAAAGGCUCUUGCUGCUAAGGGUGAACCUCCACACUUCUCUACAAUUCUCCUACCAAUUGAUUCCAAAUUUGGGUGCUCAUCGAUAUUCAUAUGUUCAAAAGCAUGUGUUUAAAUAUCUUCAAACAAUCAUCAUAAGGUAACUAUUUGAGCUUAUGUAAGUUCUUGCGUCCUCUCAUCUUGUUUGCAACAUUAUUAUUUCGAGUUGUGACUAGAAUUUUGCUUCCCUCUGCUCCCACCUAGAAAGUGGAGAAUAGCCUGUCCAACUCAAAGUAAUCAUCAUUCCACAAAUUAUCCAAAACUAUCAAAAAAUAUUUUCCCUUCAAUUCCUUCCUCAAAGUUUCUUGAAUUUGAUGCAGUCUUGUGAAUCACUGCUUUGAGAAUUAGUCACCAAGUUGAGAAUUGCCUUUGUUAUUCUCACUGCAUCGAACUGAUCUGAGACACAAACCCAGGCUAUUUUAUGAAAAUGCUCGGUUAUGGUCUUAUCGUCAUCGUACACUAGUCUUGCUAGUGUGGUCUUACCCAUCCCACCCAAGGCCAUGAUGGAAACUACAGAACAAUUGGUUUUAGUGGGUUCAUUCCUAAGCAGCAUAUCAAUUAUAAUAUCUUUUUCUGUCCCCCUGCCAUAAACCUGAGGUUCAUAUCCUAGAGAUAUAGUGAUUGGCCUUCCCCAAGCAAAGUUGGUUAUCGCAGCCACCUUUUCUAGAUGAAGCUUAGAUUUUUUAGCCGAAAUAUUGAUUACUACCAAAAAGUGCUAUUUUUUAGACCUAAUUAUAAUGGUUUUAAGCACCUUUGAGUAGUAAUCAUAUUCAUUUAACCCAAUUAAUUCAUUAAGGUCCUUAGUAAUUGGUUUUAACCAUUUUGUGGCAAGUUUACAUGUUUAUAUCAGCUUAUGAAUCAAUUCAAGCAUGCCAAAUGAUGGAGGAGCUACUUGGACAAGUUAAAGCAAGCUUUUAGCUACACCAAAGCAAGCCAACAAAAGGAGAAAAGCAAAGUGAAGCAAAGAGAAGCAAAAAGAAGCAAAGAGGAAAACAGAGGACAGCAGCUGCAGUCUUCUUUGGCACUUUUGGAGCACUUCCCGAAGUCCAUUUUCUACAUUCUAUAUACCAUUUCAAAUCUCAGGAAGUCAAGAAUCCAACGCUUCAAACCGUGUACGAUUUGGAGCUGAAAUGAGGAAGAUAUGGCCUUCGGAAGACAACUACUCCAGGGGUGUGCGAAAAUUUCGCACAACACCUUCCAAAUUCGCACACCCCCUUGCGUGGUGCGAAUUUUCCCCUGUUUCUGCCGACUCCAUACGAGAUCUUUUCUUUUGGAUAUUUUUGUAUAAAUUUCCAUUCUUCUCCUUGUAAUCCACCAAUCAUAAGAUUUCUUAGCUAGGAAGGUUGGAAAAACUUCUCUCUAUAUAUUCCCUUGCAUCCGGUGUAACAGAUAUCGAUCAAUAUAUAGAAUUUUUACAGAGCUCUCCCGUUUCUAUUUUCUUAGUAGCCAAACAGCCUCUGAGGGUUUUUCCUCAAAGGAUGAUUGGCUAAAACUUUUAGUUUCUCAAAGUAUGGAUGUUAUGUGAUGGCUUGGAUGCAAUCCCAUGGAAAUUUCUCGCACCCGGAAGGUAAGGUAGUCGUUUUUCAUUAAAGGUUCAUUAAUGCAAAGUUUGGUUUUUAUUUCCUUUGGACAACUUCCAACGGCCAAUACUUGAUAAGCUUUUAGAUUUCUAUCCAUUAGUUAUCUCCUACGAGCUAUUGGAAGGUGAGGUUUUCAAUUCCAAGUUUUGUAUUAAUCCGUUAGAACCAAUUUCAAUGGCCAUUGAAAGGUGAGUUUAUCACCUGGAAUGACUUUGAGUUGCCAAUAUUUGGUAAGCUUUUGGCUUUAGACCAUUAUUUAUCUCUUACGAGCCAUUCAAAGGAAGUCUAAGGUGAAUAACCAUUGAUGAAAUUCACUACCAUCUGUUUUGUCAUUUUAAAGGAUUAAAACUUGAUUUGCUAAAUCCAUACCGGUUCGGGAAGCAAGCAUCACCAUAGUUGCAACCCCAAUGCGAGGAGCCUAUCCUGAGAUUUCCAAUUUGCAUAAGAACCAGAGCAUAGCUAUCCUAUCUUUGAGAAACUUGUUUUUACACCCUUUCAUUUUAGUCUUUAAUGUUAGCUUAGAUUAGUUUAAAUCUUUCUAAAACAUUUACAUCUUCUUUUAAAGCUAACAUCCAUAAGAAAAUCACCUAUUUUCCUAAUUUGAAUAUCACUUGUGUUUGCGAAAACCCUUCCCAGUGAACGAUCCUAGAACCACUAUGCUAUAGUAGCUUGGCUACUUUAGUAAUAGUAUUCAAGGUAUAAAUUUUGUUGAUACGCCUUAAGCUAAGCUACCAUGAGUCGAAUCAAAUAUCUCGUAAGCGGCGAGUGAUUUCCAACACCUUGGACCUCAUGUUAAUAUAACGAAUAACCUCAGUAGGAUUGAAAAUGCCAAGACAAGUGGAGAUGAGCUUGCAUACCUUGCUUGGCCUGCCUUGAUGAUUAGCUUCGUUGGUCAUGAGCUCCCGUUGCAAAGCUUCCUAAGCGAACUCAUCCAAGAUGUCCUCCAUAUCAUAAGCCAAAUAUUUCAGAUUGCCCAACCACUCUUUCAUAGGGCAAUUCAUGAUCUGCUUGUCCUCCGUGUCAUUAAGCUCUUCACGAAUAUCUGACAAUUCUAUCUCUCAUUUCUUGAGAUCAGAAUACGUCCAUUGUUGGCGUGCAAAGUCAAGCAAAUCAGUGGAGGCCAACUUGUCAAACAAGAGGUCGAUGGUUGUAGAAAGAAGAGCCUUUCCCACAGCUUCCACCGCUGGUUUGUACUUUGUUUGCAGAGAGAGCAAAUCAAGCAAUGGGUAAAAAAAUAAAGCAGAAAGAAGGAGGUCUGCUCUGUGAAGGCUUUAAAUAUUAGAAACUCAUAAAACAUUUGUAAAAAAUGUUAUGCUGAUCAUAGAAGGAGACCCCUAGAGUUCCAUAUAGGAGAUCACGUGUUUUUAUCUGUAACACCUCGGAGAGGCCUAUUUCGAUUUGGUAAAAAGGGAAAGCUUACUCCAAGAUAUAUUGGGUCCUUUGAAAUCCUUCAAAAGAUUGGAGAGGUAGCAUACAAUUUAGCCUUACCACCACAGCUAUCAGGUAUACAUGAUAUGUUUCAUGUCUCCAUGUUGCGAAAGUAUGAGCCUGAUACCACACAUGUACUAGAUUGACAUGAUUUGAAUUUGCAAGAAGAUGCAACGUAUGAGGAAGGGCCGAGAGAAAUUUUAGAUAAGAAAAAGCAGGUACUACGAGCCAAAACCAUACCUCUAGUGAAAGUGUUAUGGGAUCAUCAUGUAGUGGAAGGAGUUACAUGGGAGUUGAAAUCAAAUAUGAGAAACAAGUACUCAAAACUCUUUACGGUUCGCUUUUUUAAAUUUCGAGGACGAAAUUUUUGUUAGGGGGAGUGGAUGUAAUACCUAGUACUAAUAAAUUAAAUAGGCAAUAAUGAUUAUCUUAGUACUUAACUUUAAAUGUGCUUAAUUAGAUGUUAAAACUAGUUUAGUGCUAAUCUUAUUUAAUUAUGAAUUAAACUUUGAUUAAGGUUAAGUGGGAUUAGUUAAUGACUUAAGCAUGCUUAUUAGGUUCUUAGGGGCUGAUUAGAGUUAUGAAAACCUAAAGGACUAAUGGGCAAUUGUAGGUUUAAUAUUGGCUAAUUUGGAGGACUGAAGUGCAAAAUUGGAAAGUUGGGGUUGAUGGCAGCCAUGUGGCCUGCCAUCUCCUACUUGGCUGCAUGGAGACCCCUUUAUAAGGGUUUGCAGCUCGUUUUGCAGCAUUUUACCUAUAGCAGCUUGGGUUAGAGAGAGGAUCUAGAGAGAGAAAGUGAAGAUUUGAGGUAAGCAAAUUGUUUAAUUUAGUAAUUUUGGUUUAUUUUGGUUCCUAAUAGUAUGUUGAAACAAAUUAACAAUAAAAUUUGUAUAAAACUUGAGUGUAAUUAGCUAUAAACAUAUUUUAGUUAAAAAUCACAAUUAAUUAAGGAUUAAAGUGUUUUACCUUAAGUAUUUUAUUAAUGGUGAGAUCAACAUAAAUCUUUGUUUAGUUUGGUUUGAUUGAAAAAGAGAUUGGUAAACAUGUGAUUAAUUAGGUUAUUUGGACAUCGAGACUUGUUAAUGGGUUAGGCUUUAGGAAAAAAAUCAAAACAAUUAGUGUUUGGUAAUUAUUUGGAGAAUAUGAGAAUUAAAAAUUAAUAAUAGUAAAUUGUUAAAAAUUAGUAAGAAAUGAAAAUUUCAUAAGUUUUAAUUGAAUAAAUUUUCAUGGUUAAGAAACCUAAAUUAUGUUAUUUUAUUUCAGUUCCUUGUAAUAGGUAAAGAUCACCUACAUAGAAGAAUCACAAAGGGCAAGUCAAUGUAAGGUAGGGAAGUUUAUGUUGUUCCAUGGUGUAUCUAAUUUCUUUCCUUGAAACAUUUAUUGGAAUUUCAUGUCAUUUCUAUGAUUUCAUAAAAUGUUUUAAUAUGUCAUUGCAUCUCGGUUUAUUGUAUUGAAAUGUUACAAUGAUAUUGGAACGUAUAUUGGUAUGAAGAUUCAUGGUUCUGUGUUGUGGAAAUGGUUCAUAGUGUGGCUGCAUUGCAAGAAGGAUAUGGAAUAAUCACAGAUGAUAUUCAGAGAAUUGAUUGUUGGGAAGUGUUUAUGUGAUGCUACAUGCAUUAUCCUUUGAUAUAUUGUUUAUGCGGGACCUUGGGUCCUUGGGUGAAAGUUCCUAAAGCCCUUGAGGAAGACACUCCAAUGUGGGUGUAUAGGGUUGGUCCUGCCACUAGGUUUUAGUCCCUAAAGACAUGGGGUUGGUCCUGUCCCUUUGUUUUAGUCCUUAAAGACACGGGGUUGGUCCCGCCCUUGGGCAUGAGUCCUAGAAAACACGGGGUAUGACUUACCCUUGGAUGAUGUCCUAGAAUAGUCAUUAUUAUAUUGACCGAGUAUCUUGUGGAGCAUUGAUAUCUGAUGUGUAGAUUGGUGGGGGUUAACAAUUUAUCAAUUGUGAAAGGAUAGAUAAGAAAAAGCAAAGAUGAAACUAGCAAACACAUGCAUACAUGUUUGACAUGAUUACAUAUUUGUUAAUGGUUAUGAAAUGUUUAUCAAGCAUGUUAUUAUACAUUUAAUUCAAGGUUUUUAAGGGUAUGCUUAGGAUGGUUAUAAACUUUCCUACUGAGUUGUGAACUCAUCCUAUCCCUUCCACCUUUAGAUGCAGGUCAGAAGACCUAUGCUGGAAAUAAUGUUUAAGCAUUGCUUUUAUGUUGAUUGGAUGUUGUUUGCUCGCAUUGAAAGUGUUUUGAGGCUUUGCCUUUGUAUUAAAGACUAAAUCUUUUUGAAGUAAUGAUGUAAUGUAUAUUUGUUCUGUACACUUGUAGUAUGGGCUACCCGUAGUGAACCAUGGGGUUUUGGUAUAUGUAAAUUAACGUAGUAUAAGUUUCUUUUGUGAAAAGAAUCAUAUUUUGUUAACUACUAGUUACAAAGUUUAAUACAGGAUGUACUCUUUAUAAUAGGUUUUGCAUAUUCUCUUUUUGUGCAAAAUCAAGCUGGAACUCAACAUUUAAAUUUUUCUAUCCCCAUAUUUUGUUUGAGAGCACUUAUGUUGUGAUUGAGUAUCAAUUGUUAUGUUUGAAAGAAAAAAAAUGGGGGUGUGACAUUUAUUAACUUAGGUUUACAAAUUAAAAGUAGGUUGAUCUCCUACCUAUUCUUUUUAAAUUAAUCUUAAGAUCAAUAAGAAUCAUACAGACCAUAAUCAUUAGAAGUGCCAAAACAAAAAUCGGUUUGAUAUUUAAUUAGUUCAUUUUAUUAACUAUAGAAGAUGUAAAAUUUGUUAGGAGGUGUCUUAAAUUCCAAAUUAUAAUAUAUUUUUUUCUUUUGUAAGAAGAAUAUUACAUAGAAUAUUUCCAAAGUUUAUAUGUGAUUGUAAUUAAAUUGAAGCUAAUACAAAUAUAUUAAUAAAUAUUUUAAGACAUGAAGAGAAAAAGUUAUGGAAGAUAUGAAAAAGAUAUGUGAUCAAGAGUGAGAGACGUUGAUAGAAUACGAGGGUUCACUAAGGAAGGGUGUAGAUGUGAAGAAGAAUGAGAAACACUUAGUGGAGCAAAAUGAUUCAUGGUUUAUGAUAGAGAUACAAAGAGCAGGAAAAGUGGGAUGUUUGGGCCUUUGUAGUUGUCUAACCUUUGUAUGUGGUUUGCUUUAUUAAUGUGUUCUUCCUUUAAUAUGUUUAAAUUGAGGUUUCCGCUUUCCUUUUGGUCCUAAGAUGGAUUUUUUCAUGUAAUCAAUUAUGCUCAUUUCCAAUUUCAUUAGAAACUUGUGUUCUACAAUUUGGCAAACGAAAAUAAUUAUUUUUGUAUAAUUUUGUUAGUUAAUAAAAAGUAGAAAAUAGAUAAUAUUAGUGUAGACCCCCAUUUUGGGGAGACAUCUCUACAGCCCGAUUAUGAAAAGUGUCAUCGUCUGGGAUGACCACGUGUCACUCCAGGACUGGUUGAUAAGGUAUCAAGUUAGUGGUUUUGAUGGUCAAUGGAAGCUUGACACGUGGAGAUUUCUUUCAGCAGAAAAAGCUGAAAACCGUUGAGGCUGGCAGCUGCAGGGUAGUGGGGGGCAGAGGCUCGGCCGUUAGAGGGUGAGAGAGAGGUAAGUUUUUGGGGAGUUGAGAGAGAUUCUUGGAGAAGCAAGCUGAGAGAACCAGAGUGCUGCCUGGAGAUUUUUGUCGGAGGAAAGAGGGAAAAAGAGAGAUUCUGGAGGAGCAAGCUGGAUAUUCAGAGGUGAGGGAGGCAGCUACAGGGAAGCUUAAGGGAGGAGAAAAUAGAGGUAUGACUGCCCUGUAUCCGGGGAUUUUCUUUAUCACACUAUAGUCUUAUUCCCUUUUUCUUGAUAUUUUCUGUGGAUUUGUUCGAUUAUACGUUCAGUUUUACGAUUCCUGUGUGGUCCAUGGAUUUUAUUAUGGCUAUUUCAUCUAUUUUCCUUGGGGUGAUUUGAGAAUGAUACUACUCUGUUUUAGUUUUUACUACGCAUCAUAUAGGAGUCUUAUUUUGUUCUUAUCUCCAUGGAACGUAUUCUAGAUCACUCACCUACAGCCAAGCCUGUUGAUCUAAACAUGAAACAUGGCUCUGGUUGUUUUAUUGGUUUCAUUGGUUUGUGCUCUGUUUUGUUUUGCCAUUCCCCUGUUCUUGGUAUCCUACCUUGUUGUACAUCAGGCUGUAUGUCCCUACCUGAGGGAUUCAGGUAAAGCUAUCGUAGAACUAAGCUUAUGAGGGUUAUGGAUGAAUAAAGCUCCUCCAGAUGGUUUGGGUUUGCGCAAAGAUCUCGGAUAGGAAAGAAGCAGGGUAAUGCUCAAGUUGUAUCUUGAGGAAAUACUACAGCCGUGGUUGAUCUGGAUCAGUUUGUCACUAAGGAUAUUAUACCGAUCAACGAGAAAGAAGUCGUGUUGCCAUUAACUCAAGAGUUUCCUAAUUUCUACAAUAAGGAGUACCUUGCCUUGCCUAGUGAACUAGAGCCAUUUUCAGAGAAAGCCUCCUUCAUGACUGCCAUUGACUAUGUCGUUUAUGAGAAGAGUGAUAUUUUCAUGCCAUCUCAUGCCGGAAAUCAUGUGCUCUGAGUUGUGAGUUUUAUUUCAUAUAUGAUUGAUUUUGGUUGACGAACCAGAUGCCAUUGCACCUUGCCGUGAGUGCACUCUUGCUGCUGUCUUCACCGAACUGCUCCAGUUUAGCUGACCUUGACCAUUCCGAAUGAAUAUUUGAGAAUGAUACAAGUAUUUGGAUGCCUUGUUCACUGCUGCAGGAGGAUCUCGGGUCUGGCUGAUACCAUCCGUGGCGCUAAGGAAGCUCAGAGGAGCAACAGUCGCGAGUUUCGUCUCCGGCGACGCCCACUGAAGAAGUCCAAUGUUUUUUUUCUCUUCAGAAUCACCCCGUCUGCACCACCGCUGCCGUCACCACCGCGAGCAUCAGUCGUCCAUCCACUCAUCGGACGAUCAGAAAUCUCAUGGCCUGGGACAGAGCCUCUCACCUCUGCUUGAGCGCACUCUAGUCUUUCAAACCAUCACUCCAAAGAUUGGCUGCNNNNNNNNNNNNNNNNNNNNNNNNNNNNNNNNNNNNNNNNNNNNNNNNNNNNNNNNNNNNNNNNNNNNNNNNNNNNNNNNNNNNNNNNNNNNNNNNNNNNGCUCUUUUGCUUGAACUAGAAAAUCUCUGCUCUGUAGGUUCCAAAAGUAUUUUAUUUAGCCAGUGGACUGCCUUUCUCGACCUCUUGCAGAUUCCCCUUUCUCGGAGUAACAUAUCAUUUGUUCGUCUGGAUGGAACUCUGAAUCAGCAGCAACGGGAAAAAGUGAUUAAACAAUUCUCAGAGGAAAGCCACAUCCUGGUCUUGCUAAUGUCAUUGAAGGCUGGUGGAGUUGGAAUAAACCUAAUGGCUGCGUCCCAUGCCUUUGUUUUGGAUCCAUGGUGGAAUCCAGCUGUAGAGGAACAAGCUGUUAUGCGCAUUCAUCGUAUUGGACAAACAAAAAGGGUAAUGAUCAAGCGGUUCAUUGCGAAGGGAACAAUACAGAGGAGUGCAUUGAUUGCUUCAAAGAUGCAAAGUAGAGCAACAUGAGAAAAUGCGCACUGCAUGGCCACCUUUCUGAGCCACGUGCCACCCCCCAAAAUUCUUUCCCUUUAGUUUCAAAAAUAAUUUCCUAACUCCGUUUUCAAAUGUUUUUCUAGCUUAUGUCAUUAUCAUUAUUAUUAUUAUUAUUAUUUUAUCUUUUUAUUUUUUUAAAGCGACUUCAAAUCAUCAAAUCUCUCAUCUUUAGAGUUUUAGGUAUCAAAAAUCCUAUUUUCAAUAAAAUUUGGCCGCCACUUUCUUUUUGGCGAGCCACCUUCGAAUUUUUCAUAAUUUUAAAAUAUUUUAAAAUAAACAUGAAUUUAAAUUCUGUAAUUCCGAGUGAUGGAAUUUACGGAAUUAAUUCAUGCAAAAAUAACGGGCUUUGGUGGGGGCCCUACAUAUGUGAUUUCAUGAUUGAUUUACUGAUUAGUUGAUUGGCUUUCCCGACAUGAUUGAUUUGCUCUGUUCUUGAUAUGCGCUUAAUUAUAUCUGUUCAUAAUUCACUAACCCUGUUCCAUGUUAGCGCGUUGCUGUUUGCUUCCCAGGUACGCAUCCGCUCAUAUUCUGGUUAUUUUCUAUACAUAUUCUGAUUCUCAUAUGUGCAUGAUUGAUUUGAGUAUUUAUUGAUUUCCUCAUCAUUGCCACACCAGCUUCAUUCUAUUAGUAGAGACCCGACAUUAGGGACUUAGAGGGAUGCUACGGUCCGUACCGUACCUUCCCGAUAAGUAACCUGACCCCUGAACCCGAUCCGGUUUUUCACAAACCGCCUUUUCCAAAAUAAGGAGUCACACUUAGGGUUUUUCUUUCUUAUUUUGUUUACCCUUUUAAAAAUAAAACAAAAAUAAGUGGCGACUCCAAGUCAUUUUUGAAUAAAUAAAAUUCAUUUUUCAAAUAAAAUAAAGAUCGAGCUCGUCAUCGAGUGGGAAACGCAUGAGCACGAAAUGCGGGGUCCACAAUUAGCCAUCAAAUAGAAAGAUAAAUAUGACAAUUAAUGUAUUUUCAAAUCAAAUUUGUACUUAGAUGGUUUUGCUUAUAUGAAGUAAUUUAAUGCAACUAUGAAGAUUUAUAUGUAGUAAACUUUAUAUAAUUUUAGAUUUAAUAAUCAAUUAAUUUUUAUUUGAAGAUAUAAAAACAUAAAAUAAAAGUCUUGUUUGAAAACUAUUAUUGAAAACAACAAGAAAAAUGGGGUUUUUUCACUUAGAAAUAUACAUUUGACAAACUUCUAAUAUAAAACAAUUUAUUUUUAGAAUUUAUUCUUAAAAUAAGUUAUUUUUUAGAACAAAAUUGAAAUGUUUUUAUUUUUUCACAACAAUUUAAAUAAAAAUUGAAGAUAUAGAUAAUAUAUAUUUUGGAAAAUUUUGUAUCAUAUUUAAGUGUACAAUUCCUUUGUAAAGAAUAAAUCGAAACGAAUAAUAGCUAUUUUCAAGAAUUUUGAAGAAUUAUUUUCACAAAUGUUGUGAAAUAAGCUCAAAACUUUCUACAACAUUUGUAUUAAUCUUGAAUUCGAUCAAAAUCUUGCCACAAUUGAAAAGAGAAAAAAAAUGUUAAUUAGUUGGUUAAUUUUUACAAUCCUAAUAAUAAUAAUAAUAAUAAUUCAAAAGUUUUAAAAUAAAAAUCUCACUAGCUAAAAUAAAUAUUAACUAUCAAAAUAAAAGAUUAUAUAAUAUUUUUCUAUUUUUGACUCUAUAAUCAAGAAUGUUCUUAUAAUUUCUUUUACAAUAACAAUAACAUACUAAAGUAGAAAGAGAUUAAAAUGGGAAAAAAAAUUAUUAACAAUAAAAUUCAUAAAAAGAAAUGAAAAUUAAGAAGAUUUCAAUCCACUUCAAAUGUAUUUCAAUGAAAUAGUAUUACAUUUAAAUUAUUGAAGGUCAUACCAAUUUAUUUUCUUCCUUUUUUAAUACUUAAUUUUGUUAUCAAUCAAUGAAAAUUUUAUUAAUCAAGGAAAAUGAGAAAAUAAAAUAUUUUUCUUGAAAGGUGAUGAAUUUGUUAAGAAAGGAAAACAAAAGGUCUUUUAUGGGAUACUUUAUUAAAUUAAGUUAAUAACUUAAUUUAAAUCAUUAAAUAAAUUAAGUAUGUUUAGUAAAAUAACAUAAUUGAUUUAAAUCAUUAAUAAUGUUUAUAUGAAAGCUUCUGGUAGCAUAACUUAAAGAAUGAAAGAAAUAUUUAAGUUAUGCAUACUUUCUAGAAAAUAUCAAGGAAAGAAAAAUAUUUUAAAAAAUAAUUUUUUUUAUAUUUGGGUUUAUCAUAAAAAGUAAGAAAGAAAAUCGGAUAUAGUUAAAGUUAAUUAGAGAUUAAUUUAUGCUUUUUAAAAUUAUUUAAUCUUUACACAAAAAUAUUAAAGUGUAAUGAAUUUGAAAUAACACAAAAUAAUUUAUUAACUUGAAAUCUAUUUUUUAUUUUUCUUUAUUUUUUCUUUCUUUCUAAUUUUCUCUUUGUUUUCUUUUUCUCUAACUCCCUCAAAUUUUCUAGAAACCAAAUAUAGUCUUAACAUGUGUUGGACAAUAAACUUGUUAUUUUAUGAACUUCAAAUAUUCAAAUUUCACGGAGAAGGAAUCUAAUAUCUAUCUCAAUUUAUAUGCAUCCCAUUUUUACCACUAGCAAACCUUAAUCACAACUUUGUUUAAUAAUGAAAGAACUUGUACAAGUAAAAAUAGAAUUUCUAUAAGAUGCAAAAAAAAUUUGGCUUCCACAUCUACUCAAAUAAGCAUAGAACUUUUUCUUCAACUUUUAAGUUUUUGACUUCUCAAAAAUCAAUUUAAAUUGGAUUGAUAAAUUAUAAAAGGUUACAAUAUAAUAUUACAAUGUAUAAAUAUUAUUUUUUCUACUAGAUUUUCCAUGAAAUUAUUUAUUUAUUGAAAUUGAAAUGUCCUUUGGUAUUUGUUUGUACCUAUAAAAAUUAAAGAAUUAUUUUAAAUCUUAGGUAUGGUGAUGCUUAAGUAUUUAAUAAUUUUAAUUAGAUAAUUACAUUUUACAUAUAAAAUAAUUAAUUACAUUUUUGUAGACCCUCGUUUUGAGGUCUUUGGUUUUAUUUUGAGAGCCUUUUUUGGGUGGGGCCACUUUGGAGGAUUUUUGGGCAGCACCACUUUUGAAAAAAAAAAACCGGGCAGCAGCUGGUUGUUUUUUGGGGGGAAAAAUAGAUACUUUUAGGAUAGGAGCAGCUGGGAGAUUUGAGAAAAAAAGAAGAGAAAACAGGGGCAAAAAGAAGAGAGGUUUUUUUUUGGGGGGAAAAGAAAAUCUGGAGAGAAAAACGGGCAGCCAGCAAGGGAAGUUUUUUUGGAGAAAAAAAAAAUCUGGAGAGUUGAACUGAAAACGGGCAGCAGCUGGGUGAUAUUUUGGAAGCGGAUUAGUUCAUGUUGGAAGGAGCAUUUCUGGAGGAAUCAAUCUCCGGAAGCAUUUGCCUCCAACAAAGAUCUGGUUUGUUUUUCUUCAUUUAAUCUUUUAGGGUUUUGAUAUCUUUGAGUAUCAGAGAAAUGUACUGAACAUAUGAAAACAUUUGUACUGCCUAGUUCUUAUUCGUGCUUUGCAUAGUGGUGAUUUUUCAUGAUAUUGAUGUUGGGUUUUUAUCUUGUUUCUCCAUGAAUGGUUUGGUUUGGAUUUGCUGAAUGAAAUAUUACCCUUCAGUGCAUUUACAGUGGCCACGUGUCAUUUUUUUAUUUUAUUUUUAUUAUUUUAUUAUUUUAAUGUUAAAAGUUUUGUUUAUUUGAUUAUUUUAUUUAUUCUUUUUCACGUAUAUAUUCUCCAAUAACUCUUUAAAAUUUCCUAAAAUUUCAAAGUUCCAAAUUUAUUUAUUUAUUUAUUUAUUUUAAAAAUACCAUUCUCGAAAUAGUUUUCUAAAAUUUGAUUUUAAAUUUAGUUUUCAAAACUUUAAUUCUCGACAUUCACUCUUCCAAAACUCUAUUUUUUAAAAUUUAAUCCUUUAAAAUUCAAUUCUCGAAAUAAUUUUCUAAAAUUCUAAUUUUAAAUUUAAUUUCCCAAGAUUCAAAUUUUUAAAAUUUAAUUUUCCGAAAAUUCCACAACCCCAAAUUUAAUUUUUAUUUUUAUUUUUUACUUUUUUUAUUUUAUUUUAUUUUUUUCUAUUUUUUUUAUGCCACCUUCAAAUAAAUUAUUGAAACUCCAAUUCCUUUUUAUUCAUUUACUUAUUAAUUUUUAAAAUUCCAUCUUUUAGAUAAUUCUUCAAAAUUCCGAUUUCCGAAUUUAAUUCUCAAUUUCUGAAAUUCCAAUUUUCUAAUUUCCGAAUGUAAUUUCUAAUUUUUAAAAUUCCAAAUUCUCAAAUAAUUUUCAAAGUUUCAAUUUCUUUCAAAUUUAAUUUCCGAAAUUCCAAUUUUUAAAUUUAAUUUGCGAAUCUCCAAUUCUCGAUUAAUUUUCGAAAUUCCAAUUCCUUUCAAAUUUAAUUCCCAAAAUUCCAUUUCUUAAAUUUAACUCCCAAGACUUCAAUUUUCAAAUAAUUUUCGAGACUCCAACUUUCAAAUAAACUUCAAAAAUUCAGUUUUCACCCGAACAAUUUUAAUUCUACUUUGAUUUUCAAAUAAUCUUCUUCUUCUCUUGAUUUUACAUAAGCACGAAUGCAAUUUUCAUAAUUCCUGAAUAAUGGAAUUUGUGAGACUAAUUCGUGCAAGAUAGAUCGAGCUUUGGUGAGGGCCCCACAUACGUGAUUUUAUGAUCGAUUAAUUGAUUGGUUGAUUGGAUUGUCAUGCGGAAUUGAUUUAUGCUAUUCUAUAAUAUGCACAUGAUUAUUCUAUGUUGGUUCACUAACCUUGGCUUCCCAUGAGACAAAUCUGUUCUUCACUUAGGUACGUUAUUUGUCUCUCCUAUUCAUUCAGUUAUUCUGUUUUGAAUUAUAUUUAUUGGUAUCCAUGCUUGAUUAAUCAAUUGCCAUGAUUACUUCAUUUUAUUAGUAGAGACCCAUUUUAGGGGCUUAGAGGGGUGCUACGGUCUUUACCGUACCUUCCCGAUAAGUAACCUGACUCCCGAACCCGAUCCAGUUUUUCACAGACCAUCUUUUCCGAAAUAAGGAGUCACACUUAGAGUUUUUCUUUUUUAUUUUGUUUACCCUUUAAAAAUAAAACAAAAAUAAGUGGCGACUCCAAGUCAAUUUUUUUUCGACCAAUUAAAUCAUUUUUCAAGUAAAAAUCGAGCUCACCAUUCGAGUGGGAAACGCAUGAACCAAAAUGCGGGGUUCACAAUUUUAUAUUAUAUUAUUUAAUUAAUGAUAUUUAAAUUUUAAUUAGUUUUUAAUAAUUUAAUUAAUAGUUAAAUAAUUAGAUUUAUUUAUGUUUAAAUCUAAUUAACAAUAAGUUCAAUGCAACAAGAAAAAAAAUAGCUUAUCGUUAUUAUUUUGAAGUGGAUUUUGAUUUUAAAUUUUACUAGUAGAUUUGCUUGACUAACCUUAUAAAUUAGUAGAAUUUAACAAGUUACAAAUAGUUCCCCCACCUAAUCUUUUAAAUUAAUCUUGAUGUUGACAACCAUAAUUAUAAAAAGACAAAUAAGUUGAGUUAAUUUACUAGAUUGCAAGUGGGUGCCCUUACCUAAUCUUUUAAAUUAAUCUUUAUGUUCACAAGCACUUUGCCAACCAUAAUUAUAAAGGACAGAUAAGUCAAGCUGAUUUUACUAAAUUGAGAUUAAUAAAUUGCAAGUGGGUGCCCUUUACCUAAUCUUUUAAUUUAAUCUUCAUAUUGAUAAGAACCAAAUCGGCCAUAAUUAUAAAAACAAGAAGACGACAAACUAUGAUUACUUUUAUUAACUAAAAUUUAAUAAAUCACAAAUUCUCUUACCAAACCUUUAGAUUAAUCUUGAUAACUUUGCAAUAGUAAUUAUAAAAAGAGGAAGAUGACAAACUAAUUUAAUUGCUAAUUUUAUUAACUUAGGUUUAAUAAAUUAAAAGUAGGUUGAUCUCUUACCUAUCCCUUUUAAAUUUAAUCUUGAGAUCAAUAAGAAUCAUACAGACCAUAAUCAUAAGAAUAGCCAAAACAAAAGUCGAUUUGAUAUUUAAUUAGUUAAUUUUAUUAACUAUAAGAUAUAAAAAAAAUUGUUAAGAGGUGUCUUAAAUUCUAAAUUAGAAUAUACGAUUUUUUGGUGAAAAGAAUAUUACAUAGAAUAUUUCCAAAGUUUAUAUGUGAUUGUAAUUAAAUUCAAGCUAGUACAAAUAUAUUUAUAAAUAUUUUAGGACAUGAAGAGAAAAAAUUAUGGAAGAUAUGAAAAAGAGGUGUGAUCAAGAGCGAGAGACAUUGGUAGAACAAGAGGGUUCACUAGGGAAGGGUGUAGAUGUGAAGAAGAAUGAGAAACACUUAGUGGAGCAAAAUGAUUCAUGGUUUAUGAUAGAGAUACAAAGAGCUAGAAAAGUGAGAUGUCUAGGCCUUGGUAGUUGUCUAACCUUUAUAUGUGGUUUGCUUUAUUCAUGUGUUCUUCCUUUAAUCUUUUUAAAUUGAGGUUUCCAUUUUUCUUUUGUUCCUAAGAUGGAUUUUCUCAUGUAAUCAAUUAUGCCCGUUUCCAAUUUCAUUAGAAACUUGUGUUCUACAAUUUGGGAAAUGAAAAUAAUUAUUUUUGUAUAAUUUUGUUAGUUAAUAAAAAGUAUAAUAUAGAUAAUAUUAGCCAUCAACUAUAAAGAUAAAUAUGACAAUUAAUGUGUUUUCACAUCAUAUUUGUACUUAGAUGGUUUUGCUUGUAUGCAGUAAUUUAAUGCAACUAUGAAGAUUUAUAUGAAAUAAGCUUUAUAUAAUUUUAGAUUUAAUAAUCGAUUAAUUUUUAUUUGAAGAUACAAAAACAUAAAAUAAAAGUCUUGUUCGAAAACUAUUAUUGAAAACAACAUGAAAAAUGGGGUUUCUUCACUUAGAAAUAUACAUUUGACAAACUUAUGAUAUAAAACAAUUUAUUUUUAGAAUUUAUUCUUAAAAUAAGUUAUUUUUCAUAACAAAAUUAAAAUUUUUAAAAUUUUUUCACAAUAAUUUAAAUAAAAAUUGAAGAUAUAGAUAAUAUAUAUUUUGGAAAAUUUUGUAUUGUAUUUAAGUGUACAAUUCCUUUGUAAAGAAUAAAUCGAAACGGGUAAUAACUAUUUUCAAAAAUUGUUUUGAAGAAUUAUUUUUUGAGAAUUAUUUUCACAAAUGUUAUCAAAUAAGCUCAAAACUUUCUACAUCAUUUAUAUUAGUCUUGAGUUCAAUCAAAAUCUUGCCACAAUUGAAAAGAGAAAAAAAAAAAGUUAAGUAGUUGGUUAAUUUUUACAAUCCUAAAAAAAAAAAAUAAUAAUAAUAAUAAUAAUAAUUAAAAAAAUUUUAAAUAAUAAUCUCACUAGCUAAAAUAAAAAUUCACUAUCAAAAUAAAAUAUUAUCUAUUAUUUUUCUAUUUUUGACUUAUAAUCAAGAAUGUUCAUAUAAUUUCUUUUACAAUAACAUACUAAAGUAGAAAGAUAUUAAAAUGGAAAAAGAAAAUGAUUAACAAUAAAAUUCAUGAAAAGAAAUGAAAAUUAAGAAGAUUUUAAUCCACUUGAAAUUUAUUUCAAUGAAAUAGUAUUGCUUUUAAAUUGUUUAAGGUUGUGAAAUCAAGGUUUGGUUAAUCUCGGUUUUGAUGAUAACAAAACAAGGUUUAGAACUAAUGACUAUAUUUCAAGUGUGAUUAGGCAAGACGAUUUCUAAAGUGGCAAUCACAAAGACAAUUCAAGCUAAAGAGAAAUCAUGAAGAAGAAGACCACCUCAAAGAGAAGAAUUUUUUCAAGACCAAAGCUUCAUAAGAUCUCUUUGUAAGGUUGUUGGUGCACUAGGAUUUUCAUGCAUUAUUUUCUUUACUUAUGCACCUAAAUCAUCCAAGAGUUAUUUUGUUUUAAAUAUUUUUAAAAUUGGAUGAUUUCAUGUUUUCAACUAAAACCUUGUGUCAAAUGUUGUUUCAAACUUGUUUAAAAGGUUUUAAAGUUGAAAAAAUUGGUUUUUGAGCCAAAAACGGCUCAAUCGACUAAAUCGGGUUAACCGGAUGAACAGUAACCGAUCGACCCCUAGCUCAACCGGUUGAGGUAUGAACAAUACCGGUUGACCCAUGAACAGUCUCGGUUGACCGGUACAAAAAUUUUCUCUCUCUUCCAGAAUGCUUGUUCAACCGGUCAAGGUUGAACCUCAACCGGUUGAGGUCCAGUUGAGGCCCAACGGUCACCUGCCAACAUUAAAUGCUAACGACUAGUCAACCAGUCGACCCCUAGCUCGACCGGUCGAACCUCCAACGGCUAGUUUAGUUUUUUUCUUCUAUAAAAAUGCUCUAAUCUUCAUUGUUUCAUAAGCUUAACCUUCUCAAAUUAUUCUUGAUUAUAUUUGAGUCUUGGAAGAGUAUUUUUUAGUGCACUAUUAUUCCAAAACUUGCAUAUCUUUAGUGCACCAUUCAAUCCUAGUUUUUCUUGUAUCAUUUGAGCUUAAAAGUUUUGUACUAGGAUUUUGUGAGAUAUUUAUUUGUAAACCUUUGAGAGGAAGUUUCUCAAGCGUGUGAUAUCACUUGAAGGGUUGUUCAAGAGUGGGAUAUCACUUGAGAAGUGUAAAGGGUGCUUGGAGCCAAAAGUCCAAGAGGGUGAAUUGGAACCAUAAUCCAAUUGUAUAGCUUGAAGGCUUGGUUUGGAAGCCUUGAAUUAGUGGAACCUCAAGCUCGGGAUUGAAGCUAGAGGAGAGUGGAUGUAAGUCGGGUUGCGUUGAACCACUAUAAAUCUUGUGUUUGCAUUCUCUCUUCUCUACUCUUUUAAAUUAUAUGCAAUUGUCAUUCUAUUGUUUAUUAUAUACUUGCAUAUAAUUGUUUCUUACUUUCACUUAGUUUAAAUUUGCAAAAAGAUACCAUCACCCUAUUCACACCCCCCCCCCCCCCCCCCUUUGGGGGAUUACCAUAGGGUGGAUUAACCCAAAUUUCCUAAAAAAAGGCAUACCAAAGGAUUUUCUUUCUUUUUUAAAACUUAAUUUUUUUAUCAAAAAAUGAAAAUUUUUCUAAUCAAGGGAAAUGAGAAAAAAAAAAAUUUUUUUUGAAAAUUUAUGAAUUUUUUAAAAAAAGAAAAAAAAAAGGCUUUUUUGGGAAACUUUUUUAAAUUUAAAUAAUAAACUAAUUUUAAAUUUUAAAAAAAAUAAAGAUGUUUAAAAAAAAAACAAAAAGGGAUGAUUUAAAAAAUAAAAAAAACUUUUAAAAAAAAAAAAAAAAAAAUAAAUUAUUCUUAAANNNNNNNNNNNNNNNNNNNNNNNNNNNNNNNNNNNNNNNNNNNNNNNNNNNNNNNNNNNNNNNNNNNNNNNNNNNNNNNNNNNNNNNNNNNNNNNNNNNNGUAGAAAGUUUUGAGCUUAUUUUGAUAACAUUUGUGAAAAUAAUUCUCAAAAAAUAAUUCUUCAAAACAAUUUUUGAAAAUAGUUAUUACCCGUUUCGAUUUAUUCUUUACAAAGGAAUUGUACACUUAAAUACAAUACAAAAUUUUCCAAAAUAUAUAUUAUCUAUAUCUUCAAUUUUUAUUUAAAUUAUUGUGAAAAAAUUUUAAAAAUUUUAAUUUUGUUAUGAAAAAUAACUUAUUUUAAGAAUAAAUUCUAAAAAUAAAUUGUUUUAUAUCAUAAGUUUGUCAAAUGUAUAUUUCUAAGUGAAGAAACCCCAUUUUUCAUGUUGUUUUCAAUAAUAGUUUUCGAACAAGACUUUUAUUUUAUGUUUUUGUAUCUUCAAAUAAAAAUUAAUCGAUUAUUAAAUCUAAAAUUAUAUAAAGCUUAUUUCAUAUAAAUCUUCAUAGUUGCAUUAAAUUACUGCAUACAAGCAAAACCAUCUAAGUACAAAUCCCCCCCCCCCCCCCCCUUUAGGGUGAUUACCAUAGGUUGGAUUAGCCUAAAUUUCCUAACAAAGGUCAUACCAAUGUAUUUUCUUUCUUUUUUAAUACUUAAUUUUGUUAUCAAACAAUGAAAAUUUUACUAAUCAAGGAAAAUGAGAAAAGAAAAUAUUUUUCUUGAAAGUUGAUGAAUUUGUUAAGAAAGGAAAACAAAAGGUCUUUUAUGGGAUACUUUAUUAAAUUAAAUUAAUAACUUAAUUUAAAUUAUUAAAUAAAUUAAGUAUGUUUAAUAAAAUAACAUAAUGGUAUGAUUUAAAAUAUAAAAAAAACUUUAAAUAAUAAAUAAAAAUAAUUAACUUAUUCUUAAAUUCAUAUUUUUAUUUUACCUUUUUAUCCCAAUUUGCCAUAAUUACCUUCACAAUCUCCUUUACUAUUCCACGACCUUUAUUUUUACACGACCUCAUUUACCCUAAUUAUAAUUUAUGAGGAUAAAUAUGUCAAUUUGAUCAUUUAGAAUUAAUCAUAAGUUAUUUUUAUCACACAAUCUUAAUACUUAAAAUAAGAAUUAAACAAUAAGUUUUAAGUUAACAAUUUAAGUUUAAUUUAACUAAAAGCCAACUUAAAUCAUUAAGUAAUUAGUAUUAAGUUUUAUCAAACACUUCCAUAUAAUUAGUUAAUUUUGAUUAAUCUAAUAAUAUAGAAAGUGAAAUAUACACAUUUUUUUAUUGGUAAGGUUGGUCUUGAACUUCUUUCACCAAAUCAUUUUUAUUAAUCUUAACAUCAUCAUUAGUUAAUUAUAUUUAAAGAAAAGAAAACCAAAAAAAAAAGUCAAUUUGGGUGACCAAUUUUUAUUGAAAAUUAAAACCAAACAAAAGUUGAUCAAUACAAAAGAAAAAAAAAUGAAUGGUAUGAAGUAGACAUUUUGUCUUUAUGAGAUUAUUGAUGGAAGUGUAAUAGACUAUAAACAAGUCUAUGAGAAUCAAUUCUAAUGAGUCCUAAAACAUAUCUAUAAGAAAUAAAAUAAAACCAUGAUAUAAAGAAAUGAUAUUUAAGUGUUUAUAAAUAGGAAUCGGAUACAUAUAAAUAAAAUUUAGAUUAAUUAUAAAUGAAACUAUUUUUAUUAUGUGGUUGUUUUUAAUGUACCACCAAUUUUUAUUUUUAUUUAUUUUUAUUUAUUUUUAUUUUUUUAUAUUCCAUAGAAAAAUUAAUUUCCAAUACCAUAGAAUCACCCUAAUUUCAAAUUGAGAUUUACUAUCUUAAAUUUUAAAUUUUUAAAAAAAUAAUUUUUAAGAGCAUGAACCAAAUCUAUAUUUUUUGUUAAGAAUUUCUAUUCUUUAUAUAGAAGUUUUUAUCAAUUUUUAUUUUUAAAAACAAAAAAUAAGUACUUAGAGUGCGUUUGACAAUAAUUUUAAGAAGUGUUUCUAAUAUUUUAAAUACUUGAAAAAUAAAUUUUUUUAUAUAUUGAAACAAUUGCAAAAUGCACUUUUAGUAUGUAAUGAUAUUAAUUUCUUCGAAGAGAGAGAUUUACAUUUUAGAUAAAAAUAAAUAAAUAAAACAAUACAAGGAUAAAAAAUUAUUUAAAAAAAAACUUUUAACUUCGUGUACUUUAUUAUUACACACUUUUUUCAUUAGAUGCUUUAAAUAAUUUUUUUGAAAUAAAAUUAUAAUUAUAUUGAUGGAGGGCUAAUUAACUUGGCUUUAGGUGAGAAAGAUAGAGAUAAGAUUGAAGUGGGUCCACAUCUAAAACAAAAAUGAAAUAAAAAGUAAAGAUGAAGAUAAGGUUGAGGUGGGUUCACAACUAAAAAAAGAAUGAAAUAAAAAGUAUGAGAUGAAUUGACCAAAGCUUAUGCCUUCUUCCAAAUAGUAAAAGCAAAGCCCAAUAGUAUAAAGUGAUGACACUAGUCCUAUUCAAGGCUCCACUUGCAUAAUUGCUACAUCUUUUGACUUGAUUUUAGUUCAAUUUCACUAAAAUGAAAUCAUUUAUUUGAGCCCAAAAAUUCAAAUCCAAAUCCAACCCACUUAUUUAUAUACAUUAUUGGCAUGGAAUGAGAAAAGUUAUAAAGUGAGAAAAUUUGAUCAUAUGAUAAAUAGUAAUUUUUCAAAGUUGGAGCCAAUCCAAUGCCCAAUGGGUAUAAAAGAAAAAUGAAAGAUGUGGAAAUUAUAGUGGAAUCUUGAAACAAAUUUUUGAGGUUUGAGGUGAUGUGACAACCGUUUCCAAGUAAUUGCCUAAGAAUGUGAGAUGUUAUUGCAUUGAAAAUUGAUAUUAAAUCUCAUUGGGUAACUAUAAGAAUUGCUUUACAUAAAGGCAAGUAAUAAAUAUAUCCUGCCUUUUCAAAAAGUUUAUGACCCUAACUAAGUGAAUAAAAUGGUGAAUAAAACUUUUAGAGUAGGAUGAAUGCAUUUCACGCGAGUCACGUCCUAAAUAUAUUUUUAGAAUUUUCUAGCAGGAUGUCGAGGAAAACUCUAUGAUGAGUGCUCUCUUUCUAGUUAAGGUAGGUCCAAUUUGGUGCAAUUUGCCAACAUAAUUCAAACCCAACAUAUGUUUUAGGGAUUUGAAUAGAGUAAAAUCAUAUUUAAAUUAAAUUAAUCAUAUGAAUCUACAUAACCUGUUUAAUAAAUAGAUUAUUUUUAGGUCUAUUUGGAUAACUCACAUUUGACUCAAAUUAACUUAUUUAAUAAUGGUAUUGAUUAACCUAAUAAUAACUUUAACUUAUUGAACUCAUAUUUGACUCAUGUAAAAUUUGUUUUUCAAUAAGUAUGUCAUAAUUGGGUCAUAAACAUGUCAUAUUAGAAUAUUAACCAUAUUAUUUCAUUCAACAUUUAACUUGACUUGAUUAUGAAAUAACAUCUUAUUAUUAAAUCAGUUAAACCGGUUAUAAUGUAUCACCUAGAUAAUAAUUAUAUUGUGUUUGAGUUUAUGUUUUAAAUUUUGAUUAUUAUUCAUGUCAUGUUUAGGUUGAGUUAUUUAGCGGAGGAUCUAACCUUUGAUAUAACACAAACACAACCCACUAACAUAAAUUGUCAUUCUCACUUCUACUAAUAAGUGAUUUGUUUAUUACAAUUAAGAAAAUUGAGAAGAUAUAAUUGUUUUAAAAAUCUUAAAUGCAUGAUUAAAAUUAAUUAUAACUUUUAAAAGUUUUAUAAUUCAUAUUCCAUCCAAACUAACAAAAUAUUAGAAAUCUUCAAUGGUUUUGUCUACAAUAAAUGUGUUGUGCUAAAUUAUCAACUUCUCUACUAACCAAAACAUGUUUUUUCUCAAUCAAAUAUCAACAUGUUUAAGCAGCCGGUGAGGCAUCUCUUGACAAUGAGGUGAAAGGUAGAAACAAGAAACAUACCUAUAUUCAAGAGAAGUGUUGCUUCUUCAUUUGCAUUAGACAACAUUCAUUUAGUCUAAACUUGAAGGUGGAUUGCUAGAAUCUGAGCUCUUGGAAAGACAUAAGAGAAGUACAUUUAGAAAUCUGAAAGAAGCCUAGAGACUUGUUGCUACUUAUGAAUCACUGUAAUCAGAAACAAUUCCAGAUAAUCCUGCAAUUUUGGACCUUUGAUUUGCUCUGUUCCAUUUUGCCAAGGACAGUUCUAAAAUUUUUCCUUUAUUGAGCUGUAAUGAUUUUUUUAUUAGGAUUUAAUUGUAUUCAUUAGGUUUGCAAAUCACAAAAAUGGUGUCGUGCGUAUGUAUAUUUUCCUCUUUGAUCAUGUAAAGUUGGGAAGCAAUUAUGGAAUACUAUGAUAGCACAAUAUAUUGAUCCACAGUUUGUGGCAUGACAGUUUAAUGAAAUUACAGAAGUGUAGCACUCAUGGGUAUGUCAUGUGAACCUUUUUCAAUGGAGAUACUUGUUUAAAUUUACAUGGGUGAAUUGUCACACCAAUAUCCUCUAAUGAACCUUGGGUUCUUUUUUCUGUUUCUUCAUCUCUUGGUCAAGACAAACAAUUUAUCUUCAUAAGGACUUUGUGUUACCAAUAAGCAGCAUCUUGUGUUCUCCUUCUCUUCAUCCCCUUGUCAAGACACAGCAAUCUGAUGCAUCUUUGCAUUGGGUUACUUCCUCUCCUCUCCCUUUCCUUCCUCCUUGAGGUAAAAUCGCAUCAUUGCUUAGUUUUGACUAUGUUUCUUUUGAUCAUUGUGAGAGAGCAUCAUUGUAAGAUGCACAAGAAACGUGUUGUGGUGCAUUAUCCCUUCCUCUACCACCUAAAAUCUAUUUUACACGAUCAUAAGAACCAAGGUGUUUUAAACAUCAGGUAAGGCAUUUGUUGAUAAUGAUGUGAGAGAUAGAGACAAGCAACAUACCAGUAUUCAAGAUGUGAUGUUCUUUUGCAUUUGACAACAUUCAUUUAGUUUGAACUCCACAUUUGGGCAACUCAGAAUCUCCACCUUCAUUAGGAUUGCAGGAAGUUGACUUCUUGGGAAGACAUGGAAAGAGAGCAUCUAGAAAUUUGAAAGAAUUAUAGAGGUUUAUUGCUACUUUUGAAUAAUUCCAAUUAAUAACAACUCCAAAAGAUAUAUACAAAUGUGUCCCUAGGAAAGAGAUGUGUCGUAUGCAUAUGCAACCAUCUCUCUAAUAGACUUAGGGUUAUGCACCCUCAUGGUAGUUUCUUAUAUAUUGCACCAUAUGAAUUGUAGAUAUCCAACUACCAAUAUCACUACACCUGAAUGAACUCGGAGCUAUGCUGAAAGUGAAGUUGACAACCCAUCAUCGAAAGAAUCUUGUAGGAAUACACCAAAAUGAAAAUCUUAUUAACAUAAAUGAAUUCAUCCAGUUAAAGGAUAAAGUUGCCUGAAAAAUUGAAUUGGGAGAGACAAAAAUAUUAAUGCUUUCAUAGGACUAUGGAAAUGACCAACAAGUGGAACAAACAUUGAAUAGUAAAUGUAAAGCCAUAAAGCUUGUAACUACUGUCAAAAGCUGCUCCCUAGUGAAGUUUUUUCACAAUAAAGGUAAGGGCAAAAUUCACCUAAUAGCUCCACUUAUAGAAAAUUUCAAUGGUGUGAAACUAGGAUAUGAUGAACUCGCUUCCGCUAUUGCAGUGAACCAUUAUGGAUCAAAAAUGAAUCUCACCAUCGGUUUUCACAUGGGAGAUGUGGGCUAUCUUUGGCCCAUAUCUCAAUAUUGGAUUUAGGAGUUCUGUCUCUCAUAUAUGGUUCCACUUGCAAAAUACAAAUGGAGCUUAGCUGAUGACAACAUAUUUAGAAAAAUGCAAGAAUUCCAUAGACAUUUUUUGUGCUAUCAUAAAUCAUUCCAAUCAAUAAGAAAUCAAAGUGCUAUAAUUUUGAAUUGUCUUAGGGAACAAACCCCAAUUCAAUCUUGUGGAAGUAAACUAUCUUGAGUACCAACUCAAUUCUGAGUUCUUUAGGAGACUUGAGACACCAAUUCAAUCAAAGAUGCUAGUUGUUUCUGAGGUAGAUUGUCUUCCUCCAUUGAUACUAGGGAAAAUGCUUUUGAAAACCAUUCAUCUGCAAAUUACAAAGGGGGAUGAGAUUAUGUGAUUUAGGAAGAGAAUUAAGCUUUGAAAUAUUGCCAAUAUGCAACCAACAAUUUCUAAUUCUAUCAUUUCUAUUUUAGCAUGUGAUUUGGGAAAAGGAUUAAGCUUCAAAAUAUUUCCAAUAUGCAAGGAAUUGAGAGAGGCCAAGUGGGCAACCACCAUAGCUAGUUCACAAACAAAUGACAGCAUUGGAAGUGGAACACAACACAUAAACUUCAAAAACAAAACAUGUUUGCCACAAUCAUAAAUACCAAGGUGUUUAAGCAUGAGGUAAGGCAUCUCUUGACAAUGAUGUGAGAGAGAGACAAACAACAUACCAGUAUUCAAGAGAAGUAGUAUUCUUCUUUUGCAUUUGAUAACAUUCAUCUAUUCUGCAUCCCAAAUUUUAGCAACUUAGGAUCUCCACUUUCAUUAGGAUUGCAGGAAGCUGGCCUCUUGGAAACACAUGAGAGGAUAUUUAGAAAUCUAAAAGAAUUCCAAAGACUUGCUAUUGCUUGAAUUGUGAAUCAUUCCAAUCAUAAAUACCAAGGUGUUUCAAGAUCAGGUAAGACAUUUCUUAGCAAUGAUGUGAGAGAUAGAGACAAGCAACAUACCAGCAUUUAAGAGAAGUAGUAUUCUUCUUUUGCAUUUGACAACAUUCAUCUACUCUACACCCCAAAUUUUAGCAACUCAGGAUCUCCACCUUCAUUAGGAUUGCAGGAAGUUGGCCUUUUGGAAACACGUGAGAGGACAUUUAGAAAUCUAAAAGAAUUCCAGAGACUUGUUGUUGCUUGAAUUGUGAAUCAUUCCAAUCAUAAAUACCAAGGUGUUUCAGGAUCAAGUAAGGCAUCUAUUAGCAAUGAUGUGAGAGAUAGAGACAAGCGCCAUACCAGUAUUUAAGAGAAGUAGUAUUCUUCUUUUGCAUUCGACAACAUUCAUCUACUCUACACCCCAAAUUUUAGCAAUUCGGGAUCUCCACCUUCAUUAGGAUUGCAGGAAGUUGGCCUCUUGGAGACACGUGAGAGGACAUUUAGAGAUUUGAAAUAAUUCCAAAGACUUGUUGUUGCUUGAAUUGUGAAUCAUUCCAAUCAGUAACAACCCCAAAGCCCUAUAUACAAUUUUGAACCAUCAACCUUCUUACAUUGAAUGAAAAACCUGUCCCUAGGAAAAAGGUGUCUUGGCCAUACAACCAUCAAUUAUUAGCUCUCGAGGAGGCUUAAAGUUGUGCACCUUCUUGGUAGCUUCUAAUUCGUUACAUCAUAUAACUUCCAGAUAUCUAAUUGACACGUCACUACACCUGAAUGAAGUAGAAAACAUGGUGAAUAGGAAGUUAGACAACCUUUCACAAAAAGAAUCCUGCAAUAAUACACCAAGCAAAACUUCUUGUUAACAUAAAUGAAUUCACUCAAUUAAAUUAUUGUGUUAAAAUUUAAAUUGGGAGAAAUAAAAAUACAAAUGCUUACAUGGGACUAUUGGAUAACCAACAAGAAGAACAUACUUUGAAUAGAAAAUGUGAAGCCAUAAAGCUUGUAAUUGUUGUUAGAUGUUGCUUCCUAGUAAGGUUUUCAACAAAAAGGUUCAGUGUAGGGAUUCUCUAGUAGUUGAAUUGGUAGAAAAUUUUAACAGUAUGACAAUUUAUACUUGUAACAAGAAGAUAAAAUGUAAGAAUUAUGUGUUGGGAAUAGAUGAAACUUGCUAAAUAUAUGGAUAGGAUAGGGUGAACCCUCUCUACUUCCAUUUUUGGAAUCCAAACUAUUAUGGAUCAAAGUUGGAUUUCUCCAUAUAUUAAAUACAAUUGGAGCUUAGGUGAGGUCUUGGUGAUGUAGGAAAUUCAUGGAUUCUGGAAUCUUUACAUGAAAAUAUACAUGAAUGAUACAUUGGAAGAAAGGGCAGGCCUUGGUCAUCUGAGAAGAAACAAAUCUUAAAUAUACUAUUAAUCUUGAGUUGUUUGAGAGUGAUGAGUCUGUGAAGGCCUCCCUCAGAUAAGGGAUGUCUUUGACAUUUCUCCUUCUUCAAUCUCAAGAAGGUACACCAUCAACUAGAACAUUAGGAAUGUGAGUCAUCAUGGACAACUUGUUUAAGUUUUUUAUUCUUUUUUCACUGAAGGGGAUUAAAAGAUAUGUAGUUGUAAGGACAAGAGAUGUAGCCAGUAGUGAGAGCAUCAAACAAAUCCUUCUCUAAUGCAGACCUCAAAUUUUAGCAACUCGUGAUCUCCACAAUUUAGAGCAUUGAAGGAAGUUGCCAUGUUGGAAAGAUGUGACAUGGCAUUUAGAAAUAUGCAGGAAUUCCAGAGUUCAUUCCAAUCAUUAAGGAAUCCAAAGCCCUAUAAUUUAAAUAGGGCAUCCCCUUGGCAUGGAUAACACACCUAUCUUGGGAAAAAGACUGGGCAUCAAUUCAAUGAUCAACUCUCUAUGAAACUUGAGAUACAAGGUACUAAUGUUAGUUGCUUCCAUGGCAGUUCUUUUACUGGUAUUAGGGCAAAGCCUUUUGAAAACCCUCAAUCUACAAAUUACCAAGGACAUGAGAUCAUGUUGUAAUGUCAUCUCCAAUCUCUAGCUACAAACAAAUUAUUUCUUUCAAUUAACAAUCUUUAAUGCAUUCACUUCUAUCAUACGAUAAGCAAUUUCGGAAAACAAGUAAGCUUUAUAAUAUUAGGAAUAUGCAAGAAAUUGAUAAAGGCCAUGAAUCUACCUUCAAAAAAUAAAUUAUUAAAAAAAAGAUUUUUUCACCCAUGAAUAUUGUAAUCAGCUUCCAAAAAACAUUAGGUAUUGCAAUAACCAAAUGUUCCUUAGGUUACCAAGAGUGUUUUUUUUACCCAUGCAUAAAAUAAAAAGAAAAUAAGAAAGCAUACCAUACAACUCACAACUGUGUCAAGUAUGAGUUCAAUUCAUGGUCAUGCACAAUUGCAUUAAGUAUUUGAAAGCCAAAUAAGGUUAUGUGCAAUUCAAAGAAUACCAUACAACUCACAACAGAAUCCUCACAGCUCACCAUAGAAUGAGAAUUCAAUUGUCUUUCCUCUAGUCAUAAGAGUUUGUGCUCUUCGAGCCUUUGACUUGCACAACUCAAGAUAGCAGGACAUGCCAAAAAGUCUCCUUCACCUCAAACAUUAUUCAAAUCCAUAGUAUAAAUCUAGAUAAGAUAAUUUUCUACAAAUAUAACAUGUUGCAAACAAAUAACAGUAUGUUGGUUUAAAAUUGAAAAGCAUUUCAAACCAAACAAAAUAGAAAAAAUUUCAGUGUAUAUCACUCACCUAAAAGCUUGUAUGUUGGAUAAAAUUCCUGCUAAUGAAUCCUCACAAUUAUUUGCAAUCAAAAUUUAGUAAUGAUUUAUAAACAAAAAAAAAAUCACAAAUUUUUUUAGCAAUGUUCCAUGACAAACACAUUGCAUAUUGAUUGAGAAAUUAAUAUGAAAUCCACUAAUUUGAAAGGCACUAAAUACCAUAUGUUCUCUUGAGUUCUCCAUGUAUCAAAACAGAUGCAAGUUGCUAUUUGAGCCACCACAAUCACGGAGCAAAAUACUUCUUAGCAUGGAAGGCAUACCAUAUUUUAAACAAUGUUCUUAACUUUCCAAGAGACAUAAGAACGUGGUGUGUUGUAGAAACUGUAGAAGAAAUAAAUGGAAGUUAAACAUAUGCACUUGCUACUUAGUUUUUUAAUCAUGUGUGAAAGAAAUAAAGAGGUGUUACUUGUAUUUAGGCCAAACUUGUAGUCUCCAAUGUGAAAUCCAAAUCUCAUUUUGUCAACAGAAUAAGAGCACUAAACAUAUAGCAAAUUGAAUCCUUCCUUUUGACAAUUUGAAAACCUUAAAGGAAUGACUUGAGAUCAUAAAUAACUAUACGAUAAAGAAAAUUUUCAUCAUUCUUUCUAAAAGGAAAAUUUGUCAUUUCCUUGAUUACAGAAGAUUGAUAUUUUAACAUAAAGUGCACUUAUUAAGGUAAACUUUAUGCAUUAUAUAUUGAAUUAGAAAAUUGUAUUCAAAUCCAAUUAGAAGGGUAUCACAAAAGAUGCUUAAUUGAAAUGAAGACAUCCAUGCCAAUUUGUAACUGUUAUCAAAUAACACCCUUCCUUGUCAUUUUACGUCCCAUGCUUGCAUGUCAAAUCUCUAACUAAGACCGCUCAAAGAGCACUUCAAAUAAAAUUACGAAGAUUUCAUUACAGGUAGAACUUAAGAUGCUUACAUUGACCAUGGGAGAGAUCGAUAAGAAACAAAAUACUCACCCAUAAGUUUGUAACUAUUGUACUCAAAACUUGCUUCCUAGUCAAACUUUCAACACAACUUCUUGGAAACUUCCACAAAUUGUUGAGCCACUAGUAAAACACAACAUCAAUAUGAGAAAUUUACAAGGUACUAUGCAAAUAAAAGAGUAAGAAAUGUGUAUUGAGAAUAAGAGUUACCUUAAUGAAUGUAAGGAUAGGAUAGGGUUGAAUUGGCUUUGCACCCAUUUUUGCAAUUUGAAUUUAUUAUGGUUCAAAAAUGAGUUUAUGAUGUAUCCUCAUUUUAGGGGAAGCGGGCAAUCUAGGGCCAAUCUCUAUCAUUCUCCUUGAAACAUCUUUGAUUUCGAAGUUUGAUAAAACUUAGAAGACAACCUUUCACUUGGUAAGAAGGACUAGAACAAGGCAUCCCUCAAUCUCUACAAGUUAAAGAAAUGAAGUUUUGAAGACCAAGGGAGGGGGCUAGGAUUUCAAAUUUGACAAUAUUUUCAUUGAAAGAUCAAUGAGUUGUAGCAAGAAAUCCUGUCAAAAGGAAAUUGCAUUUAACAAUGUACAAUAUAAAAUGAAUGAACUGAGUUUUUAGAGAGGUGAAUCUUUGGAGGCUCCACAAAGAUAAGGGGUUUUAAUACCCUUGCAAGUGUAUUCGUGAAAUUAUUUCCUCAAAGGAAACCUGAACCUGGACAAUGUGCAACACAAAGCUGUUAAAGAGAUGUAAGACUCUAAAUCUGAUGAGGUAGGACUUGAGAUCCACAUUUUCUUAAGUGAGGAAUUCUGAGGUUGUAAACACACCAGUAGUUUCCAGAUUUAAAUACUUCUCUUCAAAUAUUUGUAUAACGUACAUCUUCUUUGACAUUGCUGCUCCAACAGGAUGUCCAAUAGGAUGUGCAACCUAUUUGGGCAUACUACAUGUACAACAAAAAAUUUCAUUAAAACAAAAAACUUUUACUAAAACAAAAAUAUGAAGUUAAUGUAUAAGAAGAUAAGAUUUAUAUAUAGUGAAUGAGCAUGAUUGAUUUUAGCACAAAGGGAAUGACGCUAAAAUUUAUAAGAAUAUCAUCACCAUAAGUACCUAAUUUGCAUCAUUAAAAAUUCCACAAGGAUUUGAUGAUUAGGCAAUAAAAUAAUUCUAGUAAAUGAGUUAAAAUCAGCUGCGCUAAGAAAGAUUAAAUCCAAAUAAGCAUCAAUCAUUAAAGAAUUAACCAACUACAAAAGACUUCAAAUGACUUUGACUUUUUCUCCGUAAUUUCUUUUCCUAAUUGGCCUCAUUUGCUUAUACCAAAAUAUUAUUAAUUUGCUUUAAAGGAAGUGGGUGACUCAUAUCUCUGAAAGGAUGUGAGAGGUGGAAAUCCCUCGAUCUCUAGUGAUUCAAGAGGAUAAUUCAUAUGGCUAUUGUUGUCAUCAUACAUCAUUCAACUAGCUAUAGACCACAAAAUUGAACAAUCAUGAAUACGUUGAUGCUUAAAUAUGGUAUGUACUUUAACUAGUGGAAAAUCUUAUGAGACUUGGACAUCUCGAGAUUUCCAGGAAUUAAGAUAGAUACAAGUUGUUGCUUCCUGUUAUAAUUUAUCUGGAUUGCAAUCAUCAAGCACUAACUCCAUUCACUGCAUGUUUUGAGCCUUCAGCAUAAAACCCAAAUUCCAUUCUAUCAACUAAAAAUAAAAUAAAAAAAUCACUAAUAACUCCUUUGGAAACCAUUUUAUGUUGCUCAGAUUAUAAAAUGUAGGAUUUAACUGACUUCCAUCAUUGAAAAUGAAUUGAUAUAACUUUACAAUACUAGUAUAUUCAGCUUUUGACAUGGUUGAAACUGAUCCUGGAAUCAAAAAUCACAUACACAAGUAGAUAUUUAACAGAAGAGGAUCCAAAAUCUCUUCAAUUGAUUAAUGUAUAAAUGAAUUAAUAAAAAAUUUUCAAGAUAAUUAUGGGAAAAUGAACCUUGUACCUCUGAGUUUCUUAUUCUUCUUGAAUAGAGCAAUGAGCAUCAAGUGUUGAGCACCCAGGAAUCUCCCUUCCUCCACAGGCAAAGUCUGAACAAUCUAUCCUUUCUUCAUAUUCCACUUCCUUGCAAAAGUCAAAACAUGAAGAAAAUAUCAUCAAAAUUGAGACAAAAAUAAGUGCAUCAACUAUCUUAAGAAGAGAUUUAUGCCUACUGCUUACCUUUUGAAGAAGUCCACUUGGUUAGAGCACAUUUUACAUGGACGCCCAAUCACUGCAAGCUGCUGAACCAAAGGAGAGUUCAAGCAUCUAAAAAAUUUGACGAACUCAAGUAUCAUAGAAUACUUCAUAUGAAUUCUAAAUGAUCUCAUAUCUAAAAAACAUUGGCAUAAAAUUACUGUUGUUUACCUUACAUGUUUCUUCCAUGGUCAUAAUCAAAACUUUGUUUAUCAUAAGAAAUCUUCUAUGCUCAUCUUGAUUACUUACAAUGAACACUGAAAUGAAAAGAAAAAAAACACAAAAAAUGAUGAUUAGUUUGGUUUGAUAAAUUUAGCAAACAUAAUUUCCUUUUUCUUGCAUGAGAAAGGAAAGAGUAAUAUAUAUAUAUAUAUAUAUAUAUAUGAAUUUAAUAAUUUUUUAAAAUUAGCAAUUAUAAAACUAUUUUGGUUCUCAAAAAAUUUAUGGGAAAGUAGGGAAAAAAAAAUUAUAAACUUCUUUUCGUGUUUGAUUAUUUAUCGGAAAAUUAAGGGAAAAACAAAAAUCUAUGAGAAAUUUAUUUAACACUUCUGAGGAACCAAAAAUGUUUUAGAUGUUGUCAAAUCGAUAAUUUAAACGUGUUUAAUUCCAAUUAAAUGAGUUUAAUCAAACACAUGAAAUUGUGAAUAAAAUUAUUUAAAAGCAUUGAAAUUCAAGUCAUUAAAUAGAGAACACUUAUAAGUGGUUCAUUUCAUUUUUGCAAACUGCCAAAUCAAAAUAGAGCAUGAAAAUGUGUUCAAUAUUUGUUUCAGGCUUGAAGCUUCAAGAAAAAGAAAAUCUUAAAUCAAAUAAACAGGACUAGCGAAUGAAUGGGAACUUGAAAGAAAAGUUUAAGCGCAAAAGAAUUACCUGACUGUGUAUUGGCGAAGUGGCACUUUGAUUAGGAAUGAGAUCUAUAUAACGCCAUUCUUCCCCUUUCUCCAGUAAAUGACCUGAUUAGAACUACAAUAAGUGAAGUGAUAAUGUCAUCUAAUUAGUAAACCAAACCAAGUCAAUAAACUACAACUUCCUCUAGUAUAGCCUCGAUGUAAAAGAAAUUUAAAAUCUCAUUUAUUGCACUUGGCAAGGUAGAAGUAGUAAUGCUCAUUUUUUAUUGUGACAGAUUAUAGAGAAAAUUAGACACUGCGAAAAUACCAAGCCAAGAGCUGCUUUCUUGUUAAAAAUUAAGUCCAAUUAGAAAAUUACAUAGCGCGUAAGAGAAAUUCAAAGUGGUGUUGAGAAGAGAAAGAGGAAGAAUGAUGUGUUGGGAAUGAGAUGUAAUACCUUCUUUAUUACUCAGAUGGAUUAGUCAUGUAUGUCCACACAGGGGAUGUGGGCAAUCUUAAGCCAAUCAUCUCCUUCCUCCUUCGAGUACAUUUGUGUUAGAUGUGGGCAACGCCGCGCAUGCAGUCGUGAAAGGGUGUCAGGCAAUAGUCCUUCCCUUGGCAAAAUCGAUCGGAGCUUAGGGCAAUCGUAGAUUUCUAGCUCUUCAAGAGAGGUGAGGGUUUGGAGAGACAGGGAGGCUAGGGAUUCCAGAUUCUGGAAUCGUGAAAGGAUAAGGGAGGUGAGAGUUGUAGGAAAAAGAAUCGAGUGGGGGUCAUCCGAAAAGGAAGUUGCAUCUGGAAACAUGCCACUAAUCCAGAGGCGUUUAAGAGAGGUGAGUCUGGAAAGACCCCAUUGGGAUAGGGGGGUCUUGAUAUUCUCGCAAUCUUGAAUGAUAAGCGAUGUAAGACAAGUGAGGUUUUUUAUCUGAGGAAGCAACAAUUCCAGAUUUUCAGAAUCUUCAAUAACUAGAUAUGUGAGGGUGUUGAGGCAAUCUGGUAGGGUUUUGAGAUUAGGAUACCUCCCGAGGAUUAAAGAUUGAAGUGAAUUAUUAGUAGAGUGAAACAUCCCCUCUGAAAUUGACUCGAGGUGUUUACAACCCCGAAUGUGAAGUCGCUUAAGAGUAGAGGGAAACUUACCUCUUGGGAAGGAUGUGAGAGAUGGACAUGUACAGAUUUCCAAGGCUUGGAGAGCAGCAGCAUUGGUGGAAUGUUGGUGCAUUAUUCCCUCUGGUAGAGACUUUAGCCUUCUACAAUCAAAUAUAAUGAGCAUCUUGAGAGUGGCGGGUAACCCACCUUUCGGUAAUCCAAUAAGAGACGGACACCUCACUAUAGUUAACUCUUCAAGGGCACACAUGCCCAUCAUUCCUUCUGGAAGAGACUUGAGAUCGUCACAAAACUUUAUGCGUAGACUCUUAAGGGUGGUGGGUAAUUGCCCUUUUGGAAAGCAAAUGAGAGAUGGACAGUUCCAUAUACUUAAGCAUUCAAGAAGACACAAGUUGUUGCUGUCAGUACUGUCGUUCCUCAUCUUCAACAUCAUGCCAUCAGGUAGACUCUUUAGACCUUUACAAUUUCCAACAGUAAGACUUCUCAGCUUUGGUGGGAAACCUACAUCUGGAAAUGACGCUAGCUUUGGACAAUCCCUGAUUGCCAAUUUUUCAAGGCAUGUUAGACUCUGCCAUCCAUUUGGAAGCCUCUCUAGUUUAUCACAUUUAAUUAUUUCCAAAGACUGAAGAUUGCAUCCCAAGGAUACAAGUUGGUCACAAUCUCUAAUCUCAAGAGAAUGAGAGUUUUCCGAUCCAAAACCAUCCUCCCACAAAUAUACGAGUUCUUCGCAUUCCGAUACUUUCAAAACCCGAAGCCCUUGCAAAACUUGCACAAAUCCUUCAUGCAAUUUGAUAAGCCCUGAAAUCUCAGAAAUUGUUAACUUGCUCAAGACCGCCUCAUUACAUUGUCUUACUUGUAAUUUCUUCAGCAGUGGAAGUCUUGAAAGUGGAGACUCCAAUUUUGGACAGAAGUGUACAGAGAGCUUUGUAAGAGAAGGUAGGUAAGUGGGUAGUUUCAUAAUCAAUUUGGGGCAAUACUCAAUUAUAAGCUCAUGGAGACAAGGGAAUAAUGACUCUGUUGAGGAAGACCAGUCCUCCCAGUGCUCCCAUUCUGACAUGCUUUUAAAAUGUAGAGACUCUAGUGAUGGGAAAAACUUACCUCCAGAAACACGAGUCUCUCCAUAAAACUCUGCACCCACUUUUUUUACUCCAUCCAUUCUUUGGAUCCUCAACUGUUUGAGCGAUGGCAACUGCCCCAAGCACGGUAAAGACGUGCACUUUCUGCAAUCUAUGAGACUUAGAUCCACCAUCUUGGAGAACAAGGCAUCUCUUAUCCAACGUGGGAAUUCUGGACCACCAUAAAACUGAAUGCAGAGUUUAUUUAGAUUCAAACAAGGUUGUAGAGAGUCAAGGACAUCCAUUUGAUUCCGCUCAUUCCCUGAACCAUCCAGCUCAGAACUCCACUGCAUUAUCAAGCUUUCAAGGUUACGCUUCAAUUUUAAAUCGACAUCCCUUGCAUCUUGAAUAUUCACCACAUUUUCCAAUUUCGAAAUGCAAAGUUCUCCUCGCAGAUGUGACAUGUCUUUCAACCCUUUGAUUGUCAAACCGUUGUUUUUGUCCACAAUGAAAUUAGACAAUAUCCGCAAAUCUUUUAGUUUGCCAAUUUGUAUAGGCAUUUCUUGUAAUCUUAUUGCACCAGCAACAUCAAGAUGUCGAAGAUUGAUUAGGUUACCGAUGCUAAUAGGCAACCUAAUAAGCUCUUUACAGCAUGAUAAUUUCAAUGUCUGAAGGUAAAAAAGAUUACCAAUUGAAUCGGGUAACCAUUUUAUACUGGUGUAGGACAAAUUAAGGUAUCUCAAAUGUUUCAACUUACCAAAUGAAUCUGGUAUCUCACUUAUCGUGUAACGAGCCAAUGAGAGCACCCUUAAGUGCCCUAACUUUGGUAUCAAUUCUUCAAGCACCUUAUUACUUAUAUAGCAACGAUUUGGACUAGUUGGUACAUCAAUCGACAAAGCUAUGAACGUGCGCAAGCGCUCUUUCUUAUGAAACCUUUCAAAUUUUUUAAAGAUAUCACAAAAAUGACGGAUGAAUGAUGAAUGACGAGUAUUUUCAGAAAUGGGGCAUUGCAAAUCAUUCCACAACUCAUCAUCCAAAUGCAAGCAUGUGUCUCCAGCAAUAGAUUUAGCUAGAGCAUGGACAAGGUCAUGCAUCACGAAUCGUGAUCUAUUGCUGCUUGACGAUUGAAAAAAUGACCUUGACAAUAGCUCAUCAAAAUACUUAUCACCAUGAUCUUCCAUUUUCCUAUUAUCUUUUGAUUGUUCAAUUAACCCCUCCGCUAUCCACAAGAGGAUUAACUCUUGCUUUGUAAACUCAUAAUCCUGGGGAAAAUUUGCGCAAUAAGUAAAACACCUCUUUAAAUGUGAAGACAGAUGAUAGUAGCUCAAUCUCAAGGCAGGGAUGAUGUCACAUUCCUUGUCUGUUAAAUUCCAUACUUUGCUGUACAAUACUCUUUCCCAUUCACAUUCACGUAGUUCAGAGCGCAAAAGGCCACCAAGGGCUCUUGCCGCUAAGGGAGAACCUCCACACUUCUCUACAAUUCUCCUACCAAUUGAUUCCAAAUUUGGGUGCUCAUCGAUAUUCAUAUGUUCAAAAGCAUGUGUUUGAAAUAUCUUCAAACAAUCAUCAUAUGGUAACUGUUUGAGCUNNNNNNNNNNNNNNNNNNNNNNNNNNNNNNNNNNNNNNNNNNNNNNNNNNNNNNNNNNNNNNNNNNNNNNNNNNNNNNNNNNNNNNNNNNNNNNNNNNNNCCCCUAGCAGAGUNGGUUAUCGCAGCCACCUUUUUCUAGACGAAGCUCAGAUUUUGAGCCGAAAUAUCUCGUAAGCGGCGAGUGAUUUCCAACACCUUGGACCUCAUGUUAAUAUAACGCAUAACCUCAUUAGGAUUGAAAAUGCCAAGACAAGUGGAGAUGAGCUUGCGUACCUUGCUCGGCCUGCCUUGAUGAUCAGCUUCUUUGGCCGUGAGUUCCCGUUGCAAAGCUUCGUAGGCGAACUCAUCCAAGAUGUCCUCCAUAUCAUAAGCCAAAUCCUUCAGAUUGCCCAGCCACUCUUUCACAGAGUGAUCCGUGAUCUGCUUGUCCUCCGCGUCAUUAAGCUCUUCACGAAUAUUCGACAAUUCUAUCUCCCAUUUCUUGAGAUCAGAGUACACCCAUUGUUGGCGUGCAAAGUCGAGCAAAUCAGUGGAGGCCAACUUGUCAAACAAGAGGCCGAUGGCAGCAGAAAGAAGAGCGUCUCCCACAGCUUCCAUGGUUGGUUUGUACUUUGUUUGCAGAGAGAGAGAGAGCAAAUCAAGCAGUGGAUAAAAAGGUGAAGCAGAAAGAAGGGGGUCUGCUGUGUGAAGGCUUUAAAUAUUAGAAACCCAUUUUCAUUUUAAUUUAUUUGAAGGUCCUUGUAGAGACAGCUGGAUCAUAUUGGAGUUUGAGAUGGCCCGACUGCCCACCUGCAUGCCACUGUUGGUUUGUUUGUGUACUUUAAUUUAAAAAUGUCUCAAUUUUAUUAUAAAUUUUUUUUUUUAAUGUAACUAUAUAUAUAUAUAUAUAUAUAUCCCUCUUUUAUUAUUUUUUUAUUUGCAUGAUAUUUCUUUCAUACCAAUCAAAACUAUGAAGAGAUUUUUCUUAAAAUUCAUAAAAUAUCUUGUUUUUGUUGCAUCAAUAUGUUUCAUUUCAUUGUAAGAAAGCCCAGUAAAAUGUGAUAUUUUCUAAUUUCUGAUUUGUAACAUUUUUUUUUCUUAUUUAUUCCAAUCUUAUAUGCAUAUUACACUAUUAGGCAAAGUUGUCAAUGACAAUGAUUGUUAUUUAUAAUGGCUUGAACUUAGAAGCAUCCUAGCUUAUGAUACUCAAUUAUAUUCACCUCUACAACUUAAUUUCAAAAUGUUGGAAUGCAUACCAAAUUCCUAAUUAAUCAAGGUUUAUUUUUUUGUAAAAAAAUGUUGUAUAGAAUAUUUCCUAAGUUGAUACAUUAUUAUAAUAUUAAAUUUCCUUCUAGAAUAAGGAAUAUUAUUAGAAAUAUCUCUAUAAAUAUUAUAGGUAAAAGUGAACAUGAGCUUUUAGUGACUCUACGAAGUUAAUAAAGAUACUCAGUAAAGUGAGAGGGCUCGUGGUUCAAGGUAUGGAUACAAGGAGUGACACAAAAUAAUUUAUUAACUCAAAAUCUAUUUUUUAUUUUUCUUUAUUUUUUCUUUCUUUCUAAUUUUCUUUUUGUUUUCUUUUUCUCUAACUCCCUCAAAUCUUCUAGAAACCAAAUAUAGUCCUAAUGUGUUGGACGAUGAACUUGUUAUUUUAUAAACUUCAAAUAUUCAAUUUUCAUGGAGAAGGAAUCUCAUAUCUAUCUCAAGUUAAUUAUAUGCAUCCCAUUUUUACCACUAGCAAACCUUAAUCACCUUAUUAUAUGGAAAUUGGGUAUAACUAGAUGUAAUAAAAAACAAAGUUUUGUGAAUAAUGAAAGAACUUGUACAAGUAAAAAUAGAAUUUUAAUAAGAUGCAAAAAAAUUUUGGCUUCCAUAUCUAGUCAAAUAAGCAUAGAACCUUUUUCUUCAACUUUUAAGUUUUUGACUUCUCAAAAAUCAAUCUAAAUUGGAUUGAUAAAUUAUAAAAGGUUACAAUAUAAUAUUACAAUGUAUAAAUAUUAUUUUCACUUCUAUAUUUCCCAUGAAAUUAUUUAUUUAUUUAUUUAAAUUGAAAUGUCCUUUGUUAUUUGUUUCUACCUUUAAAAAGUAACAAAAAAAUUAUUUUAAAUCUUAGGUAUGGCAAUACUUAAGUAUUUAAUAAUUUUAAUUAGAUAAUUACAUUUUCUUUUACAUUUUACACAUAAAAUAAUUAAUUAUAUUUUAUAUUAUAUUAUUUAAUUAGUGAUAUUUAAAUUUUAAUUAGUUUUUAAGAAUUUAAUUAAUAGUUAAAUAAUUAGAUUUAUUUAUGUUUAAAUCUAAUUAACAAUAAGUUCAAUGCAACAAGAAAAAAAAAUAGGUUAUGGUUACUAUUUUGAAGUGGAUUUCAAUUUUAAAUUUUACAAGUAGACUUGCUUGACUAACCUUAUAAAUUAGUAGAAUUUAACAAGUUGCAAAUGGUUCCCUUACCUAAUCUUUUAAAUUAAUCUUGAUGUUGACAAGCACUUUACCAACCAUAAUUAUAAAAAGACAAAUAAGUCAAGUUGAUUUUACUAAAUUGCAAGUGGGUGCCCUUACCUAAUCUUUUAAAUUAAUCUUGAUGUUCACAAGCACUUUGCCAACCAUAAUUAUAAAAAGACAUAUAAGUCAAAUUGAUUUUACUCAAUUGAGAUUAAUAAAUUGCAAGUGGGUGCCCUUUACCUAAUCUUUUAAUUUAAUUUUCAUAUUGAUAAGAACCAAAUCAGCCAUAAUUAUAAAAACAAGAAGACGACAAGCUAUGAUUACUUUUAUUAACUAAAAUUUAAUAAAUCACAAUUUCUCUUACCUAACCUUUAGAUUAAUCUUGAUAACUUUGCCAACAGUAAUUAUAAAAAGAGAAAGACGACAAGCUAAUUUAAUUGGCUAAUUUUAUUAACUUAGGUUUAAUAAAUUUAAAGUAGGUUGAUCUCUUACCUAUCCUUUUUAAAUUAAUCUUGAGAUCAAUAAGAAUCAUACAACCAUAAUCAUAAGAAGAGCUAAAACAUAAGUCGAUUUGAUAUUUAAUUAGUUAAUUUUAUUAACUAUAAGAUAUAAAAAUUUGGUAGGAGGUGUCUUAAAUCCCAAAUUAGAAUAUACUUUUUUUUUCGUGAAAAGAAUAUUAUAUAGAAUAUUUUCAAAGUUUAUAUGUGAUUGUAAUUAAAUUCAAGUUAGUACAGAUAUAUUUAUAAAUAUUUUAAGACAUGAAGAGAAAAAGUUAUGGAAGAUAUGAAAAAGAGAUGCGAUCAAGAGCGAGAGAUGUUGAUAGAACAAGAGGGUUCACUAGGGAAGAGUAUAGAUGUGAAGAAGAAUGAGAAACACAUAGUGGAGCAAAAUGAUUCAUGGUUUAUGAUAGAGAUAUAAAGAGCAGGAAAAAUGGGAUGUUUGGGUUUUGGUAGUCGUCUAACCUUUGUAUGUGGUUUGCUUUAUUCAUGUGUUCUUCCUUUAAUAUGUUUAAAUUGAGGUUUUUGUUUUCCUUUUGGUCCUAAGAUGAGUUUUGUCAUGUAAUCAAUUAUGCCUGUUUCCAAUUUCAUUAAAAACUUGUGUUCUACGAUUUGACAAAUGAAAAUAAUUAUUUUUCUAUAAUUUUUUUUAUUAUAAUUUUGUUAGUUAAUAAAAAGUAGAAUAUAGAUAAUAUUAGCCGUCAAAUAGAAAGAUAAAUAUGACAAUUAAUGUGUUUUCACAGCAUAUUUGUACUUAGAUGGUUUUGCUUAUAUGAAGUAAUUUAAUGCAACUAUGAAGAUUUAUAUGAAGUAAACUUUAUAUAAUUUGAGAUUUAAUAAUCGGUUAAUUUUUAUUUGAAGAUACAAAAACAUAAAAUAAAAGUCUUGUUCAAAAAUUAUUAUUGAAAACAACAUGAAAAUGGGGUUUUUUCACUUAGAAAUAUACAUUUGACAAACUUCUCAUAUAAAACUUCUUAAAAUAAGUUAUUUUUUAGAACAAAUUUGAAAUGUUUUUAAUUUUUUCACAACAAUUUAAAUAAAAAUUGAAGAUAUAGAUAAUAUAUAUUUUGGGAAAUUUUGUAUUGUAUUUAAGUAUACAAUUCCUUUGUAAAGAAUAAAUCGAAACGAGUAAUAGCUAUUUUCAAGAAUUGUUUUGAAGAAUUAUUUUCACAAAUGUUGUCAAAUAUGCUCAAAACUUUCUACAUCAUUUAUAUUAAUCUUGGAUUCAAUCAAAAUCUUGCCACAAUUGAAAAGAAAAAAAAAUGUUAAUUAAUUGGUUAAUAUUUACAAUCCUAAAAAAAAUUAAAAAAAAAUAAUAAUUCAAAAUUUUUUAAAUAAAAAUCUCGCUAACUAAAAUAAAAAUUCACCAUCAAAAUAAAAGAUUAUCUAAUAGUUUUCUAUUUUUGACUCUAUAAUCAAGAAUGUUCAUAUAAUUUCUUUUACAAUAACAUACUAAAAUAGAAAGAGAUUAAAAUGGAAAAAGAAAAUGAUUAACAAUAAAAUUCAUAAAAAGAAAUGAAAAUUAAGAAGAUUUCAAUCCACUUCAAUAUUAUUUCAAUGAAAUAGUAUUGCAUUUAAAUUAUUGAAGGCCAUACCAAUUUAUUUUUCGUCCUUUUUUAAUACUUAAUUUUGUUAUCAAACAAUGAAAAUUUUACUAAUCAAGGAAAAUGAGAAAAGAAAAUAUUUUUCUUGAAAGUUAAUGAAUUUGUUAAGAAAGGAAAACAAAAGGUCUUUUAUGGGAUACUUUAUUAAAUUAAAUUAAUAACUUAAUUUAAAUCAUUAAAUAAAUUAAGUAUGUUUAACAAAAUAACAUAAUGGUAUGAUUUAAAAUAAAAAAAACUUUAAAUAAUAAAUAAAAAUAAUUAACUUAUUCUUAAAUUCACAUUUUUAUUUUACCUUUUUACCCCAAUUUGUCAUAAUUACCUCCACAAUUUCCUUUACUAUUCCACGACUUUUACUUUUACACGACCUCCUCUACUCUAGGUAUAAUUUAUGAGGAUAAAUAUGUCAAUUUGAAAAUUUAGAAUUAAUCAUAAGUUAGUUUUAUCACACAAUCGUAAUACUUAAAAUAAAAAUUAAGUAAUAAGUUUUAAGUUAACAAUUUAAGUAUAAUUUAACUAAAAGUCAACUUAAAUCAUUAAGUAAUUAGUAUUAAGUUUUAUCAAACACCUCCAUAUAAUUAGUUAAUUUUGAUUAAUCUAAAAAUAUAGAAAGUGAAAUAUACACAUUUUUUUAUUGGUUACGUUGGUCUUGAACUUCUUUCACCAAAUCAUUUUUAUUAAUCUUAACAUGCGCCAUUUGAUGCGACUGAUGGUAGCUUAGCUUUAAAGGCGUAUCAACAAAAUUUAUACCUUAAAUACUAUUAUUAAAGUAGCCAAGCUACUCUAGCAUAGUGGUUCUAGGAUCGUUCACUGGGAAGGGUUUUCGCGAACACUAGUGAUAUUCAAAUUAGGAAAAUAGGUGAUUUUCUUAUGGAUGUUAGCUUUAAAAGAAGAUGUAAAUGUUUUAGAAAGAUUUAAACUAAUCUAAGCUAACAUUAAAGACUAAAAUGAAAUGGUGUAAAAACAAGUUUCUCAAAUAUAGGAUAGCUAUGCUCUGGCUCUUAUGCAAAUUGGAAAUCUCAGGAUAGGCUCCUCGCGUCGGGGUUGCAACUAUGGUGAUGCUUGCUUCCCGAACCGGUAUGGAUUUAGCAAAUCAAGUUUUAAUCCUUUAAAAUGGCAAAACAGAUGGUAGUGAAUUUCAUCAAUGGUUAUUCACCUUAGACUUCCUUUGAAUGGCUCAUAAGAGAUAACUAAUGGUCUAAAGCCAAAAGCUUACCAAAUAUUGGCAACUCAAAGUCAUUCCAGGUGAUAAACUCACCUUUCAAUGGCCAUUGAAAUUGGUUCUAACGGAUUAAUGCAAAACUUGGAAUUGAAAACCUCACCUUCCAAUAGCUCGUAGGAGAUAACUAAUGGAUAGAAAUCCAAAAGCUUAUCAAGUAUUGGCCGUUGGAAGUUGUCCAAAGGAAAUAAAAACCAAACUUUGCAUUAAUGAACCAUUAAUGAAAAACGACUACCUUACCUUCCAGGUGCGAGAAAUUUCUAUGGGAUUGCAUCCAAGCCAUCACAUAGCAUCCAUACUUUGAGAAACUAAAAGUUUUAGCCAAUCAUCCUCUGAGGAAAAGUCCUCAGAGGCUAUUUGGCUACUAAGAAAAUAAAAAUGGGGAAGAACAGGAGAAGAGAGAAAAACAGAGCUUUAUAUAUUUCUAAGUUAAUGUACAGAGGAUCGAUCCCCCAAUAUCUUUUGGAGGCGUUGUGCACCUCUAUAUAUAGCAAAAUUACAAGAUAAAGCCUUAUGUCAGCUGAAUACAAGGUUACAAAAGGAAUUUACACGAGAAAAUAUCAAGCUAAAAAUAUCUGGGAAGUCGGUGGUGCGUGCGUGGAGAAACAGAGGAAAUUUGGCAAGGUAAAAGGUUACUUGCGAAAUUUUGGCAAGGUAAAAGGUUACUUGCGAAAUUUUGGCAAGGUAAAAGGUUACCUUGCGAAAUUUUCGCAAGGUGAAUUACUCAUGAUGCGAAGUGCCAUAUUUUCGCAUCAUGAAUAAAUUCACCUUGCCAAAUUUGGCAAGGUGCAUUUUCACCUUGCGAAAAUUGCAUUUUGGCAAGGUAUUUUGCCUUGCCUUGCGAAAUGGCUAUCCCUUUGUUUGUGCUCGUGUUUCCACUUGAAAUUCAAGCCUGUAAACUUCCAAAAUCCUUGCUUUAACUUGUCCAAGUAGCUCCUCCAUCAUUUGGCAUGCUUGAAUUGAUUCAUAAGCUGAUAAGAACAUGUAAACUUGCCACAAAAUGGUUAAAACCAAUUACUAAGGACCUUAAUGAAUUAAUUGGGUUAAAUGAAUAUGAUUACUACUCAAAGGUGCUUAAAACCAUUAUAAUUAGGUCUACAAAAUAGCACUUUUUGGUAGUAAUCACAUCAACAUUAGUUAAUUAUAAUUAAAGAAAAGAAAACCAAAAAAAUAAAAAUAAAAAAGUCAAUUUGGGUGACCAAUCUUUGUUGAAAAAUUAAAAACCAAACAAAAGUUGAUCAAUACAAAAAAAAAAAAAGAGAAAAAAAUUGUAUGAAGUAGACAUUUUGUCUUUUUGAGAUUAUUGAUGGAAGUGUAAUAGACUAUAAACAUGUCUAUGAGAAUCAAUCCCAAUGAGUCCUAAAACAUAUCUAUGAGACUAUUGUUGAAUAGAGAUUUAAAAUAAAAUAAAACCAUGUCAUAAAGAAAUGAUAUUUAAGUAUUAAUAAAUAGGAAUUGGAUACAUAUAAAUAAAAUUUAGAUUAAAGAAGAAAUGAAACUAUUUUUAUUAUGUGGUUGUUUUUAAUGGACCGCCAAUUUUUUAAAAAAUUAUAUAUAUAUAUAUAUAUAUAUAUAUAUAUAUAUAUAUAUAUAUAUAUAUAUAUAUAUAUAUAUAUAUAUAUAUUCCAUAGAAAAAUUACUUUCUAAUACCAUAGAAUCACCCUAAUUUCAAAUUGAGAUUUACUAUCUUAAAUUUUAAAUUUUUUAAAAAUAAUUUUUAAGGGCAUGAACUAAAUCUAUAUUUUUUGUGAAGAAUUUAUAUUCUUUAUAUGGAAGUUUUUAUCGAUUUUUAUUUUUAAAAACAAAAAAUAAGAAGCACUUAGAGUGUAUUUGACAAUGAUUUUAAGAAGUGAUUCUAAUCUUUCUAAUACUUGAAAAAUAAAAAUUCUUAUAUGUUGAAACAAUUGCAGAAUACACUUUUAGUAAGUAAUGAUAUUAAUUUCUUCGAAGAGAGAGAUUUACAUUUAGGAUAGAAAUAAAUAAAUAAAACAAGGAUAAAAAUUUAUUUUUUAAAAAAACUUUUAACUUCUUGUACUUUAUCAUUACACACUUUUUUCAUUAGAUGCUUUAAAUAAUUUUUAUUAAAUAAAAUUAUAUUGAUGGAGGGCUAAUUAACUUUGCUUAGGGUGAGAAAGAUAGAGAUAAAAUUGAAGUGGGUACACAUCUAAAACAAAAAUGAAAUAAAAAGUAAAGAUGAAGAUAAGAUUGAGGUGGGUUCACAACUAAAAAAAGAAUGAAAUAAAAAGUAUGAGAUGAAUUGACCAAAGCUUAUCCCUUCUUCCAAAUAGUAAAAGCAAAGCCUAGUAGUUAAAGUGAUGACAUUAGUCCUAUUCAAGGCCCCACUUGCAUAAUUGCUACAUCUUUUUGACUUGAUUUUAGUUCAAUUUCACUAAAAUGAAAUAAUUUAUUUGAGCCCAAAAAUCCAAAUCCAAAUCCAACCCACUUAUUUAUAUACAUUAUUGGCAUGGAAUGAGAAAAGUUAUAAAGUGAGAAAAUUUGAUCAUAUGAUAAAUAGUGAUUUUUCAAAGUUGGAGUCAAUCCAAUGCCCAAUGGCUAUAAAAGAAAAAGGAAAGAUGUGGAAAUUAUAGUGGAAUCUCGAAACAAAUUUUUGAGGUUUGAGGUGAUGUGACAACCGUUUCCAAGUAAUUGCCUAAGAAUGUGAGAUGUUGUUGCAUUGAAAAUUGAUAUUAAAGCUCACUGGGUAAUGGUAAGAAUUGCUUUACAUAAAGACAAAUAAUAAAUACAUCCCACUUUUUCAAAAAGUUUAUGAGUGAAUAAAACUUUUAGAGUAGGAUGAAUGCAUUUCACGUGAGUCAUGUCCUAGAUAUAUUUUUAGAAUUUUCUAGCAGGAUGUCGAGGAAAACUCUAUGAUGAGUGUUUUCUUUCUAGUUAAGGUAGGUCCAAUUUGGUGCAAUUCGUCAAUAUAAUUCAAACCCAACAUAUGUUUUAAGGAUUUGAAUUGAGUAAAAUCGUCUUUAAAUUAAAUUAAUCAUAUGAAUCAACGUAACCUGUUUAAUAAAUAGAUUAUUUUUAGGUCAAUCUAGAUAACCCACAUUUGACUUGAAUUAACUUAUUUAAUAAUGGUAUUGAUUAACCUAAUAAUAACUUUAACUUAUUGAACUUAUAUUUGACUCAUGUAAAUUUUUUUUUUUUCAAUAAUUAUGUCAUAAUUGGGCCAUAAACAUGACAUAUUAGAAUAUUAACCAUAUUAUUUCAUUCAACAUUUAAUUUGACUUGAUUAUGAAAUAACAUCUUAUUAUUAAAUCGGUUGAGCCGGUUAUAAUGUAUCACCUAGAUAAUAAUUAUAUGGUAUUUGAGUUUAUGUUUUAAAUUUUGAUUAUUAUUCAUGUCAUGUUUGGGUUGAGUUAUUUAGUGGAGGAUCUAACCUUUGAUAUAACACAAACACAACCGACUAACUUAAAUUGCCAUCAUCACUUCUACUAAUAAGUGAUUUGUUUAUUAUAAUUAAGAAAAUUGAGAAGAUAUAAUUUAUUUUUUAAUUUUAAAUGCAUGAUUAAAGUUAAUUAUAACUUUUAAAAAUUUUAUAAUUCAUAUUCCAUCCAAACUAACAAAAUAUUAGAAAUCUUCAAUGGUUUUGUCUACAAUAAAUAUGUUGUGUUAAAUUAUCCCCUUCUCUACUAACCAAAACAUGUUCUUUCACAAUCAAAUAUCAACAUGUUUGAGCAGCCGGUGAGACAUCUCUUGACAAUGAGGUGAGAGGUAGAAACAAGAAACAUACCUAUAUUCAAGAGAAGUGGUGUUUCUUCAUUUGCUUUAGACAACAUUCAUUUAGUCUAAACUUGAAGGCGGAUUGCUAGAAUUUGAGCUCUUGGAAAGACAUAAGAGAAGUACAUUUGGAAAUCUGAAAGAAGCCUAGAGACCUAUUGCUACUUGUGAAUCAUAGUAAUCAGAAACAAUUCCAUAUAAUCCUGCAAUUCUAGACCUUUGAUUUUCUCUGUUCCAUUUUGCCAAGAACAAUUCUAGAAUGUUUUUCUUUAUUGAGUCGUAAUGAUUUUAUUAUUAGGAUUUAAUUGUAUUCAUUAGGUUUGCAAAUCACAAAAACAGUAUUGUGCCUAUGAAUAUUUUCCUCUUUGAUCAUGUAAAGUUGGAAAACAGUUAUGGAAUUCUAUGAUAGCACAGUACAUUGAUCCACACGAUUUGUGGCAUGACAAUUUAAUGAAAUUACAAAAGUGUAGCACUCAUGGGUAUGUCAUGUGAACCUUUUUCAAUGGAGCUACUUGUUUAAAUUUACAUGGGUGAAUUGUCACACCAAUAUCCUCUAAUGAACCUUGGGUUCUUUUUUCUGUUUCUUCCUCUCUUGGUCAAGCCAAACAAUUUGUCUUUAUAAGGACUUCAUGUUACUAAUAAGCAGCAUCUUAUGUUCUCCUUCUCUUCAUCUCCUUGUCAAGACACAACGAUCUGAUGCAUUUUGCAUUGGGUUGCUUCCUCUCCUCUCCAUUUCCUUCCUCCUUGAGGCAAAAUUGCAUCAUUUCUUAGUUUUGAUUAUGUUUCUUUUUAUCAUUAUGAGAAAGCAUCAUUGUAAGAUGUACAAGAAACGUGUUGCGGUGCAUUAUCCCCUCCUCUACCACCUAAAAUCUGUUUUACACGAUCAUAAGGACCAAGGUGUUUUAAGCAUCAGGUAAGGCAUUUGUUGACAAUGAUGUGAGAGAUAGAGACAAGCAACAUACCAGUAUUCAAAAUACAUGAUGUUCUUCUUUUUCAUUUGACAACAUUCAUUUAGUCUGAACUCCACAUUUGGGCAACUCAGAAUCUCCACCUUCAUUAGGAUUGUUAGAAGUUGGCUUCUUAGAAAGACAUGGAAAUGGGGCAUCUAGAAAUCUGAAAGAAUUCCAAAGGCUUGUUGCUACUUUUGAAUCAUUCCAAUUAAUAACAACUUUAAAAGAUAUAUACAAAUCUGUCCCUGGGAAAGAGAUGUGUCAUGUGCAUAUGCAACCAUCUCUCUAAUAGACUCAGGGUUGUGCACCAUCAUGGUAGUUUCUUAUAUAUUACACCAUAUUAAUUGUAGAUAUCCAACUACCAAUAUCACUACACCUGAAUGAACUAGGAGCUAUGCUGAAAGUGAAGUUGGACAACCCAUCAUCGAAAGAAUCCUGUAGGAAUACCCCAAAAUGAAAAUUUUAUUAGCAUAAAUGAAUUCACCCAAAUUAAGGAUAAAGUUGCCUAAAAAGCUUGUGAGGCAUGUACCGGAUAUUCGGCUCAAUUUAAUCUCUGUUGGAAAGUUAGAUGAUGAGGGCUACAACAACAAUUUCAGUGAUGGAAAAUGGAAGCUCUCCAAAGGUUCUCUAGUGGUAGCAAAAGGAAAGAAGACUUGUUCUCUUUACACUGUGCAAGCAAAAAUCUGCAAGGGUGUUGUGAAUACCUUAGAGAAUGACUCAUCCACCGAUUUAUGGCAUAGAAGGCUUGGACAUAUGAGUGAGAAAGGAUUGCAAGUUUUAUCCAAGAAAGAGCUUCUAGCGAGGAUAAAAGGUACGCCUUUGAAAACAUGUGUUCAUUGUUUCCAUGGUAAACAAAAUAGAAUAUCAUUCCGUAGAAACAUUGCAUCUAGAAAAUCUCAUGUUCUAGAUUUGAUACAUUCUGAUGUAUGUGGUCCUUUGAAAGUUAGGACACUUGGUGGUGCUUUAUACUUUGUCACUUUUAUUGAUGAUCACUCGAGAAAAGUUUGGACUUAUACACUGAAAACUAAAGAUCAAGUUCUAGAUGUGUUUAAGCAUUUUCAGGCCAAGGUUGAAAGAGAAACUGGUAGACAGUUGAAAUGUGUCCGCUCGGAUAAUGGUGGUGAAUAUAUUGGACCAUUUGAUCAGUAUUGCAUUAAUCAUGGCAUCAGGCAUGAAAAGACAGUAAAAAAGACACCUCAACAGAACGGGGUUGCAGAGAGAAUGAAUCGCACCAUUCUUGAGAGAGUCAGAUGUUUGCUCUCACAUUCUAAAUUGCCAAGAUCUUUUUGGGGUGAGGCAAUGAGGACAGUAGUUGAUCUUAUCAAUUUAUCUCCUUGAGUUCCGUUGAAUGGUGAUGUGCCAGAGAAAGUUUGGACAAGGAAGGAAGUCUCCUAUGAUCACUUGAGGGUAUUCGGCUGCAGAGCUUUUGUUCAUAUUCCAAAAGAUGAGAGGUCCAAGCUUGAUCCAAAAGCAAAGCAGUGCAUAUUUAUUGGCUAUGGGCAUGAAGAAUUUGGCUACAGGUUGUAUGAUCCAGUUGAUAAGAAAGUUGUCAGAAGCCGAGAUGUUGUUUUCUUGGAAUAUCAUACUAUUGAAGACAUUGACAAGCUUGAGUCAGCUGAGUCUAGUACUAAUGAUCUUGUUGAUUUAGAUCCUCUUAAUCCACCUGUUAUUCAUGAUAUUGAUGAGGAAGUGCAGACACCUCAUGAUGAUGCAGCGGAAGAUGAUGUUGAGCCAGAGAUUGAGGGGGAACAGUCAGCCCAAGAGCCACUACCACAGACACCGUUGAGGAGAUCUACCAGAGAAAAACAGCCAUCCAGAAAAUAUUCUUCAAAUGAGUAUGUGAUGAUAUCAUAUCAGGGGGAGCUAGAGACUUAUCAAGAAGUCUUGAAGCAUGAGAACAAAACUGAAUGGCUCAAGGCAAUGAAAGAGGAAAUGAAGUCUUUGCAUGAGAAUCACACCUAUGAUUUGGUGAAGCCGCCUAAAGGGAAGAAAAUUUUGAAAAAUAAAUGGGUCUUCAGACGAAAGAAUGAUGGGAACAGUUCUCAACCGAGAUUCAAGGCACGACUUGUUGUGAAAGGUAUUGAUCAGAGGAAGGGAGUUGAUUUUGAUGAGAUCUUCUCACCAGUUGUGAAGAUGUCCUCCAUUCGAAUUGUGCUUGGUAUAGCUGCGAGUAUGAAUUUAGAAGUUGAGCAGCUUGAUGUGAAGACCGCAUUUUUGCAUGGUGACUUAGAAGAGGAAAUUUAUAUGGAGCAACCUGAGGGCUUCAUAGAUAAGGGUAAUGAUCAGUUAGUUUGCAAAUAGAAGAAGAGUUUGUAUGGAUUGAAGCAAGCACCGAGGCAGUGGUACAGAAAAUUCGAUUCUUUCAUGACUGAGCAUGGGUAUUCAAGAACCACUUCAGACCAUUGUGUGUUUGUGAAGAAAUAUCUAGAUGGUAAUUUUAUUAUUCUCUUGUUUUACGUUGAUGAUAUGCUUAUUGUGGGCCAAGACACGAGCAAGAUUAGCAAGUUGAAGUCAGAGUUGAGCAAGUCCUUUGCCAUGAAGGAUUUGGGUCCAGCAAAGCAAAUUCUUGGGAUAAGAAUUGUUCGCGACAGAUCACAUGGGCUGAUUUGGUUAUCUCAAGAGAAUUAUGUUAAAAAGGUUCUUGAGAGGUUCAAUAUGGACAAAACAAAGCCUGUUAAUUGUCCACUUGUAGGCCACUUCAAACUUAGCUCAAGUCAGUGUCCUACAAGUGAUGAAGAGAAAAAUGAGAUGCAGAAAAUUCCCUAUGCUUCAGCAAUUGGUUCUUUGAUGUAUGCCAUGGUUUGUACUCGACCGGAUAUUGCUCACGCAGUUGGGGUUGUUAGUCGAUUUCUGUCUAAUCCGGGAAAAGAACACUGGGCAGUAGUGAAAUGGAUUCUGAGGUAUCUUCAGGGCACUUCAAAGAUGAGUUUGUGUUUUGGUAAAGGCGAGCCUAUUCUUGAUGGGUUCAUAGAUUCUGAUAUGGGUGGUGAUGUUGAUAGUCGAAAAUCUACUUCUGGUUAUUUGAUUACUUUUGUAGGGGGGGCAGUGACAUGGCAAUCAAGAUUAUAGAAAUGUGUUGCUCUCUCCACCACAGAAGCUGAGUUCAUCGCCAUUACAGAAGCCUGCAAAGAAUUAUUAUGGUUGAAGAAAUUCUUACAAGAGUUGGGUUUGAAACAAGAAAGGUAUGUCCUUCAUUGUGAUAGUUAGAGUGCAAUCCACUUGAGUAAGAAUUCUUCAUUUCAUUCGAGGUCGAAACACAUUGAUGUUAGAUAUCAUUGGAUUCGUGAUGUCUUGAAUGAUAAGUUGUUGCAACUUGAAAAAGUUCACACUGAUGAUAACACUUCGGAUAUGUUGACUAAGGCAUUGACUAAGGACAAGCAUGAGAAGUGUCGACUAUUGGCGGGAAUGGUCGAUUCCUCCACAUAAGUCGGGAGGGGGAGAAUUGUUGGGUUUCCCUCCUUUGUGGGAUUCUUAAAUUUACUAAAUAUGGUUUUGCUAUUUUGGCCAACACCUUGGUUAGCACAUGACUCUUGGCAUAUUCAAGAUUGGUUUGAAGUCUUCAAGGAAAGAAAAAAAAAACUACAAGUCUUUUGUCUUUUCCUUUGGUUCAUCAUCUUGGUCGGCAAGAAGACUUUUGGGAUACCUUUUUGGUUCAAAACAAAAAUCAGCCUUCUUCUUCUCCAUUUUUUGGUGCUACACAAUCGGCAAGUUUGUUCUUCAAGUAGGUAACGUUUCUUCACUUGAUAUUUGGGGUUUCUUGCGGUUUGUUCUUGGAGAUUUGGUUUACUUUUGUGAGGUAUUUUCCUCUUGUGAUUUACACCUUGGUGUGUUUGUAAGGCUUAUGCCUUUUGGCCACUUUGUAAACUCUUUUGGUGAUAGUGGAAGAAACUGACCUCCCGGUCGUCGUGGACGUACCUCAAGUUAUUUGAGGGAACCACGUAAAUCUUGUGUGCUCAUUUAUUUUCUGUUAUUCUAUUUAUAUUGCUUCCAUUGAUUUACACUUGUGGGAAAGCCUAUUUUUUUUCAACAAAUUUGACCAACUAUCAUAAGGAAUUUCUUUCAAAAGAGAGAUAAGUAAUAAAUAUCUGUUAUUUAUUGGAAAAAAAAUAUUAUCAUACUAUUAAUGUGUUUAAUUUUUAUUUUUUUUUUAAAUAGAGAUUGUUAUAUCUUUUUGUAAAAAUAAGUUUCCUUAUAAAAUAAGAAAAAGUGGUAGAAGUAUUUCUAUAAAUAUUUUAUUAAGAGAAAAAACUAUAACAUGAAGAAAAACAUGUAAAGUUUAUAUUUAAAAGAUAGUGAUAUGGGAAAGAGUGGAAAACAUUCCUUGGAAUGACGACAUGUGAUUCAAAGUAAAAUCUCAUUUUUGUUUUCUAUAGUCCUUAUGACUUUUGGUUUUUCUAUUGAGUGCCAAUAAAUAAAAGAAAAAACCCUCCUUUUUUGAAAGUUCAUUUGAACAGUUGUUUGAAGAAAAAAUCUUUAUUAAUCCAAACCCUAUCAACUUAUAUAUGACCUAUUACAUGACUAUGAAGUUUUUUAAAGUAAUUUUAAAGACAACCAAAAAAAAAUUGAUAUGAUAAAUGAUUAAAACCACUUUAUAUUCUAAUAGUAUUUUCUAUCAUAUAACAUCUUAGUGAAAUGUUUCAUAACAAAAUGAAUUAUUCUAUGAAUAUGACUUUGGAUUCCAAAUUUUGAACUUUCUAAUGCCUUAACUUAGUGGUGAGUCUCAUAGAAAAUGAAAGUUAUGGAGAAGUAGAAUGUGGACGUACUUUUUGACUUAAUAAACUGAUGUUACAACACCUUCAAGUAAUUACCUUAAAAAUGAUAUGUCAUUGCAUUGAAAAUGAUAUUAAAUUUAAUGGAGAGAUAAUUUAUAAAAAUAUCACUAAUUUUUUAAAAAGAAUAAUGUGACCUUACUGUUGUGUUAGGUUGGAAAGAAAUUUAUGCUGGUGUUAAUUUAUUUAUUUAUUUUGCAUAUUGUAAGGUCUCAAACUCGUUUAGAAAUAUGAACAAUGAUGAAGAGUUAAAAAUUUAAAAACAUUAAAUGUAUGGUUAAAGGUAUGGUUAAAGCUAUGUUUAGAUAGUUGAAAUUGCAACCAAAAAAACAAGAAAAUGAAAGAAGUUCAAAUUUUAUUUGAUUAUCUUAAAAAUAUGAAAUAAAUUACAUAUAAUGAAAAUUGUUUAGAGUUUUAUAUACUUUUAAUAUUUACUCUUUACAAAAAAGAAAAAAAAGCAAGUCAAUUUUAAUGAACUUAUGGAAAAUAUUAAACUUAAGCUUAAUUUUUUAUUUUUCUUGAUUUUUCUUUCCUUCCAUAAUUUUCCUUCACAAUCUUUCCCACUUUAUUCAAACUUUCCAUGGUCUAUACUUUAUACAUGUUUUAUCUCCUUUUUAAUUAAAAAAAUUUAAAUUUUCCAAUUAAAAUUCCAAGAUAGGCUAAUAAAAACUUAAAAUUAAUAUUACAUUUUAAACAAACUAGAUUGAUUUGAUAGAUGAUUCAAAUCAAACCUAAAUUCAAACUUAACCCAUUCAAAUUUAGCCUCUAAUGUGAGGUAUUUGACCCAAACUUAGCUCAAACUCAUUUUUACCUACUAAAGUUAGGCUUAAAUUGACUCAUAGUACUUUUAGUUGAGUUGAUUAGGUUGUAUGAUCAUAACUAGGUUUGGUAAGGUUGAGUUAGUUUGAAACUAUUCAUAAUUUUUUUUCUUUUUUAUACUUCUUUUAUAUCAUAAUUUUAAAAAUUAAAUUGGAUAACUUUUCAACAUAAUAACAAAAAUAAAUCAAUUUAUGUAUCCGUCCAACAAAAAUGAAAUAAUACAAUUAAAAUUCAACAUUUUUCUUUAAAAACUAAAAAAAAUAAAAACACACACACAUACAAAAUAGGUAUCAUUAUAUAAAAUAAUAUAAAUUAUAAAUAUAUAAAAUUAGGUUUGGGCUAGCUUGGGUUGUCAAACCUUAGCCUAAGUAGUUUCACGAUUCUCUACUACUUGUAAAAGUUUUUGGUAAAUUUUAUUAAAAUUAAUAAAAAAGAAAAAAGAAAUAAAAUGUUUUUAAAAAAUAUAAAUGCAUAAUUAAAAUUAUGCUAAUGAAACAAAGGGAAGCAAACAAGAUCAAAAUUUUUCUCUCAAAAGGUGUAGUGUAAUGACUUCAAUUUUUAAGUUUUGAAGGUCAAUCUGCCUUCAAUUAUAGAGAUAAGAAGCUUGUAGAGAAUAAAAAAUAUAUAGCAAGUGGGUAUAUAUAGAUAUAAAAUAUAUAUAUAUAUAUAUAUUGUAUGCAUCCCACUUUUGUCACGAGCAAACCCACUAGUAAACCUUUAUCAUCUUAUUAUAUAACAAGUGGGUAUAACUAGAUAUAAUAAAAAUAGGUCCUUGUUUAUUAAAUUCAAAAGUUUAUGAUCAUCACUUAGCAUUUAACAAAGUGGUACAAAUGAAGGUAAAAAUAGUAGUAUAGUCAAUAUUUUCCUACAAAAAAAGUUACUUAAUUUAAAGAAUAUUAUAAUUGAUGUGUGAUUUUUAUUUUUAUUUUUAUCAAGAAGCGAUUUUAGAGAUAAGUUUUUAUCAAGAAACAAUCUUCAAUGUUAAUUUACCAUCAUUAUCUCUAAUAUUGUACCAUUGAAUGCAAUUGCAAAACAUCUAUGUAAUUGUUAGUAAAAAAAUUUUCAUGCUUAUUAUGCAAUAUUUGUUUUAAUUUUCAAGUUGCAAUUAUAUAGUCUAAAGGUUGAGGUUCUUAGAUAAUUAUUGUUUUGAUGAGAAGUCUAAUCAUGUUGUUGUUGCUCAUGUCACUUUAAUUAGACCAAGUUUAAUGAUACUUUAGACCAUAUUUAAGGAUCCUUUUCAAAUAUCUAUCUAACCUUUGGUAUGCAAUUUGAAAAGAGGAUGGAGAGAGGAUGGUUGUUCUCCAUAAUCCAUUAAUAAAUAAAUAAAAAUAAUUAUAUUUAGCAGGAAAAUGAAAAAUUAUUGAGAUCAUUAACAAGUAAUUUUGGUAAAACUUGAUAUUUAAUGAAGUAAGAUGACUUUAAGUUAAAUUAAUUGUAAUUAAGUCAUUAAGUCUUAGUUAUUAAGACGAUUUCUCAAAAUCAUUUUUAAAUUUAUUCUUAAAAUUAAGUCAUGAAAUUGAUUUAUCAUCACCCUCUAAAGUCUUUUCAAUUUUGUACAUUUUUAUGAUACAUAUUUAAUCAUGCAUAAACAAUAAAAAAAAGGUGUUACCUCAAAAUUUUUAAUUCAAACUCCUCCAAGAUUAUUCAUGACUAAAAUUCAUUAAUUAAUUUACAUUACAAGCUUUGAAAGAAACUUGUUUUAGAACAUAAAAUUGAUAGAGAUAGUACAUAUUUUAAACUUUUAAUUAAAAUAAAAAAAUCACAACAAAAUAAUUUGAUGGAUGUUUUAGUAUUCGAAAAUAUCAUAAGUCAUUUGGUCAUGAUUUUAGAAAAGUUAGAAAUGUUCUAUAAUGCUUAAAAACAUUUUUGUUACAAAAAUUAAGUAUUUGAUAAAGUUAAAAUUCAUUUUCUAGGUAAUUGGUGGUGCCUAUGAAAUAUUUUUUUUGGUUAUACAAAUUUAUUAGUGUGAGAUGAUAUGCAACAACUUUAAAGUAUAGCAAUUAUUGAAGUUUGGACCAACCAUAUAUGUUAAAGGUGCUUCACUCCACCUUCUCAUUUUGUAUAAUCUUGUACCCUAAAAGAUUUGAAAUGAGUCUUAUUUAUAAACAUUAUAAAUAAUGUUGUGGACCCCGUAUUUCAGCUCAUGCGUUUUCCACUCGAUAGCGAGCUCGAUUUUUGUUUAAAAAAAUGACUUGGAGUCGCCACUUAUUUUUGUUUUAUUUUUAAAAGGGUAAACAAAAUAAAAAAGAAAACUCUAAGUGUAACUCCUUAUUUUGGAAAAGGUGGUCUAUGGAAAACCGGAUCAGGCUUGGGGGUCAGGUACAUCAGGAAGGUACGGUAAAGAUCGUAGCCCCCCUCUAAGUCCCUAAAGUCGGGUCUCUACUAAUAAAAGGAAGCUGACGUGGCGAUCAAUAGGAAAAUCAACAUAUACUCAAAUCGAUCAUGCACACAUGAGAAUCAAAACAUGCAUAGAAAAUGACCAGAAUGGGAAUGGAUGCAUACCUGAGCCACGAACGAGCAAUGCGCUAUCAUAAAAAUGGGGUCAGUGUAUAAUAAAGAGCACAAAACUUAUCACAUGCGUCACCAAAUAGAAAUGAAAACUGUUCGAGGGAAAAUUGAAUUUUUGAAAAUUGGAGUUUUAGAGAUUAUUUGAAAAUUGGAGUUUUAGAUAUUGUUUGAAAAUUGGAUUUUUAGAAAUUAAAUAUAAGAAUGAGAAUUUUAGAAAUUAAAUUUGAAAGAAAUUGGAAUUUUGAAAAUUAUUUGAGAAUUUGAGAUUUUUUUUUUAGAAAUUAAAUUACGAAAAUUGAGACUUUAGAAAUUAAAUUUUGAAAGAAAUCAGAAUUGAAAGUUAUUUGAGAAAUAGAAACUAUGAAAAUUGAAUUAUAAAAAUUGGAAAUCUUGGAAAUCGUUCGAAGGCAGAAUUUUUAAAAAUAAAUGAAUAAAAUGAUAAUAAUAAUAAUGAUAAUAAUAAACAAGUAACGAAAUAAAUGCGAGAAUUGGAACAUUGGAAACUGAAAAAAAUUAAGUUCGGAAAUUGGAAAAUUGGAAUUUCAGAUAACUAAAUUUGGAAAUCGGAAUUUUGAAGAAUUAUUUAAAGACGAAAUUUUAAUAAACGAAUAAGUGAAUAAAUAAAUUAAUGGAAUAAUAAUAAUGACGAAAUAAUAAAGAUUAGGUAAAUAAUUGCGAAAAAUAAAAUUUUAGAUAUUGGAGAUUGAAUUUAGAGAUUGAAAAUUUUAAGAAAUUAUUUAGAGAUGAUAUUUUUAAUAAAUGAAUAAGUGAAGAAAUAAAUGAAUGGAAUAAUAAUAAUGACGAAAUAAUAAAAAUUAGAUAAAUAAUUGCGAAAAAUAGAAUUCUAGAGAUUGAAAUUUGAAUUUAGAGAUUGAAAAUUUGAGAAAUUAUUUAGAGAUGAGAUUUUAAAUAUAUGAAUAAGUGAAUAAAUAAAUGAACAAGAUAAUAAUAAUAACGAAGAUAAUCAUUUAAACAACUGAAUGUGAAUAGUGAGAUUUUUUAGAUUGGAAAUUAAAUUUGGAAAAUAGAAUUCUAAAAAAUUGAACUUUAAUUAUUGGAAUUUGUAAAAUAAAUAAAUGGAAUGAUAAUAAUAAUAAUUAAAAUAAUAUUUAAACGAAUGAACAUGAAUAGUAGAAUUUUUUAAAUUGAAGAUUAAAUUCGAAAGUCGGAUUUUUGAAUAAUUGAACUUUAAUGAUUUGAAUUUUUAAAAGAAAUAAAUAAAUAAAUAUAGAAUAAUAAUAAUAAUAACCAAAAUAAUGUUUAAACGAAUAAACAUGAAUAGUGGAAUUUUUAAGAUUGAAAAUUAAAUUUACAAAUCAGAUUUUUGAAGAAUUGAACUUUAAUGAUUAGAAUUUUUUUUUAAAAAAAAUAAAUAAAUAUAAAAUAAUAAUAAUAAUAACAAAAAUAAUGUUUAAACGAAUGAACGUGAAUAAUGGAAUUUUUUAGAUUGAAAAUUAAAUUCGAAAAUCAUAUUUUUUAAGAAUUGAACUUUAAUCAUUGGAAUUUUUAAAAGAAAUAAAUAACUAAAUAUGGAAUAAUAAUAAUGAUAAUAAAAAUAAUGUUUAACGAAUGAACGUGAAUAGUGAAAUUUUUUUGAGAAUAAAAAUUAAAUUCGAAAGUCAGAUUUUUGAAGAAUUGAACUUUAAUGAUUAGAAUUUUUAAAAUAAAUAAAUAAAAUAAUAAAAAUAAUAUUUAAACGAAUGAACGUGAAUAGUGGAAUUUUUUAUAUCGAAAAUUAAAUUCGAAAGUCAGAUUUUUGAAGAAUUGAACCUUAAUGAUUUGAAUUUUUUUAAAAUAAAUAAAUAAAUAAAUAUGGAAUAAUAAUAAUAAUAACAAAAAUAAUGUUUAAAUGAAUGAACGUGAAUAGUGGAAUUCUUGAGAUUGAAAAUUAAAUUCGAAAAUCAGAUUUUUGAAGAAUUAAACUUUAAUGAUUGAAAUUUUUAAAAGAAAUAAAUAAAUAGAAAAUAAUAAAAAUAAUGUUUAAACGAAUGAACAUGAAUAGUGGAAUUUUUUUAGAUUGAAAAUUAAACUCGAAAGUCAGAUUUUUGAAGAAUUGAACUUUAAUGAUUGGAUUUUUUUUAAAAGAAAUAAAUAAAUAAAUAUAGAAUAAUAAUAAUAACAACAGAAAUAAUAUUUAACGAAUGAACGUGAAUAGUGAAAUUUUUUAUAUUGAAAAUUAAAUUCGGAAGUCAAAUUUUUGAAGAAUUGAACUUUAAUGAUUGGAUUUUUUUUAAAAGAAAUAAAUAAAUAAAUAUGGAAUAAUAAUAAUAACAAAAAUAAUGUUUAACGAAUGAACGUGAAUAGUGAAAUUUUUUUUAAAUUGAAAAUUAAAUUCGGAAGUCAAAUUUUCGAAGAAUUGAACUUUAAUGAUUGGAAUUUUUAAAAAAAUAUAUAAGCAAAUAAAUAAAUAGAAUAAUAAUUAAAUAAAUAAACAUGAAUAUUGGAAUUUAAAAAUGUGAAUUUUAGACAGUUACAUGAUAACAGAAUUUUUUUACAAAAACUAUAUUUUUAACAUAUAAAGAAGAAGAAUCAAGAGGGCCAAACACUAGGCCAAUGGGGUCUACACCUAACAAGCAACGGACUAGGUCCAUAAAAACCAAAUAGCCUUCAGUAAAGCCCAAUCAUAGAGGGCCCAAAUGAACAUUACCAAUCAAGUUCAAGGUUCAUCAUUCAUCAUUGUGAGAAAUCAAAUGUGCCAAAGAGAGGCACACAGAAGGUUCAUUGAGUUCCAUUUCAUAAGAGUGUUUGUUCCACAUUCUAUCCCAGUCCACUAACAUGAUAAAACAACAGCAAAAACAAUAACGCAAGUCAACAAAUCUGAAUCUUCAAUCCUAAAAAAAAAACCAGACCCCUAAAAGGGGAACUAAAAUAAAGCCCCCGUUGAAAGCAGCUUGGUCCAUUCUCUGAAGACAAUAAACGAACAAACACAGAACUCAAAAUUUCAAGUUUGCUUAACGAACCUCUGUCUUCUCUCGCUGUGAUCUUCCCUUCUGGUCGUUCUCGUUCUCCUUCCUGUUAUGGAAUCUGCUUCAGCUCCAGGAAUCUUUUUUUUUUUUUCAGUUCCCUUCCCUCUCGUUUUCUGCAACCCUUCUCUUCUUGAAUCAGCCGACCCACAAUCCCUUCUCAAGAUACUCCAUUUUCAGUUCAGUUUCUCCAUAAAUAUCUCUCUAUUUCUUGCUUUCCUUUCGCUCCCCGAAAAAAAAUUCCUAUGCGCUCAACUCUCCAAAAAUUCCCUAGAACCCUCAAUCUCCGGAACUGAAAAUCUCCUCUGUUUUUCUUAUUCCUUCCUCAGCUGAAAAUCCCCCGGUCCCGAACCCAAAAAUCCUCCACCCAACUCUCCUUUUUUUUUUCUCAAUCUCCCCUUUUUCCCGCUACUUCUCGUCCUCUUCAGCCGCCCAAAUACUGCUCGCCCCGUCCCAUCUCAUGGCCGCCCAAAGCAGUCCAUUCUGUCAUCUCUGGCCGCCACCAACGGCUGACCCUCGGUGUGGUAAAAAGAGGGAAAAAAAAAAAAAAAAAAUUCUGUCUCCAAAGGGGUCUACAAAUGUAUUUAAAUAUUUGUUUGAUUCUUUAAAGAUAUUAUUUUUUAAUUAAUCAAAUAGGAAGAUUUGAAAAUUUAUAUUUUGAUAGUCUUAAUUAUUUUAAAUAUUAUUUUUUAAUUAAAAAUAAUAUUUAAAAAGAUUUAGAAGAUUAUAUUUAAAUUAUUUUUUUAUAGGACUUGAUAAUUACUUUUUUUUAGUUAUUGAAUUUAUCAAUUUUUGUUUUUUCUAACCAUUGAGUGUGUGACUCAUGUUUUAUAGAUUUUUUGUUUAAAUAUUAUUUAAAAAAAAAAAAGGGUAACCUACAAAAUAUUAAAGGUUCUACCAUAAAAUUGUCAACUAAAAUUUGUCUUUUCAAAAGAUGAGUUCAAUAUAAAAAAAUAAAUUUACAUUUUUCAUUGAACUCAUUUUUUAAGAGAUGAGCUUAAUAUAUAAAUACUAAACUCUUCUUUCCAAAAGAAAAGUUUGUUGAAAGAUACUAUACUUGUAUUUUCAUAAAACAAAUUUCAUGUAAAAAUGUUUAACUUGUUUUUUCAAAAGGCGAGGUUUAUAUGAAAAGAUAAAUCUUUUUUUUUUUCUUGAACUUAUUGUUCCUAAAAGGUGAGUUCAAUGUUGUUGUUGUUUUAAUUUAAUUUAAUUUUUUUUUACCCCACACUAUACAUGACAUUAUAGAUUUUAUUGACAAGAGAUAUAUACUAUGUGACAAUGUUCAACUUAUCAUAAUUAAAUUUAAAUAUUGAUAUUUAAUUUCUUAUUAGUUCCAUGAAUAAUUAACUUAGUUUGAAUAUACAAUGAUUUCAUUUGGAAUAACUUUCUUUUUUUCACUUUAGUGGGAAGCUGAAGUUAUAAUUUCUCAAUGAUAAUUUUGGGCAAUAUAAAAAUUUUAUUAAUCAUGAAAGAACUUAUAUUAGUCAAAAUAAAGCUUUCAUAAAAAGUAAAAAACAAACUUAGCUUCCGUAUCUUCAUUUUAAACCAUAAGCUCUCUGAAGAAAAUUUAUCAAAGAGAGAUAGAAGUCCUUGAGCUUAUGAAAGAGUUUUUGACUUCUCAAAAAUCAAUCCAAAUAGGAUUGAUAAAUUGUAGAUGGUUAUAAUAUAAUAUUGCACAAUAUAAAUGUUAUUUUCGCUUCUAUAUUUUCCAUGGAAUUAUUUAAUUAUUUGAAUAAAGAUUUUUCCUUCGUUAUUUUUUUGUGCCUUUAAAAAAUAAAAAAUUAUUUUAAAUCUUAGGCACGAUAAUGCUUAAGUAUUUAAUAAUUUUAAUUAGAUAAUUAAAUUUUAUUUUAUAUAUAAAAUAAUUAAUUAAAUUUUAUAUUAUAUUUUAUAUAUAUAUAAAUUUAAUUAAUAAUUCAAUAAUUAUAUUUAUUUAUGUUUAAAUCAAAUUAACAAUAAGUUCAAUGCAACUAGAAAAAGGUAGCAUAUAUUUAUUAUUUUAAAGUGGAUUUUGAUUUUAAAUUAUUGCAAGUGUAUUUACUUAACUAACCAAUUAGUUGAAGUUCACUCAGCUAAUCCUUCAAUUUAAUCUUGACGUUGACAAGAACCUUGCCGGCAAUAAUUAUAAAAAGAAAAAUGCAUCAAGCUAAAGCUAAUUUUAUUAAUUCGAGUUUAAUAAAUUUUAGGUGGGUGCCCUUACCUAAUCUUUAAAAUUAAUCUUCAAGUUGAUCAUAAGAACUAAGCCAACCAUAAUUAUAAAAACAAAAAAAACGACAAGCUAAUUCCAUCAAUUUUAUUCUCUCAAAUUUAAUAAAUUGUAAGUAAGUUCUCUUAUCUAAUGUUUUAAAUUAAUCUUGAUAUAGAUAAGAACCUUGCCAACCAUAAUUAUAAAGAGAGAGAAAUGACAAACUAAUUUAAUUGGCUAAUUUUAAAUAACUCAAGCUUAAUAAAUUGUAAGUAGGUUAAUCUCUUGCCUAACCUUUUAAAUUUAAUUUUGAGAUCAAUAAGAAUCAUAUAGGCCAUAAUUAUAAAAAGAGGAAGAACACAAGCUAAAGGAAUACAAUCACAAUCAAUUGUAUAUGAUGAUAGUGAUUACCUUUUAAAUCUUCACAAGGUUAGAUCUUGAACAUGAUAUGUAUUUACAUGUGGUAAUCAUAAUGAUGAUAUUAAACAAACAAUGGUAGUCAUUUUUUCAAAUCAUUAAAAAAUACAUAAUACAAUAUUAUAUAUAUAAUUGCACAUAUUAAAAGAAAAUAUAUUAAGGGUGAUAGAAGUAAGCAUAUAUCAUUCAAGUUCUUUUAUAUUCAUAAACUUCAAAAGAGUAGUAAGAUCAAUAUUCAAAAAGUAAAAUCAAAUUAUAAUUUAGUAAACUUAUUCACAAAAGCAUUGUCAACUUCAACUCUCAAGAAGCUUAUAGAUAAUAUUGGAAUGGGACAACUCAAAGAUCUUUACAUUGGGUUACUAUGAAUAUAAUCAUGUCAACAUGAGGGGAGCAGAUAAAUAAGGAUGUUUGUAACAUCCUAUGCCCCUAGGCUAGGGGCAACCUUAUCAAUUUCACAUAUCCAUAAAAAUAAUGAAAUCACAAUCACACACAAGACAAUCAAUUUUACGUGGAAAAAUCUCUUGCUAAUAUGGAGAUACAAAACUAUAGGGUCUAAGAUCUCUAAUCUAAUAAUCCACUAUAUUAGAUCAAAGUACAUAGAUUUAUCUGAUAGCUUUACCCUAAAAACUCACUCCUACCUAUAACUUGAUUCAUGUCUCAAUGCUCUAGUGAAUUCACCUCAGCCUUUAGGAAGAUGCAAGUCCUUGUAACAAACCAAAAUUCGAUUAGUGAAUUCUUUGUUGAGAGUUUGUGAAUGAUAGAGCAAGUUGGGGUUGAUUAUAUCAAAGCAUCCAACCCCAAAACAUAUUUAGGUAAAGUAUAUAUAAGCCUAAGAUCCUAGAUGGUUGGAAAUGAAAUUUUCUUAAAAAAUAAAAUAUCAAAUUUUCAAAAUUAAUUAAGAAAAGAAUUUUUGUUUAAAAAAUAAAAUAUCAACUUUCUAUAAAUUAAUUAAGAAAUUCUUAAAAAAAAUUCUCAAAAUUGCCAAAAUUUAAUUAAAAUAUUUUAACUCAAUUAAUUUUAAAAUUUCAUAUCCAACUCUACCUUAAUAUAAAAAUAACUUGCCUUUAAUAAAUAUUUUUACACUUACUUGUAACAAUAUGGUUAAAUGAGUAGUAACAUUUAAUCUUCAAUGGAGUAAAAAAAUUCCUAUACUAGAACAAAAAAGAUUUCUUACUGGAACUAAAAUCAAAUUGACAACAUCUAACAAUUAUUAUAGACUUCAAUAUAUUUUUAAAAUUAUUUUAUAAAUAUAUUCUAUUAAGUAAAAGAGCCCCAAUAAUUGCCACGUAUCCGAGCCAUCUCUUACCAAUAAUUGCAUACAAGGGCUCCGCUUGCAGACACCUAGCUAGCCUACACCCCAUGUUUUUUCCUUUUUUUAUUUCCCAUGAAAGAAAUGUAUAGAAUUAUGGUUUUAUUUUAUUCUAUGGCAUGUACCAAGAGAUGGAAAGAGAUUAUCAGGAAAUUGACUUUCCUUUAAUAUUAUAGAAAAUGUGAGAGCAAAAUUUUUUAUUUGGCAUGUCUCAAAUGGUAUCACAUGUUCACGCUCAAAUCUCAUUUGUUUACAUUAAAGUCUCAUUUAUUUGUCUUUUUAUUUCUUGAUCCAAAUUAUUUAUAUUUUUAUUCAAUAAUCUAAUUUUAUCACUUGAUGGCUUAGUAUUUUCCUUUUAUCUUUAGAGGCUACAAUAUUUUCAAUAACUCAACUUCCAUUUUCUAUUUCAUUGUCCUAUCUCAAGACCCAUUUCAAUGAUAUCUCUUUCUUUUGAAAAGAAAGUUAGUCAAUCAUUCAUCAAAUAAUUAUAAUUUUUUUAUAAUAGAUAAAAAUAUCAUUAAUAACACUUAAUUGCAAAAUAUUUUAAUAAGAAGUGAAAAGAUUAUAUCUAAUUUGUUUCUUUGUCUUAAAUUUAAAUAGAUCUUUAUUGAAUUUUAAAUAGAACUUAAACUCAUUAAGAUUAAAUUGUUUAUUUUUAUUAAUAUUUAAAUAUUCUUAAACAUUAAAUUACUUGUUCUUAUUAAUGUGUUAAUAUUGUUAUGUGUUAAACAAAUAUUUUUCUAUCCUUAAAAUAAUAAUUUGUAUCUUCUUAGUUUUUAUAAAAAGAUAAAUCUAAGGUUAUUAUAAUAUUUUUAUGUUAUACAUCUUUACGAAAGAAUUUUCAAAGUCUUGGACCUUUUUUGGAUCCUUGUCAUCUAUUUAUGCCUUCUUUGAUAAUUUUUUGGAGCAUUCAAAUAUAUGUAAAAUCCAGAUUAUUAAAUAAGAAUUUUGACCGUUCAAACAUAUAUAAAAUCUAGAUUAUUAAAUAAUGAUAAAAUAAAAAUACUUAGAACUCUUAUGGUACGUUUUAUAAAAAAUAAAAAAAAAGGAAAGAAUUUGAAUAUCUUAUGGUACGUUUAAAAGAAAAUAAAAAAUGUGGACAUUAAAGUGGAAUGUAAACACAAUUUUAAAGUAAAGUGAGAUGAUGUUAUAGCUCCUUAAUUAAUAUGGACAAAUUUUAUGGUGUAAAAAUUAGAACGACACAAUGGUGGUGGGCCUCCCACCAAAAACUAAAAAAUGUCAAAUUAAGCAUAUGAUCUGCUUGGAAGUGGAGCACUUAACCUAAAUUAUUUGUUUACAUCUUUGUAAGUUUCUCCCAUAUAUUUGUAACUUAUUUCUAUAUAUUAUUGAAGGAAAAGAUUUUGGAUCAUGCAUGUAAUCGUUAGAGAGGGUUUCCAAUCAAGAUUUAAAUUUGGUUGUUGCAUCCUUAAUGUAAGAAGUUUAAAAAACCUGGAACUAAUCUAGUUCAUUGGAUCUUAACAAUAUAUAUAUAUAUAUAUAAGAUUUUAAAAUUGUUUAGAUAAGUAUAAUAAUUUGUAAAUAAGAGUUAAGUGUAUAAAAAAACAAAUGAGCAACUACUUUGAUUACUUUAAUACAAAUUUUCCACGCAAUGACUUGUAACUUCAAGAUAAUUAAUUGAAGUUGUUGUAACAUCACAUCAAAUCUUAAUAAUUGUGUUUAUAUUUUACUUUAAUUUUCAUUUUCAUUUGGACCCAUAACUAGCAAGGAUGAAAAUUUUCAUAUAUAUCGGCAAAAUAUCUCGGAUAUAUCGUGUAUCAGGAGUGCCAAUAUAAAUUUUCACUGGCCCAAUUUUUCCAUUUUUAUUGUCGAUUCACCAAUAUAUCAAGUUGCUGCUACUAGGCCUCGGUCAAACACGGUAAAAAAUCAAGCUGUUGUUGAGGGGAUUUGAACCUGACAAUAACCGCUAGAGCAAGUUGCUCUUUGAUAAAAGUUAUACACCAAAUUGUAUAUAUAAGAACAUUAAAAAUUAUUUUAUUAAAUAAAUUAAUUUUAAUUAUUUUAUUUUUGCAUUUGAUUUAAUUUAUUACCAAAAAUGUAAAAACAUAAUUUUUUAUAUUUUUUAUGUAAUCUAUAUAUUUAUCAAAUAUAAAAAAUAUAAAUAUUAAAAAAAUUAUACAUAUUUUAUUAUUUAUUUGAUAUAAUUGAAUACAUUUAAAUUAAAAUUGAUCCUAAUUUUAAUAUUUUAAAAUUAAACAUAUUAUCAUAUUAUUGUUGUAAAAGAAUGUUGUGCAACUUAAUAAUAAAUGUAUGGUUAUAAAAUAUAUUUUUUUAUUGAUGCAUACAAUAUUAUUAUCAAAUAUGAUAAAUUAUAUAUAUAAAAAAUUUUUGAACAAAAUAAAUUUAAAAUGUCUAUUAUACUUUCAAAUUCAUUUUUAUGAAGUUUUUCUUAUAUUUUUAGGAGUUUUGAUAAUUUUAAGUCUAUUAAUAUUUUUUUCUAAAAUGUCUAUCGAUAUAUCUCUAAUAUAUCUAUAAAAUCAAUAUAUUAAUAUAUCCGUUAUUACCGAUAUUUUCAUAAUUCAUCAGUAGCAAGUUCGAAUUGACUCAAACAUUAGGAUCCAAAAGUCACCAUAGAGACAUUGCAUUGACACAACCUAGAGAAGCUUCCAAGUGGACUGCACAUGCUAACAUGUCUUGGAGGGUUGAAAAUCAAUGGUUGUCCAAAGUUGGUGUCAUUUCCAGAGUUAGGGUUCCUGCCCAUGCUUAGACAUCUUGUUAUUGUUAGUUGUGAAGGUCUACAAUGUCUAUCCAAUUAGAUGAUGGUGAUGAAGGAUGGUAGUAUUAACAGUAGCAACAUGCGUCUCUUUGAAUACUUGGAGAUAGAUACGUGCCCAUCUCUCAUUGCUUUUCCAGACGUUGAGUUACCCACCACGCUUAAGGAACUCAAGCUAUGGAGGUGUGAAAAACUGGAGUCUCUACCGAGGGGAUGAUGCACCAUGAUUCAAACACCACCACCACCACCAGUGAUGGUCUUCAUGUCUUGGUCAUUGGGGUAUGCCCAUCUCUCACAUUCCUCCCCACAGACAAGUUUCCCUCCACCAUCAAGAAACUUUAUAUUAUGAAUUGUACACAACUGGAGUCAAUUUCAGAAAAGAUAUUAUUACAAGGAAAAAUGGAGAGAAAAAUUGGCAGAUUCUCUUUUCAUUGAUUGAAAAAAUGAGCUGUAUAGAGAGCACCAAAACAGAGUAGCAAAAAUGUCUUUUAUAAUAGAAGUCACGCAUAAGGAGUUGUAGAGCUCUGUAGAGAAAAAACAACCUAACCAACUAUUGGUUAUAACAGAAAAAAUAAAAUAAAAAUAAAAAACUAAAACUAAUAUGCUAAAAUUCUCCCUCAAGAUGGAGAAUAUAGAUCAUGAAUUCCCAUCUUGCCCAAGAGACCAUGAAAUUGAUUGGGAUGGAAAGCCUUAGUAAGAAUGUCAGCAAGUUGGUUUUGUGAGGUAACAUGUAGAGUCUUGAGAAUCAUAGCUUGAAUCUUCUCUCAAAUGAUAUGACAAUCAAUCUCAAUAUGUUUGGUGCGCUCAUGGUAGACUGAGUUUGUUGCAAUGUGGAUAGCAGCUUGGUUGUCACAAUAAAGAACAGUUAGCCCAUGAUGGGCUAUCUUCAAGUCGUGAAGAAGAGACAAGAGCCACAGAAUCUCACAAGUAGUGUUGGCCAUGGAUUGGUACUCGGCUUCAACAGAUGAGCGAGAGACAAUCGGUUGUUUCUUGGACUUCCAAGAGAUGAGGGAGGUCCUAAGAAACACACAAAAACCAGAAAUAGAACGAUGAGUGUCAAGACAAAAGGCCCAAUCAGAAUCUGCGAAGGCUUUGAGUUGCACUUUGGAAUUUGAUGAAAAGAAAAGUCCUUGGUCUAGGGUUCGCUUGAUGUACUGUAAAAUGUGAAAAACAACCUGAAGAUGUGGCUUGCAAGGGGCUGCUAAGAAUUGGCUAAGACGAUUUAUAGAAUAACUAAGGUCAGGACGAGUAAUAGUAAGAUAUAGCAGCUUACCAAUGAGUUACCUAUAGUUGGUAGGAUUUUCAAUCAAGUCACCAUCAUCUUGAGAUAGUUUCAAAUUAGGAUCCAUGGGAAUGGUGGUAGGUUUGCAACCCAAAUGUUCAGUGUCUGAGAGCAAUUCCAACGCAUACUUGCAUUGACAAAUAGAGAUACCAACAAUAGAUCGAGCCACUUCCAAGCCUAGAAAAUAUCUGAGUGGCCCCAAGUUCUUCAUCUUAAACUUGUAGUUGAGGCGAUGCUUUAAAGUAUCCACAAUAAGUUGAUCAUUACUAGCAAUAAUGAUGUCAUCAACAUAGAUCAAAAGAGCUAAGAAAGAAGUACCUUGAUGUUUUGUGAACAAGGUGUGAUCACUAGUUGAUUGAACAAAACCUUCUGAUAAGAGAGCAUUGGAGAACUUGUGGAACCAUUGAUAGGAGACCUGUUUCAAACCAUAGAUAGACUUAUGCAGCCUGCACACAGCAUUAGGAGGCAAAUGUUCCCCCUCAUGGCAAGUGUAUCCAGGGGGAAGACUCAUGUAAACUUCCUCCAUAAGGUCACCAUGAAGGAAUGCAUUAGUGACAUCAAGUUAAGUGAGAGACCAACAAUGAAUUGCAGCUAAAGAAAACAACAUUUUAACAGUAACUAGCUUGGCAACAGGAGAUAAGGUAUCAAGAUAAUCAAUACCUUCUUGUUGUGCAAAUCCCUUAGACACAAGGCGUGCUUUGUAUCUAUCCACAGUGCCAUCAGCUCGAAACUUGACUUUGUACACCCAUUUACAACCAACCACUUGUUUGCUAAUGGGAAGAGAGCAAAUGGACCAAGUGUCAUUGCUUUCCAAUGCCUGCAAUUCAAUAUUCAUAGCAUCGCGCCACACUUGAGACUCAAUGGCCUGAGAGAAUGAUGUUUGGUUUUGUUUGAGAACUAAUGGUGAGAGCAAGUUCAUGGUAUGGCCUGGAAAGCUUGUGGUAACUCAAGCAAGAGGAAAUAGGAUAUAGAGAAGGCUUAGAAGAAACAUGUCCAAUGAGGUAAUAGUGAUAAUUAGACAAGUAAGUUGGUUUUGUGGUGACACGAUGUGGACAUAAGGCUGUUUGAAUUGGGGCUAGUGAGGAAAUGCACUCUGGACUAUGGGAAGAAGACAUGUUGGGCUGACUAUAAAAAGGCUCGGAGAUGGACUGAAUUGGCUUAGAAAAGACACGAUCAUUAAACAAAUCAAUUCAUGAAAAAUGACAUUCCAAGAAAUGUAGAUCUUAUUGCUUUCUAAGUCAAGUAACUUGUAACCCUUAUAACCAAAAGGAUAGCCAAGAAAAACAGAAGCUCGAGCACGAGGGACAAACUUUGUACGUUGGUUAGAAAGCGUGGAAGCAUAACAUAGACACCCAAAAAUGCGAAGAUGGUUGUAGGUGGGUUUGUUGUUAUUCAACAACUCAAAUGGGGUUUUAUUGGAUAGUAAUGGAGAGGGUGUACGAUUGAUUAAAUAAACAACAGUCAAAACACAAUCACCCUAAUAACAAGAAGGAACACAAGAUUGAAACAAUAAGGCUUGUGCCACAUUAAGUAUGUGUUGAUGUUUACGCUCUACAACUGAGUUUUGUUCAGGUGUAGCAACACAAGAAUGAUAAGGAAUAAUACCCUUGGUACGAAAAAAAAAUAAUGGAAAGCUAAUUUAGGGGCAUUAUCGAAAUGGACAUAUUUAAUUGCAGUGUUAUAUUGAGUAGAAAUCAAAUUGAAAAAUUUAGGAAAGAUAGUGAGAACAUCAGUUUUAGCACAAAGAAGAUAUACCCAAGUAGCACGUGUGCAGUCAUCAACAAUAGUGAGGAAAUAUAUGUGUCCAACUAGUGUACUAACAUUAAAUGGUCCCCAAAUGUCAAUGUGAACUAUAUCAAAAGGAUUAGUUGACAUAUUAUUAUGUGAAACAAAAGGUAAACGUUUUUGCUUGGCCAUAAGACAAAUUUUACAGUGAGAAGACAAACGGGAUAAAUAAUUGGCAAUGUGUAAUUCAUUGUGAAGAAUUUGAAUUUUUACAUGAGAUGGAUGUCCAAGGCGAAAAUGCCAAAAUAUCACUUUUCGACAUUACAGAAUUUAUAAAAAUAGAAUUACAAAAUUCAUUCCCUGAUUCUAGAAAAUAAAGGUUCUUUCGUCUUCUACCUUUCCCAAUCGUCAAGCCCCGAGUGAGGUCCUGAAUGAAACAUGAAUUUGAAAGGAAAUUAACACUACAAUUAUGGCUAAGAGUAAGAGCACUAAUGCUGAGAAGAUUGAAAGUGAACAUGGGGACAAACAAGACAUUAUCCAAGUUCAAAGUAUCAGACAACCUCACAGAACCUACACGAUUGAUUGCAACAGCAUGACCAUUAGGAAGAGUGAUUGUGGUAUUAUGAACCAGUCUGGAAUGAGAAAACAAAGAAAUAUUGCAACAGACAUGGUGGGUGGCCUCUGUGUCAAUCACCCAAGCAUGGGAAGGAACAAAAGGAUGAGAAAAAAACUGAGUAGAACAAUUGUUACCAUAGAUUUGAGAAAUUGAAGGUUCUGAUGUCGAUGGAGACUCAAGUGGGUUGAUAGUUUGUUGUUGAAGGUGCGUGCUAAGGUAGGCAAUGAGUUGUUGAACUUGAUCCGAUGAGAGAUAGACUGGUGGUGGGGAAGAUCCCACUGUAGCAACAGCAGCGGAAGGGAAAUAAUGAAUGCCCUUCAAUGGUUCAGUAAAGGAGCUUGGUGAAGUAGAUUGGGAUUGAAGGGGGCUUGUCUAGGCCAUUUAUGUUUGGGCUUUCCCUUUGGGCUUAUAACCUGGUGGAAAACUGAUUACUACUCAAAAAGUGCUCUUUGAUAGCUUGUAAUAAACUCUUUUAAACACUUUUGAGUAGUAUUUAUUGCCUUUUAACCCAAUUAACAUGUUAAGGACCCUUUAAAUCAAUUCUAAUCAAAUUGUGUUAAGUUUUAGUGUUUUGAUAGCCUUUUGAUCACCAAAGCAAUCCGAGAUUGAGGAGAGUUAUAUGGAAUCUUGGGCAAAGCAAUUGGAAGCUCAGAAACAUGAAGAACUAAAGCUUGGAAGUCCUUUGCCAUGAGUAAAUCAAGAAUGCAAGGAGAAGAAGUAAAGAGAAUCUGCCAUGAAGCAUAUUCUUGAUGACAGUCGUGUUAGCCACUUUUGGAGCACUUUUUGAAGUCCAAUUGAUGCAUGCUAUAUACCAUUUCAAAUCUCAGGAAGUCAACAAUCCAAUACUUCAAACGGUAUGCAAUUCGGAGUUGAAACGAAGAAGUUACAGCCACUACAAGUCAAUCACUCUAAGCUGAAGGAAGCAUUUUGCAAAGUGUUGCGAAAUCACCCUUUUGUUGCGAAAUGAUUUUGCAGCUUUUUUGUACAGUGUUGUGGAUUUCCACCUGAAGUUUCCCGAUAUAUGCCGCACGUUGGAAGGUGAGAACCUCAAGAUGAAAGCCAACUUCGCAGCCCUGCGAGAAUAGCCUUUUGCUGCGAAAUGAUUUCGCAGCCCUUUUUGUAUGUCUGUGAAAUCUCGCAGACAUCAUUUUCUCUUGCGAAAUGGUCCUUAGUGCUUCCCGAUAUUUGCUACCGACAUUGGGAGAUAUUUUCCAUUAGAUUUUUGUUGUCUAAAUCCCAAAAUUCUCCUUGUAAGCCACCAAUUACAAGAUUCCUUAGCUUUUAAGUUAGUAAAAAGAAUAAAUAUCCAUGUAAUAAUUAGUUUUGUAUUAUGUUCAUAUAUAUACUCCUCGAGAGCCUGUUCUCGAAGGAGGAGACUGUUUGUAAAUUUUUGGGGAAAGCAAGUAAAGUUCAGGUCCUUUGUUUAGCCUUACCUUCCCACUUUGUAUUUUUUAUUUCUUACUAAGUUAUGCACUCUCUGAGGAAUUUUCCCUAGAGAAUGAGUAACUAAACCUUUAGUUCCUUGGAGCUAAGGUUGCCGAGGAAGGUUCCAAGUGCAAGAAUGCAAAGCUUUGUGGUUUCAGCCAUUAAUGAAGAGGAAGUGAAAUCCUUUAGUGAUUUCUAUGUUUUUAGUUAACUUAAAACACCUUAGAGUCACCUGGGCCAACACUUGGUAAGGCAAGUGAUCUCCAACCAAGGAGAUGCACUAGUUUACCCCUUGCGAGCCUCUGGGAGGUGACUUUAAGGUAGGAUUUUCUGGAAUUGCCAACACUUGGUAAGCUUUUGGACUCCAAGGAGACAUCCAUUAGUUAUCUCUUGCGAGCUUGAGAAGGGAAAUCCAAGGUUAAAGAUCACCUUGAAUGGUUAAGGCUUAGUGAGAGGCUUGAACUAUUGCAAGUUGCAUCAGUGAGAGAAUUAAAGUUGAAAUCUAAUUAAAGGAUGUAUCUGUAUAACACCGGUUAGAGAAUUGACUAUAUGUUGAAUCUCUAACGCGAGGAAAUGAACCAUCUGACCGGAGCUAUGUCUUUUGCAUGAGGAACCACCUCAGUGAACCUGACCCUCCAAGGAAUGUUUUUCUUCCUAAGUUAUUCCCAUUACUUGUUUUGUAGUUAGUUUAAAUCUAAAUCUUUACCAAUUAAAGUUUGUGUUUUAUUUCUUAAGCUAACCUUGAAAUGAAACAAGACCAAUUCACUUUGAAUUGGUAUCAUUGAUAAUUUGCUAAUCCUUCCCAGUGAACGAUCCUAGAGCUGCUAUACUAUAGUAGCUUUUUCUUUGCUACCCUAGUAUAUGGUGUAAUAGGUUAAAAAUAUUGUUGAUUACUCCCUCAUCCAAGGAGCACCAACUGGACACGAAUCAUCUGAGACACCAAUUGGGCAUGAAUCAAAUGGCGCCGUUGCCGGGGAAGGUGUCAAGUCUAUAGUGAUACCAUUUUAGAGCACUUGUGAUUUUUUAUCACAAGUUUGGUAACGUUUCUUUCACUUUACUAAUUCUCAUUCUUUAUUUAUUUAUUCAUAAUCUAAGUUUAUCUUUUAAAUUUAGCCUAGUUUAAUUUUUUUGUAGCCCUGUUUUCUUUUGUUGUCCUUUAUUUUCAUUUAAGUUGCAGAUAGAUACUAGUUGUGUAUGCCAAAGUGGAUACGAGACAGUGGAGGAAGGCUUGUUAAGUGUGAUACAUCUCAUAACAAAGAAUUCGAAUUGAGCUUGAAUAUCAUGGAAGCUACACCUGAAGAUCAGCAUAGUCACCAAGGUCGUCAAGACAAUCUCAAUGAAUUCAGAUCAAUGAGGGACCGCAUGCAUCCACCUCGUAUGAGUGCACCAUCAUGUAUAGUGCCCCCUACAGAGCAGCUAGUGAUCAGACCGUAUCUUGUUCCACUUCUACCAACUUUCCAUGGGAUGGAAAGUGAGAAUCCCUAUGGACACAUCAAGGAAUUUGAAGAUGUUUGUAAUACAUUCCAAGAGGGGGGAGCUUCAAUUGAUUUGAUGAGGCUUAAGUUAUUUCCUUUUACUUUAAAGGAUAAGGCCAAAAUUUGGCUUAAUUCUUUAAGGCCAAGGAGUAUCCGCACUUGGAUUGACUUACAAGCUGAAUUCCUCAAGAAAUUUUUUCCCACUCAUAGAACAAAUGGCUUGAAAAGGCAAAUUUCGAACUUCUCAGCUAAAGAGAAUGAGAAAUUCUAUGAGUGUUGGGAAAGGUAUAUGGAAGCUAUAAAUGCUAGCCCUCACCAUGGCUUUGAUACUUGGCUAUUGGUGAGCUAUUUUUAUGAUGGGAUGUCUUUCUCAAUGAAGCAACUCCUCGAGACAAUGUGUGGAGGAGAUUUCAUGAGCAAAAAUCCGGAGGAAGCCAUGGAUUUCUUGAGCUAUGUAGCUGAAGUUUCAAGGGGAUGGGAUGAACCAACCAAAGGAGAAGUGGGUAAGAUGAAUUCUCAACUGAGUGCUUUCAAUGCUAAGGCUGGGAUGUAUACCCUGAAAGAAGAUGAUGAUAUGAAAGCAAAGUUGGCAGCUAUGACAAGAAGAUUGGAGGAGCUGGAGCUGAAAAGAAUACAUGAAGUGCAAGCUGUUGCUGAAGCACCAGUGCAAGUGAAGCUGUGUCCUAAUUGUCAAUCAUAUGAACAUUUGGUGGAGGAAUGCCCUGCAAUUUCAGCUGAAAGGGAAAUGUUUAGAGAUCAAGCAAAUGUUGUUGGACAAUUCAAGCCCAAUAACAAUGCACCUUAUGGAAAUACUUACAACUCAAGUUGGAGGAAUCAUCCAAAUUUCUCAUAGAAGGCCAGAGCAACUCAAUACCAACAGCCGGAUCCACCAUCUCAACAAUCUUCAAGUCUUGAACAAGCAAUAGCGAAUCUCAACAAGGUAGUGGGAGAUUUUGUUGGAAACCAAGAAGCCACCAAUGCUCAAAUCAAUCAAAGAAUUGACAGAGUGGAGAGUACUUUGAAUAAAAGGAUGGAUGGAAUGCAAAAUGAUAUAUCCCAAAAGUUUGAUAAUAUCCAAUACUCAAUUUCAAGGCUCACAAAUUUGAACACAGUGCAAGAAAAUGGAAGAUUUCCUUCUCAACCCCACCAAAACCCCAAAGGUGUCCAUGAAGUGGAAAGCCAAGAGGGAGAAUCAUCACAGAUGAAAGAUGUCAAAGCCUUGAUCACUCUAAGGAGUGGUAAAAAAAUUGAGAAGCCAACACCCAAGCCACAUGUUGAGAAAGAAGAAGAGAUAAAGAAAGGGGAAGAAAUGGAAGACAAAGAGAGUGAGAUCAGUGGAAAGAAGAAAGACUAUGAUUCAACAAUGAAUGAAAUUCCAGAGAAGGAACUUCUGAAGGAAGAAAUGCUGAAGAAAUCAACUUCUCCACCUUUUCCUCAAGCAUUACAUGAGAAAAAGGGGAUUAGAAAUGCAGCUGAAAUCCUUGAAGUAUUGAGACAAGUGAAAGUCAAUAUCCCACUGCUGGAUAUGAUUAAACAAGUUCCAACGUAUGCAAAAUUCCUAAACGACUUAUGUACUAUCAAAAGAGGGUUGACUGUAAACAAGAAAGCCUUCUUGACUAAGCAAGUAAGUGCAAUCCUACAAUGUAAGUCUCCAUUGAAGUACAAAGAUCCGGGAAGUCCUACCAUUUCAGUCAUGAUUGGAGGAAAGGUAGUGGAGAAAGCUUUGUUAGACUUGGGAGCAAGUGUGAAUUUGCUUCCAUAUUCCAUCUACAAGCAAUUGGGACUUGGAGAGUUGAAGCCAACGGCAAUCACUCUAUCUCUAGCAGAUAGAUCAGUAAAAAUUCCAAGGGGGGUAAUUGAGGCUGUCUUGGUUCAAGUGGAUAAUUUCUACUAUCCAGUAGAUUUUAUUGUUCUUGAUACAGAUCCUACUGUAAAGGAAGCUAAUUUAGUUCCUAUCAUCCUUGGAAGGCCAUUUCUUGCUACCUCAAAUGCAAUCAUCAACUGCAGGAAUGGGCUGAUGCAACUCACUUUUGGCAACAUGACACUUGAUCUCAAUAUUUUUUAUAUGUCUAAAAAGCAAACCACUCCGGAAGAAGAAGAGGGUUCAGAAGAGCUGUGCAUUAUUGACACUUUAGUGGAGGAGCACUGUAAUCAGAAUAUCCAAGACAAGUUGAAUGAAAGUCUUGGGGAUUUUAAGGAAGGGUUGUCUGAAUCCCCUAAUGUGCUUGCUACUCUACAAAGUUGGAGAAAGGUAGAAGAGAUUCUACCUUUGUUCAAUAAAGAAGAAGAGGCAGCUGCUGAAAAAGAAAUUCCAAAACUCAAUCUGAAGCCUCUACCUGUGGAGCUGAAAUAUAUAUAUCUUGAGGAAAAUAAUCAAUGUCCUGUUGUAAUAUCUUCAUCUCUGACCAGUCAUCAAGAGAAUUGUUUAAUAGAAGUUCUCAAGAGGUGUAAGAAGGCAAUAGGAUGACAAAUAUCUUACUUGAAAGGCAUUAGUCCUUUAGUUUGUACUCAUCAUAUAUAUAUGGAGGAGGAAGCAAAGCCAAUUCGUCAACUUCAAAGGAGAUUGAAUCCUCAUUUACAAGAGGUGGUGCGAGCUGAGGUGCUGAAGCUACUUCAAGCAUGCAUUAUUUACCCUAUAUUUGAUAGCCCUUGGGUGAGUCCUACUCAAGUGGUACCAAAGAAGUCAGGGAUUACAGUGGUUCAGAAUGAAAAAGGAGAAGAAAUUACUACACGCCUCACUUCAGGUUGGAGGGUGUGUAUUGAUUAUAGAAAGUUGAAUGCUGUAACCAGGAAAGGUCAUUUUCCAUUGCCAUUUAUUGACCAAGUGCUGGAGAGAGUCUCUGGACAUCCGUUCUAUUGCUUCUUAAACGGGUAUUCAGGGUAUUUUCAGAUUGAAAUUGAUGUGGCAGAUCAGGAAAAUACUACUUUUACAUGUCCAUUUGGAACAUAUGCUUACAGGAGAAUGCCUUUUGGUUUAUGCAAUGCACCUGCUACAUUUCAAAGAUGUAUGUUGAGUAUUUUCAGUGAUAUGGUGGAGCGAAUUAUAGAGGUUUUCAUGGAUGACAUCAUCGUAUAUGGAGGUACAUUUGAGGAAUGCUUAGUCAAUUUGGAAGCAGUUCUUCACAGAUGCAUUGAAAAAGACCUGGUGCUCAACUGGGAAAAAUGCCAUUUUAUGGUACGUCAAGGAAUUGUCCUUGGCCAUAUCAUCUCUGAAAAAGGCAUUGAAGUUGAUAAAGCAAAGGUGGAGCUUAUUGUCAAAUUACCAUCCCCAACAACUGUAAAAGGAGUAAGGCAGUUCCUUGGCCAUGCAGGGUUCUAUAGGAGGUUUAUAAAAGGUUUUUCAAGUCUUUCAAAACCUCUUUGUGAGCUGUUAGCUAAGGAUGCUAAGUUUAUAUGGGAUUAAAGAUGUCAAAAUAGCUUUGAUCAACUGAAGAAAUUUUUAACAACAACUCCAAUAUUGAGAGCCCCUAACUGGCAACUAAUUUUUGAACUGAUGUGUGAUGCCAGUGACUUUGCUAUAGGAGUUGUACUUGGCCAAAGAGAAGAUGGGAAGCCCUAUGUGAUUUACUAUGCGAGCAAAACACUGAAUGAAGCUCAAAGGAACUACACAACUACAGAGAAAGAAUUGUUAGCUGUGGUAUUUGCCUUGGACAAAUUUCGUGCUUAUUUAGUGGGGUCUUUCAUCAUUGUUUUCACUGACCAUUCAGCCUUGAAGUAUUUAUUGACAAAGCAAGAUGCAAAAUCAAGGUUGAUUAGAUGGAUUCUUUUGUUACAAGAAUUCGAUCUCCAAAUCAAAGAUAAGAAAGGAGUGGAAAAUGUGGUAGCUGACCACCUUUCAAGGUUAGUUAUAGCACAUAAUUCCCAUUCCUUACCUAUUAAUGAUGAUUUUCCUGAAAAAUCACUCAUGUUCCUAGUGAAAACUCCUUGGUAUGCUCAUAUUGCUAAUUAUUUAGUAACUGGUGAAAUUCCAAGUGAGUGGAAUGCACAGGACAGGAAGCACUUCUUUGCAAAAAUUCAUGCUUAUUAUUGGGAAGAGCCCUUUCUUUUUAAGUAUUGUGCAGAUCAGAUCAUAAGGAAGUGUGUCCUUGAAGAUGAGCAGCAAGGGAUUCUAAACCAUUGUCAUGAGAAUGCAUGUGGAGGCCACUUUGCCUCUCAGAAAACAGCCAUGAAGGUGUUGCAAUCAGGGUUUACUUGGCCAUCUCUUUUCAAAGAUGCCCACAUCAUGUGUAGGAGUUGUGAUAGAUGUCAAAGGCUUGGAAAUCUAACAAAAAGAAAUCAAAUGCCUAUGAACCCCAUUCUAAUAGUUGAGCUAUUUGAUGUAUGGGGCAUUGACUUCAUGGGGCCUUUCCCAAUGUCUUUUGGUAAUUCUUACAUCUUGGUGGGGGUGGAUUAUGUUUCUAAAUGGGUUGAGGCAAUCCCCUGUAAACAAAAUGAUCACAGGGUGGUUCUCAAGUUUCUUAAAGAGAACAUUUUCUCGAGGUUUGGGGUGCCCAAAGCCAUAAUCAGUGAUGGAGGUGCUCAUUUUUGCAACAAACCUUUUGAAGCUCUAUUAUCCAAGUAUGGAGUGAAGCAUAAGGUUGCUACACCUUAUCAUCCUCAGACUUCCGGGCAAGUUGAGCUAGCUAAUAGGGAAAUAAAGAACAUAUUGAUGAAAGUGGUGAAUUCAAGCAGAAAAGAUUGGUCUAUUAGGCUUCAUGAUUCAUUGUGGGCGUAUAGAACAGCUUAUAAGACUAUUCUUGGCAUGUCUCCCUAUCGUUUUGUAUAUGGCAAAGCAUGCCAUCUCCCUGUGGAGGUUGAAUACAAAGCUUGGUGGGCAAUUAAGAAGCUGAACAUGGACUUGAUCAGAGCCGGAGCAAAGAGAUAUCUAGACCUUAAUGAGAUGGAGGAAUUAAGAAAUGAUGCUUAUAUCAAUUCCAAAGUUGCAAAACAGAGGAUGAAGAAGUGGCAUGAUCAACUAAUCUCCAACAAGGAAUUUCAAAAAGGACAAAGGGUUUUACUGUAUGACACAAGACUCCAUAUCUUUCCUGGAAAGCUCAAGUCACGGUGGAUAGGCCCGUUCAUUAUUCACCAAGUAUAUGCCAAUGGAGUGGUGGAAUUAUUGAAUUCCAAUGGCAAAGACACCUUUAGAGUCAAUGGAUAUCGUCUCAAGCCAUUCAUGGAGCCAUUCAAACCAGAAAAUGAGGAAAUCAACCUCCUUGAGCCACAAAAAGCCUAAGCAAAUAAGGGUUUGGUGGACGUGGUUUUACCACAGUCCAAAAUUUUUGUAAAUUUUGUAAAUUUCAAAGUUUUUUCCAUACUUUUGAUCUUAGUUUUUUUUUAUCUUAAAUCAUGUUUUUAUUUGUGUUUUAAUCUUUUUGAAUGAUCUCAGGUGGAAGAAAAUGCAAAGAAAUUGAAAGGAAGAAAUCGAAGCGAAAUCGGAGCAAAAACAGAGUGAAAACAGAGCAAAAACAGGGCUCUGCGAGACUUCGCAACCUAAGGAAAUCUUCUGCGAAAUUAGCACUUUGCUGCCAAACCAUUCCGCAACUCAUUUGACUCCUUUGCGAGAAUUUUGGUAGCUGCGAAACUGAUUUUGGCACACGAGUGCCACUUCGCAACACAGGAGCCCCCAUUUCGCAUCUGCGAAAUGGAUGCGAAGCGAUAAAGCGUGAAAAUCCCUAAUUUCGCAACCAAAGUUCCAUUCUGCAGGGUAUUUCGCAAUUGCGAAAGCAAUUUUGGCACACGUGUGCCACUUCGCAGCACAAUGACACUCAAUUCGCAGCUGCGAAACGGAUUAAGAAAAUGGGCUGCGAAAAUGGCUUUUUGCUACGAAAUUAGCCUUUUUCUACGAAACUCAAAAUGACACUUAAUCUUCCGUUAUUUUUAUUUAUACCGGUCAUUUGAGCUGCGAAAGGGUUUCAAAAAUAGAGCGCGCCAUACUUGCAGACUAUUCAUUUCCUUGCUCGAGCCCGACACCGCACAAACCUCCGUUCAUCUUCUCCGGUCGUCACUUCCGGCCAAAUUUCGGAAUUCCGAAAUGGCGCGAACCAGAGGAGCUAAAUCUUCCUCUCCUUCAAGCCGCAAGAGAGACCUGCGAGGGGAGCCCAUUCUAGAUCCCACCUCUGAGCCUCUACGACCUAAAGCAGUUUCUCCUCCGGUGAAGCCCGCGCCGCAGAAGCCUCCGGCGAGGCGUUAUCUCACCAGGUCAGGGGGUCGGCCACUGCAAAAGAGAGCCAGGGUUGAAAGAUCAGAGCCCAUUGAUCUAACAGAGUAGUCCCCAGAACCCUCGCUGGUUCCAUUUCCAGUUCUAUCUUUGGUGCCAUCUCUGGCGCCGCCAAUAGAGCCUAAGGAGCCUCAGCCGCCACUUCCCAAACUCCAAAAUCCAUCUGAGAUAGCCCCUAAAGCAGUAAUCAGGCGGCCGAUGCUGACUCAACCUUCAAUUGAGGGGAAUUUGGACUGCAGAGCUCGGCCAUUCCACUCCGAGCUGUGCUUUGACACAGCCACGUUCCAAUUGCGGCCGAAGCUUGCACAAUCAUUCCACCUGCUGCGAAGAUACCACAUGGAGUAGCUGUUGGCUCCAAGAGACUUCUUCUACCCCAGGGUAGCCAUGGAUUUUUAUCAGUCCAUGACUACCAAACAGGUAAGGGAUCCUACUUUAAUCCAUUUUACCAUUGAUGGGAGGCAUGGCAUAUUGGGAGCUCGCCAUAUAGCUAAGGCCUUGCAAAUACCAUAUGAGCCAACUCAUUUUGAGGAUUUCAGAGUGUGGACCAGUCCUACUGAGCUGGAAAUGGUGCAUAUCCUAUCUAGAGGAGCUUCCACACGACCACAUCUAUUGAGGGGGGAGCUUCCUUCAAUCAUGUUUCUUAUUGAUGCAUUUUUGCAUCAUAACCUCUACCCACUGCAGCAUUGGACUCAGAGGAGAGAAGUGCUUCUAGAGGCCUUAUUCAAGAUUUCUGAGGGAUAUUUCUUCGACCCUCACCAUCUGAUUAUGGCUUCCAUUCUCUAUUUCGAAGAGAAUGUGCAUAAAAAGAAGCUGCAAAGAGCUGAUGCCAUUCCUCUUCUCUUUCCAAGGCUGCUGUGCCAAAUUCUAGAGCACCUGGGGUAUCCAUCAGAGCCUCAGUUGGAGCGCAAGCGCAUUUGCCGAGAGGUAUUUACUCUCGACAAAUGGAACAACAUGACAGUCGAUAGAGUUGAGCAGUCAGAGCACCCACAGCCAGCUACUAAGAGAGCAUCCCCACGACACAUACCUGAGGGUAUGCCUAUUGCUGCUCCUGCCAUUCCCAGAGCUCCACCAGUUACUCCAGCUUCAGCUGAGCCAUCCACUUCAGCUGAACCAAGGAUGGCCAUUCCCAUUUCUGAAUAUAGAGAGUUAUGUCGUUCAUUGCAGACCCUUACAGCAUCUCAGAGUAGCCUUGCUCAGGAGAUGGCAGCCAUUCGAGCAUGCCAAGAGCAGAUGUUGGCCACCCAGGCUCAGCACACUGCCAUCUUGAGGCAACUCCAGCAUCAUUUCGACCUGCCUUCAGCUGCUGAGCCCUCCACCUCCACCACUGCAGUGCCACACUCUCAUCCCACAGAGCCUCAAGCCCAUUCUGGAGCAGCUACUGAAGAGGCAGACCCAUCUGCCUAGCCCCAACACCACCCACUCAUCAGAUCAUUAUAUAUAUCUACUGCAUAUGUCUUUUAUGUAUUUCGUUUUUAGUUUUUUUUUAAAAAAUCCCAUUAUUUUGGUACCAUAUAUGGGAUUGCUUGUAUUGUCUUCUUUUUCAUUGUACUCAAAUGGAUUCAAAGUAAUACAAGUCUAAUAUUUUUUUUUGUUAACCUUUAGCAUUAAUUUAUUCUUAUUUCCUUUUCUCACAGCUUUUAUUCUUUUUGAAACAUGUGGUUUCUCCAAUUAGUAUUCGAAAUUGAUAUCACUCAGGAGGUACCACUUCCUCCCUUUAAUUGCAAUCACCCAUAUCACAUUGAGGACAAUGCUCAGUUUGGUUGGGGGGGAGAAAUGAGAAAGGAAUGAAGUAUGAUAAGUUAAAGGCAGUAUGCUAAAUCUUUUUGGUAAUGCAAUUAGGUUGGUAAUCAGUUGUAGUUUUUGCUUUUUACCCUUUUUAUUCUAUUCUCCAUGGAUUUUGAGGAAAAAUUUUCAAAUUAAAAUAAGAGAAAUUGAACUGUUGCUUUUCACUUGACUUAGAGUAUGGAUUAUGCUUACUAAAGUGGUUCAAUUGUUGAAGCUUCUAUUGAAAUCAAAUUUAGUUCUUCCACUUUAAGCUAUUCACACACUGUGCACAAUAGGUUCCGAGUAUAAGAUGAAAAACUAUUUCCCUCUUGACUUAGGAAAAUUGUGGGACUUGGUACCUUUGACCUCAUUUGAUAAAGUUGAGACACCUUGUGAAAGGCCAAUGAGCUUUUGAAAUAAAGAAAGAAAGUGUUUGCUUGCCUUGAAACCCGAGCAAGGUCUGAGGGGUAUAUGGUGAAAAUCCUUAAAGCCUGGUGCCCUAAGCCUUAAUUGGUUGGGAGUCACCGACCUCAAUGCUCGUUACAAGGGUGGAUAGGUGGAGUUAGCAUAUGGUAGGUGCAUGGGUAUUAAAAAUUCAUUCUCAAAAGUCCGGGGAAAAAUCCGAGGAGUUAGUGGUUGAAAGAUCCUUAAAGCUUGAUGCCCUAAACCUUAAUUGGUUGGGAGUCAUCGAUGGACCCCCGUUAUAUGGACAAUUCAGAAAGAAUACCCCUUUAAGCCUCCUUAAAAAAAAAAAAAAAAAAAAAAAAGUGUGUUCUUUUCUUAUUGAUUUUGGUCAGUUUGCUAAGUGUUAAAGAGAGAUAGGUUGGGGGGGGGGGGGGGAGAUUAGUUUAGCAUAUUAUAUUCGGAAGCUAAGGAACCAAUACACAUAGAUUUUUGUGGAAUAAUAAAGUUUGGUUCUUUGGAAGUGGAAAUGAUUUUAAAACUUCAGUUUGUAUAAUGCAUUCCCUUGAUUGACAGUGUUUAGCAUAGCUUGUUAUAACUCUUGUUGAAAUUUGGGUUUGUAUUUCUUUGAUGUCUCAUGUGAGAAUUAGAUUAUCAUGCCAUUUGAAAAUUGUUUUUCAGCAUGAUGUUGUAAAUUAUAGUUUAGUUUGCUUGUUUUAUCUCUCCUUUAUUGCUAAGGGACUAGCAAUAUGUCGGUUGGGGGGAGUGAUUACUACUCAAAAAGUGCUCUUUGAUAGCUUGUAAUAAACUCUUUUAAACACUUUUGAGUAGUAGUUAUUGCCUUUUAACCCAAUUAACAUGUUAAGGACCCUUUAAAUCAAUUCUAAUCAAAUUGUGUUAAGUUUUGGUGUUUUGAUAGCCUUUUGAUCACCAAAGCAAUCUGAGAUUGAGGAGAGUUAUAUGGAAUCUUGGGCAAAGCAAUUGGAAGCUCAGAAACAUGAAGAACUAAAGCUUGGAAGUCCUUUGCCAUGAGUAAAUCAGGAAUGCAAGGAGAAGAAGUAAAGAGAAUCUGCCAUGAAGCAUAUUCUUGAUGACAGUCGUGUCAGCCACUUUUGGAGCACUUUCUGAAGUCCAAUUGAUGCAUGCUAUAUACCAUUUCAAAGCUCAGGAAGUCAACCAUCCAAUUCUUCAAACGGUGUGCAAGUCGGAGCUAAAACGAAGAAGUUACAGCCACUGCAAGUCAAUCACUCUAAGCUAAAGGAAGCAUUUUGCAAAGUGUUGCGAAAUCACCCUUUUGUUGCGAAAUGAUUUCGCAGCUUUUUUGAACAGUGUUGUGGAUUUCCUCCUGAAGUUGCCCAAUAUAUGCCGCACGUUGGAAGGUGAGAACCUCAAGAUGAAAGCCAACUUCGCAGCCCUGCGAGAAUAGCCUUUUGCUGCGAAAUGAUUUCGCAACCCUUUUUGUAUGUCUGCGAAAUCUCGCAGACAUCAUUUUCUCUUGCGAAAUGGUCCUUAGUGCUUCCCGAUAUUUGCUACCGACAUUGGGAGAUAUUUUCCAUCAGAUUAUUGUUGUCUAAAUCCCAAAAUUCUCCUUGUAAGCCACCAAUUACAAGAUUCCUUAGCUUUUAAGUUAGUAAAAAGAAUAAAUAUCCAUGUAAUAAUUAGUUUUGUAUUAUGUUCAUAUAUAUACUCCUCGAGAGCCUGUUCUCGAAGGAGAAGACCUUUUGUAAAGUUUUGGGGAAAGCAAGUAAAGUUCAAGUCCUUUGAUUAGCCUUACCUUCUCACUUUGUAUUUUUUAUUUCUUACUAAGUUAUGCACUCUCUGAGGAAUUUUCCCCAGAGAAUGAGUAACUAAACCUUUAGUUCCUUGGAGCUAAGGUUGCCGGGGAAGGUUCCAAGUGCAAGAAUGCAAAGCUUUGUGGUUUCAGCCAUUAAUGAAGAGGAAGUGAAAUCCUUUAGUGAUUUCUAUGUUUUUAGUUAACUUAAAACACCUUAGAGUCACCUGGGCCAACACUUGGUAAGGCAAGUGAUCUCCAACCAAGGAGAUGCACUAGUUUACCCCUUGCGAGCCUCUGGGAGGUGACUUUAAGGUAGGAUUUUCUGGAAUUGCCAACACUUGGUAAGCUUUUGGACUCCAAGGAGACAUCCAUUAGUUAUCUCUUGCGAGCUUGAGAAAGGAAGUCCAAGGUUAAAGAUCACCUUGAAUGGUUAAGGCUUAGUGAGAGGCUUGAACUAUUGCAAGUUGCAUCAGUGAGAGAAUUAAAGUUGAAAUCUAAUUAAAGGAUGUAUCUGUAUAACACCGGUUAGAGAAUUGACUAUAUGUUGAAUCUCUAACGCGAGGAAAUGAACCAUCUGACUGGAGCUAUGUCUUUUGCAUGAGGAACCACCCCAGUGAACUUGACCCUCCAAGGAAUGUUUUUCUUCCUAAGUUAUUCCCAUUACUUGUUUUGUAGUUAGUUUAAAUCUAAAUCUUUACCAAUUAAAGUUUGUGUUUUAUUUCUUAAGCUAACCUUGAAAUGAAACAAGACCAAUUCACUUUGAAUUGGUAUCAUUGAUAAUUUGCUAAUCCUUCCCAGUGAACGAUCCUAGAGCCGCUAUACUAUAGUAGCUUUUUCUUUGCUACCCUAGUAUAUGGUGUAAUAGGUUAAAAAUAUUGUUGAUUACUCCCUCAUCCAAGGAGCACCAGCUGGACACGAAUCAGCUGAGACACCAAUUGGGCAUGAAUAAAAAACCAUGCAAUUUAUAACACCUAUCUACUGUAUGCCCUGUGAGCCCACAAUGGGUGCAAAUUGGGCAUUCACGUCUAGGCUUUUUGUGAGAUGAUGCACUAGCUACAGAAGGAGUGGAGAAGAGGCAUUGAACACCAUGGAAUUCGAUGGAGCGGAGGACCUAGAUCCAAUAAACCGUUGGCAUUCUUCUUGAACAACAAGAUUGAAUACUUUCGCCACAAGAGGGAGCGGAUCAAGCAUUAGAAUUUGCCCUCUUGUGCUAGCAUAAGAUUCGUUCAAACCCAUUAAAAAUUGCAUCACAUACUCCUGCUAUUGAUAAUCCAUCUAAGUUUUCGUACCUCCACAAUGGCAGACGGGAACUGGUUGAUAGUUUUUGAGUUCAUCCUAGAGAAUCUUCAAUCGAGUAUAAUAGGUAUUAACAUCGAGCGAGCCUUGUGAAAGACCAUGUAGUCGUUGCUUGAUUUGGAAAAUUUGUGGAGCAUUGCUCUGAUGGAAGCGUUUGUGCAGAUCUGCCCAAAUAGCAUGGGCACUCUUGAGAUAGAGAAGACUAUCAACUAUCUCUUUUGAGACAGCAUUGAGGAGCCAAGAUGUGACCAUGUUGUUGCAUCGGGACCAGAUUCCGGUUGUAGGGUCAUCGGUCAUGGGCUACAAAAGAGUGCCAUCAAACAAAUCCGAGCUUAUUCUUUGCAUUGAGAGCCAUCAGCAUAGCCCAACUCCAUGUAUUAUAGCUUGAACCAGUGAGGAGAUGCGAAAUGAGCACCAAGCCUGGAUGAUCACCACUAUGUAAGAAAAAUGGGUUAUUAGUGUUCUCCAUGAGAGAUUGAUCUGAUUGUGUUAUCGUGCUACUAGAGGUAGGAAUGUCAGGGGCUAAAAUCUAUUAUCAUUGUUAUGCUAACCACCAUGAGCCAUUUCAGUGAGCGGCAGAGGUAAGAAGCUCUGAUAUCAUAUUACAAGGGAAAAUGGAGAGAAAAAUUGACAGAUUCUCCUUUCAUUGAUUGAAAAAAUGAGUUGUACAGAGAGCCCCAAAACAGAGUAGCAAAAAUGCUUUUUAUAAUAGAAGUCACGCAUAAGGAGCUGUAGAGCUCUACAAAGAAAAAACAACCUAACCAACUAUUGGUUAUAACAUAAAAAAUAAAAUAAAAUAAAAAACUAAAACUAAUAUGUUAAAAGAUGUUUCACUCCAAUAAUAGUUUACUUUAAUAUUUGAGUAUUGGAGGUAUCCUUGUCUCAAAAUCAUACCAAGUUGCCUCUACAAACUCAGAGAAUUGGAUAUUGAUAAUUGUGAGAAUAUGGAGCUGCUACCUCAUCAGCUGCAAAACCUCACUACUCUUACAUCACUUACUAUCUCUUAUUGUGAGAAUAUCAAGACGCCCCUAUCCCGAUGGGGCCUUGCCACACUUACCUCUCUUAAAAAACUCACCAUUGCUAGCAUAUUUCCACAAGUUUCAAAUGCUCAAAGACUACCGCGUCUUCCGAAAACCCUCACCUUUCUUUGCAUUAAAGAUUUCUAGAAUCUGAAAUCUUUGUCCUCACUGGCUCUCCAAACCCUCACCUCACUUGAAGAGUUAUGGAUCCUAUGUUGCCCUAAGCUUCAGUUGUUUUGCCCAAGGGAAGGGCUGCUUGCCACUCUUUCACUACUAUAUAUCACAGACUGCCCACUCCUCAAACAAAGGUGCUCAAAGGGGAAAGGACAAGAUUAGCCCAACAUCGCCCACAUUCCCUGUGUGGAAAUGGAUAAUGAAAAUGUCUUUGAGCAAUAAUAAGAUGAGGGAUUGCAGAACAUAGAAGCAAACACCAUUCAACCCUCACCCAUCUUUUAUUUAAAUAAGGUACGCCUGUUCUUUCUUUUUCACUCCUUAAUACUGCAUUCAAUUUCUCAUAUACGUUAUAGCAGUUUCCCCUAUUAAUUACUUGUAAGUUUCUUACUGGAAUUUUUGUUGAAAAUUUGCCUAGGAAGUGACUUUUGAAAUGGCUUGUAGCUUGGUUUUCUCUUCAAUCUGCCAUAAUUCGAGGUAUCACUGUCUCUGCUUCUCCAAUUCUAUUUAUGAAAUCUUGUCCAUAAUCUCCAUGGGGUACUCAUUUUUCCUUUUUCCUUUGUUCUUUUUAGUUCUCAGUGACCAUUGAAGUUGAAGAGGUGAUAUGUGAUUCUUACGACUAUAAAAAGGAUAAGAGAUAAUCCAUUUAUUCCAUUCAAGGACAGGUGAAACAUUUAGCAAUAGCCACUAGUUAGUAAUGUCUUAUUCUAAUUUUUAUUCCAUCAAUUGUACUAUUCAAUUGCAUUUUUAAAUAUAAUAUUCUAAUUUCUAGAAUAUUGUUCAGGCUGACAUACAGAGGAGGCUAUACUAGAAGCAAAUGUAGUUUAUUAAUAUUCAAUUAUUGUGGUAAUUAGAUAGCCUUAUCAAUUCCUUUGUGCUGCCAUGAUUUUUUUAGUUCAACUUAUUAGAUGUCAUCAUAACUACUAUACAAUGUCUUGUCAUCUUGUUAUCAAAUUUUUACAUUUGUGAUGCAGGUUCUCAAAAAGGAUGGAACUCUGAUGAUUAUAUCAAAGACUUCAAAGUAUGGAAUGAAUGCAGCUAGUUCCGGUUGUCCCAUGUUGCUUUUUUUUUUUCUUUUUCUUUUUUUCUUUUUUUGUUUUUGAGUGUCAACAUGGGACAAAGAAUAACCCAGCAAGACUAUAGUGAGUGACCGUUAUCUAUAUAUUUUGUUUAUUUAUUUUUCUAUUUUAAUGACUAAUUUUCUUGAAUUUUCUUCUUGUCCACUGGAUGUUCAUUCCCAACAUGCAGUUCUUCCUCUUUCUCUCCUUAAUACCACUUUUUAUUUCCCAUACACAUGUUAUUUCAAUUAGUUGCCAUUUAGCUUGGCUACCUCUUAACAGUAAUAAUAAGUCUUAUAGUUUUUAUGUACCAAAUUGUUUACAUUGAUGAUGCAGGUGUCAAAAGGAUGGGUUCAAAGUAUCAUAGGAGGUACAUGUGGUCUUUUUAUUGUGUUGACUGAUUGGAAUUUUCCUCCUAUAUCAAAGGCUUGUUGGCACUUUAUUACCAUUUUUUAGUAUGACAAAAAGAGGAUAAAAUACAAUCUAGCAAAAUUGUGGUCCAUGACUUUCAUUUAUAUAGUUGAUUUUAUAUAUUAUUGUGUUCUAAAGACUAUCUUUGUAAAAUUUUAUUCCUUUUAUGACUUAUGAUGGAUUCUACAAUGCUUUAUAAAGGUCCUUUGAAUGAAUAUUUCAUCUGCAUCUUUAAUAAAUAAGAACCUUUUUUCUUUCCCUCCUAGGGAAGCUGCUCAUAAGGUUGUAUGAUCUUUAUAUAUCCUUCGAAAUUUGAGGACCAUCCAGUGCAUGAAACUCGUCUUUCACAAGAAACAAAGUGGUCUUUUCUUUGUGACUGUGAUAGCCCAAAACUACGUAAUGGAAUUAUGACAUAGCAACAACAGCAACUUGUAUUUGUUCUAAUGUAUCUAACUUGUUUCCAAAAUGUGAGCUACCAUCAUAUUUACAUACGCCUAGUAGUACAGAUUUGAGCAAAAAUAAAAUGGUUUUGCGUCCAAUUUCUAAAGUUUUUAAUUUGAUGAAACCAUAUCUCUUCUUUUAGAGUUUGUAGGCUUUAAAGGUGCAUGUCCUAGGUGCCAGAGUAUAAGUAUUUUUCUUCUUAUUGAAGGGAAUUUGGGUUUUACAUUUAGAGGCUCCAAGUCUAUAGUGAUUGUGGCAAAUGCCUAUUGCACUUGUUAUUUUUGUUUCUAUUGUUGAUGUUGAGGGUGUAGAAAGGGGAUAAACAAAAGCAUAACAAGAUCAUGGUGUGUUACAAUUUUAUUGGUCUUUUUAGAUUCGUAUUUUUACUGACUUUUUUUUUUUUCUAAAUUUUCUAUGUUUAUGACUUGAGGUGUUCCCUAAACACUUGCUACAGAGAGGAUUUUGGCACCAGAAUUAUCCUUGGACAUUGCUUAGUUCACCUGUCUUCCAUAGAUAUGAACCUAUUUUUGUGCCAUUUUGAAGAAGCUACUAGUAAGACUGAAUAGUCACACAUCUCUUGGAGAGUUGAGAAUCACACAUUUCUUUAGGUCUUUCUGAGGAUUGGUUUGUCAUCCAUGCUAUGAAGUCUUAUGCUCAGUUGUUGUGAUGGUUUGAAAUUACUCUCUGAUGAAACUAUGACCUAUAUAAACAACUGCUUGCAUUUGUUUUACACAGAUGAAUUGCUUGUCUUUUUGCAUUAUUUUGCAGAAAGGAUUUUUAUGAGCACUACUAUUUUUUUUUUCAUAUCCUUUUAUAUUGAUGCAUUUCCUAUUACUCCUUUUAGGUGGAUGCACAAUGCUGAUCAACUCUCCUCCUUUUGGAUGUCUUUCUAACCAUUGUUAGGAUUCAUUAAAAAUAACCUUUAUCAAACCUACAGAUUUUUUCAAGUCAGUUAUAACCAAUGUUUUAAAAACCGGACCGGUGAUCGAACCGGAAAAGUUACCGGUUCACGGUUCACUGGUCGGACCGGCGGUCGAACCGCUAUUGAACCGGUGAUGUAAUAAAAAAUUAAAAAUAUAUAAAAUUACAAAUUUUAAUAAUGUUUGAUUUUUAUAUUUGGUAUAUUAAAUUAAAUUAAAUGAUAAAGUUUAAUAUUUUAAAUUUGAUUAAAUAGAAAUAUGUAAUAUUUAAGAAAGAAUAUAUAUUUAAGAUAAAAAAAUUUAUAAUAUUUAAUUUUAUCUUUUUGUCUUUGUAUUUUAUUGUUUUAAAAUUAUUAUAUUAAUUAAUUUAUAUUAUUUUUUAUAAUUAUUAUUAUAAAAAUAAACAUGAAUUUAAAUAUUUACAUUUUUUUUAAAAGAUUUUAUAGGAUAAAAAUUUGAAAUAAAAUCAAAUUUCGUGCGUCCAACCCUCAAGAGGCAAUGUUUUCCUCUAAUGAGUCUCAUUCCCAAUCCCACAUUGGAAGCACAUGAAUUUUAUGUGCUCCAUGUGCUCUAUAAAUAGCUUCCCACUUGCCUUCUAUCCCAACUAGCCAGCAAGCUGGGCCUGGAAGCAUGGCCCAAGUUGAAGUGUUAUUUUAAAAUAAAAAAUGGCAGCAAAUUGGGCUUCUGUGGGGCAUGGCCCAUAUAAAGUGUUAAUUUUAUCUUUGGAUAAGGUCUAGGGACCUGGAAAAAGGAAGACCUUAGAUUGGGCCUGGAAUGGGCCUUUUACAUGGUAAACAAAAAAUUGUUUCUAAGGUGUAACCGGUUUGCAGAAAAUUGGACGAUUUGUCCGGUUCGACGGUUCAACCGUCGGUUUGACCGGUUCAAUGCCGGUUCGACCACAAACGGUUCAUUGAAACGGACCGAACCGGAAAGUUCACUGGUCGACAGUUCAACCGGUUGGACCGGCCGGUCCGGUCCUGUUUUUAAAACCAUGGUUAUAACUUGUACAAACCUUAUGUAACUCGAAACACUUUAUUUUUAAAACAAUCCAUGACUACUGGCAACUUACAUGUUUUUCACUACAUUUUUUUUCAAUGAGGAAAUGAGGCAUUUUUCUUUAGUAGUAUAUUGUGAUUCACAAAGUAUAAACUCUUGCAGAUUGAAAGAAAGACAAUUUACAUAUCAUUCAACAGUAAUCAGUAAGCACUUUUAUAUGUUUAUAGCUUCUUUUUAUAUGGUUUAUCUUUUAUGGCAUUUACUCUUUUGUUAUUCACAUAAAAAAAAACACUUGAUUUACCCUUCAAAUAUAAAAUUCAGUUAUGCAGGAAGGACAUAAAUUGAUUAUGAUAAGAUGGGAAAUGUGUUUCAGGACAACUUUGUGUUCUUGCAUUAUAAGGUUUAGUAAUUUUGUGUAGUUCUACAAUAAACAACAUUCUAUUGACUUUGGAUUUGGAAUUUAACUCUAAUGAGCAUUUACUUAUUUUUCAUACAUUUUUCAAGAAUCCGGUUAAUGAGAUUUUCCUUACAAAAAACUAGAGGUUUGUUAACUCUCCUAUAAUCAGAGCCUAGUUCUCUUGCAUAAAUUUCAAGCAAAUUUAUAACCCUCUUCUUUGACAGUCUUUUAUAUUGGAAUUAAACAUCUUGGUGUCUUUGAAUUAUUUAAAUAUUGGAAGCCAAUUAAGGAGUCAUGCAAUGGCAUAUUGUGAAACUUGAUACACAUAAAAAUAAGAUCUAUUAUGUUAUUUUUCUCGCUAAAGAACCAAAACAUAUGCUUUUGAUUUUGAAUGUUUCAGACUUCAUGUCUUCUCUUUCAUUUAUGAUAUUGUCGUUGGUGAAUUGGGAAUGUUGUUAAGAAUUUUGGAGCUUGACCAUCUGGCCUUUUCCAAUUCCUUAGAGAUUGGUAAUAAUCCAACGAUCAAUUGUUUUCCCAAAGUGGCUUACGCUAGCAUUAGCAGAUGUGAAAUUAUCAGUGACCGUUCAUUGUAAAGAAAUCUUGUUAUUAUGGCAGGAUAAUAGACUGUAAUUCAGUCACAAAAUUUUGGGACUUCGACAUCAACACCUUUUUAGGACUCAGAUUUCUAAAUGGAAUGAUGCAAGGCAUCAACACAUUCAUAGAAUUCUUUAAGAAUUCUAAAUAUGAUCUUGGUAUCUUAAUGACAGGCCAACUUUCUUUAAUGUUGCUAAAUAUACUAGAUGGGAAUCCACCCAUGGACAAGAAAUGUAUGUUGCUCUAUCCUCACCUCUCACUGUCUCACUCCCUAUUGCCUCAAGUUGCAUUACCUGCCAUAAUUAAACACCUCUUUUAUCAUUGUGACAAAACAAGUUUUGCCAAAACGAUAUGAGAUUCCCUUUGAUUUCAAGUUAUGCAAGAUCUAUAAGAGCUCAAUUGUUUUGAAAACAUGAUUCAUAAAUACUAUGCUAACAUUCAGUUCAUGAAUACCAUGUACCAGAAGAAGGCUCUAAGAAAUUUAUGUCAUUUACUUUCAGGAUUCUAUCUUCAACUCUAGUUCAUGCUCAAUUGUUUUAUUAACUACAGUUUCUUUGAAUGAACAUGUCGAAGUACAAGUACUAAACUAGUUCAUUUCCAGUCAAAUUACUAUCCCUAAUUUACAGAGUAUAAACCCUUGCAAAUUAAAAUAAAGAAAAUUUACAUAUCAUUCAAUAGUGAUCUGUAAGCACUCUUAUGUGUCUACAUCUUCCUCAUUUGGAUUUGGAAUUUAACUUCUGAUAAGCGUUUACUUGUUUUUAAUUUUUUUUUAGGAAUCCAGUUAAUGAGAUUUUUCCAACCAAAAAUAGGGGUUUGUUAGCCCUCCUACCCUCAUGCUGGUUCUCUUACAUAUGCUUGAAGAAUAUUGGAAGCCAAUUAAUUAGUCAUUGCAGUUUCAUAGUCUUACAAGAAAUCUUGUUAUCGUGGCAGGAAAACAGACUGCAACAUAGUCUCAUUUCCCUUCAUGAUUUAGACAUUGUGAAGAUUAAAAACUUGUUACCUGAUAAUAGAAGAAGAAAAGCAGCCAAAGAACAUCAACAAAAUGUAUUGGCACCUUGUGGACUUGAAUUGAUGGUAUUCAGGUGGCAUAAAUAUACAAAAAUACACUUAACAAACUACUAAUCAGCAGGCCAAGAUUCUACUUCCAAGAGACAGGGUUGUCAUCCAUGUCAAGAAGGCCCAAACUUUAUUGUUGUGGAACUUUGGCAUCAACAAAUCUCUGGAAUUAUUUCAGGUUUCUAAAUGGAAUGGUUCAAGUCAUCAACACAUUCCCAUAAUUCUUUUGUAAAUGUCAUCAUCAUGGCUAGCUUUCUUUAGUCCAUAUGUACUAGAUGGACAAUAACCACAGCACUUGUAUUAGAAACAUGUCUGUUGCCUGGAUUUGCAUUACCUGCCAUAAUUAAGAACCUUUUUAUUAUUGUAGUAGAGUGUUUCAGAGUCACCCAUACCUAGUCUAUCUCCAUGUCUCUCAAACAGCUAGGCCCAUUGGUAGCAAAAGAAGAGCAACUUGAAUAGUUGGUCAUUUCCUUUUCAGGAAUUAAUUGUACCGCAUUCCUAUACAUAGUGACUUUACCCUUUCUCUUCUUUGUUUUUUUCAAUCUAAAUUGGAGUGGUGUGACUGUGUCACUAUUGCCAAAUUUAAAUGUUAAUGUCAUAGAAUGCAUUAAUAGUUUUCUAUUAGAAUAAUAGAAUGCAAUUCGACUAGAUACUAGACAUAAGUAAGCGUAGAAUAUAGAGCAAAUGAUAAAUGAAAUGAGGGAAACAAAUGAUUCUAAGAAGGGUUAUUCAUCUUCCUAGUCUUCUACAUAAGAAAGGAAUUUUCUACAUCCCUUUCUUGUGUAUAAAUAAUAAUGAUCCUCAACACCUUUGUCAAAAAUUCCUAUUCUUAGCUUAGAUUUUUUUCUAGGUUUAUCAUAAUUUUAUAUUUAUUAUGUAUAAGAAGUAGUGGACAAACAAAAAAAAAAAAAAGGAAAUUUAUUGAACAAAUAGAACUUCUUCAAUGAAGUUAUAAAAAAAAAUUUCAACUUUGAUUAGAUACUAAAAUAAAUAAAGUAAGAAUCUAUUAGUAUAGAAAGGAUUUGUAUGAUAUCCGAUAUAGGGAAAUAUAUAUAUAUAUUAUACUGUGUCAUCACAAAAAUUGAGUGAUUCCUUAUUUCUUCUAACUUUGAAAGGAUCGAUAGAUACUAUCAAGGAGCAAAUGUUCUCAAUCAAUCAAUCAAGUUCGUUUUUCAAAAACAUCAUCAGAAAAAACAAUGAAAUGGAGUUUUUUUAAACAUUGUAAAAGAAGAUUUGUUUUAUCUGGCAUUUAUACGAAUAAAAUCUUAUGAUUAUUAAGAACUCAAUAGGACCUUCCCUCUCGAAUCAGAGCCAAAGAGGGGGUGGGUCCCAUUGAGUUCUUACGUUUUCAUGUCGACAACUCAAUUCAUCCAAUUACUAUAGGGAACCAUAAAAGAAAAAGCCUAUUAAACCAAUCACAGGAAUUUCAGUUAUAGUACCUAUUAGCCAAAGAGGAAUCCUUCCAGUAGUAUCGGCCAUUUACCCCACUUUCCUCCACAUUUCAUCAAGUGGUCAUACUAAAGACAUAAAUAGUCAUGGAUAAUUAUGAAAUGAGAUCCUUUCGAAUAAGAUAAGAGAAUUCUUACUAUUAUUAUUUAUUUUAUUAGUCUCUUUCGUUCUCUUAAUUCUUAAUUGAAAAAAUAAUUGGAAAAUAAAACAACAAGUACAAAAAUGAGUAAUAACCCCCAGCAAAGACCGGUACGAUUCAAUUCAACAUUUUGUUCGUUCGGGUUUAAUUGUGUCAUAGCUCUAUAAUUUGGAUUAGGUUUAUUGUUCGAUGAACUGCAUUGUUGAUAUUGACCCUAAAAAAGAAACGGUAGGUAUAGCUAGUCCGUGAACAGCCAAUCAUCGCACUGUAAAAAUUGGAUAGGUUCGAUCUAUGGUCAUUGGGGCCUCCUAAAAAGAUCUACUAAAUUCAUCGAAUUGUUCCAAAGGACCAAAAUGACUGGUUAUUAAUGGAAUUCCUUGUUGGCUCUCUAUAAAAUACUCGUUCGACUGAGGACUUCCAAACACAUCGUAAGCUAAACCUGUGCUGAUGAAUAACCAACCUGCAAUGAAUAGGGGAGGUAUAGUAAUGCUAUGAAUGACCCAGUAUCUAAUACUGGUAAUAAUACAGACUACCCAUUUCAAUUGUUGUGCUUUCUUAAAUUGCAUACCUAUACAAGGGUUCAAGUUUCGAUUGAUAUUUGGGGAGUUGAUCAUCCCUCUCGAAAACGAAGAUUUGAAGUGGUCUAUAAUUUAUUGAGUACUCAAUAUAACUCACGCAUUCGUGUACAAACCAGUGCAGAUGAAGUAACACGAAUAUCUUCGGUAGUAAGUCUAUUUCCAUCAUCCGUCCGGUGGGAGCGAGAAGUUUGGGAUAUGUUUGGUGUUUCUUCCAUCAAUCAUCUGGAUCUACACCGUUUAUCAACAGAUUAUGGUUUCGAGGGUCAUCCAUUACGAAAAGACCUUCCUCUGAGUGGAUAUGUGGAAGUACGCUAUGAUGAUCUAGAGAAACGUGUGGUUUCUGAACCCAUUGAGAUGACCCAAGAAUUUCGUUAUUUCGAUUCUGCUAGUCCUUGGGAACAGCGUAGCGACGGAUAAUUAAGAAUUUAAAUAGGUCCAGUCCAGGGGACAAAGAAAUAGGAAAUGUUAUUUGCUUCGUCAGAAUAAGUUCUAUGAAAUGAAAGAGUUUCAUGGGAAUUGUCUUGAUCGUUAGAUAUCAUUGAGAAAUAGUUAUCGAACAAUUUCCUGUAAUUCUUCCCAGUAUGGAAUGAGUAAAGAAUCAAGCUGUAAGUCUCGAUCUAUAUGAAACGCACUGGGUUUUUUUUUUGUCUUUCUUUAGGUUUCAUUGAUAGUGGAAGAGCCUUGUCUUACUCUAUAGGGGUGCUAGCACUUUACUUUAUAUUAAAAGUAAAGGGGCCUAAAAAAACGUAAUAGGCUGCUACUCUAGGCUCGCUUCGCUUCUUCAAGCUCCGCCCCUUAUUUCAAACUAAAGCACUAACGCGCCUUCUAUUAUUUAGUAAAGCAACCUUUAGCGCUAGGCACUCCUUUUUUUUUCUGGGUGGAAGCUAGCGAUAGGGCUGCAGAACAUGCAAGGCGAUAGAUUCUAUGAGACUCUUCUUGAAUGGGAACCUGUGAAGGAAAACCGUGAAGCUCCGCCGCUAUCGGAGAACCCUCAACCAUCAACCUCUCCAAAGAAAUGGCAACUCUUAAGAUCUACGACCACCAUCUCCUCUUCUUCAAAAAACAACGAAGGUAUCCAAGAUCAGAUGACAAAUUCGAUCGACGUUCCUAAUCAGCAACACGAGGACUUUCUUCAGAUUGAAGGAGAGGAAUGUGCUUCUAGACAUGCCAAGCUCCACAUAUUCUUGUACAGUCAAAGGACGAUCGAUUUCGUAAAAAAUGAGAUCAAUAAAUAGAAAUUCACUGAAAAUGGAUAUUUGUGAGAUCGUCAAUAUUGUACCGAGGAUGUCUUUAGAGUAUACUCAAUCAGUAUAGCUAUCCUUCUUCUACCAUAGCAACACAAUUUCAAAAACUACAGCAUUUGAAUAGCUUGUAUUCAGGUGGACAAGAACUACAACACUUCUCUUAAAAAACAUGUAUGUUCUUUCUUCAACUCUUACUCUAUUGCCUAGAGUUGCAAUACCUGCCAUGAUUAGUCAUCUCUUAUUUAUUCUCAUGGAGAAACAGGUUUUGGUGUAUGCAAAGACAAUAUACAAUUGUCGCACCUCUUGAUUUUUAAUCGUGUCAAACAUUUGGAAUUGUCAAGCUGAUUUAUGGCUAACCUUGCAAGGACAUCUAGUGCAAGAGAUUCAGAAUUAUACCUAUCGAAUCCAUCUCCAUUUCUUUAGAACAACUAGAUACUAUGGCUGAAAUCUCAUGUAAGGUGUCAGGUUCAUGUUGGGGCUCAUUCACGAGAUUAAAAUGAAUAUAGCAAGAGAUGUUCUUGAUCUACCACCACCCAUGUUGUCAAGUUGUUUAAUGCUCUCGUGUUGACCAUGGCCACAGUCACAGUUGUGUGUCCUUUCUCGAAAGAAAUAAUCAUUUUGAAACUUUUGUCAACAACAUAACUUUCAUGUAUCUACUUUCAAGUACCCACAAAAAAUUGAGUCCAGCUUAGCAUUUAAUAAAGAAAAAGUAAUAAUCUGAACAAGGGAACAAAUGUUUUCCUUACUCUUUUUCAGUAGGAACCUAGUUUAUUUCUAAAAAAUUGAAGAAAAAACUAAUUCUAAACAUGGAAGCCAGGUACUUGAUUUCUGUUUAACUAGUGGAACAAUUCGAACGUAUUUAUAGCUUUAGCAUUAGAAAAGUUUAACAAAAUCACUAAUUAACCCCCAAACCCCCACCCACCAUAGAGAUAUGUUACAAAGAUUCCUCUACUCUGCAUUGAAACAAAGUGUAAGGGGUUUUUUCCUUUCUUCAUCGUCAAAUGAAACAGCCAUUUUCAAUAAAAUAAUAUGAGAAAUUGAGAGUUAAAACCAUUUUAUUUCAUUGUACUCUCUAUUCCUCUGCUUCUUCCUAUCUUAGUCAAGCCAAAUAGUCUGUGGUUUCUCCGUUUCUUCUUCACUCCACAUCAAAAAGUAGCAUCUUGGGUUCUCCCAUCUCUCUAUCCCCUUGUCAAAACACGUAAUUUAAUGUAUUGUUGUCUUGGAUUCCUCCUAGUUAAAAGGAAGCUUGAAAUAUCUCCACUGCUUCUAUGUUUCUUUGAGUCAAGGGAUAGAGUCUUGCUUUUCUUUGUUUAUUUGAGAUGCUAGAAGAGGUUUGUAUAGAACUAAUGUGAUGUCAGAGAGGUAGGUAGUAUCUGAAUUCCCUCUAGUCAUGCAAAGUAGCCUUAGAGAUUUUUGGAGGCUUGGGUAUUAUAGUAUAUUAAGAUAUUCAAAAUGCAUUAUUGCACAUCUUCUUGACUUGUAACUGAACUUGUUUUUCACAAUCAUAAAUAUGGAGGUAUUUAAUUAUGGCAGGUGAUAUACCUCUUAGAAAUUGAUGUGAAAAGGUGGAGAUUAAGGGAUGUGCACUUGGUUUUGCGAAUCAAACAACCCUCAUUUAGUAUAAACCACAAAUUUUGGCAACUCAUGAUCCACAAUUUAGAGCAUGGGAGGAAGCAAGCCUGUUGGAAAGAUAGGAGGAGACAGUUAAAAACAUGCGAGAAUUCCAUGGAUGAGUUGCUCUUAUGAAUUAUUCAGAAUCCAUGAGAAAAUUCAAAGCUUUUUUUUUUUUUUUUUUCCUUUACAUAGUUAAUGAUCUUGUUUGAUGUUGGCCCUAUAGUUGGUCUACUGAUGGUAGGCUUCCUUUGAGUGGAAGCAAGGACUCUACACUAAAGGUAAAUUGUGGGAACUAUGUCUUUUUGUGGUAUUGAUGGGGUUAUCAUAUAGUUGAUUGAUUCUAUUGCUUCCUUAUAGCUUUUCAAGGCUCUAAAAAAGAAAAGAACAAAGGUAGACCUAGGAAAAAUAUUCUUCCUAAUUUCAGUUACUCUUUCUAUAUGAACUCUUUAUUUUGGUAAAUUACAGUUAGAGAUGAUCAUGUAGUUGAACUAGGUUUGCUUCCUCUCCUUUCCCUCUCCUUCCCCCUUGAGGAAAAUUUUUAUCAUUGCUUAGUUUUGACUACUCUAUUUCUUUUGAUCAUUAUGGAAGAGCAUCACUAUAAGAUGUGCAAGAAACGUGUUGUGGUGCAUUAUUCCUUUCUCUACCACCCAAAAUCUACUUUCCACAAUCAUAAAUAUCAAAUUGUUUAAGCAUUAGGUAAGACAUCUCUUGAUUACUACUCAAAAAGUGCUAUUUGAUAGCUUGUAAUUAACUCUUUUAAAAACUUUUGAGUAGUAGUUAUUGCCUAUUAACCCAAUUAACAUGUUAAGGACCCUUGCAAUCAAUUCUAAUCAAAUUGUGUUAAGUUUUGGUGUUUUGAUAGCUUUUUGAUCACCAAAGCAAUCUAAGAAUGAGGGAGAGCUGUAUAUAGUUCAUGGCAAAGCUUUUGGAAGCUCAAAUUCAUGAAGAACCAAGCUUUGGAGCCUCACAGUCCUUUGCCUUAGUCGUUCAAAGUAUGCAAGGAAAGAACAAUAGAGAGAGGAAAAACAAAGUGAAGAAAAUAGAGGACAGCAGCUACAGUCUUCUUUCAUACUUUUGGAGUACUUCCCAAAGUCCAUUUUCUACAUGCUAUAUACCAUUUCAAAGCUCAGGAAGUCAAAAAUCCAAUGCUUCAAACGGUGCGCAAUUUGGAGUUGAAAUGAAGGAGUUACAGCCAUUGCAAGCCGAUCACUCCAAGCUGAAGGAAGAAUUUUGCACAGCACUGCGAAAUCACCCUUUUGUUGCGAGAUGAUUUCGCAGCCUUUUUGUACAGUGCUGUGUUUCCCCCCUGAAUUUUCCCGUCACGAUGGAAGCCGAAUACCACAAGUUGAAAGACCACUUCGCAGCGUUGCGAAAUUAGCCUUUUGCUGCGAAGUGAUUUCGCAGCCCUUUUUGUGUGUCUACGAAAUCUCGCAGACCUCGUUUUCACCUGCGAAAUGGUCCUUAGUGCUUCCCGAUAUUUGUGCACCGACUCUUUUAGAUCUUUUCUUCAGAUAUUUUUGUAUAAAUUUCCAUUCUUCUCCUUGUAAUCCACCAACCAUAAGAUUUCUUAGUUAGGAAUGUUGGAAAAACAUCUCUAUAUAUAUUCCCUUGCAUCCAUUGUAAAAAGGAUCGAUCAAUAUAUAGAUAUAUCAUAUAUAGAAUCAAAGAACAGAGCACUUGCUCUGUUUUUCUUGUUUUCUCGUUAGUUUUCUUUCUAGCCAACCAAACUUUGAGGAUUUUUCCUCAGAGGAUGAGAGGCUAAGCUCUUUGUCUCUUGGAGUGAAGAAAGCCGGGUAAGUUUCCACAUGCAUAAAUUGGAAGUUUUGUUGUUUUAGUUUUUAAUGAAGAGAAAGUGUGACCCGUUAAUGGUUUUUAUCUUUUUAGUUAACUUAAAACGCCUUUAAAUCACUUGGGCCAACACUUGGUAAGGCAAGUGAUCUCUGUCCAUGGAGAUGCACUAGUUUACCCCUUGCGAGCCUUUGGGAGGUGGUUUGAAGGUAGGAUUUUCUAGAAUAGCCAACACUUGGUAAGCUUUUGGACUCUAAGGAGACAUCCAUUAGUUAUCUCUUGCGAGCUUUUGACGGGUAAUCCAAGGUUAAAGAUCACCUUGAAUGGCAAGUGUUAGGUGAGAGGUAUGAGUCAUUGCAAGGUGCAUCAAUGAGAGGGAUUUAGUGUUUGAACCCAUUAAUGGGAAGCAUCUGUAUAACACCGGUUGGAGAAGGAACUAUAUGUUAAUUCUCUAAUGCGAGGAAAAGAAACAAGUGACCGGAACUCCCUUUUUGUAUGAGGAAUCUGAGCCUAGUGAUCUGAAACUCCAAGAAACAACUUUUCUUUGUAAGUAAAAUCAGUUACUAUUUUUGGUUAGUUUAAAACCGAACCUUUUUCAUUCGAACAUCUUUAUGUUUUCUUUUAAAGCUAACCUUGAAAUGAAAAGGCACCAAUUCAGCUUUGAAUUAAUAUCAUUUGCAAAGUGAAAACCCAUCCCAGUGAACGAUCCUAGAGCCACUAUGCUAUAGUAGCUUUGUCUUUGCUACCCUAGUAUAUGGUGUAAUAGGUUAUAAAUUUUGUUGAUUACUCCCUCAAUCAAGGAGCACCAGCUGGACACGAAUCAGCUGAGACACCAAUUGGGCACGAAUCAAAUGGCGUCGUUGCCGAGGAUCGAACCCUGAAUCAAAUGGUGUCAUUGCCACUGCCGCUGUUAGGGACGAAUCAUCUCUUGAUAAUGAUGUGAGAGAUAUAGACAAGUAAUGUUACUAAAUAACAAGAAUAUGCAUAAAAAAAAAACAAGAAUACACAUAUUUAUGUGGAAAACCUUAGAUGGGAAAAACCAUGGGUAGAGGAGAAGAAAAUUCACUAUAUUAAAAAAUUGAUACAAAAUGGGAGAGAUGCGAGCGACUACUUUAUAAGCAUAGACAUCAUAGUCCUAAUCUUAUACAUAAUUGCAAAUAUAUAUAUAUAUAUAUAUAUAUAUAUAUGUGUGUGUGUGUGUGUGUGUGUGUGUGUGUGUGUGUGUGUGUGUGUGUGUGUGUGUGUGUGUGUGUGUGUGUGUGUGUGUGGGAGAGUAAUAAACAUCAUAACCCUAAAUUCUAUUAGCCCGAUCCCUCCGCUACCACCACAGACUCUCCAAAAAUCUCACAAAUUUUUCUUCACCACAUAUGUCGCAUCACGAGCUUUUUGGGUAAAACUAAAUAGAAUUCGAGUUACCAAACUCUAACAAACAACAUACCAGUAUUCACAAGAAGUGAUGUUAUGCUUUUUCACUUUACAAUAUUCAUUUAGUUUGAACUCCAGAUUCAGGCAACUCAAAAUCUCCGCCCUCAUUAGGAUUGUAGGAAGCUAGCUUCUUGGAAAGACAUGAAAAUGGGGCAUUUAUAAAUAUGGAAGAAUCGCAAAGGCCUGUUGCUACUUUUGAAUCAUUCCAAUCAAUAACAACUCCAAAGAUAUAUACAAAUUUGUCCCUGGGAAAGAGAUGUUUCCUGGGCAUCUAACCAUCUCUUUAAUAUACUCAGGGUUGUGCACCCUCUUGGUGAUUUUUAUAUAUUGUAGUGAACCUAUCACACCCCAAACCCACUCCAAGGGCAUUACGGUCAUUUCACACCUCAAGCCCAAAGGUUCAAAAUGGAAACAAUACAAACAUUCGUAUUGUAACUGAAAAUUUCCCAAUUACCAAAUUCCUAUUCAGAGUAGUAGGACAAAAUUCUAAAACCUCUAAGUAUCAACUUUUUUUUUUUUUUUUUAAAAAAAAAGAACUAAUAUAUCAACCAAAGUGUUAUUGUCCAAAUAACUCCAAACUUAAAAUAAUUCAAAUGAGAAUUAAAUUUUUAACAUUUAAACAAUGUCCAAAAUAAAAAGAGUUUAAACAAAUAUCCUAUUAAAGCCAAAUUUCCCUCCUAACGAUCACUCAUCGCUCGAACUGAGGUUACAUGAAAGAUUAUCAACAAAGGGGGAUGAGCUCAAAACCUAAUAAGAAACAUUAAUAUAGUUUCAUGGAUCAAACAUUUUCAAUCAUCCUUGCAAAUAGGAGAUAUAACAUAUACUUAUUUUCAUAAAAAAAAAAAUUUUGAGUUCAAAAUGUUAAUACAUUCAAACUUUUCAACAAAACUUUCUCAUAUUCAUUUCAAAACCAAAUCAAAUACAUUCAAAAUAUCUUUACUCAAGUUAUCAAAUGACAAAUGGUACCCAAUUAGGUGGUACUUCACAAUUGAGCAACUAGUUUCAAAUUUGUUCCAUUUAAGGUGAACGAAACCAAAUGUCAACAAUUACAACUUGUUGACUAGGGUCAUAUAAUCCAAAGUCAAACACUUUAUUUCAUUAAUUCAAACUUACAAAACAAAAUAUCGUAUCUCCUCAAUAUUACUGUUGUUACUGUUGCUCCUCUUCAGCAUCAGCAAGUACAAAUUUGAAGCAGGACAGUGUGUCCUUAUGCUUCAUAAACUCCUCUUGAACCAUACAUCUCUACGAAAACAAAAUACCCUAACUUCAUCAAAAGAUUGUCAACAAUAUUACUGAAUGAAAUUUGUUCAGCCAUCUUUCAAAGGUCUAAGGGAAAAUGAAAGGAGUUUUAGCAACAGAAAAAAUGAGAAAAGCCAAGUGAGGACUGAAGGGUCUGAAUAAACUUGGGUGUGUUUGCUCUGUUCAAUUCAAGUGGGAUUAAUUACUUGACCCUCAUGAUUGACCUACCCACCAUAUUUUUCAUUUUUUUUUCUUAUUAAAAUUUUCAGACAAAUAAAAUUACUUGAAAAUUAUUGGAUAUUACUUAUUAUUUAAAAAUUAAAAUAAAAAUUGCUAACCUUCUUGUAAUAUAAUUAGUAAACAUAUUUUCAUUUUAUAAGCUAUAAUCAAACUGGUUUAUAUAUCCUAUUUUUAAAAAUAACAAAGACAGAAAAUUGUCCAUUGAGCACCUAAAUAUUUUAAACUCAUUAUAAUGAAAAAAAAAUGUCCAAAAUAUUUAUUAAAAAAACUAGUUUAAUUUUAUAAUCAUUUUUCAACCCAUAAAUUAUCCAAAAAUAAACUAAAAUCUUUAUCAAGGUUUUUCUAAGUAGAAUUUAAAAAAUGAGAAAUUAAUAUUUGAAACUCCUAAAAAUCAUUAAAUUAAAAUUUAAAAAAAUAAAAUUUGUUUGAUUGUAUUAGAAUCGACAAUAGAAAUGCAAACAUGAGUUUAUAGCUCUUAACAGAUUAGAUUAUGAAACUAAAUGUAUUUUAGAUAGUGGAGUUAGUUCAUACAACAGAAAGGAUGAGGUAUCCAAGAUGUCAAAUAAGGUUGGGGUUGAAGGAAGUGAAGGGAAAUUACCAUAGAUGUGAAAUCGAAAAGGUUGUGAUCCCAUAAGACAUCACUUGACAAUAUCCAAGAAAAUGAAUGACAAAACAUCAGAAUAUCAACAAGCAGAUUGCAUACUUUAUAUCAAGGUAUUUAAUCGUUCUGAUGCAAGCAUUUGAAAUUUUUUUGUUGCAGAAGCUCAAACAUUUCCUAAUAGAUCAUAUCGGUGGGUUGAUGCUAGAGAUGUUGUCAAUGCACACAUUCAAGCAUAUGAGAUCCCAAAGCCAGUGGAAGAUACUGCUUAGUAGAGAGGGAUUUACACUAUUCUGAGACACUGAAGAUUUUGCACAAGCUCUACCCUAAUUUACCCCUGCCCAAAAAGUAAGUUUCUAUUAGUUAUUGCUAGUACUCGUUUGUGCCAUCAUUAGAGUACUUGCCAUUUAAUCUUCUUUUUUUAAUCUUUUGUAAUAUUGUUUGUUGUAAUAGUAGAAUGAUUGUUUCUAUCCAUUAGAUGUAAAUAUGGUGAGACAAACCAUAUUUAAAACCCUACAUGCGUCAUAUUAAUAAUUUAUUUUUAAUCUUUAUAUUAAUGCAUCAAUAAAUGGUAUUGAAGAAAUUACUAGUACAACAAAGGUUACAAGAUUAUAAGUGGGAUCACUCUGAUACAAUGAUGGGAUAAAAGAAAUAGAUGGGGUUAUUGAAUGCAAACCUCCAUACAUAAAUGAUAGAGACUUAACUUGUUCAAUAUAAGUUCCUUGAUGUAAAAUAUCAAUUUUGUUUUCCAAAGUCUUUAUGGCUAUUGGCUUUUCCAUGGAAUACCAAAGAAAGAAAAAAAAAAACAAACCCUCCUUACCUGAGAGUUCAUUUGAACCUUGUUUUUAUUAAUCCAAACCCUAUUGAUUUAUAUAUGACCUAUCAUGGGACUAUGAAGAGUUUUAAAACAACUCAAAGAUAACAAAAAAAAAAAAAUUGAGGUUAAAUAGUGAAAACUACAUUAGAUUCCAAUAAUAGUUUUUACGAUAUAAUGUUGCAUUGGCAGGUUUCAUAAAAAAAUGAAUUAUUCUAUGAAUACUAUUUUUGAUUCCAAAUUUUGAAUUUUCUAAUUCCUUAGUUUAGUGGUGGGUCCCAUAGAAAUUGAAAGUUGUGGAAAAGUAGAAUAUGGACACAAUUUUUUACUUAAUGAGUAGAUUUUACAACACCUUCAAGUAAUUACCCUAAAAAUGAUAGGUCAUUGCAUUGUAAAUAUAUUAAAUUUAAUUGAGAGAUUAUUUAUAAAAAAUAUCAUCAUUUUUUUAAAAGAAUAAUAUGAUCUUACCAUCGUCUCGGGUAGGAAAGCAAUUUAUGGUGGUGUUAGAUUUUUCUUAAUAUAUUCUUGUUCCUUUUUCUUUUUUUCUUUUUGGUGCAUAUUGUAAGUGUGGACCCCGCCCUUUCGAUUGCUCGAAUGCGUUUCCCACUCGAUGGCUAGCUCGAUUUAUUAUUUUAUUUCAAAAAUUGAUUUUUAUUGAUUAUUUGAAAAUGACUUGGAGUCGCCACUUAUUUUUGUUUUAUUUUUAAAGGGUAAACAAAAUAAGAAAGAAAAACCCUAAGUGUGACUCCUUAUUUUGGAAAAUGUGAUCUACGAAAAACCGGAUCAGGUUCGGGGGUCAGGUUACUUAUCGGGAAGGUACGGUAAAGACCGUAGCACCCCUCUAAGUCCCUAAAGUCGGGUCUCUACUAAUAAGAUGAAGCUGACGUGGCAGUCAAUAAGAAAAUCGAUGAAUACUCAAAUCGAUCAUGCACAAUACGAGAAGCAAAACAUGUAUAAAGAACGAACAAAAUAUGAAUAGAUGCGUACCUGGGCGGCAAUCACGAAUGCGCUAUCAUGAAACAUGGUGAGUGAACAAUGAACAUAUAUAAUUAAGCGCAUAUCAAGGAAUAGAGUAGAUCAACCAUGCAUGACAAAUAAAUAAAUCAAUCAGUCAAUCAAUCAUGAAGUCAAGUAUGUGGGGCCCCCACCAAAGCCCGAUUUAUCUUUGUAUGAAUUAGUUCCAUAAAUUCCACUAUUUGGAAUAACAGAAUUAAAUUCGUACUUAUUUUAAAACAUUUUAAAAGUCCAAGAAGGAUUUAAAAAUUGCUUACCGAAUAGAAAAUGGAAGCAAAUUUGAUUAGAAAGGGAUUUAUUGUCUUUAAGAUUACUAAGGAAAAAAAUAAAAUAAAAUGGAAAAUAAAUAAAUAAAUAAAUGAGAAAAUGAAAUAAUAAAAUGAAAAUAAUAGAAUAGAGUGAAAUAACGGAAAUAUUAAGGAGUAGAGAAAACUGUUUGAAAAACGAGUUUUUGAAAUCAAUUUUUGGAAGUAAAGAUGGAGAAAUUAAAAAAAAUGAAAUCCACUUGUUUUAAUAAUGGCUCACCCAAGGAGGCCAUGCGCGCCAUGCAUAAGUGGGUCUUAGGGAUUUGCGUGGCAGUGGGAAAUAAGAGAUUUUCAAUGCGUCAAACUGAUAACUUCCACAAUGGUUGAAAUGUCAUUCGUUCAUGCUACCCGCCAUCUAUAGAAGGAUGAUCCCGGCCGUUCGUUUUGACUCAAAUGCUUUCUUGUAGAUUCUGUUAGAUUAAUUUUUGUAAUUAAUCUAUAAUUUGGGCCACACAUGUAAAUAAUUAAAAUGUGUGUGCUAUCAUUUAAUUAAGCCUAAAUAUAGUGAUCUAAUUAAUAAUUGAUUAAUUGGCUUAAGGGUAUAAUUGUCAUGAGAUUAUUGUGUAGAUACCAUUAGACAAUUAUUAUUUCUAUGAGGGGCAGAAAUAUAAUUGUGAUAAAAUUAAAACUGCCCUAGCAGUUUAUAAAUAGGGUUAUGGUCCCCAUUCUACGACUACGCAUUCCAAUUUCUGAAAAUCCUCUCAGAGAGAAAUUGACACAGAAUCUAGUGGCUAGAAUUGGAAGACCAUCUCAAAGGGUUUUUUUUUCUAUAAGGUUUCUCCUUCAAUGGAUUCAGGUAUGCUUCCGCUAUUAUUUUUCUACUCAUUGUUUUUAAUCAGGAGAUUCCAGUGUAUAUAUAAAUUAAGGUAUUCACCUUGUUAAAUAUUUCAGUACAUAUGUAGUUAGGGUAUUCACCCUAUUAAAUAUUCCAGUACAUAUGUAGUUAGGGUAUUCACCCAGUUAACUAUUCCAGUAUAUAUGAAAUCAGGGUAUUCAUCUUGGUUGAAUACUAACAAGUGGUAUCAGAGCCUACUCCUUGAUUAAUUCUUUGAGUUAUUAUUUUAAUAUAUAUAUGUCAAUGGAUUAAGAUUUAUGAAAUAUUGAGUUGAUAAAUUUUUAUUUUAUUAUUAUUAUUAUUAUUAUUAUUAUUAUUAUUAUUUAAUAGCAUUUUAUGAUAUUAAUAUUUAAGUUAUUGAUCUAGCAUUUUAAAUAGGCUAAUUAAAGCGGAAAAUCACCAAAGUGACAUCUUCCGUGUAGAUUAGUCUGUUCGGGGUGUUAGAUAUUUGUGUGUAUGUGAUUCAUGCGGGUAUUGACUGGCCCAAAGGAAAGUUAAUAUUUGGUUAAAUUGCAUACAUACUUGUGGUGAUAAAUAUGUGAUGAUUAUAAAGGUAACUUAAUGUGAAUAAUAAAUCAAUCCAAAGAUAGAUUUAUUAUUUGACAUAACUUAUCAUCAAUGUUUGAUCACUACAACAAGAGUACCACUUACAGUUAAUAUUACUGUCCAAAGACUUAAUAUUAAUGUUGUGCUAGGUAUCUUGAAAUGUCAUAAUUUGCUUUUAAAUUUAAAGAUUAUGUGUUUAAUUGCUUAUUUUAUGUGAGCAUGAUGGUUUAUUUGAUUCAUUUNNNNNNNNNNNNNNNNNNNNNNNNNNNNNNNNNNNNNNNNNNNNNNNNNNNNNNNNNNNNNNNNNNNNNNNNNNNNNNNNNNNNNNNNNNNNNNNNNNNNNNNNNNNNNNNNNNNNNNNNNNNNNNNNNNNNNNNNNNNNNNNNNNNNNNNNNNNNNNNNNNNNNNNNNNNNNNNNNNNNNNNNNNNNNNNNNNNNNNNNNNNNNNNNNNNNNNNNNNNNNNNNNNNNNNNNNNNNNNNNNNNNNNNNNNNNNNNNNNNNNNNNNNNNNNNNNNNNNNNNNNNNNNNNNNNNNNNNNNNNNNNNNNNNNNNNNNNNNNNNNNNNNNNNNNNNNNNNNNNNNNNNNNNNNNNNNNNNNNNNNNNNNNNNNNNNNNNNNNNNNNNNNNNNNNNNNNNNNNNNNNNNNNNNNNNNNNNNNNNNNNNNNNNNNNNNNNNNNNNNNNNNNNNNNNNNNNNNNNNNNNNNNNNNNNNNNNNNNNNNNNNNNNNNNNNNNNNNNNNNNNNNNNNNNNNNNNNNNNNNNNNNNNNNNNNNNNNNNNNNNNNNNNNNNNNNNNNNNNNNNNNNNNNNNNNNNNNNNNNNNNNNNNNNNNNNNNNNNNNNNNNNNNNNNNNNNNNNNNNNNNNNNNNNNNNNNNNNNNNNNNNNNNNNNNNNNNNNNNNNNNNNNNNNNNNNNNNNNNNNNNNNNNNNNNNNNNNNNNNNNNNNNNNNNNNNNNNNNNNNNNNNNNNNNNNNNNNNNNNNNNNNNNNNNNNNNNNNNNNNNNNNNNNNNNNNNNNNNNNNNNNNNNNNNNNNNNNNNNNNNNNNNNNNNNNNNNNNNNNNNNNNNNNNNNNNNNNNNNNNNNNNNNNNNNNNNNNNNNNNNNNNNNNNNNNNNNNNNNNNNNNNNNNNNNNNNNNNNNNNNNNNNNNNNNNNNNNNNNNNNNNNNNNNNNNNNNNNNNNNNNNNNNNNNNNNNNNNNNNNNNNNNNNNNNNNNNNNNNNNNNNNNNNNNNNNNNNNNNNNNNNNNNNNNNNNNNNNNNNNNNNNNNNNNNNNNNNNNNNNNNNNNNNNNNNNNNNNNNNNNNNNNNNNNNNNNNNNNNNNNNNNNNNNNNNNNNNNNNNNNNNNNNNNNNNNNNNNNNNNNNNNNNNNNNNNNNNNNNNNNNNNNNNNNNNNNNNNNNNNNNNNNNNNNNNNNNNNNNNNNNNNNNNNNNNNNNNNNNNNNNNNNNNNNNNNNNNNNNNNNNNNNNNNNNNNNNNNNNNNNNNNNNNNNNNNNNNNNNNNNNNNNNNNNNNNNNNNNNNNNNNNNNNNNNNNNNNNNNNNNNNNNNNNNNNNNNNNNNNNNNNNNNNNNNNNNNNNNNNNNNNNNNNNNNNNNNNNNNNNNNNNNNNNNNNNNNNNNNNNNNNNNNNNNNNNNNNNNNNNNNNNNNNNNNNNNNNNNNNNNNNNNNNNNNNNNNNNNNNNNNNNNNNNNNNNNNNNNNNNNNNNNNNNNNNNNNNNNNNNNNNNNNNNNNNNNNNNNNNNNNNNNNNNNNNNNNNNNNNNNNNNNNNNNNNNNNNNNNNNNNNNNNNNNNNNNNNNNNNNNNNNNNNNNNNNNNNNNNNNNNNNNNNNNNNNNNNNNNNNNNNNNNNNNNNNNNNNNNNNNNNNNNNNNNNNNNNNNNNNNNNNNNNNNNNNNNNNNNNNNNNNNNNNNNNNNNNNNNNNNNNNNNNNNNNNNNNNNNNNNNNNNNNNNNNNNNNNNNNNNNNNNNNNNNNNNNNNNNNNNNNNNNNNNNNNNNNNNNNNNNNNNNNNNNNNNNNNNNNNNNNNNNNNNNNNNNNNNNNNNNNNNNNNNNNNNNNNNNNNNNNNNNNNNNNNNNNNNNNNNNNNNNNNNNNNNNNNNNNNNNNNNNNNNNNNNNNNNNNNNNNNNNNNNNNNNNNNNNNNNNNNNNNNNNNNNNNNNNNNNNNNNNNNNNNNNNNNNNNNNNNNNNNNNNNNNNNNNNNNNNNNNNNNNNNNNNNNNNNNNNNNNNNNNNNNNNNNNNNNNNNNNNNNNNNNNNNNNNNNNNNNNNNNNNNNNNNNNNNNNNNNNNNNNNNNNNNNNNNNNNNNNNNNNNNNNNNNNNNNNNNNNNNNNNNNNNNNNNNNNNNNNNNNNNNNNNNNNNNNNNNNNNNNNNNNNNNNNNNNNNNNNNNNNNNNNNNNNNNNNNNNNNNNNNNNNNNNNNNNNNNNNNNNNNNNNNNNNNNNNNNNNNNNNNNNNNNNNNNNNNNNNNNNNNNNNNNNNNNNNNNNNNNNNNNNNNNNNNNNNNNNNNNNNNNNNNNNNNNNNNNNNNNNNNNNNNNNNNNNNNNNNNNNNNNNNNNNNNNNNNNNNNNNNNNNNNNNNNNNNNNNNNNNNNNNNNNNNNNNNNNNNNNNNNNNNNNNNNNNNNNNNNNNNNNNNNNNNNNNNNNNNNNNNNNNNNNNNNNNNNNNNNNNNNNNNNNNNNNNNNNNNNNNNNNNNNNNNNNNNNNNNNNNNNNNNNNNNNNNNNNNNNNNNNNNNNNNNNNNNNNNNNNNNNNNNNNNNNNNNNNNNNNNNNNNNNNNNNNNNNNNNNNNNNNNNNNNNNNNNNNNNNNNNNNNNNNNNNNNNNNNNNNNNNNNNNNNNNNNNNNNNNNNNNNNNNNNNNNNNNNNNNNNNNNNNNNNNNNNNNNNNNNNNNNNNNNNNNNNNNNNNNNNNNNNNNNNNNNNNNNNNNNNNNNNNNNNNNNNNNNNNNNNNNNNNNNNNNNNNNNNNNNNNNNNNNNNNNNNNNNNNNNNNNNNNNNNNNNNNNNNNNNNNNNNNNNNNNNNNNNNNNNNNNNNNNNNNNNNNNNNNNNNNNNNNNNNNNNNNNNNNNNNNNNNNNNNNNNNNNNNNNNNNNNNNNNNNNNNNNNNNNNNNNNNNNNNNNNNNNNNNNNNNNNNNNNNNNNNNNNNNNNNNNNNNNNNNNNNNNNNNNNNNNNNNNNNNNNNNNNNNNNNNNNNNNNNNNNNNNNNNNNNNNNNNNNNNNNNNNNNNNNNNNNNNNNNNNNNNNNNNNNNNNNNNNNNNNNNNNNNNNNNNNNNNNNNNNNNNNNNNNNNNNNNNNNNNNNNNNNNNNNNNNNNNNNNNNNNNNNNNNNNNNNNNNNNNNNNNNNNNNNNNNNNNNNNNNNNNNNNNNNNNNNNNNNNNNNNNNNNNNNNNNNNNNNNNNNNNNNNNNNNNNNNNNNNNNNNNNNNNNNNNNNNNNNNNNNNNNNNNNNNNNNNNNNNNNNNNNNNNNNNNNNNNNNNNNNNNNNNNNNNNNNNNNNNNNNNNNNNNNNNNNNNNNNNNNNNNNNNNNNNNNNNNNNNNNNNNNNNNNNNNNNNNNNNNNNNNNNNNNNNNNNNNNNNNNNNNNNNNNNNNNNNNNNNNNNNNNNNNNNNNNNNNNNNNNNNNNNNNNNNNNNNNNNNNNNNNNNNNNNNNNNNNNNNNNNNNNNNNNNNNNNNNNNNNNNNNNNNNNNNNNNNNNNNNNNNNNNNNNNNNNNNNNNNNNNNNNNNNNNNNNNNNNNNNNNNNNNNNNNNNNNNNNNNNNNNNNNNNNNNNNNNNNNNNNNNNNNNNNNNNNNNNNNNNNNNNNNNNNNNNNNNNNNNNNNNNNNNNNNNNNNNNNNNNNNNNNNNNNNNNNNNNNNNNNNNNNNNNNNNNGAGCAAAUUUUGAGCUCAUAAGGUUAAACACAUUUAUUUGAUUACAUAUGCAUGUGGCCCAGUGGGAGAUUGUUAGAUUAAUUUUUGUAAUUAAUCUAUAAUUUGGGCCACACAUGUAAAUAAUUAAAAUGUGUGUGCUAUCAUUUAAUUAAGCCUAAAUAUAGUGAUCUAAUUAAUAAUUGAUUAAUUGGCUUAAGGGUAUAAUUGUCAUGAGAUUAUUGUGUAGAUACCAUUAGACAAUUAUUAUUUCUAUGAGGGGCAGAAAUAUAAUUGUGAUAAAAUUAAAACUGCCCUAGCAGUUUAUAAAUAGGGUUAUGGUCCCCAUUCUACGACUACGCAUUCCAAUUUCUGAAAAUCCUCUCAGAGAGAAAUUGACACAGAAUCUAGUGGCUAGAAUUGGAAGACCAUCUCAAAGGGUUUUUUUUUCUAUAAGGUUUCUCCUUCAAUGGAUUCAGGUAUGCUUCCGCUAUUAUUUUUCUACUCAUUGUUUUUAAUCAGGAGAUUCCAGUGUAUAUAUAAAUUAAGGUAUUCACCUUGUUAAAUAUUUCAGUACAUAUGUAGUUAGGGUAUUCACCUUAUUAAAUAUUCCAGUACAUAUGUAGUUAGGGUAUUCACCCAGUUAACUAUUCCAGUAUAUAUGAAAUCAGGGUAUUCAUCUUGGUUGAAUACUAACAGAUUCUUGAGCUACUCCUCUCGUGUCCUCUCAAACGCAUCGUAAUCCCCCAGGUAAGACUUCAGUCAUAAAACAUCAUGAAGGUCAAGAAGAUUCAUGGGUACAUCAAGUCGUAAUGAAUCAGGUUCUAUACACGGUGCACGAGCAAGAGCAAUUCGCGUUUGCCAACUUUCAGAAAAGGUUUUCUUGUUGCUCUAUGCCGCAUUCUAGGAGUGAAACCGAGAUCCACAAGAACGGAGCCUGCACGGGACUUAGCGGAGUAUGCAUCAAUGAACUCAAUCCUUUUGUAUGUCUCUUCAAGCCUUUGUCCAACAACAUCUUUGUCAAUAUCCCCAUUCAGUUUCUCUUGGCUCUCUAGUCUGCUACUCUCUGGAUCUUGGCGAAGGCUGUAAACGAUUCUACUGCUCAGCGUUCCAACUGAACCUCCUUUCCAUAGCAGCCAUUUUGAGUGGAUUCUCCUUUCUGCUUAGGUCCAUUAGCAUCAUGAAAGGCGUGACUUUUGCUGAAGGUGAUAGAAGCCAAUGUCGGGAAUCUUCUCUAACCGGACCCCAUCAAUACUUAAUAGCCCGAUUCCAAUAAGCCUUGAGUUCCGAGGACUGGGCGCGCUUUAAACAGAUUGAAAAUUCCCCGACUCUGUGAUUAUGAGGAUUGCCCUGUAAACUUGGAAAAAAUAACAUAGUUGAUGACAGAUUCUAAGUCUAGUCCCAGAAUAGAAUCUUUCUUGAAGAAGGUCAUGCCACCCUAAGGCCUUUAAGCAACUUGUGUGCUGUUGUCAUUACAAUAUCACAGGGCUUAAAGGGGUCAGCAACCACGGAAGCAGCAACAAGUCCAUUAAUGGGAGCCAUAUCCACCAUGAGAAAAAUCAUCAACGCCACCUGUAGAUUCAUCAAUUCGAUAAGGCAUAGACUCAAAAUGAAUUGAUGUGUCUGAUGCCCGUCUUUUAAGAGUCAUGAGACCAUGAGACAAGUGGCUCUAUGAGGUGAAUUUAAACCCAAGGCUCUGUCAUGUAGAUUAAGAAGGGCAGUAUACGCUUCAAAGUUAGCUGGAGAGCCAGAUAAUGCUUGAACAUUGAUACCCCACUUCCUAUCGUCUAAGUGAAAUGCUGCCAAAACCCUCUUCUGUCAGAGUGUUCCCAGCUCAUCAAUGAGCUCGUUAUCACCAUAAUACUUUUUACCAAGCAAUCCCUCAGAACAUUUGUUUGGUGAGGCAAGGAUCAAUGGCUUCCAUCAUUGUCCGGGAUGUAAAAUCCUCUGAAGCAAUAAACUCUAAACUCUUCAUUUGUUGUUUUUUCCCUCAGGAAAUCCCCUUCAUGAAACCGUCUUCUGGUCCCGAGCUUUGGAAACCGUGCCCAUAUGAAAACCCGAGGCUCAUGCUGGACCAAAACCCUUCUCCUUGAGGGUAUGAAUGGCCAUCGAGAACAGAGUAUAAACAGCAAGGGAGCAAAUACAAAAACAGAGUAUCAACUGAACCAAAGAAAACACUAACCCGAGCUCCAUUUCAUAUUGGAGCCAGUGGGCUUAUGCAUGGGUGGGAAAAACCAGGGGAAACUAAGAUCUCAAAGAUAUGACUCAAAUAUUCAAAUGAGAGUUAUAAAGGAAUCAGAUUAUACUAAAACAAUUUUUCAAUGAAGAGCAAAGCACGGAUACAUUAUCACAAAGUAACAGCAACCCAAAUGACAUCAAUGGAAAUCCAAAAUGUGGUCUAGCAAACGUACCUGAGGAUGUUCCUUUUCUUCCCUUUAUUUUCUUUUAAUUUCUCUCUGGUUUUCCUCUCGAACUCACCCACAAAACCAGUCUGCUCCUCUCUGUUUUCUCUCCAGUGUUUUUCCCCUCAAACGCUUUCUCUCAUCCUAAAAGCACUCUGGUUCUCUCAGCCUCCUUCUCCAGAAUCUCCCUUCUCUCACCUUAGCAGCCUGCUCACUGCAAAAUCCGCCACCAAAAGCCCCCACCACUACUCUGCAGCCUUCUCCUCUCUUUCAGCUCCCUGCUCCUCUCCAGCUUGCUCCUCCUUUUUCUCUCACUCUCCCUGCAGCUGCAUCCUCCCUCUCUACCCAAAGUAACCCAACCAAAAACUCCUGCCCCCACUCUAAUGGAAAAGCAUCUCCCUCUCUCAUCCGCUCCUCCCUGCAGCUGGCAAAACGGUUUGCAACUUUUGCAGAUUCCCUCACACCCCGUGUCACCUUCUCAUUGGCUCUUAAAACCACUAUUUUGAUUCCACAACAGCCAAUCUCAGGACAGCAUGUGGACUCCUAGGAUGGUGACAUCUGGCCAUAGCUAGCUGCAAGAAAGGAAACGUGAGAAAAAUCACAGCUCCCCAAAAUGGGGGUCUACAGUAAGGUUUCAAGUUCCUUUAGAAAUAUGAACAACGAUGAAGAGUUAGAAAUUUUGGAACAUUAAGUACAUAGUUAAAGCCAUGUUUAGAUAGUUGAAAUUCCUAUAAAAAAAAAAUACAAAAAUGAAAAAAUGAAAGAAGUUCAAAUUUUAUUUGAUUAUCUUAAAAAAUAAAAGAAAUUACAAAUAAUGAAAAUUGUUUAGAUUUUAUAUACUUUCUAAUGUUUACUCUUUAUAGACAAAAAAAACAAAUAAUUUUUUUUGAGGUUCUGAAAAUAAUUAAACUUAAGCUUAAUUUUUGUUUUUCUUGAUUUUUAAUGCCUUUCAUAAUUUUCCUUUACAAUUUUUCCCACUUAAUCCAAAACUUUCCAAGGUCUAAAUUUCAUAGGUGUUUCAUCUUCUUUUUAAUUAAGAAGUUUUGAAUGUUUCAAUUCAAAUUCCACAAUAAGGUAAUAAAACCUUAAAAUUAAUAUUACAUCUAGGUUGACUUGGUAAUCAACUUGAACCAAACCUAAAUUAAGAAACAUUCAGUCCUAACCUAACCAAAUAUAGCCUCAAAUAUGAGGUGUAUAGUUAAAACUCAACUUAUUUCUAUAUAUUAAAGUGAGGCUUAAAUUGACUCUGGUAUACUUGUAGUCGAGUUGAGUUGUUUAAGUUGUAUAAUCAGAGCUAAGUUUUGUAAGAUUGAAUUGGGGUGAACUCAUUCAUAAUGUUUAUUUUUUUUAACUUCUUUUAUAUCAUAAUUUAAAUAGCAAAUAGGACAACAUUUAAACAUAAUAAAAAAAAUGAGAAUGAAUUUAUGUAUCUUUCUUACAAAAAUGAAAUAAUAUAAUUAAAAUUUAAUAUUUUUUUAAAUACUAAAAAACAUAAAAUAGAUAUUAUUAUAUAAAAUACAAUAAAUUACAAAUAUUAUAAAAAUAUAAAAAUUAGGUUAUAUAUGUAUGUAUGUAUGAAUGUAUGUAUAAAAUAGUAGUGUGAUAGGUGUUUGCUACUUGUAAAAAGUAUUUUUGCUCAUUUUUAAAUUGAAAUUAAUAAAAAGAAAAAGAAAUAAAAUGUUUUCAAAAAUAUUAAAUGCAUAACUAAUAUUAUGCUAAUGAAGUUUUUUGUUCUUUGUAAUUUAGAGUUGUCUCAUUCAUAUUUUAAGGUAAACUAAUAGAACAUUAAACUCCCCAAUAUUGUAUCCAUCUAGAAUUUAUCACCAUUUUAUUUUAUAUCAUAUCACAAUUAUAUUAAUUAGUGGCUUCAAGAAAAAAAAAAAUUAUUUAUAUGUUAGACAACAUGGAAAAGAUAUAUUUUUUAAUGCUUAUUAAUAAUUUUUAUUUCAAAUUUUAAAACAUGAAUAUAUAAAUUUUAACAAUUAUGAAAUAUUAGUCUAAAUAUCUUUUAAUAUUUGGUUAUGUUUGCAAAGCAUUUUUAAUAAAAAUUAUGAAAAACAAUUUUUGAGAGUAAUUUACAAAAACAUUUUUUAUUUAUUUUUAAAUAUAUUUUAAAAAUAACUUUAUCUCAUAUAUAGUACUUUAUUUUAAUCGUUCUCUAUUUAAAAUAACUCUAUGAAAAGAAACGAAAAUAAUUAAAAGAUUUAUCUUAAAACAUUUUAUUUUUUUAUUUUUAUGAAUAGAAAACUUUUUUUUUUUGUCAAAUGUGUCUUCUUGUUUUUGUUUUUGUUUUUUUAAAAAACAAAAAACUGUUUUAAAAAAUAAUUACCAACCAUGCUUGAACACAAAGCCCGAAGCUCCCGUGGGGCUGGUUUUGGGCCUUUUAGGUUUGGGAAAAACAGUCGGGCCUGGCUGAGCACAAAUUCUUCUCUUUUAAAUCCAAAAAGCCCGUCUCAAGCCCAAACUUCAGGUUGGGCCGGGAAGCUCCUGGCUUAACACAAAUUAUUCUCUUUUAAGUCCAAAAAUACAGUCUGAAGCCCAAAAUUUCGGGUUGGUCCGGCCGGGCGGGCGGAUAUGAAAUAUAAGAAAAUAAAUAGGGAAAACUGUGUUUUGGUCCGCCCAUUUGGGCCUAAUAGCUUUUUGGUAACCCAACUUUCCAUAACCCAAAAAAUGUCCACUGUUGCCCAAAAAAAUAUCCCUUUCAUGCACUAUCCACUGUUUUAUAAUUUCAUUUCCAAAAUUACCCCUCCAGCCUUCCAUAUCAGCAGCCAUCUCCCUCUCCAUGUCACGGGUUGUGCUUUCAAAUAAACACAAAAAUCUUAAACAAGUUAGCAAAACCCACGCAAGACCUGACUCUGAAAUUUGGGAAACCAGGUUAGGGCAAAAGGAGAGAAAGUCACAGAGAGUCCUUAGCUUCUUUCUCUUCUCUCUCUUUUCUCUCUGUUGUGUGAAUUUCUCAGUGAAAAAUCGAAAGCUUGUAAGCUGUAAUCGAAAGUUAGGUUCAGUGCUUUUUUGGUACUUUGUCGGAUGGCCCAAGCAGCCAGUAGCAGAUACUCAAAUUUUAUGCUUGGGUUUUACUUGAAUGCUCAUACAUUAGCUGUCAUCUUCAAGGUCCAUUUGGUUUUAAUGCAUCUGGAUCACGCAGCUGAGCAGAGGAAAGAGGAAAUGAAUCUGUUACUGGUUUGAUAUUUUUGGGGCUUAGGUGCUUACGAGCUGUACGGUGUAAGCAAAAUCCUCGUUAAAAGUCUAACUUAAGACAACUGGCUCUAAAUAGCAUAUGGCCCGGCGUUGAAAGUGGCUGUAGCCUACAAUCUCAAAUCAAGGGGUAAGUCCCAUACCAUUUAAAAGAAUUGUGACCUUCAGUGUCAGAAAUUUUCAGUUAAAUACAAAUGAAUUGCAUCUUCUUCACUGAAUUUUCAGCCUCCGGUUUCAUCUUUGCGAGGUGAGAUUCACAUUCAUUUUCCAUUGAUCGAAUUCCCCCUCCUCUGCCACAGCCUGGCUAGGGACUCGGUUAAGUUAAGAUGCUAACACUGAAUGAAAAUUGAUUCCAACAAUUUUCAUCAAUCAAUUCCUCAAGUACAAAAGCAGAUGGUGUAUGGUGGAUUGCAGUAAUAGAUGAAGUUGGUUUAGUUUAUCCCUCCUUUGAUGGGCACAAGGAUAAAACCAUCUAUUGCUGGGCAAGGUAGCUAGAUGCAGCUUUCCCCAGAAGGCUCGAGGUAGCAGAAUGUCCAUUUUGGUCUCAAGUCGUUCAACAUUGCUGAAGUUCCUUUGCAAUCCUAAUGGAGACUGCCAUUGGGCAGUUUGUCUUAAUUGCGUUGGAGGCAAUGUGUGACCUGCUAACAGCAUAUCCCUCCUGCAACAACCAAAUCCAACAUAUGGACUGCAUCAGUUUCUGUAAACCAUUUGUUGGAGCUCCAGACCAUAGCAAAUAUCUCCAACUUCAAUUGGGAGUGAUCAGCUUCUAUAGAACAAUAAAAUGCCAUACCAUAUUAUAAUUUCCCCUUAUAUUUUUCCCAUUCUCCUAAGCUGGGGCUUGAUGAGUUUUUAGACCAAAAGACUUGUGCAAGUAAACAUCAUCUGGAUUAGGCAACAAAAAAAAAAAUACCUGACUCUGUUUCUUGGCUAAUGACAAUUGAAAAGCCUCUAAAAGAGAACACUAGGAGGAUACCUUGUUCAGGGCGCUCAUCAUGGUCAUGAGGGGAGGAGAGUUUAUUUUUGCACGGCUUGCUACCUAGGAACAUAAGAGGAAAAUCAAUAAUGAAAUUGCAUUCAAUUUCCAAGCCAUGCAACAGAGCCUGAGAAUUAAUUCACAACCAAAUCAAGAAUCUAAAACACAAAAUUAUGUUAUUUGCAAGUAAACCUCAUCCAAUUUGAUGUAUCCAAAUGGUAAUUUAGGGUCACUCUCAUCGAUCAUUUGCUUCAGAAGUUUUCCCAGAUGAGUUUCAGUGUCAUUGCCAGUCCAUCCCCAUUGCUCAGCUAAAUUUAGCAUUUCUGUAAGGUAGGAAGCAUUAUGGCAGAGAUUAUCAAAUACAGUGGUUUUGCUUUUAAGUUGCUUAGGUAUUACCUUAAUGACCUUUAGGUACUACCUUAGUGGCCUUCAGGUACUACCUUAAGGGCCCCUAGGUACUACCUUACCAAAACUUCAACUCAACCUCUCCUAAGCCUCGGGUUUUCCUUUGUGACCCUUAGACCAUGCCAUUAUAUGCUUCUCUUGAGUCCUCAAGUGGUCCACCAAUGGUUUUAUGCUACUGUUCCUUAGGUACUACCUUAGUGCCCUUAAGGUACUACCUUAGUGGCCUUCAGGUACUACCUUAAGGGACACUAGGUACUACCUUAGCAAACUUCAACUCAACAUCUCCCAAGCCUCGGGUCUUCCUUUGUCACCCUUAGACCAUGCCAUUAUAUGCUUCUCUUGAGUCCUCAAAUGGUCCACCAAUGGUUUUUUGCUACUGUUCCUUAGGUACUACCUUAGUGGCCUUAAGGUACUACCUUAGUGGCCUUCAGGUACUACCUUAGUGGCCUUCAGGUACUACCUUAAGGGACCCUAGGUACUACCUUCGCUAAACUUCAACUCAACAUCUCCCAAGCCUCGGGUCUUCCUUUGUCACCCUUAGACCAUGCCAUUAUAUGCUUCUCUUGAGUCCUCAAAUGGUCCACCAAUGGUUUUUUGCUACUGUUCCUUAGGUACUACCUUAGUGGCCUUAAGGUACUACCUUAGUGGCCUUCAGGUACUACCUUAGUGGNNNNNNNNNNNNNNNNNNNNNNNNNNNNNNNNNNNNNNNNNNNNNNNNNNNNNNNNNNNNNNNNNNNNNNNNNNNNNNNNNNNNNNNNNNNNNNNNNNNNNNNNNNNNNNNNNNNNNNNNNNNNNNNNNNNNNNNNNNNNNNNNNNNNNNNNNNNNNNNNNNNNNNNNNNNNNNNNNNNNNNNNNNNNNNNNNNNNNNNNNNNNNNNNNNNNNNNNNNNNNNNNNNNNNNNNNNNNNNNNNNNNNNNNNNNNNNNNNNNNNNNNNNNNNNNNNNNNNNNNNNNNNNNNNNNNNNNNNNNNNNNNNNNNNNNNNNNNNNNNNNNNNNNNNNNNNNNNNNNNNNNNNNNNNNNNNNNNNNNNNNNNNNNNNNNNNNNNNNNNNNNNNNNNNNNNNNNNNNNNNNNNNNNNNNNNNNNNNNNNNNNNNNNNNNNNNNNNNNNNNNNNNNNNNNNNNNNNNNNNNNNNNNNNNNNNNNNNNNNNNNNNNNNNNNNNNNNNNNNNNNNNNNNNNNNNNNNNNNNNNNNNNNNNNNNNNNNNNNNNNNNNNNNNNNNNNNNNNNNNNNNNNNNNNNNNNNNNNNNNNNNNNNNNNNNNNNNNNNNNNNNNNNNNNNNNNNNNNNNNNNNNNNNNNNNNNNNNNNNNNNNNNNNNNNNNNNNNNNNNNNNNNNNNNNNNNNNNNNNNNNNNNNNNNNNNNNNNNNNNNNNNNNNNNNNNNNNNNNNNNNNNNNNNNNNNNNNNNNNNNNNNNNNNNNNNNNNNNNNNNNNNNNNNNNNNNNNNNNNNNNNNNNNNNNNNNNNNNNNNNNNNNNNNNNNNNNNNNNNNNNNNNNNNNNNNNNNNNNNNNNNNNNNNNNNNNNNNNNNNNNNNNNNNNNNNNNNNNNNNNNNNNNNNNNNNNNNNNNNNNNNNNNNNNNNNNNNNNNNNNNNNNNNNNNNNNNNNNNNNNNNNNNNNNNNNNNNNNNNNNNNNNNNNNNNNNNNNNNNNNNNNNNNNNNNNNNNNNNNNNNNNNNNNNNNNNNNNNNNNNNNNNNNNNNNNNNNNNNNNNNNNNNNNNNNNNNNNNNNNNNNNNNNNNNNNNNNNNNNNNNNNNNNNNNNNNNNNNNNNNNNNNNNNNNNNNNNNNNNNNNNNNNNNNNNNNNNNNNNNNNNNNNNNNNNNNNNNNNNNNNNNNNNNNNNNNNNNNNNNNNNNNNNNNNNNNNNNNNNNNNNNNNNNNNNNNNNNNNNNNNNNNNNNNNNNNNNNNNNNNNNNNNNNNNNNNNNNNNNNNNNNNNNNNNNNNNNNNNNNNNNNNNNNNUUACUUUUCUUUAUGGCUUUAUUGUGGUGAAUAUUGGAAACAGCUUGGAUUUGUUUAAUUUCCAUGGAAGGUCCAAAUAGUCCAUGAGACAUGUCUUUGUAAUAUGAGUUAAGAGAAUGUUGACUUGUUAGUGUUAGUGUUGGACGGCCCAUCCAAAUGGCAUGUAUUUAAACUUGCCAUACAGGAAUCAUAGAGACAUGUCUUUAUUUUCCCUAUAAAGUCCCAUGUCUGUUCUGAUUAACUUUCCAUGGUUUAUAAUCAAUGAAGGUGUUCACUACUCACCAUUGGAUGGUUCGGAUAUACAAAUUAAAACCUCCGAAGAACAGGAUCCGUGUAAAAACAAAGAAAUCAAAAUCGGUAUGCAUGAUAAACACCUGUAGAUUGUAUUCGUUUCUGAUUCAGUGCAAAAUUACCCACUGACCUUUUGUUGCCUCCUCCCUUUGCAGAAAGCAAGCUCCACAACCAGCUCAAAAAAAUAAGUGGAAAAAAAAAAGAAGAAUCCCUGGCAAUGAAAGGCACUUUCAGAAGAUGUUGUCUCCAAUCAGUUACUUGUAACCCACAUAUUUAAUAUCCAAAACACUAAUUUGUUCUCUUAAAAGUAAUUUCUACAGCAAUUUUAUCGUGGUCAAUCCCAAACAGGCCUUUAUUAUGAUUUCUAUAUCCAUAUCCUCUCUUUUCAAUUUCUUCCUUUCAUUUUCCCUCUCAUGUGGGAUGGGUAAACUUUGCACUUUCUAAAGUCAUCUUUAAUGUUCUAACUGAGUGGUAUCCUACAUAAAUAUUUUCUACAAACUCAGAAUGACCUCAGCGACAAAAGCCAACCCCUUGAAGUAGAGGUAUAGAAGUAAAUUGCAUUCACAGCUAAUUUUGUCCCCUAUUUUCAAUCAAGUCACAGCUAACAAUUUUAUAUAUAGCAUUCAAAUUGCAUUCCACUCCACAGACUAUACAACAUUCAGAUGCAAAAUUGUCUUCUUACCCUUCCAGAAAGCCUAUAUCUCAACCAAUCAUUCAAAACUAGGACAUAGAAAUGCCAAAAGUGCAUAAACAGAAUGCCACCUUAUGAAUCUCCACAGUAAAAUUAUCAAUCUUUUCUCAUGUCAUUCAACAUUGUUUUCAUAAUUUUCUCACUUUCAUACAAGGAGUAUAUAUUCAAAAAACAAAGAAACAGAAAAAUCAAUUAAAUAGGCAAGAUUAAUUGGACAGAGUUUCUACUGGAUAUGAGGUAGUUGGCUGAAGAAGAGAAAAAUUGAUCACUGAUAUCUGCACACUUUCUUUGAGCAUAGAAACUCCCAAGCUUAAUUAAUCUUCCAAACCAUCGAUCAAAUACACUAUUCUGAGUGAGACCGUGGAAAGGGCAUCUCAGCGAAAAAAAUCCAACAACAAAUUUUACUAUACAGGAGCUAUAUUUUAUUCCAAAAGGAGACGGUCUUUGAUCUUGAAGCCCAAAUCAAUAUAUAUAUAUAUACUAGGAGCUUCUGACUUCUCCCUGGUGUAAUAAAAAGUGAGCUACAAAAUGACCCAGAGCAGGUCCCACCUCAGAAUUACCUUCAUCUGGUCAUUUUCUUGACACCUCAUAAUUGUUACAGUUUCUUAGGCAGGUUGUAAUUUUUAUUGAGAAUGCACAUACCAUUACUGUAAUAUAUAUUACAGUCCUCAAGCUUCCUCUAUAUUCAAUGGAAUGUGUCUUAAAAUAUAGAGGGAACUAAAGCCUAACUACCCUUAUCCAAAUAACAAAAUAAACCAAGGAGCCUAUUGUGAAGUCUUCAUCUUUGAUAUCUCCUCCAACAGUAAUCUGGAUUUAGCUGCAAAAUCAACUGCCACAACAGCCUUGGCUGUUAUCCACUGCCUUUUCUCAUUCAUGUAUUCAUGUUGUGCAACACUAAUCCGGAAAAGAUGAGGGACCCAAAUAGCUUCCUUCAAUUUCUGCUGGAAUCGGUUCUCCUCUCCCUCCUGCAGAGAAAAUUGGGUUUUUAAAACAUCAGAUUUUGAAUGCCAGAAGUUCAUCAUUUUUUUCUUCCAUAGAACCCAACUAGGCUACCAAAUAAGUAACCAACUACAUAUGAAUUAAUGCAUCAAUGAGCAACUCUUUCAAGUUAACUAAGAUUUGGACAAACUCCUAGAUAUUUCAAUAUUGCCAAGAGUUUACCUGUGAUUUAAGCUUAUCAAGCUCAUCAGCAGAGCACCCAAAUAUUCUCUCUGCUUGUUCAUUAAACAGAGCAAGGCAAGCUUCACCACUAUCAUCUGAAACUUUCACUACCAUUAUGUACCUGGAAAACAUAACAGAAUGUAACAAAGAAACAUCAUUCAUAGGACAACUUUUCCUAUUUUAAAUACUAUCACUGAAUUCUUAUUGAUUCAAAUUCCAUGAAUCCCUCACCUUCAACUGCACUCAUCAUCAUUCUUUUCACAUCCUUCACACCAAUACCCAGAUUCAAUAGCAUCUGUGACUUUCUUGUUGCAUGUCUUACAAGCCUGGUACCACAUUGUUUGCUCAGGCUUGAUGAAGCUUAUGUAUGCUCUGAUGCUAAAAAAUGAAGGCUAUACAGAGACAAGCCCACAUUAUCAAAACUUAAAAUGAUUUUAACUUAAAACUUUGGCUAAGACCAGUUUGAUCAUGUUAGGUUAUUUUAAUGACAGUAAUUAUUACCUUGUCUUCACCCAAAGAUGGGUUGCUGGUUACAUGAGAAAGGGAAACCCUGUCAUAGUACAUGGACCUCACUCCACCCUUAGAUGAAGGACUGAUAUCAGACCCAAUAGAAGCUAAUCAUGAUACCUGUGAACAAGAACAUGUGGUCAGAAACUCUUACUAGAAGAACUAACAAGGUAAUAGGUCACUGGAUGAUUCCUUACCAGGAUCUCAACUUUUUUUAUUCCGGUGUAUCUGGAUUUACCAGUGCAAUACUUUUACUCAAUGUUGACAGUGACACACCUAAAACAAGAUAUGAAGAGAACAUUACAAAGAGGACUUCUUAUCAUUCUCAAGUUUUUGAGAAUGUGCUUAAUUGCCAUAAUAAUACCAAACUUCAAGAAAACAAGGGGAAUUACCUUGGAAGUCUCCAACUUUGAGAGAUUUAAUUGCAAUAAUUGGAAAUUUAUCAGCAUUAUCCAACAAUUCCUACCCUACAUUAGUAGCAUGAUCAUUCCACAAAGAGACCACAACACUUUUCUUCCUACAAUUGAAACGUCCAUAAGUUCAAUAUGAAGCAACAUUAGACCAAAGUGACCAGUGCAAAAAAUAAAAUAUACACUCACGUCUUGUCCGCAAUAGUAAUAUCACGCUUAGGAACAAUCUCAUUGUUAUUCUUCCUUCGUAUCCUCAUUGUAGGAGAGACACUUUGAACAACUCCACUAACAUCUGGAAUUAAUAAUGAUAUGGGUCAUAUUACACAAAAGCACCUAAUGAAAUUCACAUCACAACAAAAAAAGGAAGUCAAUAGUAUAAUGAUAGCUCUUUCACAUGAUACUAACAACUUUAACAUACAGAUCCAAACCAUCCAAGAAAUGAGAACUUACAACUGGCAUGUGCAAGUGAGAUCGCAUUAAUGAGGAGAACCUUGGUAUUUUCUUGUUCUUCUUUUCUCAGUGCUUUCCCAGCUUACGAACCACCUCCAGAUUCUGCACCAUUAAAUUUCCACUGAUAAAGCCUACAUGCUCGAAUAUACAAACAAUAAGCCUCUAUAUUUUUCAGCAUAUAUAAUUCUAGUAUAAAGUUUUUAGUAAUAACUAUCAAAAUCACUUGACAAGGUACUUAUCACACAAAACAUAAAUUAAUAAAUAAAAUACUUCACGGGAUAUUCAUUCUAAUGUGCGUCUUCUCUUAUCAAAACUCGCAAGAACACUAAUAAAUGGGAGCUUGAUAUUUACAAUAUACCUUAAAUUGGAUUAAAAAAGUACACCACUAUAUGGUUUUCAACAAGAUUAGCCUACUAAGAAAUGAAGCAAAAGGAAUUAUGAUAAAAUUCUUGAUGUAAUAUUACCCAUUACAACACACCAAUGAUAAGUGUUACAUAUGUGUUCUUGGUUGGUAACAACCUUUAGAAGAGUGUUCAAAACAUGUAAUGGAUAUACAAAAAACACAUAGUUUCAGUCAUGGAAGAAUGUGACAGCAUUGCACUUAAGCCAAAGGGUUGUUGCACGUUUUCCUAUUGUGCCCGGAAGUAUGACAUCUUGAGCAAGAGACAGUCCGUUUAUCUUGCAAUUGGGACUCAAUGCGCUUCUUUCUUGGUCUGCCGGGAGGCCGCUUGGUAUGGGGUGGGUUAAGAGAGAAGAAAACUUCACCGGUGAUAGAUCGAACCAAACCAUCAUUAGCGACCAUUGGCAUGUCAUGGGUCUCUAUACCGGAGAAGGAGCCCGAGUAAAUCAGCUCUUGCAUUGGGAAUUUGUACCAAUCUUGAACAAAAUCAACAACAUUCUGACCGAUGGAAAGAAUAACGGCUGCCGCAUGUUCACAAGGGAUGCCCAACAUUUCCCAACCCCUACAUGUGCAAGUACGCUUUAUAAUGUCCACAUUCAAGAAGGUGGUUCCAAUAGAAACCCCAAAUAUUCCGUUCAUGAAAGGAGUGACCGGAUACACCUCACCCUUGGCAAUUUUCUGCUGAACUUUUUCUUCAAUUUUUGGCCCUAUGCAUCCUUUCCAAUUGUUUGAUUCCUCUUUAUGUUUGACAAGCAUAGAACCUAACUUAGCCAUAUGCUCCAUUAGAAAUGUACAAAUGGAGUGAUGUCUUUCAUUCCUUAGCCAAGCAUUAAACGACUCGGCAAGGUUUGUGGUCAUUUUAUCCCAUCUUUGUUUUGGGAAUUUGGACAUAGCCCAAUGUUCGGGUUCAUUUUCUUCAACCCAUUUGGCCAAAGCGUCAUUGUAUUGUCGUAGUUCAAACAUGGAAACAUUGUAAUCGUGCUCUAACCUUGCAUAGGCUAUACUAUCAAGGAAUUGGAGUGCAUUUUCUUUACCUUUGUUCCCUCUUGUGUUAUGUUUGCUCAAGAAAGAGCUGAAAUUUUCCUUCAAGUGACAGUAACAGUAGGCAUGGUUUUCAAGCCCAAACACUUUAGGAACACUACGAAGGAGGGCGGGAUGUCUAUCCGAGAUAAUAACGACUUCCUUAUCUCCAACAAGCUUCUUCAAAUUUUGCAAAAACCAAGACCAAUCGUCAUAAUUUUUUGAGCUCAUCACGCCAAAGGCUAAGGGGAACAUGGCAUCAUUAGCAUCGUAUGCGGUCGCCGAAAAUAACGCACCCCUAUAUGGCCCACUCAUAUGGGCGGAGUCAAUAGCUAUGAUUGGCCGACACCCCAUUGCAAACCAUUGGAUAGAUACCGAAUGAGCAACAAAGAGUUGCUCAAAAUGUCCAUCACUUGAAUGUCCCAACUCAACAAUGCUUCCCGGAUUUGUUGCAACCAUUUUCUCACACAUCCAAGGCAACAAUUUGUAAUAAUAUUUGGGUUCUCCAUAAAUGCGCUCAUUUGCCUUCUCCUUGAUAUUCCAUGCUUGAAGAUACGUCAAUUGCAUCCCAUGUUGCCUUUGAAAGUCCUUACAAAUUUGGCAGGGUUGGUAAUUGGGAGUGGACCGGAUGACAUCAUCAAUAAGCAAUGAUGCCCGAUUAGAUCUCACUAAAGGUUGGCAUGCAGCAACAUCUUCCAAACUAUGAUUAUGAUGGUUAUGAAAAGUGUGAACCUGGAUGAUGUUCGAAUCCCCAAUUGCACGAGCUGUGACUUUCCAAGGACAUUGAGUAACUGUGCAAACAACUGUCAUGUGUUUCAUAGUAUUCCUCUUGAAGCGAUAACGGAAUCUACCAGCAAUUGACAUCAAAUAAACGGCAUCACGGAACUUGGCAGCAUUGGAGAAGGUAUGUCCACUACCCAUAAUGGAAUUUUCAAACCGCCUUGAGUCACGUUCGAGUAUAUUUGCUUCCGCACAUCUAUGGGAAAACCCAUAUGACUCAAUUGUAAGAGAGUCAUUACAAAUAUUAAUUGGCAGAUCGCCACCGGAUGGAAGUAAGUGUGCAGAAUUCGAACCAACAAUAGGAGAAGGGGCACUACAAAGGAAGAAAAAAAAAAUCAUCCAUCUACAUAUAUUUGAAGAAAAGUUAAUAGACAUAGUGGAUGAGAUGUUGGGAAGGCUAUCAAUACCUAGUCGGUGCUAUAUAGCCUUCAACAACUUCACUUGAUGAUGAGACAUAGACGUGACAAAACAUUUCGUUGAAUCGAAACAUCUUAAGUAGGGCUGCAUCAUCAUGCAACGGUAGUAGACAUGAUGGCUCAAACUUGACCGUGAAUUCCAAUUUGAUAGAAUUCUGGUCAAAGUGCAAUGCAUCACACAGUUUUGAAACAAAAUCACUAUGUGACAUAUGUCGACUAACAACCAUCGAUUCGCUACGACCACCUUGAUAUUGAACAGACCCUCCAACACAUUUAACUAGCUGACCGCCUUCAUGAAUGUAACAGAACAUGUCCUCUUCCAUCACCUUAAUUAAAUAAAAACUUGUUACAAAAAAAAUGACAACAAAAGUAAAUAGGGAUUAUGUAUGAAUAUAAUGAUGAAGGAAAGAGGAGAAGAGAGGGUGGAGAGAAAGGCCAUAAAGGGGUCAUCGUCGGGCCAUGUGAUGGUAAUCGAACGUCUAAGAUUUUUUUCUUAGUGACACAUAAGAUGAAGAGGAAACGAGGGAGCAUGGAUUGAAGGGCCCCUUUCUAUAUUCAAAUCCUUAGUAUAUACAUGUAUCCAUAAUCUAAUGCCAUGAAGUUGCUUAAGGAAUAUGAAUGUUGGCUUCCUCCCUACCCACAUUUCCCAUGUCCUCAUCUACAACCGAUAUUCUAUGUUUCUUUCCACUUCCAUUCCUCAUCAUCCUAAAAACAUAAUUACAUCUUAUAACAGUUAUCGAAAAAAACCUUUUACAAGGGACAAGACAUUAAUAGUUAAAUGAUCGCACAUAUCGAAGAUGGACAUUAUUUUGAUGCAAGUAGUUUAUGACUCUCACUCUCACUCUCAUGUACAUAACUUUCUAUCUUAACUUUGUAGGUGUAUACCUAGGCCUAAUGUGUUUAUACAUGGACCUUGAUUCGAAAGUGAAAAGUCCAUCGUAUCUUCACAAAGAUCUCAAUAAAUCCCAUAUUAUAGUUUUGUUCGAAAUCAAUUUGUAUAAUGCAUCAAAUUCGUUCAUAGAGUUAAUAUUCAAUCACCUCAUCCUUUGAAGGUAAGAAAUUGAAAGCAAUUUUGGUAAACAAAGACAAAGCAAAAAUAUGUUGUAAACAAUGAGUGAUUAAUGGGGCUGACUAUAAACAAAUAAGUUACUGUCUUAGUGAACUUAAGAAAUGAUAAUAGUUGCACAGUUUGGAAGAAAAGUUGAUUGCAGAAACAUCACAAUAAUUAUGGGUUUUCCUUACAUUUGCAUGAUGUUCUCGCAAGAAAAUGAGGGAGAGACGGAGACAGACACACAGAGAAGAAAGAAGAAGGAGCAUAGGAAAAAGAGAAUACCUCAAAAACAGUUCCCAAGUAAUCUAUGAAUGCUACAAAGUUGGUUUCUUCAAAAAGUCCGUAUAUAUAUGUAGUCCAACAAGGAGAAGCUGAGAAUGGGAAGAGAAAAAGGGACAUUAGAGGAAUGGAAAAGCUUAGAUAUAGUACAUAAUGAAUAAACUAAGAAGGAUUAAUGUUUAUUGUAAAUAACAUAGGGCUUUUCUGGUAUGUUUGAACAAGAAGAAGUUAAAGUCACUUAUGUUUGGAAAUAAAUAUGACAACAAAACAAACAUUUUAUAUAGGUAACAUUUUUGCCCUCUCCUAAAAAUUAAAAUGGAAACCUACAACGAUCCCACCCCAACACUUUGCUACGCCAACCAGGUUUCAAGGGCUAUGAAAAGGGAGGCCAAAAUAAGCAUUGAAGACAACUUUUAAGAAGCAAGAACCAGCAAGAAAGAAUCUGGAAGCUAAUAUAUCACAAUAAUUAUUGUUUUACCGUAGAUGCGCUUGAUGUUCUACCAAGAAAAAGAUAGAUAGAGACAUAGACACACAUACAGAGAACAAAUAAGCAGCAACAUAGGAAAAAGCAAAUACCUCAACAACAAUUCCCAAGUAAUCUAUGAAUGUUGGAAUCUUGACUUUUGCAAACAGUCUAUAUAUAUCUGUAAUCCAACAAUGAGAAGUUGAGAAUGGGAAAAGAAAAAGGGACAGGGCAGAAAUUUCAAAGCUGACAUACAAUACAUAAUGAAAAAGCUAAAAAUCAUUAAUGCUUAUUGUAAAUAACAUAGGUUUCUUCUUGUAUGUUUUAACAGGAAGAAGUUAAAGUCACUUAUGUUUGUAAAUAAGUAUCACAACAAAAUAAACAUUUUAUAUAGGUAACAAUUUUUUCCUCCCCUGAAAAUGAAAUUGGAAACCUACCAGCAUCCCACCCCAACACUUUGCUACUUGAACCAAGUAUCAAGGGUUAUAACAAGUGGCAACAUAAUAAGCAUUUAAGACAACUUUUGAGAAGCAAGAACCAGCAAGAAACAAUCUCGUAGCUAAUAUAAACAAAUCUGAAUAAAAUUACAGCAUAUAAUUUCAAAUUAAAUAAUUAAAAUUGUAUUUUUGUAAUGAUGAACCUUAACAAAUUUAAAAUAAAUAUAUCUUAUCAAAGAGUAUCAUAGUCCAAUGGUAGCAGUGAUUGAACCCAACCCAUGGUUUUCAUUUAAUAAAAAUUAAGAUGGAUAAGAACCCAAGCUUUCGAUUUUUCACUGAGAAAUUCACACAACAGAGAGAAAAGAGAGAGAAGAGAGAGAAGCUAAGGACCCUCCAUUUGGCACAAAGUAAGAAAACCUUAUUUGCUGUUUGAUGUGAAGCUCUAUGCAUUAAAAAAAGGAAAAACAAAUUAUAAACUUAAUUUUAAAAUAUAUCAUAAAAAACAGCUCUCUAGGUGGCAGGAGAGGUGGGUUUUGGUUCAAAUAGCUUAUACUGCCUCUGGCAUCUGUUCUUGAAUUCUCCAACUUUGUCUCCCAAACAUGUCCUAAUUCCCAAGAGCUCAUAUUGCCACACCUACUCAUUAGGGUUUGCAUCAGUUUCCAUUAACAUUUAACUAAAAAGAGUUUAAAAAUUCAAUCAAGGUCAAACAAAAUCAACCAUCCCACAGAGCAGAAGUUACAUAGAUAUUCGAGAAAAUAAGUCAUGUCACAAACUAAGCAUCUAAUCACACAGCAGAAGUUCAGAAGUUCAGCUUUCCUCAAUCCAACCAGCUUUGAAUACAUGCUUAUAGGCUUAUAUAAUCUGCUCCUUACCACCUUUAAACAAAACCCUUGAACGAAUUAAACCAAAAAACCCAGAAAAAAAGAAAAGAAAAAAAAAAGCACAGAAAAUUAGGAUUACAAUCAAUCAAUCCACACAAAGUGCUAAAAAACAUUAAUAAACAAACACCCAACAUAAAAACAGCAAGCUUUUAUUAAAAGAACACAAAAACAAAUAAAAUAAAAACAUACCCACAACUUUAUCUUACCUCAAGAACCAAAUCCAAGAGCAAAAAAAGAGUUUAAAAAUUCAAUCAAGGUCAAACAAAAUCAACCAUCCCACAGAGCAGAAAUUACAUAGGUAUUCGAGAAAAUCAGUCAUGUCACAAACUAAGCAUCUAAUCACAGAACAGAAGUUUAGAAAUUCAGCUUUCCUCGGGUGCUAAAUUGCAAUUAAAAAUAAAAACACUAAUUAAUUGUCAAUCUCAAGAGAACCUAAAUCCCAAAAAUUAGGCCAGAAACCUAAAUUACGUGCACUGAAUAGUUCCAGAUGCAUGAAAUCAAUGAAAAAAAUUACCAAACAAAAAUAGUAAUCAGGAAAGACCAAGUAAAGAAUACACAAAAAUGUACAUAUUUAUCGUUCGUUCGUGUGGUCGCCGGAAGAAAAAAAACGGGAAUAAAGAACAAAGCUCAAGAUUUACAGCUGCGCCUAAACAUUUGCUCUCUUUCAUUGCAAAGAAACCAACAACAAUAGAAAAAAAAAUAAUCAUAUAAGUUUCGCCUCAUAUUUUCCUCAUUUACCUCAGUUUUCUGAGCAACCAAACAGAAGCUAAAAGAUGGACUAGAAAGCGAAUCUAACUUGAAUAGUGUAAGAGAGCUCAUAACAGAGUGGAAAUCUCUAAAUGAAGGCGAGAACCUGGAGAUGAAAUCGCUUUAUCUGAAGAAAUUUGCGGAUCAGUAGUACGGCGACACGCGUGAAUCGAUUACAGCUUACAAGCUUUCGAUUUUUCAUUGAGAAAUUCACACAACAGAGAGAGAAGAGAGAGAAGAGAGCGAAGCUAAGGACUCUCUGUGACUUUCUCUCCUUUUGCCCUAACUUGGGUUCCCCAAAUUUCAGAGUCGAGUGUCGCGUGGGCUUUAUUUGAAGAAAUUUGCGGAUCAGUAGUAUGGAGACACGCAUGAAUCGAUUACAGCUUACAAGCUUUCGAUUUUUCACUGAGAAAUUCACCCAACAGAGAGAAAAGAGAGAGAAGAGAAAGAAGCUAAGGACUCUCUCUGACUUUCUCUCCUUUUGCCCUAACCUGGUUUCCCCAAAUUUCACAGUCGGGUGUUGCGUGGGUUUUGCUAACUUGUUUAAGAUUUUUGUGUUUAUUUAUUAAAAGCACAACCCGUGACAUGGAGAGGGAGAUGGCUGCUAACAUGGAUGUGGAGGGGUAAUUUUGGAAAUGAAAUUAUAAAACAGUACAUAGUGCAUGAAAAGGAUAAUUUUUUGGGCAACAGUAGACAUAUUUUGGGUUAUGGAAAGUUGGGUUAUGAAAAAGCUAUUAGGCCCAAAUGGGCGGCCCAAAACACAGUUUUCCCUAUAUUGUAUCAUAAGAAAAAGAAAAGAAAAAAAAAGAGUGGAGGGGGAGGGGGAGAGGUGGGGGGCUAUGUUGUAAACAACAGGGUAGCCUGUGUAAAGCCCCCAGUUUUUACUUAGAGACCUCAUUACCCAUUAGGAAAAGGGUCAAUGACCUAUUAUUAAUAAUGCAAAAUUACCCAAAGAUGGAUAUUUGAAUUUUUUUUUUUUUUUGGAGAAUUUAAGAAUUGUUGACACAAUAUAGUGAAACUGCAUAUACAAAUAUUGGGGUCAUUAGUUCACUUGACUUAAGCGAUUAAGAACAUUGAAGAGGAGACAUGUUGCUUGAUAAGCCCACCUGUCUACAUCUUGAGCAGCCACAGUUUGUUGCUCAUGAGACUUUUUGGAAGACACCUCCAGGGAUAAGAUUGAGUAAUUUAAAUUCCAUUAACAGAGUUCCUCUCUUUCAUUAGCCUUUAGGCCCUUAGGAAUCAAGCUUAAACUCGAAAGAUUCUAAAAUCUUACUCCCUUCUAACCUCAGGAAAGUUUUGAGAGCUCAGGUAUCCACAAAUAUCUUGGUACAUUCUAACAAGUCCUAUACCACUUUCCACCAUUCAAUUUAUCCCAAAAUAGCAUAAAUGUCAAGGGGAUACAGGAGACCAGAACUAAUAAAGGCAAUGACAUUAAACGGGAGAAAAAAAUAUCAAAGCAUGAUAGAAGAGUUAAAUACUUAAACAAGUUAGUGUUGGUAUUUUAAUUAUAGUAUUCCAUUAAUACAGUACCAAAAUACUGGAUGCCAUAUACUUUUGUCUAACAAUGGAUGGAAUAAUAGAUAUACAAGCACAAGAAAUAUGUUUCACUAACAUGAAAAUGAAAUUUAUGAAAGGCGGCUAGAUUCGAGAAAUACAAACAGGAUAGAACACCUAUGAAGCAUGAAAUAUUUUUGAACACAAACUUUAACAAAUCCAUAACAUGAAUAAAUGUUUGGAACCACCACACUAGAUCAGCAAUCUGUAGCUUCUCAAUAUCAUAACUGUUACAGCUAUAUUCGACUUCUAACCAUAUAAGCUAAGCCUAUGUUUUGUUUCUAGAAAGUUUUAAGGAAAAAAAAAUAGAGCAGAGAAAUAUAAGAAAAAAUUAUAAAAGUUUUCUUUUAUUUGAUUGUCCAUUGAAAAGUUGAAGGAAAGAAAAUUAAAUUGCUAAAGAAUGUAAUUUCCACUAACUUUCCUCAUUUUUUGUUAAGGAAAAUGGACACCACCACCACCCCAACCCUUUUCUUUCGUUUUUUUUUUCUUCAUCUUUCGCAUGGUACCCAAACAUGAGAAAACCAUUUUCACUAGCAUUUUUUCCUUUCCUUUUCUUAUUACUUUCCAAGAACCAAACAUAAGGUAAGUUUAUGACACCCUUUCUAACACAACCAUUAAUAGACGGCUCAAGGUACUUCUAACAGUGAAAGAAGAAUUUCACAAAUACUUAUUGUAAAUUACAGAAUAAGCCAAAAGUGAAGAUAACAUCUAUUAAUACCUGCCUUUUUCAUCUUCCAAAUUCUGAAGAUGUUUUUCAUCUUCACUUAAGUCCAAUGCAACUUGGACGUAGGAAAAAUUAGAACAAAAAAAUAAUCAAGCAUUCUUUUCUCAGCAUCAUCAUGCAAAAUUUUCCACCAUAGCAUAAAAGGAAAUCAUGAAGAAAAAUAAAAAAUUAAAAAAUAAUACGCAUGCUCUCUACAAUAAUCACAAUAAAGGCAAACUACUCCAACAAAUUAUUAGAAAAAAUUGGAAAAAAUAAAAUUCAGAGAAUGGAAAUCCAUUUUCACCUCCAUAUAAAAUACACCAUGAAAAACAUUGGAAUCUAGUAAAGCUCUAGGUAAAAGAGGUAUUUCAGGCCAAUUUAAGAGCUCUAUCAGAAAUUCAAAUGUCCAUUCUGAAAUAGAAAAUUUAAAACCUAAUUGAAACUUAACUAUGUAAUCCGAGUACCAUAAAAACAUUGAAAAAGUCACACAAAUACUCGCAUAAUCUUAUCAAUCGAAAGGUUAUAAUACAAGGUGCAAAACACCAGAAUCAGAAAUAAGUUUCACAUUCUACAAAACUUACACUAAAAAGAGAAAGUUAAAAGGUCACAGACAGUCGAAAAUAACCAGAAAAUAAAGGAAAAUAAAAGAAAAGGGACCUGUUUGGCGAUAAGUUCUCUCUUAGAGUGGGAUGGGAGUUGGGAGACACUCAUCUAAUAUAUAGGGAAAGUUGUGUUUUUUUUCCCUCCCUCUGUUUUCUGGAUCUAGGGGUCUCUUUGCUUUUGUGCCAUUUGAAUUAAAUUUCACAAACCCUAAACCCACGAUUUUUUAGCCAGGCUGAAAAAUACCACCUUUGCCUGCAAAUCGUGAUCAGAUUACCAAAUAGCAUCUUAUUGUGCCAUUGGAAUUAAAUUUCACAAACCCUAACCCACGAUUUUUGAACCAGGCUCAAAAAUACCACAUUUGCCUGGAAAUCGUGGUCAGAUUACCAAAUAGCAUCUUAUUGUGCCAUUGGAAUUAAAUUUCAAAAACCCUAAACCCACGAUUUUUGAGCCAGCCAGAAAAAUACUACCUUUGCUUGCAAAUCGUAAUCAGAUCACGAAAUAGCAUCUUAUGUUUUUUUAAAAAAUAAAAAUCAAAAAGCUUGGACAGCUCGUGAACAAUGCAAAACAACAUUUAGCCCAAAUUUUUUCUCAACAGCCAAACAAAUUGUUAAAUGGAAACUCACCUGCGAUUACUCCAAAAGGAAGACGAAGCUCCACCGCCGAUUCCAGAAACCACCCAUGAAAAUGCAGGCAAAAGGAGAGAAUAGGGCAAAAAGCGAGGAAGUCAGAGCGUUUCCCCAAAUUUUUGAGUCGGGUCGUGGGUUUUGCAAAUCCUAACUCUAAAGCUUAAUAUUUUUGUGUUCAAUUAUUAAAAACACAACUUCCCGUGCUGACACGGAUAAGGAGAUGGCUGCUGACAUGGAAGGCUGGAGGGGUAAUUUUGGAAAUUAAAUUAUAAACAGUGGAUAGUGCAUGAAAGGGAUAUUUUUUUGGGCAACAGUGGACAUUUUUUGGGUUAUGGAAAGUUGGGUUACCAAAAAGCUAUUAGGCCCAAAUGGGCGAGCAAAACACAGUUUUCCCCAACUUUAAAGUGUAGCAAUUAUUCAAUUAUGAGAGAGAGAGAACAACUUUACAGUGGAGCAAUUAUGAGAGAGGGAGAGAGAACGACUUCACAGUGUAGCAAUUAUGAGAGAGAGGGAGCGAGAGUUAUUGCUAUGGGAUGGGAUGCACCAACUUUAAACUGUAGCAAUUAUUCAAUUUUGAAGUGUAGCAAUUAUUGAAUUUUUGACCAAGAGAGAGAGAGAGAAAAUUAUUGUUGUGGGUGGCAUGCAACAUCUUUAAAGUGUAGCAGUUUACAGUGUAGCAAUUAUUCAAUUUUGACAGUGAGAGGGAAUUAUUGCUGUGAGCUGGCAUGCAACAACUUUAAAGUUAGCAGUUAUUGAAUUUUGACCAAUUAUGUUAAUGGGGUUAUAUCCUCAUCCAAAGUUCCCAACCCAUCUUGGUUACUUCAACAAAUUUUUAUCCCGUACUAGAGUAAAUAAAUUAUUUUUCAUAAAUUUUACAUCCUAUCUUGAUAAAAAGUAAAUUGGCAGCUUCAAUUUAAAUACGUUUAAAGAGGAAGAAUGGAAAAAGAAAUUAAAUUAUUUUUACUUAAUUUUAUUUAUAAAUGAGAUGGAUUGAGAUAAUACUUUAAAGUUUGUUUGACAAUUAUUUUAAAAAAAUGUUUUUAAUUUAAAAAAUAUUUUUUUUUAAAAUAAAUUAAGGGUAUAUGUGACUACUUUCGAAAAUAGUUUUUGAGAAUAGUUGUUUUUUAAUAUUUUGUAUAAUAAAAGUUUGUUUGAAAACUUAAAAUAUUUUUGACCAAUUUUUAAUAUUUUUAAAUAUAUUUUAAAAAUAAUUUUUAUAUCUAAUAUUUUAUUUUUAAUCAUUCUAUAUUUAUAUAAUUAUUUUUAAAAACAAUCAUUAAAAAAUAAAUUAAAAAAGUAAAAAAUAACUAAAAGAUGUUAUUUAAAAGUACCCUAUUUUUUGUUCUUAAUAAUAGAAAAUGGAAAACAAUUUUUUAUUAUCAAAUGUGUUUUCUUGAUUUUUUGUUCUGGGGAACAAAAAACUAUUCUAAAAAAUAGUUGCUAAACAAGCAUUAGGUGUUAGACAAAAUUUUAAAAAAACUUCUACAAAUCUAAAAAAUCAUUUAUACUAUUUUUUUUAGAAAAUCACUUAUAGUGUUUUCUAAAAAAUUAUUUGAUAGAUAAUUUUCUUAAAAACACUUCAAGUAAAAAUACCGUCAAACACAUUAUUAAUAUUAUUUAAUCCAACCUUGGAGUUAAAAAAUAAUUUAUCAAAUCCAACCUCGAUCGGUUUAAACUCUCCCAAACCCAUUACCAUUUGUAAUACCUGGUUUUGAAAAAAUAAAAAUAAAAACAUAAUAUAAAGAGUAGGAGGAAUGUCAAAUAUAAAAAGAGGGUUAAAAAUGUUUUGUAAUGGUUGGAAGUGUUUUUCCUACAAAUAAUGAUGCAUUUUGAAAAUUUUUAAAAAUUAAGAGAAUCACUUUGAACUUACAUUCGAUACACACUUUAUCUAAAACCAUUUUUUAAAUUAUAUUUCUUAUGAUCAAAAACAUUUUUAAGACACUUCUUUUGAUUUGUAUCUUAAUGCUAACCUACAUUUAAAAAAAUGUCAAGAUAAUUUUUUUAUAAAAAAAAUCUUUUAAUUUAUUGUACUUUUGUGGACCCCGUAUUUCGGCUCAUGCGUUUUCCACUCAAUGGCGAGUUCGAUUUUUAUUUGAAAAUGAUUUCAUUUAUUAAAAAAAAAUGACUUGGAGUCGUCACUUAUUUUUGUUUUAUUUUUAAAAGGGUAAACAAAAUGAGAAAGAAAACCCUAAGUGUAACUCUUUAUUUUGGAAAAUGUGGUCUAUAAAAAAUCGGAUCAGACUCGAGGGUCAGGUUACUUAUCGGGAAGGUACGGUAAAGACCGUAGCACCCCUCUAAGUCCCUAAGUCGGGUAUCUACUUAUAAAAUGAAGUUGACGUGGCAAUCAAUAGGAAAAUUAAUGGAUACUCAAAUCGAUCAUGCACAUAUGAGAAUCAAAAUAUGCAUAGAGAAUGACCAAAAUGGGAGUGGAUGCGUACAUGGGCCACGAACGAGCAAUGCGCUAUCAUAAAAAUGAGGUCAGUGUACAAUAAAGAGCACAAAACAUAUCACAUGCAUCACCAAACAGAAAUUAAAAUUGUUUGAGGGAAAUCUGGAUUUUUUGAAAUUUAUUUGAAAAUUGGAGUCUUAGAGAUUAUUUGAAAAUUGGAGUUUUAGAGAUUUGAAAAUUGGAUUUUUAGAAAUUAAAUGUAAGAAUGAGAAUUUAGAAAUUAAAUUUGAAAGAAAUUGGGAUUUUGAAAAUUAUUUGAGAGUUUGAGAUUUGAAAAAAUUAAAUUACGAAAAUUGGGACCUUGGAAAUUAAAUUUUGAAAGAAAUCAGAAUUGAAAAUUAUUUGAGAAGUAGAAACUAUGAAAAUUAAAUUAUAAAAAUUGGAAAUCUUGGAAAUCAUUCGAAGGCAGAAUUUUUAGAAAUAAAUGAAUAAAAUGAUAAUAAUAAUGAUAAUAAUAAGUAAGUAACGAAAUAAAUGUGAGAAUUGGAAUAUUGGAAAUUGAAAAUUAAGUUCGGAAAUUGGAAAAUUGGAAUUUCAGAAAACUAAAUUUGGAAAUCGGAAUUUUGAAGAAUUAUUUAAAGACAGAAUAUUUUAAAUAAAUGAAUAAGUGAAUAAAUAAAUGAAUGGAAUAACGAAAAUAAUAAUGAUUGGAUAAAUAACUACGAAGAUAGGAAUUUUGAAAAUUGGAAAUUGAACUUAGGGAUUGGAAAUUUAAAAAAUUAUUUAGGGAUGAAAUUUUAAAUAAAUGAAAAAGUGAAUGAAUAAAUGAAUAGAAAAACAAAAAUAAUAAAGAUUGGAUAAAUAAGUGGGAAAAGUAGAAUUUUGGAA
rnacentral:lncRNA from 1 species